rnacentral:lncRNA from 1 species
UCCACCGCACUGAAUGGAUCAUCAAACAGAUAUAUAUCAGCAUCUUGGUACAGAGCACGCGCUAUUUGCACUCUUUGCUUCUGUCCACCACUCAAAUUGAUUCCCUUCUCCCCAAUAAUGGUCUGAUCACCAAAUGGUAGAACCUCAAGGUCCUUUGUCAAGGAACAUGCUUCUAGCACCUUCUCAUACUUCUCACUGUCCAUCUCUUUACCAAAUAAUAUGUUGUCUUCUAUCUUGCCACUCUGUAUCCAUGGCGAUUGAGAAACAUAAGCCUUUCUUCCACAUAUUUUCAAUGUCCCAGAUAUCUUUGGUACUUCCCCUAUAAUACAAGAAAGUAAACUAGACUUGCCUGAUCCAACAGUGCCACAUACAGCUACUCUCAUACCAUGAUAAACAUUGAGAUUAAUGUUUUUCAAUGUUGGAUUAGGGGAAGAUAAAUCCCAUGAGAAGUUUCCAUCCACUAAUUCAAUUGCCUUAUCGGAACUACCCCAUGGAAGCUUCUGUACAAUAUCAGUCUGCAACUCAUCUAGUCGAAUAAAUGAUACAAUCCUAUCCAGAGAAACUUUACUUUGUGCAAUCAAAGAAAUUGUGUCAGGAAGACUGUAGAUGGGUAUUUGAAGAAUUCGGAAUGUUGCAAGUGCAGAUAAGACCUUUCCUGAUUCAAGUGGGAUGCCUAUAAGAACACAAGUACCAAAAGUAACCACUGCAAUAAACGUUGGGGCAUUAUGGAAGAGAAAUCUAGUAAUUGCUGUUCCAGCUAGAAAUUUCUUUAGCCAUAUCUCCUCAGCUCUCCUAAGCUGAAUAAUCUUUGACAAGAACUUCAUCUCCCAUGCUUGCAAUUUUAGAAUCCUCAUAUUCUUAAGAGUCUCAGAUGUAGCCUUCAUUCUUUUAUCUUUGAACUCCAUUAUCUUGCUUUGAAACUUUUCUUGCCAUGAUGACACAGGAUGGUUUAUCAACAUUACAAUUACAGUGGCAGCAAGAGCAGCUAUUGAAGCAACCCCUACGCUUCUAUAGAGAAUUAACAAGGCCAGAGAAACUUGCAAAACACACAUCCAGGGUCGAUGAAUAUACCAACAAAAUUCUCCAAUCCUUGCAGCAUCAACAGACAUUAAGUUGAUGACUUCCCCAGUGCUAUGAACCUCCUUUGAUUGACACGAAAGAGUCAAACCUUUAGCAUAGAUCAUUGCCACCAACUUUGCUUGAAUUUGAACCCCAACCUGCUGGAUCCUAAACAUGGAGUGCCUAUCUGAAAGACUCUCCAAAAGCUUAGCAGCAACAAAUGCCGCAGCCAAAAUAUAUCCUUCAUUUCUAAACAUGUAUUCCCCGUUGAGGUAUUGAACAAGGAUAUCAAUAAGAAAGGGUCCAACAUAUGAAGCACACGUAUACAAGAAUGCAAAUAACCCUGAUAAAAGGAUCCGUUGCCAUGUCGACAAGAAUAAUACCUUUGCCAGCUUAAGAGUGGUCACAUUCCUAACACUACCACACUCUGACUCGAGUUUGCUUCUAAAAGUUUGAAAAAUCCCAUUGGCACUGUCAUCACUACCAAGAAGUGGGAUGUCCUCAUGGUUCAAAGUCCUCUCAUUGCCUAUUUUUAUUAAUGGGCUGAUCCACGAGAAACUGAGAAUACUGAAAAACCCAGGAUUUGAAUUUCUAGUUAAAUUUUCAUUUUCUCUUGUCUUAAUGGGAUCAGAGUUUUUGCUUGCACUGGAGUCACCAUUUAGAAGGGUCUCUUCAAGAGGGGAAAGCUUAGCCAUAUUGUUAUAACAUAGAAAUAAACCUGUGAUAGAGGAAGCAAUAUAAGAAACAAGGUAUAUAAUUCUCAAGAAAACAUGCUUUCCACAAACUACAGAGUCAAUCACAAGGAAACAAGAAUAAACAAAAUAAUGGUCACAGCACCAAACUCUUAACAAACAUGAGAAACUACUAUGAUCCUUUGCAUCGGAGUAAGCACAAACAACAUCCUAAAAGGCUGUCCUGAGGGUCAAAUAAAAAACUGUGGCAAAGCUUCUCUCAACCAUCAUGUUUAUACAAGUAAAAGUAGUUUAGUAAGCAUAACACAAGGUUGAACACAAAAAUAACUAAUUUACAAACCAUGAAUUACAAGAAACCAGAAUUUUGGAAUCCAAUGCUCUCACUCUUUUGUCUGAGGUCUUCUUUCACUUGUUUUCAUAGCCAUGACACAAGAAGCAUAAUAAACAAGAGACUUGGUGGAGUGAAGCAGACACAUCACGUGUGAAAAGAGGAGGGGGGGAGUGAAUGAGCUGGAUGGUGCAUCACAAGAACAGUAGUGAAGAAAAGUAAGAACAGAAGAACAUGAAGAACAUGAUAUGAAUAUACCUUUACUUCAAAACACAUAAUAAGCAUAAAGCUUCAUUAUUGGAUAUUUUUUUCUUGUUGAAGAACAGUGAUUGACUUGUUCACUUAAGAGUUCUCAAUAAACCAUCAAGAAAUCAUAUUCUUUCCUAAGCACUCUUUGAACCAAACUUUAAUAAUAAUACAAUGAUACAUAAAAAAUAUUAAAUAAUAUAAUAUCAUAAUGUUAUGACAAUACAAACUGUUCAAAGUAUAUACAAAAUUUAAAUCAAAUAUAGUAUAUUAUUUAAGUGAAAGUUUCAAUGGUAUAUUUCAAUAUUUAUUAAGCUUAUAUUUAAAAUAAAAAAUUAAUAAUUUUUUUAGUUCUUCUAUUUAAAACAAAGAAUAAUAUUUUAUCAAUUUAUUUAUUUUUAUUUAAUUUAUAUACUAAAUUAAAAUAAAAAUAGAAAAGAUAAGAAGUGAAUAUAUAAAAUUUGGUGGUAGUCUAUUUGUUAGUCUUUCAUUUGUUAUGAGUGGGAGGUAAAAGUUUCUAAGUGACUUAUGAAUGUUCUUUUCAGACAAAGAGCCAAGUGACAACUACUUCAGAGUUAUGAUAUUUAUAUAUAAAAAAUUUAUAAUAAUUUUUUAGUACAAACAGAACACAUAGAAUUAUUCAAUGAAACUUUUGGGGAUAAAGACAUAUCUACUUCGAUAGAGUAUGGUUAAUUUUAUUAUUCCAUCAAAUAAAAUUGUGAAUGUUGUGUUAAAUUUGUUUUGAGUUUGGGUAAUUUUACUUUUAAAUUCAAACCAAAUCACUUUGAUUGAUUAGAAAGUAUUACCAAUUAAAAAGUUUUUUAACAAAAAAAAUAUUGUAUAACAAAACUUUUGUUGAGAAGUAUUGACAGAAGAAUUCAUCUUACUUUGAGAAAUAAUUGAUGAACCCAUAUAAUUUUUAUAAUCAUGUAAUGAAUAGAAUGGAUGAAUUAAAUAGAUAAUAUAUAUAAUAAUCAAUAAAUAACUUUGUACCCGUAAUAUUAAUCUAUGAAAUGGCUCAGGUAUUGUAUUUGAUUUUUAUUAAAUGCAUCAGUUUUAAUCUUAUUUUUAAUUAAAACAUAUUUGUUUACAAUAACAAUCUUUUACACAGAAUUUUUUUAUAUAUUUUCAAUUCAAUUAAAAUAAAGUUAAUAAAUAUAUUGUAUGAGUAUUUGUGAUUGAAUGAUAUUGUAAAAGAAAGUAUUUAUGAACAGUUUGAGCCUAUAGGAUUUGCUUUUGGUGUCCUUAGAUAUUAGUGAGCACAUGUCAUUUUCCAAAAACCGUGAAUGAUCCAAAACAUUUAAAGUGAAUUAGGGUUUGUGAGGGUAGAGUGGAUACAAAACUUUGGGUUCAAAGUGUUGGUGUGGUCCUAUAUACACUAAUAAUGCAAGGUCUGUGACUUUUUUUGCAAUCAAAUUUGUUCCUUUCUAUUGCACGUGCUUUGACUCACUUUUAAACCUCACAAUGCAUUGUAGGGACAAGUCAUUUUGUUUCACCCAUCACUUCAAAACAAAAUCUAUCAAUUCAAAGUUAUCAGUUUCGAUCAAUUCAAAUAGUUUCCAUUUCUUUAAGAUAAGGUGGACCUCAUUCAGCAAAGACUUGACAACUAGCAAACUUUAGAUUCUCUUUUAGAAAAACAACAUUGAAAGUUGGGUUUCUUUGAAAAAGAGUUCACUUUGGGAGUGAGUAUGUUAAAGUAAAGUAGAAAUUAGAAAAUUGGAAGAUGUUAAAGCAAUGCCUCUCUAAAACAGUUCUUAUGUUUGGAUUAAGAACCCAACUCUUUAAAUUUUCUAAGAAAAAUUAAUUCAUCACACUUCUACUUACAAAUAAAGUUGUAAUUGUACAAGAGAUAUUUAAGGCUUUUGUUGUGCAUUUGGAGGUUUCAAGUACAAGUAGGGGUGACAAGGUUAGUCGGCCCACAUAGGUUCGUUCAUGUUUGGCCCACAAAAUGUGGGUCGAAUUGAUCCGUCUCGCGCAAAUUCAUUUUAUUGGUCUAUCCUGCACAAGAGGUAACCCGUAGACAUGCAAGUUAGUCCGCAUAAGAAAAAUAUUUUUUAAAAAAAAUUAAGAUUUCAUUAAUUAUAAAAAAAUCUAUUUUUGUUGCUACAAAAUUAAAAUUUCAUUUCAAUUAAUUCAAUUAAGAUAAAAAAAAAUAUGAAGGAAUUUAAGUAUGAAGAUUUUUAUAAGGCUUGAUUAAAAAUAAUUAAAGUUUUGUUUUGUAUCUAUUUUUCCUCUAUAUAGGUGUAAAUAUAUCAAAGUAUCUUAUCAAUUUUUUUUUAACGAGUAUCUUAUUGAAAUCUCUUCUUUAUAUUAUUUUUUUAUUAACAAAUUUUAAAUAUAAAACUUUAGUUAAAAUUAAAUUCACUAUUACUCUUAAUAUUAACUUCUUUAGAUGAUUAAAAUAAAACAUUUAUUUUUUUAGCAUAUUAAUUUUUUUUUUUAAAAUAAAAUAAAAUAAAGAUCACAUUACAAUAAUGAGUGAGUGAGGUAUGGUUUUAUUUGUGCAAGAAAAUAAAAAAAAAAAUUAUUUGUGUGGGUUGGCGGAUCAACCCGCUCUGCCCCGUUGCUCCACGUGGGCUAUGGGUUAUGCGGAACGGGCCUAAACAGGUCAACAAGCUAGAUUAGUGAGUAUGUCCCGCACAUUUUGGUAGCGGGCUGUGAGAAAUCCUGCAUUGUCAUCCCUAGUUACAAGUGCCAAAAAUGUUACAGAUCUAGGACAAAAGUCAUUCAGAUUGAAGGAUGAUGACUUUCUAAAGAUAUAUUUUUUCUUAUGAUCCUUUAGUAGUCAACAUAUGGUAAAUGUUAACUAAGAGACAUUCAAACUUGUAUAAGGUUAAAAUAUCCUAAAAUACUAUUUUUAUUAUAUAUUUUUUUAUAAAAUAAUUUAAACUUAAACUAAUAAAAUUGACAUAACUAAGUUUUAGAGACUAUUGUUUCUAUUUCUUUUAUGUUGUUGAUAUUUUUCAAAGAUAAAAGCAGAAUAAUUGAACAAGAAAAUAAUACAAAAUAUUUUGAAUUGUUGAAUAUAAUAUUUAUUGAACAUAACUUACAUUUAAAUACACUGAAAUAAUAACUAAAUAGAAAUCUUGUUCUAUAAUAUAUUUAAGAGUUGCUACUGAUUAAUGACUAAUAAAAUGUGAUACUAACUGAUUCAUUAUGGUAACUAUAAAUAAGAAAACAUAUUCUUCUCAAUUUAAUAAUUGACUUAUUUAAAAUUAAAAUAAUAAUGAAUUUGACAACAUUUAAGACUAGCUUUCAACGUUUUUUUUUAUCAAGGAAAAAAUAUUAUAAAUCAAAAUUGAAGUCAUUACAAGAAAUAAGUUUAUUUGAGGGAAGAAAUUUGUAGGUAAAGUCAUAAAUCCUUUGCAAACGAAAGAUUAUCGACGGAUUACAUAAAAAAAAAUAAAAAUUAUAUGUAAAUGGAGGUGUAGAUACAUAUAGCGGAAUUUUUGUGUGGAUACGUAAGUAUGUAAGAAAUCUAUGGAUAUCUACGUAUAUAUUACAUACAAACAAAUUUGUAUGUAAUUAAUGUGAAUGAAAUAAUUUUAAAAUUAAAAAAAUUAGUAAAUAUGUAUGUAAUUCCAUAUGUAAAUGUGUAAGUAAUAUUUUAAUAAAAAAAUAUUUUAUUUGGUAUCUAAAUUUGUUUUGUACUCCUGUAACACAACUCAAAAUGAAGUUCCAAAAGAAAAUAUAAUCCAGAUCAAAUUCUAACAACACAUAAUCUAAAUGAAGUGCUAAAAAAUCCAAAAUCAAGUUAUAACCACAUAUAAUCCAAAUCAAGAACUAACCACAUAUAAUAUAAAACCAAGUGCUAACAAGACAUAGUCCAAAAAUGAAGCUCCGGAACAGAUAAUUCAAAUCAAGUUCUAACAAUUUAUAAUCUAGAUCAAGUGCUAACAUAGUUUAAAAGUUCAAAAUUAAAACUAAAUGUCUAACAUAUUAUCUUGUUUGAAACUGGUAAAUAUGAGUUUCUGUAAUUAUUCUGUUUCUUUGGUAGGUGUUCUGCCCUUGAAGGUGGAGAUGAAAAUUGAAGCAAUAUUGUAGUGUAUGACAGUAUAAUGCUUAAUUUAGAUUGUAAUAGGAUCUUUGUGGUGCUACAUGUUUUGGCUCAAGAGUUUGAGCUUUUGUAUAAAGGUUGAAGUACUCCUAAUACUCCUUUUUUACUUAUAUCCUUUAGUAUUGAUAAAAAAAAAACGAAAUGUCUUAUGACUAUUUUACGACAAAUGUACUGAGUCAGAAGUAAUAAGUUUUUCCUAAGGAUGGAUAUCGAAUCCACAUGGAACAAUUCUAAAAUCUCAAGUAUAAUAUGCAUUAAAUAUGAAAAUAUGUGUCAAAGUUUGUUUGAAAGGUUAUUUGUAUCAUGAAUUUGUAAGAAAUUAAAUAAAAGCAAAGUAAAUGAUUUAGACGAGUCAAUUGGGAAAUAUCGGAUUGAGGUUCAUCCUUCUCACUCAUCUGUAUUUUCAAUGAAUAAAAACAUAUAACAUUUCAUCUGAUUGACAUUAAUGCACAUAUAAAAAUAAUUCAUAUCGAUUCUCCGCAUACAAAAUUAUUAAGAAAAUCUCCUAAAUAUUGAUUUCUCGCAUAUUUAUAAAACCCCCUUUUCAUUACAAACAAAUGUUAUAAAACAAUUAACAUUUCAAAAUUAUUCCUAACAUUCAAAUAUGUUAAGUAUUAUCAUUUAGGUCAGAUACUUAAAAGUACUUUCUAAUCAAAUAUAAGGAUCAAAUCAUGAAUAAAUAUUCAAACUUUAAUAAUAAAGUGACAAUACCAAUAAUCAAUAAAGAACAUAAUAUCAUAAAUAAAUAUCACCUCAAUACAUAAGAGUUUUUUAACAUAUUGCUCUCAAUUCCAAAGGGAAGAAUUAACCACUCAUAUUGAUAAUUACAAGCAUGGAAAACAAGGAAAAAUUAUCCAUGAUAUUUCUCCUUGACGCGUGUCUCCUCUAGGGUUGUUUAAAUUGAUUUAAUUAUAUUGAAUAUAUACAAAUUUUGCAUUAGGAUCGGGGAGAACUUAAAUUGGUAUCCCAUGGUAGGAAAUUACGUAAAUUUGGGAUGCCUCAUGCUAAUAUUGAGCUUUUUGUACAAAAUUUUGGAUUGUUUAGUUUGUGCAAUAUAGGUUAUGAGUUGGGGGACAAGGGGUUGAUUUCAGCCUUUGUCGAAAGGUCACAUGGGGAGACAAAUUCCUUUCACCUUUCCAUAGGUGAGAUGACCAUCACACUUGAUGAUGUGUCAUCUCUUUUACACCUCCCCAAUUUAGGUCAAUUCCCUACAUAUGUGCCCUUAGAGUACAACAGAGCUACGACAAUUUUAACUAAGUUACUAGGGGUGGAGGAGGUUUGUGGGAAGGCUGAGAUAAGGUGCCCACGUACGAUUGAGCUGGCUCCGAGAUAUAUAUGAGGGAUGUUGCGCUCAGGAGGCUUGGGAGUGUGCUGCCAAGACUUACUUGUUGCAUAUGGUUGGAUGCACUAUUUUUGUAGAUAAAAGUGUCACAUCUAUAUCUGUUUCAUACUUGUUGUUAUUCAACAAUCUACGUAUGUGUGGUGGAUAUGCAUGGGGAGCUACAACACUGACACAUCUAUAUGAGCAAUUGGGGGAUGCAUGUUAUUUUAACAUGAAGCAGUUGGGUAGUUAUGCAACACUAGUUCAGGUAUGAAACCAUACAAAUAAUUAGCAAUCGCAUGUUACAUUCCAUAAUGUUUUUUAUUUUAUAAUUAAUAUGAUCGAAUUACGUAGGCAUGAAUUUAAGAGCACUUCUCGGGCAUGGGAAGAAGGGAUAUUAAUCCCUCAUUUGAUGAGGUACACCCACGGGAAACAUGACACAUUAUUGCCCAUCAUAUUUAUGUUGUUGGUGAUGUGCAGGUGCAGUUGGAUGGAUUCAUACACGAUGACCACAUAUUGAGCAGGCUAUUUGAGACCAUUUUAUUUAUUCUCGGGUCACUUGCGAUUGGGCAACUUAUCACAGAGACAUAUGCCCGAGCGCGUGUUGCGUUAAUUUGGCUACGAGCAGAGAAAUCUACCAUCACCGAUGUCAGUUGAGGGUCGUGGUGCACACAUCAUUGAUCAAAGGUGGUUGCCAACAUUUUAUACAACUGCAUCUUGAAUGUGUGUCAUAUGACAUGUAGGCUCAUUUGAAAUGAUGCCUUUAUUUCGUUAUGUUGAAGUAUAAUAACAUGUUUGAUAGCAUCUAACACGAGCACAUGUCUCCCAUGCUAUUUUGUAAUAUUCGUUUCAAAGACCAAUGAGUUGAUUCAACCCUGUAUAAGUAUAAAACAUAAAACAAUUAGACGUUAUACAUGCUCUAAACAAAGUAAAGACAUAUUUUGAUAUACCUGUUUGAUGUUGUAUUUCCCAAAUGCAUUAACGAAUUUUUCCAACACUUCACAAACUUUUCUUUGUGCGCAAUAAUCCAUGUGUUCUUCACAUAUUCAAAAAGUAAUUGCCACAGUGAACAAAUAGUUUCAAAUUUUUUAACAAACCCAUCAAAUUUAGCAAUCUCUGUACAAUCAAUGAUAGUCCUCCAUGAAUUCAUCACAACUUUCCAAGCCUCGACAGAAACUACCAACAUUUUACAUUUUGCUUUAACAUUCUUAUUUAUGUGAAACCGACAGAGAAGAUUUGUUCUUUUAGGAAACACAAUAUUGAUGACAUUCAUCAAAGCAAAAUCUCUAUCACAAACAAUGACUUUAGGCCCCACAUGUGAUGUCAAAAGUGACCCUCUAAAUUUUUGUAAUGCUCAUAUGAAGUUCUUUUCUUUCUCACUAGAUAAGAACGCAAAACCAGCAAAGAAGGACAAACCUGUACAAGUCACACCAACAAUCUCAAGCAAAGGAAAUUGAUAUUUGUUUGUUUUGUAAGUCAUAUCCAUCAAGAAUAAAAUGUUAAAUGCAUUCAAAAGUUUCACAACAUUAGGAUGAGUCCAAAAAAUAUCACUAACAAUAUUGGAAGACUCAUGACACGUACUCCAGUGAAGAUAGUUGUCAACAUCAUUAAUUGUUGUAAUUCAGUUCUUGGUUCUCUAAUUGAUCUCUUGUACGAGUAUCUUGCAUUGUAUACAUGUUUUAUUGUUGUCAUAUUAUCCUCAUUAUUCUCCUUCAAAGUACGUAGUAUGUUAUCCGGCUUAACCAUGCUUUUAGUCAUAUCAACAAGAAUGGAAUGUUCAUUCACUUUUAAUCUGUCUACAUAUGGAUGACCAACUAAUGUAUCAUACAAAUCAUGAUUAUGGGUACCACAUAUUACCUUAAAUACCCAACCUUCGCCCUUUCUAAUAGGUUUACCUCGCAAUUUAAAGGGACAUUGACAUUUUCAAGUACCAGUCACCGUAACCUCUAAACCAUCCUUGUACUUUCUGUAACUACCCCCUUUCACAGCCUAAGACAUGUCUUUUUUCCUUACUUUCCAUUUGUUAUGUCAGACCUAAUGAUGACAAUAACAAAAUCAAGUCCAUAACUAACCCUACGAACUCAUUCAAGCAAGUCUUCUCGCGAAAGAAACAACUACAUAAAGUUAUAUAACAAUAUUACAAAAUCACUUCUUCAAAUUAUAAUGCAAUAAACAUGAAUGAAACGAAAUUUUAUUCACCUCAUUUGUUUAAAAUGGGUACCAUAGUCCCCUUCAACCAAUUCAUGUUAAUGCACAAAAUUCAUUAAUUCUUCCAUACCACAUAUCAUUUCUACUUUAUCGGAUCUUUUUGUAAUCAACCCAACCUUCAUACUCACACCUUCAUUAAUAAAACAUAAAUUUCUAUUUAUUCUAAUUUUCAUAAAUUUACACAAGUAUGCAAAAUAAAAACAACAUCCAAUUUCCCUUUCGGAUUGUUUAAUCCAUAACUCAUUUAGUAAUUACAAAAAUACCUUCCAGAUUGGAUAAUCCGUAAAGCAUUUGCCAAUUAAAAAUUACUUAUGGAUUGCGUAAUCCGUACGUCAAAUUUUAACAGAACAAAUGAAUUCCGGAUUAGGUAACCAAUAAGACAUAUUUUAAGUUAUAAAAUGACUUCCAGAUUGUGUAAUCCAUAAUUCAUUUAGUACCGAAUUACACAAUCUGGAAGUGUGAGUUUGGUUAAUUUUGGAUCCGAUAUACGUACAGAUUAACUAAUUUUAAUUUUGUGUUUUUCUUCCAGAUUACAUAAUACGAAACUUAGUUUCAGAGUUGGAAAAAUGUUCCAGAUUACCUUAUGCGGAACAUAUGUUCUAUUACAGAUUGAGUAAUCUGGAAUAUUAUUCCAGAUCUAGACUAAGUUUCGUAUUAUGUAAUUCAAAACAUAAUUUCUUCGCAUUAACCGUUAUGGAUUGUGUAAUAUGUUGAUCCAACAUAUUAACCAAUAUGAAAAUAAGCAUUUAAGGCACCAGAUUGAAAAACUUAACUAAGAAUGACGAGUAAACCACCAUGAACAACAUCAUCACACCACCACUACCGACACCACCACUAUUAUUGCCACCGCCACCACAACCGACAGAGCAACAACAAGAACUACAAACACUUUUUUUUUCACUCAAGUGACAAAAUGUAGAACAAAGCUUCUAUUUUUAUCUUUUUACUUAAAAACUAAUUUUAGGAUUUUUAAAAUUUAUGGAGGUGAUCUAUUCUAAUUCUAUUAUCAGCUAUGGGUUCGAAUUUAAGCGAAAUUCUAGAAAAUGUUUGUUAUCCUGAAAUUUUCGUGUCUUUCCUAAAUGAUAAGGAUAAAAAAAAAUUGGGUCAAAAGAAAAUGCCAUUUUGGAAUUUUAUCGACAAUUUGCUUGUGUUGGCGGAGAUCCAGUAUUUUCUGAAUCUUUAUGGAAAGAAUUAAAAAAAAAAAUUUCAACAAAGAUGUGAAUUAGGAAGAAUUGGUCGACGAAAUAUGAACCAAAAGCUUAAUCUUGAUAUACCCAGAACAAUACAUUGUGCCUGAGUAAGUGAUGAAGGUGCAGGAAAAAGCAUUCCUUUUCUUUCACCUUCAAUUGCACGAUCCAGUCACAUAAGCCUUUGUUAGUUGGACAUGCAAGCAUGUAACACUAUUGCAAAAGUGACUUCUGGACAAACAAAUCCUUUGUGUUCAGCCGAGUGGUUAUAAAUGUGUCAUGUUUCUGAUAUUUACAAUAAUCUUUCCCAAUAAUCUUACCUUGUUAGAAAUAAAAAUAAAAAUUAAGAGUCACUCCUCGUCCUUUCCAAAAUAAAAAUAAAAUUGUUAGUUUGACUAGCAUGAAAAGACACUAUAAUAAAAACACAAACAGAUCAUUAACAAUAUUAAUAUUAAUAAUAUUAAUAUUAAUAAUAUUAAUAUUAAUAAUAAUAAUAUUAAUAUUAAUAAUAUUAAUAUUAAUAAUAUUAAUAUUAAUAAUAAUAAUAUUAAUAAUAUGAAUAAUAUUAAUAAUAUGAAUAAUAUUAAUAAUAUGAAUAUAAUAUUAAUUAUAAUAAUAUUAAUAAUAUUAGUAAUAAUAUUAAUAAUAUGAAUAUAAUUUAUUUUAUUAUUAUUAUUAAUAAUUAUAUUAAUAUGUAUAAAUUAUAUAUAUGUUAAUUAUAAUAAAUAUAAUAAAAAUGAUAAUAUGAUAACAAAAAUUAUUUUUAUUUAUUAAAUAAUAUUAUCGCUAACUUCUGUUGGAGUGAUAUAGAGAAACAAAUAUAAAGCAUAUGCUAGAAGGUAGAAAAAAAGUAGAGAAAUCAGUUCAGAAGUUAGGAAGCAAAUACAUUUCUACUACGAAAAGAAUAAGGGACAUGUAUCAAUCCACAACAAAAUUAAUACUAAUAAGAAGAGAGAAAAAUGUACCUUACAUUUCUAAAUCUCAAAAGUCUAUAAAUUCUAAGUCUGAUCUCUUGGCCCUGAGGGAAGAAAUGAUAUUAAGAUGGGACACAUGUUGGACCAUCCAAUGUUUUUCUCCUCCAUUGAGUGCAGUGUUGUCCUUAUGUUCAAUAGGCAUUAACCAGAUUUCGAGGACUUGGAGUUUUUCUAAGUGAAGAAUGUCAGAGGGACAGUCUUGAGUAUUGGGUUUUUCUUUAACCGAAGCUUCUCCAAUGAAGGCAAUGCUCCUUCAUCAAUAAAGAUGGAUUCCAAGUCAUAAAAAUCUCAGAGCACCAGUUCCUUUAAGUUUCUGAAAUCCUGCAUUUUGAAAAUGCAAAGUUUCACCUUUAUAGGCCCUGGCCUUGAUAGAGAUGGACAACAAAUUUGGCAUAUCUUUCCGUAACUACAAAGGAUUGUUUGAUAAAUUGGUGUACAUCAAAACCAACUCCACCAUAUUUAGCAGCCAUGAAAAGUGUGCAAGUCAAUAAUUUCAUUGUCAACUGCAGCUAAUUCAAUGUCAUCCCAAAAUGUUUCAUUCCAUAUGCCAUCAAACAAAACAACAUACCUCUUAUUGCCGCAAGCAGUUUCUGACUUCUUAUAUCAGUGAUCUUUUUAUCCAUAGUAGUAGAAAGAUUCUGAGGAGGAGGAAGCUCCAUUUUUUCGUUGCAAAACUUGUUUUCAGAAUGAGGAGAAAAAAGAGUGGAAGCCAUGGAAGGAGCUUGAGCUCUUGAUACCAUGUGAGACAGAGGAAAGGGAAACUGAGGGAGAAUGAAAAGUAUUACACCACAAGAGAAACUAUAACUGACUAUUGUUGAGUAAUAGUUUCUAAAUCGUUACUAAAGGCAUCUUCCAUGCACAAAGCACCUUCUCUAAGUCGCAUCAACCUUUUUGUUCAUUCGCUCAGGCCUACUGUUACCUUCUUCAGCUUCAGCCACUUUAUCUGCAUCAUUGAUGAAAUCUUGAAAGCCUUCCAGUUCAUCUUUGACAUCUGCAACUUCUUUUGGGAGAUCUCUCAGCAUUUCGACAGCUUCCAAAACUUUGAAGCCACAUGCUGACCAGCAAAAGGACAAUGCAGUUUCUGCUAUUUUAGUUAUUUUUCUUUGUUUUCUUCUUGGUGAGUGCAAAACUUAAUGUUCUUCAACAUUAUAUAUGGCCAACUUUGAGUAUCGAUGCCCCAUUAUUUAAUAUGUUUUUGGCAAGUUCGACAUGCAGCUAGUUCAUUUGUUUUUUUACGAUUAUUACUUAAAUGGAUCAUGCUUGGGGUUGUAAUUGUACAAUUAAUAUUGGUUUUGGUCAUAAUAUUGUAAUGGCCAAAUUUAAGUGAAGUGACCAAUUUAUAAAGGCAUUAGAAACGGAGAUAAGCGAUCAUAGAAAAUGAGCUUCAAUUACAUAUAACAUCAAGUUGCAUUAAGGAUUCUUGACCCAAACUACAAGUUAGAUACACAUUUUGGAAAAGGAAAGAGGAAAAGAUAGAAGGAAGCCUAGAAAACAUUAUCAGAAAAUGAAGGGUCUCGCACUUUGAUACAUCAAAUCCAGAUCCACCCUUUCAAGGGUCGCAAGAGAGAGCACAUGAGGGAAUCUUCACUCAAAUCAUAUAGCUUCCCUAAAAUUCACAAUUAUACAGAAGUCAGUGGAACAUCUAGAAUUCAGAACAUUACAGUUAUCAAAAUCAAAUGUACAUAAAUUUAUAAUCUGCUAUAAUCAUAAUGGAAUACUAAAUUUACACUAAGUAUACACUUACAAAUACCACAAAAAGACUAAACUUCUUCCUAAAUCGCACGUUUCAAGUGUUUAUCAUGAUCACACUUAUGAACAUCUAAAGUAAAAAACGUGAUCAUGAGUUGAGGUAAACACCUCUCAAUUCUGAGCAUAAAUUAACACAAGAAAAGAUCAUAGUGGUGAAACUCAUAUAAUGCUAAAUACAUACCACGGAUCACAUAUAGCCAUAAUUGAUGCUCCAGUGCUGCUUUUUACCAAUGCGAUCAAUUUCCUCCACAAAUUCCAUUGGCAUAGAAGGGACAUCAAGAAAUUUAAGUUUCUUCAGAUACUGAAUGCCCACAGGUACAGUUUUGAGUUCAUCAAGGCAUGUCAACUCAAAAUAUUCCAAAGAAGGCAGUGCUGUGUCAUCAAUAUGGAUCGAAUUCAAGUUCCAAAGAUUUGAGAGAUUUAGCUUCCUUAGUUUCUGGAACCCUCCAGCUUGAAAAUGCAAAGUUUGACCUUCAUAAGCGUGGGUUAAAGAGAGAACCGUCAAACAAGGCAUAUCUUUUAGUGAUUUCAACGGAUCAUUGGUUAAGUCAGAGUGGCGUAAGGUCAAUCUCUCAAGAUUAUGGAGUUGAGGAAUCCAAUUUGGUAACCUUUCUAACUUCAUAUCAAGGAAAAGCUUCUUAAGUUUAAAAUUUGGUAACGUAAUGUUCAAGUCGACUACUUCACUGCGGUGAUGACCAGAUGUUUCAAUGCGUAGUGCCUGCAAGUGUUCCAUCUUCUUUAUUGAGGAGCAAAGAACAUUGUUGUGGUCUCCGCUGAAGCAAAGCACCCUCAGAUCCCUUAACUGCUUUAGCUUUCCCACCUCUCUAAUCGCCACUUCAUCAAACUCCACACGCACUUGUGGUAUCUUUUGUAGCAUUGUCAUGCCUCCAAUAUCCUUCCAUUCAAUUGAAGAAGAUGCACAGUUAGGUGUCAGAAGAUAUCGUAACUUUUGAAGCUUGGUGAUCUCCUUUGGAAUCUUACACACUUUUGUUUGUCGUAUAUCCAAGGUCUCCAAGUUCAGGAGCUUACGAAUGGAUUUUGGAAGACUUUCUAUCUGUGUUCCCCUAAAGCUUAAAUACCUCAGGUGGAUUAAAUUCCCCAACUUUUUAGGAACACAAGGUAAUCCAGAAUCUUCAUAAUCAAGUACCCUCAAUGGCAUAUCAUCUUUAAGAAUUUUGCUUUCCAAUUGGACAAACCAUGAUUCUUCUUGUUUUCCUGGAAUGGUUAUAAUUGACCGAAUGAGUGAGGUUUCAGUACUUCUAAUUACAUCAUUGGUUGCAAUUGUUAGACGUCGAACCAACCCACUUGACUCAGAUUUAUCAUGCCCACCAUCAAUAUACUCACAAAAUCUUGUAUCCUUGACUUUUCUAAGGAUCAUGCCAUGUAUUAAAUCAUGAACACGGCAUUUUUUAACUUUUCCUUCCAUGGAAAAUGAAGACACUUGCACCAAAUUUCUAUGGACCAACCCUAAUAAAUAUUCAUGUGCAAUUUCUUCUAAAGAUUUCGGGGUAUCAGGUGUAACAAAUCCUUCAGCUACCCACUGCCUAACCAAUCUAUCAGAUUCAAUUUCAUAGCCUUUCGGAUACAUUCCGAAAUACAAUAAACAUGAUCUGAGAUUGAUUGGCAAACUAUCAUAACUUAAACCUAUAAUUUCUGUUAUAUCGUUUAAGUUAGGAUUGAACUCUUCACUAAACAGUCUCCAUUGAGAGGCACUUUGUUCCUUUUGAGCCAAAAGACCACCAACGACCACUAUUGCUAGAGGUAAACCUUUACACUUCCUCACAAUUUCAAGAGAUAAGUCUUUAAGUUCUUCUGGAAAGCCUCCAGCGGAACCAUACUUAAAUGCUUUUUUGUGGAGCAAUUUCAAAGAUUCAUCUUCACUUAAAGGUUCUUCCAGCUUAUGCAGUUCAAUAAAAGAAGAUUUCUUACAGAACACCGCAACCAUCUGGUGCCUUGUUGUGAUUAUUAUCCUACUUUUAUUUUUAUCAUCAAUCAAAGCAGAUUGAAUGUCAUCCCAAAAGUUUUCAUUCCACACGUCAUCAAAUAAGAUAACAUACCUCUUCUUGUGCAAGCGAUCUCUGACUUCUUCUUCCAAGGAGCCUCGAUCCAUCUUAGAAAUAUUAGAAGGUGGAUCUUCCUUUCUUUCUUUGCAAAGUUUGUGUAUCAUAUCCCUCAACAGUCCUUCUACAGUGUAGGAUUGAGAGACUGUGAUCACUGCAUGGCACACAAAGUCGUCAUGGACCUUGUCAAAAACACUCUUGGCAAGAGUGGUUUUUCCAACUCCUGGAAUACCAACGACAGAAAUCACAGUGCGUUCUUCUCGUCCCUCUGUCAACCAAUCUUUCAAUAUCUUUGUAGGUCCAGCAAGGCCAACAACCUCCUCUUCCUUAAUAAGAAGAGGAUCCAUUUGAAGUUGGUGCAAUGUGACAUUUCGAUUUUCUCCAGAACUGUUUAGUCUUGUUUCUAAAGAAUAUUGGCUUUGAAAACUACCUUUUUCAUCACGAACAACUGAUUUGUUAUCCUGAAUCUUAUAUGCUAUUUGAAGUCGAGGGAUCAGGAUUUUGAUGUAGUGAACAGCCUUAGAGAGUAAAGCUACCCAUCGAGGACCAUCUUGAGGUUGUUUUUCUCUAACACGGAUCCAAUAUUCAUCAAUCACAUCUUCCAUGCGAAAAGCUGCUUCUCUCAGCCGCAUCAACCUUUCCUUCAUUCUUUCACGCCUCUUGUUAUCUUCUUCAGCUUCAGCCACUUUAUCUACAUCAUCGAUAAAAUCUAGCAAGCUUCCAAGUUCUUCUGUAAUCUCUGCAACUUCUUUUGGGAGAUCUCUCAUCAUUUUGACAGCUUCAAAAUGUUUUGGGAGCAUAUACUGGCGAGCAAAGGACAUCGCAGUUUCUGCCAUUUUAGUGUAGUUUUCAUCUGCGUUUUGCUAUGUGGUGGUGGUAGUGGUGAGUGCAAUACUUUAUGUGUUAACGUUCUACAACAUACCACAGUCCUUUUACUUCUAAUGUAUUUAAGCCUUCAAAAAUAUAAUAUAAGCAGAAUAAUCAUGAUGAACUUGUCUGAAAUUGUGUCUCCAAUUUUUUAUUGAACCUUAGCAUAUUUUAAAAUUAACAACGAUUAAUUAAUUCUUUUAAUAAAAUUUCAAAUUGAAUAAAAUAAAAUAAAAGUAAUUCAGCCUACUUUUAUUCAUGUAAUUGCUGUGCACUGUUUAGGCGAAACAGACUUUGAGUUUUCAACAUCUUUAUUAAAUGUUUCGUGUUUUGCUCUUUUUCCUAUUUAUUUUGCCGUACUAAAGCAAGAGGGGUAGUUGUACAAUUGAUUGUACUUGCCAUAGGUAGUAGUUAUACACACUUAAUGUCCUCCUUAGUAGGUUGUGUUGCUAAUAGUCGUUUAAAGUACUUCAAUAGUCAAUCCUUAUACAAGUUCUGGUGUAAGCAUCUACAUCAUAGAGAGAACUUGGAAUUUAGCUCCUUUUUUAAAGAAAGAUUCUGGGUAAAGGAGCUUAGGAUAAAAUUACUUCCAUUUUGGUGACUUCAAAACACAAUAAAAAUGUAUUCAUUUUGCAACUCAAUUCUUAUUCAAUUAAAGAUCAAGGGACAAGUGGUCUUAUUUAUAGAUACACAAGUCUUUUACACUUCAUAUUGUAUGGAGUGUAGGACUUAACACUAGUGCAGAAACAUAAAACAAGUGCGGCUAUUUCGAAUUUAUAAAUGCGGUUUUAUAGGCGCAUUUGAUCAACACGUACUUGUAAAUCAAGAAAUAUAAAUGCGGCUAUAUAGCCGCAUUUAUAAAUACCAUUUACAAGUGCGGCUAAGUAGCCGCACUUGUAUAUGCCAAAUCAUUAAAAAAAUUUAAAACAUCGUCAAUCUUGUGUGAAGGCAACGUUGAUGAAGAAUCACGGGAGCUAUUGGCGACAGCAGAAGCGACGACAGACAGGGAAGCAGCAACGGAGCAAACAAAAAAACCCACAAGAACCCACGAAGACAAUGAAAGAGUACUAAGCAAUGCAAGAAACCAAACAAUGUAAGAAAAACGAAUGCCAGCCAACGAAACAGUGCUUCGAGACCACCAAUGCAAGGAAAGAAACAUAUAUAAGAAAAACGAAAAACAUCUAUGCAUAUAUUUGUGAAGAUGAAGAGGAAGAAAGAGAGUUUAAGAAACUUACAUUGCACAAAUGGAAUGCAGAUGCAGCAGAAGGAGACGAACUCAUAGUGCGAACGCGAAACGAAGGCAAAGACGAGAAAGAAAGUAUGAAAUUGUGUGUGGCGCGCUUCAAAAUUUAGGGUAAAAAAGGAUUUACGAAUGCGGCUAAAGGUAAAACCGCAUUCGUAAAUCAAAGAGUUUUGAUUUACAAAUGCGGCUAUACAAAUAGCUGCAUUCGUAAAUCAUGUGUGGCUAUACAAAUAGCUGCAUUCGUAAAUCAUGUGCGGCUAUACAAAUAGCCGCAUUCGUAAAUCAAGUACUUUGAUUUACAAGUGCGGCUAUAUAAAUAGCCGCAUUCGUAAAUCAAAAUAAUUUAAUAAAUGUCACCGCAUUUUUUACGAAAGCGGGUAACGCAAAAGCCACACUAAAUAAAGAGUAUCAUUUUUUUCUUUUUGCACUAGUGUAAAAUGCAACACAAGGUUCCACAUGAGAGCAACUUUGGCACAUCCAAGGGAGAGGAGGAGUGGCGCCUCAUUUUAGCCUAUUUUGGCCAUGUUCUCCAUUAUGUGGGACUCCAUGUGUGUUGGUCGAAGUUUGACUAGCUCCUCGAUUUGCUUAUCCAACAAGGACCAAUUAGGGUUAUGGUUCUACAAAAUGCAGAGAAAAAGGCCUACACUUUUAUAAAGAAAAUCUACUAUUAUACAAUGUGUACAACUGAGAAGAAAGAAAAUUCUAAUAUUCUCUUUUUAAGUGUAGAGUCUUCCUCAUAAGCCUUCAUCUUCUUCUUUCCUCUUAACCAAAGAUAUAGGUGUGGUGGUGUGGUGGUUGGAUGAUUUUCAUAAUUCUCUCCCUCUUGAAAAGGAUUUAUCUCAUUAUUUGAUUGAUGUUUAGUGACAACAACUUUUAUUAGUUAUUUCUUUUUAUUUUCCUCCUAAAUCGAACAUCUAUAAUAACAAAUAAAAUUUGAAUAAGUUUCUUUACUAACAAAAUGUGUUUAAAGAAAAUAACAAGAAAAUAAGGCUCUAUAUUAUUUUUGUAAAAGUUUUUAUUAGAAAAAUUAAGGGCCUAUGUUUAAAAAACAUUUUUCUUUUGUUUUGGUCAUUACCUUAUGCUUUGCAAUGUCAAAAUAGAAUGUUGUUUUUGAGAUUUUUGUGAAUACAAGUCAAAAUUAUUACCUUUUUGUGAAGUGUUCAAAAGCAUGCAUAUUCUCUUAAAAUUUUCUUUUCUAUGGAUUUCUCUCGGAAUUUGUUUGUUUAACUCUUUGUUUCUACCUAAUAAGUGUCAUAUUUUAGUAAUAUUUCAUAUUAAAAUAUAGACACUUAGGAGUAUUAAUUGAUAAAAUAAGUAUAAUAUAACCUCUAAUUUAUUUAAACAUUUUUACAUAUUUGUGAUAUGAAUUUGAAUAAGAAACAUUUUUACAUAUUUUGUGAUAUUAAUUUGAAUAAGAACGAAUUAUUCCCAAAUUUAUGUUAAUUUCAAGAUUUUAUGGAAGAAUGGAGAUGAAAGGGCAAAAGGAGAAUAGACAAAGUUAAGAAGGGAAAGCUGAAGUGCACCAACACUCACCAAAGCUCGCCCAAGCUCACUCAAGCCAGAAGUUCCCAUAGAAUCUCGCUCAAGCGAGCUCAAUCUCGCCCAGGUUAGAUCACUCCAGUGACAUUGGGGCUUUUUUUUGCAACUCGCCUAGGCAAGUCCAAUAAUGCACAUGCGAGAAGUCAUUUAACCCAAGCCCAACUAAGUUAGAUAUGAGGCAUGAGACACCACCCUAGACAUUAUCAAGUGGAUUGUCAUUCAAUUGGGAUAAAAGUAAAUUACUUUUUCAGUUUUAUUAUAAUUAUCAAGUAGCAAAUGUUUUAAAACAAACUAUGAGUUAUAAUUGAUAAAAAAAAAGUAUAUUGCUGUAUUUUUAAAAAUUAAGAGAUAUUUGAUUAAAUAUUAAAAAAAAUUAUUAAAUAUCAACUAAAUUUAGAGACAAAAAAUAAUUUGUAAUUAACUAAAUUAGAUACUAUUUUAGAGACUAAAAAAUUAUUUAUAUCUAAAGUGAUUUUUAUUAUUAAUAAAAUUUAUUAAAUUAUUUCUAAAUUAGUAUAUAUAUUAGCUAUCAAGGUUCAUGUUAUUAAUCCUUUAGAUUCUAAAUUAGAUUCUAAAAUAUUAAUAAAGACUAAUUUAAAAUAUAAAAUAGUAAGUAGAAAAAAAAAAUUGUAGUUCAUGAUUAGAUACCAAUUUAAAAAUUAUUUUAUAAAUUUGUAUUGAUAAUGGAAAUUAUUUUAGAUAUCAAUAAUUUUUUAUUUUAUAAAAUGGUCUUUAGUUUAGUUAAAUAUUAACUAAUUAUUUUAAUUUUUAAAAUUAAUUUUUAUUUAAUGAUUUUUCUGUAAUAAAUCAUUCUAUUGAUAGUGAAAAAUUAAAUUAAAUAAAUAAUAAUAAUAAAAGAGUAAUUAAGUCUACUUUUAUUCAUGAUAUUGUUCCAGCAAAUUUUGUGCAUCUACGUGACUUUGAGCUUUCAGCAUGUUUAUUAAAUGUUUUGCGACCAGGUUGUGUUUUUUUUUUUUCCUAUUUAUUUUGUGGUACUUCAAGACCGCUAAAUUGUAUUUAUUGUAUUUCUCAGAUAGUAGUUGAUUCAAUUAAUUUUGUCAGGUGGUAGUUUUACAGUUAAUAGUUUUUUUUACCCAUCAAAAUUUUGAAAAGAUUUUUUUUUUCUUUAACUUUGAUUUUUAAAGUAAUCUUCAUAUUUUGUUUUCUCUAUUUCGUGUGUUAUUUAAGUUUUUUUAUAAUUUUUUAAAUUAACUUCCAUUAAGUUCUCUCAAUAGAAUAAUUACAACUUUAUUUUAAUAGUACUUUAAAUAUGUGCUCACAUUGAUCUAAAUUCUUUUAUUAUGAAUUAUAAAUUAGUUAGAUAAAAAGAAUAUUAUACAUCUAUAAACCAAUUCGACGCGAAAAUAAUUCUAAGUAUAUAAUAUCUAUUUAUAAAACGGAUUAAAUAUGUUUUUCAUCUUUGUACAAGUAAAAUUGAUUUUCAUUCUUAAUCUAAAUUUUAGACUUUUUAGUAGUAAAAAAAUUAUUGGAAUGAGUCAUUACAAACUUUAUUAAGUGGUAAACGAAUUUUCAAUAUGGAAUAGGAUGUUAAAAUAUUUCAUAUUAACUCAUCAUUAACAUGAAUGUUAUAAUAUUAUAAUAUAAUCCAAAUUAAAAAUUUGUUUGUCAUGUAAAAACAAGAAAUUGAUAAAAACUUAUUCCAAUAAUUUAUUUACUACAAUUGUAUCAGUAUCUUGAAGACUAAAAUUAAGACUAAAAAAAACUUCAUGUUACAGGAAAGAUAUGCAUUGUUUUCGGUUUAAAUACAAUAAUUAUAAAUAAUGGAAAAGAGGAAUGAAAUUUUAGUAAAAAAAAUCAAUUAUUUUUCUUAAUAUAUCUGUGACGGAAGAAAUGAAAUGGAGAGAGCACUAGUUUUUAUUUGUGCAUUUUGUGAUGCCGAAAUAAAAAUAGUAAAAUAUAAAUUUUGAUAUGGUGAAUUGCAAAGGUUAGUGUUUGCUCCAAGCUUAUAUUAAUUAUCCAAGCUAAGUUCACAUGAAUGCAUGCAUCAAAAUUAAUGAACUUUGAGAAAUAUCAAAUCACACACUUUUUGACCUUUGGUUUAGUGAAAAUCUUCAAAACUAAUGAUUUACUUAUAGUAAGAAAAUAUAUACAAACCUUGAGAUUAUCAUUGACAAUUUUUCAGGAAUGAAACAUAAACCGGAUAAAAAAAAAAUUAUUUUUUAUAAAGGUGAUUAACAAAUCACUAGGGUCAAUAAAGUAUUGACUAAGAACAAAUUAAAAUUGAAUUGAGGUAGAAAAAAAUUAUAAAGCAUCGUUGAAGAAAUUUGAACAACACCAAUAUAUACUACACGAAUAACAUAAUGACCACGUAACACAUGGAUUUUAUUAGUAUCACUUUUUUGUUUUCUACUUCUGUUUUUUGUGUACCAACACGUUGCCGGAUAAGAAGAGGAGUUUGUUUUUGCCUAUUUAUUUUGUGGUACAUCAAGAAUCAGUAAAUUGCAUUUAUUGUAUUUCUCAGAUAGUAGUUGAUUUAAUUAAUUUUAUUUGUCAGGUGGUAGUUUAACAGUUAUAAUAGCUUUUUUUACCCAUCAAAAUUUUGAAAAGAUAUUUUUUUCUUUAAAUUUGAUUUUUAAAUUUCAUAUUUUGUUUUCUCUAUUUAGUGUAUUAUUUAAGUUUUUUUAUAUUUUUUAAAAUUAACUUCCAUUCAGUUUUCACUACAAGAAAAUCAUAAAAUAGAAACUAAUUUUUAAAGACAAAAAAUAAUUAGUUGCAAUAGUAACUAAAUUAGAGAUCAUUUUAGAAACUAAAACAAAAUUUGGUUUCUAAAUUAGUUUCUAUUAUUAUUAAAUAGUUUUUAAAUUGGUAUCUAAUUAUAAAUCAAAGUUUUAACUACCAAUUAUUUAGUUUCUAAAUUUGAUAGCAAAAACCUUGGUCAAAUAUAAAUUAAUUUUAAAAAUAAAAAAUAUGUCAUAAUUUUCAAUUUAAAAAUAUACAUUUGUAAAAAUAUGUCAUAAUUUUCAAUUUAAAUAUGCAAUAAUAAUUACAAAUUAUAGAAAUAGAAAAAAGUAUAAUGAUAUUGUAGUAAAGAGAACCAAUUAUUGGAUUAAAGAGAACCACCAGGUGCAAUUGAGUAGGAGACCUUAGAGUUUCCAUCAAUGAGAUUUACGAGAGAAAACAAAAAAAUAUUAAAAUAAAUGCCAAAAUAUCACCAAACACAUCAAAAUGAAAUAAAUUAAAUUAAGCUAUAAAAUAAAUUAGAAUAAUCAUCUUUAACAUGGAAGUAGAAAACAUAUAUGCAUGAAUCAAAGUUAAGUAUAAUGCAAUUAAGGAAUAAAAAAAUAAGAGUAAAUCAUCUGCGAGCAUUUUGAGAAUAAUUCUCAAGAUAAAUUAAUAAAUAUAAUGAAAAAAAAUAUUAUAAGAAAAAAUUAUUAAAUAGAAAAUAGUUUUAAAAGAUUAAAAAUAAUUAGUUAUUAUAUUGAUUAAAUUAGAUAUUAUUCUAAAAAUUAAAAGAAAUUAUUUAUAUCUAAAUUAGUUUAUAUUAUUGAUUUUAAACUUUUAUAUAUAUAUAUAUAUAUAUAUAUAAUUAGUUAACCAGAUUUUACUUACAAAUUUUAAAAUCUAACUAAUUGAAAUAAUAUUAGUAAUAAACCUCAAGUUUAUAGUUUGAGUGAGAAACCUUUUUCUUUAGUGAAAGCCCUAACUCCUUAAAAAUUUACAAUUAAGACAAGAAUUACAGUAUCUCCAAUAAUGUUGCUUUAUUAAAUCCAAUUAUAGUCUUCCAAUUUUGAAAUGGUCAAGAGAGAAUAAGAUAACUUAUGGUGAAGUGAACAAUUUAUGAACUCAUUGCGAUCACAGAAAUAAACACCCCUCAAAAUGCUACAUUUUUAUUCAUUAUAUUGUUUACUGAUAAAAUAAAAUAAAAUGAACUUCAAUUACAUAAAAACAUCAAGUUCCAGUUAGGAUUCUUCACCCCAAACUACAAUUUAGAAACACAUUUUGGAAAAGAAAAGAGAAUGAGAAAGAAGGAAGCUUAGAAAACAUCAUCAGAAAAUGACGGCACUUGCACUUUGAUGCAUCAAAUCCAGAUCCACCCUUUCAAGGGUCGCAAGAGAGAGCACUUGAGGGAAUCUUCACUCGUAUCAUAGCACACCUAAAAUUCACAAUUGUAUACAAGUGAGUGGAACAUCUAGAAUUAAGAACCCUAAACCCUAAAGAACAUCAAUUAAAGUUAACACAAUCAAAUGUACAUAAAUUUAUAAUGUGCCUAAAUACUAAAUUUACACUAAGUAUACACUUUCACAAACACCACAAAAAGACUAAACUUAUUCCUAAAUCGCACGUUUCAAGUGUUUAUCAUGAUCACACUUAUGAACAUCUAAACUAAACAACGUAAUUCAAGAGUUGAGGUCAACACCUACCAAUUCGAAGCAUAAAAUAUUAACACAAAAUAAGAUUAUAGUGGUGAAAAUCUUAUCAUGCUAAAUACAUACCACUGAUCACAUAUAGCCAUAAUUGAUGCUCCAGUGCUUCUUUUUACCAAUGCGAUCAAUUUUGUCCACAAAUUCAGUUGGCAUAGAAGCGACAUCAAGACAUUUAAGUUUCUUCAGAUGUUGAAUGCCCACAGGCACACUUUUGAGUUUAUCAAGGCAUGUCAACUCAAAAUAUUCCAAAGAAUAAAGUGCUCUCUUAUCAAUAAGGAUCGAAUUCAAGUUCCAAAGAUUUGAGAGAAUUAGCUUCCUUAGUUUCCGAAACCCUCCACGUUGAAAAUGCAAAGUUUGACCUUCAUAAGCGUGGGUUAAAGAGAGAACCGUCAAACAAGGCAUAUCUUUUAGUGAUUUCAACGGAUCAUUGGUUAAGUCAGAGUGGCGUAAGGUCAAUCUCUCAAGAUUAUGGAGUUGAGGAAUCCAAUUUGGUAACCUUUCUAACUUCAUAUCAAGGAAAAGCUUCUUAAGUUUAGAAUUUCGUAACGUAAUGUUCAAGUCGACUACUUCACUGCGGUGAUGACCAGAUGUUUCAAUGCGUAGUGCCUGCAAGUGUUCCAUCUUCUCUAUUGAAGAGCAAAGAAAAUUGUUGUGCUCUCCGCUGAAACAAAGUACCCUCAGAUCCCUUAACUGCUUUAGCUUUCCCACCUCUCUAAUCGCCACUUCAUCAAACUCCACACGCACUUGUGGUAUCUUUUGUAGCAUUGUCAUGCCUCCAAUAUCCUUCCAUUCAAUUGAAGAAGAUGCACAGUUAGGUGUCAGAAGAUAUCGUAACUUUUGAAGCUUGGUGAUCUCCUUUGGAAUCUUACACACUUUUGUUUCUCGUAUAUCCAAGGUCUCCAAGUUCAGGAGCUUACCAAUGGAUUUUGGAAGACUUUCUAUCUGUGUUCCCCUAAAGCUUAAAUACCUCAGGUGGAUUAAAUUCCCCAACAUUUUAGGAACAAAAGGUAAUCCAGAAUCUUCAUAGUCAAGUACCUUCAAUGGCAUAUUGUCUUCAAGAAUUUUGCUUUCCAAUUGCACAAACCAUGAGUCUUCUUGUUUUUCUGGAAUGGUGAUUAUAAUUGACAGAAUGAGUGAGUUUUCAGUACUUCUAAUUACAUCAUUGGUUGCAAUUGUCAGACGUCGAACCAACUCACUUGACUCAGAUUGAUCAUGCCCAGCACCAAUAAACUCGCCAAAACAAGUAUUCUUGACUUUUCUACGGAUCAUGUCGUGUAUUAAAUCAUGAACACAACAUUUUUUAACUUUUCCUUUCAUGGAAAAUGAAGACACUUGCACCAAAUUUCUAUUGACCAACCCUAACAAAUAUUCAUGUGCAACUUCUUCUAAAGAUUUCUGGGUAUCAUCAGGUGUAACAAAUCCUUCAGCUACCCACUGCCUGACCAAUCUAUCAGAUUCAAUUUCAUAGCCUUUCGGAUACAUUCCGAAAUACAAUAAACAUAAUUUGAGAUGGAAUGGCAAAUAAUCAUAACUCAAACCUAUAAUUUCUGUUAUAUCGUUUAAGUUACGAUUGAACUCUUCACUAAACAGUCUCCAUUGAUAGGCACUUUGUUCCUUUUGAGCCAAAAGACCACCAACGACCACAACUGCUAGAGGUAAACCUUUACACUUCCUCACAAUUUCAAGAGAUAUAUGUUUAAGUUCUUUUGGACAGCUUCCAGCGGAACCAUACUUAAAUGCUUUGUGGAGCAAUCUCAAAGAUUCAUCUUCACUUAACGGUUCUUCCAGCUUAUAUACUUCAACCAAAGUAGAUCCUAAGUACCCAAGUUCGUCGAGCCUUGUUGUGAUUAUUAUCCUACUUUUAUUUUUAUCAUCAAUCAAAGCAGAUUGAAUGUCAUCCCAAAAGUUUUCAUUCCACACGUCAUCAAAUAAGAUAACAUACCUCUUCUUGUGCAAGCAAUCUCUGACUUCUGUUGUCAACUGGUAUAGACUCAUCGUAGAAAUAUUAGAAGGAGUUUCUUUCUUGCAAAGCUGCUGUAUCAUAUCCAUCAACAGUUUUUCUACAGUGUAGGUUUGAGAGACUCUGAUCACUGCAUGGCAUUCAAAGUCUGCAUGGAACUUGUCAAAAACAUGCUUGGCAAGAGUGCUUUUCCCAACUCCUGGAAUACCCACAACAGAAAUCACAGUGCGUUCUUUUGGUCCGUCUUUCAACAAACGUUCCAGUAUGUUUGUUGGUUCAACAAGGCCAACAACCUCCUCUUGCGUCUCCAGAGGAUCCCAUCGACGUUGGUGCGAUGGAUUCCUUUUAUUUUCUCCAGAAGUGCUUGAUCUUGGUGGAUAUUGCCCUUUAAUAUCUUCAAUCUUAUUUGAUAUUUGAAGUCGAGGGAUCAGAGUUCGGAUGUAGUGAACAGCCUUAGAUAAUAAAGGUACCGUUGGAGGAACAUCUCCAAUACGGAUGUUAUAUGAGUCAAUCACAUCUUCCUCGAGAAAAGAUACUUUUCUCAACUGCAUCAACCUUCUCUUCUUUUCUGGACGUCGAGUGUCAUCUCUUUCAGCUUCAGCCUCUUCAUCUUCUUUAUCGAUGGAAUCUCGCAAGCGUACAAGUUCAUAUUUAAUCUUUUGAACUUCUUCUGGGAGGCCUCUCAUCUUUUUGAUAGCUUCCCAAAGUAUUGAAAUCGCAAGCUCCGAAACUUUCCCCCGUAGUUCAUCUUCCAUUCUAGGGUAGUUGUUCUACCGUAGAUCGUCCACACUAGCUUGGGUUUCGUGAAAAAAGGUUUGUGAGUCAAAAGAGGAUGGAGGGCUCGAUGUGAUAAGUUUAAGGCGUUUUAACUUUGCUUUGUUGGACAAGUGGAUCUGGAGUUUAGGAUCCGAGAACACGGGUUUGUGGAAAGAAGUUCUAGAUUCAAAAUAUGGUGGUUAGAGGGAUCUUUGAAGUCGAAGAAAAAGCAUAACAAAUUCUCUUUGGUGGAGGGAUUUGAAAGAGGUUUGGUCUCUUGACGAGUGGAAAAACAGUUUUGAGGAUACUUUUUCUUAGGAGGUAGGAAAUGGGAGGGAGAUAAGGUUUUGGGAGGAUAAAUGGGUAGGCAACCUGAAUCUCAAGGACGCCUUUCCGAGACUUUUCACCAUCAGCUCCAACAAGGAUUUGUCCGUUUGGCAAGGGGGCGAGAGGUCACAAAACUCAUAAUGGAAGUGGAAGAUCUAAUGGAGAAGGAAUAUGUUUGAAUGGGAAAAGACUCAGGAACAUUAGUUGAUGCAAGUAUUGGGAGAUCAGAGGGUAAAGCUGGAUAAGGAUGAUUUUUGGGUUAGGAAAGACAAAAGGGUCAGCAGUGUUCACGGUAAAAUCAGCGUACAAAGUUCUUAAUGAUGAUGUUCUUGGGAUUGAAAGGGAAUUGUAUGGAGAUUUCUAGAGGCUGAAGGCACAACCAUCUUCACAUCUCACAACAUGGAGGGUUCUAGAAGACAAAAUAGCGUCUAAAUCAAACUUGGUUAGAAGGGGGUUAUGCAUGAAUACCAGUGUUGUCUGUGCGAGGAGGAAGAGAAAACCACAUCCCAUCUUUUGUACACAUGUAGAGUAGCUUGGCUCAUGUGGUCUAAGUGGAUGAGGUUGGCAACGACGGAUCAUAGGGAGCCAAAAAUUCAUUUUAAAAGCUUAAUGAUGAAUGGUGUCAAGGAAAGUGUAAAUCAAAUUUGGGGCGGUGUGUGGAUAGCAGUUGUAGGAGAAUUGUGGUCACAUAGGAAUAAGAGGAUUUUCAGAGGAGGUAGGGUCGAUCGCAUUGAAAUUUUCACUAUGGGUCAAAUGAAGACUUGGUCUUGGAUUACGUCUAAAGCGCACGAUGUAAGUUUUUCAUAUUCAAAUUGGUGUCUUGAGCCUUUGUUUUGUAUGAGGUCAGUUAAAGUUCCUAGGAGAUAAGUUUUUGUUAAGAGGUUAGAAUAUUAGAUUCUCAUACUUGUACAAGGAUCGAGGAAUCACUGAAAUACCUUUUAUUUAUUAAUUUGUUUUUCACUUAAAAAUAAAUAAAAAUGGUGAGUGCAAAGCUUGGUGUUGUUAUAUAGCAAUGUUAAGGUGAAAGUGGUGAGAAAUAGACUAUGAAUAAUAACCAUGGGAUUAAUCUUUACUUGAUAAUACCAUUUUACACCUUCCACGACAUGCCACGCUCCUUUUACUUCUAACGUAUUUAAACCUUCAACAUUAUAGAAACUUCUAUGAUGUAGGCAUCUUCAAUAUAUUCUCUUUAUCUGUCCCAUUCUUGACUAAUUUUCUUUUUUUUUCAAUUUAAUGUAAAAUUAUGUAAUAAUCUGACAAUUUUCUAUCCAACCAGAAGUACAGUUUUAAUAAACAAAUAUUAAUAAUUUCAGUUUACAUAUCAUAUUUUAUAUUGUACCGUUCGGAGUUGGACAAUCCAGUCGCACUCGGUAUCAAAGAUCAUCCAACCGGCUAAUGUAAAUAUAUAAAGAUAGAGUUAUAUUUUUAUAAUGAUACACACUAAAUAUGGUUCAUUAAUAAUAUCGUUCAUUACAAGCUAUAUAAAUAUUUAAUUACCUUAUUCGUCCCUAUAUUUAGGGCCAAUAUUCAAUUUAGUACAGUGGUUUUUAAAAAAAUCAAUUUGGUCCUUAUGUUUUUCAAAAUGUAUCCAAAAUGGUCAUUUCCGUUAAAUCUCAAUUUACUACGUCAAGUGUUGCUUAUGUGGUAGAGAGAGGGGCUUAUGUAGCAUAGAGAAUGGCUUAUGUGGCAGAGAGAUGUGAGUUUUUUCUUUCUCUUUCAACCCUGCCUUCAAGCUCACUUCGCCGGGGGCAGCCGGUUCCACUUCUCCUUAACCGUGGCUUUGUCCUCAUUCACGAGUCUAUGUACAACAGGAUCGUCGGUGGUGAUGACUUUGAAGAAGUUCUGAUUCUUGAAACACUCAAAACGACGUUCAUUUUUGGAGGUGAUGCGAUCAUAUGAACGAUCAUAGUAUUCGAGAGCGUUGAAGGAGAGCUUAGAGAAUGUGGAGAACGGGAUCUGGUCAUGCAUGUUCUAUCGAUUGGGUAUACAUAGAGGGAUUUGAAAACCGCAGCUUCACGGCACGGCGCAUUAGGGUUUGAGUGGUUUACAUGGUGUUCCACUUAACGUCGUUUCAUGCGAUUUAACAGAAAAGACCAUUUUGAAUAUAUUUUAAAAAAUAUAGAGACCAAAUUGAUUUUUUUAACUAUACUAAAUCGAAUAUUAGUCUUAAAUGUAAAGACGAAUAAGGUAAUUAAAUCUUAUAUAAAUAAACAUGUUAUACAAGAGAAAAAUAUGUCUUUAUUACUAUAUUAUCAGCACUAAAUACUAAAAUAGUUAUAUUAUUAUAUUAUUAAACUAGUUAUAUUAUAUAUUUUAAAUAUUUUAAAAUUUGAUUAAAAUCCCAAAAGAAUUAUAUUGUUAUACUUUUAAUAAAAUAUCAAAUUAAAUAAAUAAUAAAGUAAUUAAGUCUAUUUUUAUUCAUGGUUUAUUGUAUAUUUAAGAAAAUGUUUCGUGGUUAGGUCUUUCGUAUUUAUUUUGUCGUACUAAGUAGUAGUUGUACAAUUAAUUGUAUUUAUGAUAGGUAGUUCUAAUAUUAAUUGGACUGGUUAGCUUUCAAACAAAUUUUACAUGUCGGUGGUAUGUGUGGCAUGUUUUACUAUAUAAUAGUUGUUUAGAGUUUUUACCACGUUAUGAAGCUCGGACACUUCUUUUAAAUGACGUGUCGGUGUCCGAUACCGGACACCGACACUCGUAUGACAUCUAUAGGAUAGGUAUUCGUGAAGUGUCCAAUUCAAAAAAUAUUUGUUAGAUUUAUGACAAUUCUAAUACGGUUCUAACACAAUUUUAAAAAAAGGAAAGUAUAUUAAUUUUCUCAAAAUUUAAACUUUAUUGUAUAAAUUGUUAUUAUGAUUAUAAAAAUAAGAAACAAAUCCUUGUGAACCAAUCAUGAAAAACAUCUUUCUACUCCAAAAAAUAAUCUAAAACAUGUUUGUGUACAUAAAUCUUUAUUAUCAAUUUAUAUAAUUCAUAAUUAUAUAAUAUAUAGAUCUGUGUCCUACAUUAGAAAUUUUACGUAUCUCCAUAUCCAUAUCUGUGUCGUAUCAAUGUUCGUAUGCGAUAUAGUCACGUUGCUUAUAGCUAGUUUUUAAACAAAAUUAAUUAUAUUUAAUGUAUAUAAUAGUCGCUUAGAGUAUUUAUAGUUAAGUUUGAAACAAUAUUAAUCAUAUCGACAUCUCGGUUACGUAUCAUGGUCCAUCAUAAAUGUAUAUAAAUUGACACUAAAAAAAGGUAAAAAAGUAAGUGAAAUAACAUAAAUAAUCUGCUUUAACGCAAAAAGGUCUUGAAAGUUGAAAUUUCUUUGCAGCUACACACGUCUUCACUUGUCGAGAUGUGUUGACUGGAAAAUCAAAGACAUCGUGAGCCGCAUACUGUGAUCAGAUCCAAAGAUAACAAGCUACCCAGAUUUUAGCAGGAGGAAGGUGAAGUGUCAGUUAUUCUGAGCCGAUUAGAGGAUAUUUGAUCUUUUUACACGAUUCUUGCAAGAAUAUUUUGGCGCCAUUGUGAGUUGAAGAUGAUUAGCUAUAUGGUUACCACGAGAGAAAAAGCAAGUUCUGGAGGCCAAACCAUUGGCGUUGAUCAAGGAGUUGAGAGAAGAAUUGAAGAGCUUGAAAAGGGAAAGCGCGAAAGAGGUAAACGCCUUGAAGGUAGAAAAUGCACACAAUAAGCAAAAAUUGAAGGCGAAGAUACCGAGCCACUCAAAUCCCUAAUAAUAAUUUCAGUUUACGUAUAAUAAUCUAUAACUAAUACAUAAUAAUAUUUUAUAUAACUAUAACGAUGACAAUUUUAUUAAACUAGGUAUAUUAUUAUAUUUUAAAUAUUUUAAAAUUUGAUUAAAUCUCAAAAGAAUUAUAUUGUAAUUAUUCUACUGGUCGAGUCCGUACGACUGAUAGAGAUCUCAGCAUUCGGUUAGAGUCAUCUGACAUGACCAAAUUCAUUAUUCCUUACAGAAGAUUAACAAAACUAAUCAAUGAUCAAACAUUAGGUAAUACACUUUUAAUCAUGAUCCAUAACCCUAAUCCGGCCCAAUAAAAAAAGACUCAUGAUAAUUAUAUAAAUAGGCACAAAUUUUAAGAAUCAUAUACGUCAUCAUGCAAUACUAAUAGUAUCGCUGAACACCCAAAUCUCACUUGAGCGUCGGAGUGCCUUUUGCACGUACCAUCCGAGUUUGAAGUUUACGAAGACGAGGAGUAAAGAAGUGAAAGGAGAACACGAAGACCAUCUCAAGAGGGAAGGAGGAAAGGUAGACCGACCGACUGAGAAGGAAGACAAUCGUUCUCUUGAUUCCAACCCUAUUCGAGAAUAAUUGGCGGCCUUCGUGGGGCUAAUAGAAUUGGAAGAAAGAAGAAAUCAAAUGGUGUCAACCAGAAAUAUGGUGAAGGAUAGGACAUCGGGAGCUAAGCAUAUGAAACUGUUGAUGUCUCUACAGAGAGAAAUGGCUAAGAUGAAAAAGAAGAAUGAAGAGGAGAUUCUAGCUCUCCAAAAGGAAAAUGAAAAGAUGAAGAAGAAGUUGUCCGAUGGGGGUCUAUCUACCGGACCAAGCAAGACCUCGCCCACUGCCACUAAGACCGUUGAAGAGCCAAAGCCCACUCGUACCCAAGAAACCAUGGACGAUUCGUACUUGAACAAGCUAUUCCCUAUUGUUAGAAAAGAUGGCUUUAAACUAGAGGGGGGUGAAUUGUUUAAAGAGGGUUUUCGCAAACUUUUUAUAACUAGAAUGAAUUUAUCUCAGGAAACAAUUGAUUCAGAAAUUCAGUUCGCCAAAACAGCAAGCAAAAGCUGUAGUACCAGAAAAACAAUCGGUUGUUUCGUAGAAACAAUCGGUUGUUUAUACCAGCAAACAACAAAUAAACUGAAAUUAAAGAGUUAGAGAUAGAGAGAUUGCACACAGAUGUUUAUACUGGUUCACUCCAAACCCAGAGCUACAUCCAGUCUUCUCAGAAACCCUGAGGAAAUCCACUAAGCAAUCACACCUUGAUCACUUACACAACAACCAAGAGAAUGACCUUGAACACCUCAAGAAACACACUCUCCUUGGUCAACUCACCAACACUAAGAUUGCUAAUCUUGAUCCCCUCAAGAACACACAGCCAAUCUCAACAAAGCACAUAAACGAAUACUUGUUCAACAGAGUACAAGGAUUACACUUGUUACAGAAGAUAAUCUGAAAUCAAUACAAGCAGAAUCCUAUUCCAUACACUUUGAUCAAUCACAAACUCUUCGCAAUCUCAGCUCUUUGAAAAACUCAAAACUCUUAGGAAAAACUUGUCAAAAGAUUCUUAAAUUUCCAAUCUGUUUUUUUUUUAAUAUAUUCAAAGAUAUAGUUUGUUAUCAAAUCUUAACAAACUCUUAAAUUGCAUUAAAAGAUUGGUCAAAACAUUUAAUGACUGGAGCGUUUGUUGUAGUUUGUUGUACCUGAUUAAAUCUGAAGCAGUUCCUGCAAUAGAACUUUGAGCAAAACAUUGAACUUCUGAUAUUUUGUUAGCACACAGAUAAACAGUUAAUAACCUUCAGAACUAAAUAUCAGAACAUAUUACAUAACCCAAACUGUUUUAUCAACUGAAAACAGAAACUUAAAACACAACAUAUUUCUCCCCCUAUUUGUCUUCACAAAUAAACAAAGAUAAGAUAUUAAAACAAGAUAUUGUUUAGAUUACAUCAGAAUUAAAGCAGCAACAACAGAAAGAAAGAAAUUUAAAAACCAGAUGUAACAGCUAGAAAACAAUCGAUUAUUUCGAUAACCAAUCGGUUGUUUUUCCUUCAUUCUUCUUCAUCAGCAAACUGAAGAUCAAAGAUUUGAUUCUGAACAGCUUCAAUCUGUUCAUCCAGAGUCAUGAAUCUUGCAUCCAUGUUGUUGAAUCUGUUAUCAAUNNNNNNNNNNNNNNNNNNNNNNNNNNNNNNNNNNNNNNNNNNNNNNNNNNNNNNNNNNNNNNNNNNNNNNNNNNNNNNNNNNNNNNNNNNNNNNNNNNNNNNNNNNNNNNNNNNNNNNNNNNNNNNNNNNNNNNNNNNNNNNNNNNNNNNNNNNNNNNNNNNNNNNNNNNNNNNNNNNNNNNNNNNAUCAGCAGGUUCAUCUUGUUCAAGAUUAGCAGCACCACUAGAUGAGGCACCAUGAUCACCAUCCUUGCUUAUCCAUUUUCCACCUACUUUGUAAAACCCAUCUUGCUGAGUGAUCCAUUGCUCAACUCUUGAGUUGACUUGACCAACUCAGAAGUUUCAUCUUCAAGAUUAACUUCAAAAUAGAGUAGAAAUUUAGAUAUCAAAACAGCAUAUGGAUAACGAUAAUCUCCUAACCUCGUGGCUUUUUGCAUGUGUUCUUUGAUGAUAUGGAUCCAAUUGAUUUUGAUUUUCUUGGUGAUGCAGAAGAUAUAAACCAGAUCUUCUUCAGUUAGCACAGAAUUAUUACUCCCCCUUGGAGUUAGAAUCCAAGUUACAAUGAGAGCAAGCAAUCUCUCAUCAAGCUUCAAACCUCCAACCGAGCAUGUACUAACUUAAGCAUGUUUAUUCUUCAAGCAACUUUUGUAGAAUUGGAUUUUGUUAAAAUCCUCCACCUCUCCAAGGUUUCCCUUGUUGAUUCUCAGACCAGAGAACUUAAGACCAGCAACAACAGUCCAUACAUCAUGAGAUAUCUCCAUUUCUACACCCUUCACAUGAGAAACUAGAUUGUUUCCCACAAACUUCAAGUUUGUGUAGAACACCCUCACCAAAUCUGGAUAAAUGUUUCCCUUCAUCUCCGGGAACUUUCUGAGAGAUUGAUCAUUAAGCAGCCUUCUCACAUUAUCAAGCUUUUGACUUUUCAGCCAAUCAAAGCAUACAACCUUGGGGUUUUUUAUCUUCUUGAUACUUGUUUCAUACCUAUACUUCUUAAUGAGAUCAUAGUCUCCAGAAAACCAGCCUUCUAGCCUUCCUCCAGACCUUACAGCCCUGGUUUUGACUCUUUUUGAGGUGGGAGGAGUUGAUUCCAUGAUGGCAGAGACGAAAACAGAGGAGAACUGACUUCACAGAUUUUUGCAAGAGAUGUUGCAAUUGGUUGUUCUUGUGGAAGAAAUCUGCACCAGAUUUUAUAGCAGUAAAAGAAUCAAUUUGAAUUUAAUUUCAUUCAAUGGGUACCUGGUUUUUAGAGAGGGAGAACUUGACUCUGCUUCUGCACAGAAAAUGUCAGAAAAAGCUGAAAAUCACAUGGUCUUCACAUGUGAUCUUUGACUAGUCAUUAAGGCUCUUGAAAUUCCAAGAUUUUGGAAUAUAUUCCUUUAUGACUGUUGUAACUUCUCUCUGAACACAAUCAGCUUUCAACACAGAUUCUUUGACCAAGAUUCUCUCUUUUGAAUUGAUCUGCAACGGAUAGAAAUUCAAAAUAGCAAUUAAAACAAUUUUUACAUAGUGUUGUCAGACCCAAAACAAUCGGUUGUUUCGAAGAAACAAUCGGUUGUUUUUCUGCAGCAGUUAAAAACUUGUUUUUGAAUUUUAACCAUGAGCAGAAGGAGUUCAAAGCAGAUGACAUUGAUUAUAAAAAGAUUGUUUAACCAUAAGAAAGAACUUUGAAACAGAAAUUAAGAACAAAUAAAGGAAAGUCUUAUCCUUAUGUUGAUUCUUCAAUGAGCAAUGUGCUUUAUGAUUAAGAAACUUCUUUUCACUGUUGAGGUCUUUUGCAUAGCAUUGAUUCAGCUUCUAUGACUGCCUUUUUCUUCAACAGCUUGAUCAGAUGACUCAGUCUCUUCUUUUUCUUUAGUUUUCCUGCAUAAAAGAUUUCAAGUUGCAAGAUUUGGUCCCCUUACAAAUUUGGGUCCUUUUGACUUUUCUUUGUAGUUAGAAACAUCACAUCCCUUAGGAAUCCAUUUCAUAAAACCUCUUGGAACAGAGUAUUUCCUUAUUUUACAGAACCUAACAGAGUGGCCUUUCUUCAUGCAGUAAAAGCAUGUAACAACCGGUUGUUUCGUCUUAACAAUCGGUUGUUUUUCUGAUUUUCUUGAAAAACUUUUUGAAAACUUAUCUUGCUUGUUUUGUGGAUUAAAGCCUAAACCAGCCUUUCCAAAAACACAGCUUUGAGAUGCCAAGACAUUCUCAAAGUUUGAUUUCCCCUUUGAAAGCUUGUCCACAGUUUUAACAAGAUAAUGAACCUUUUUCUCAACAUUUUCACAAUUUUCGCAAAUGAGUGUAUCACACUUGCACGAGGCACUUUUGAAAUGAUUUUCCAAUUUUUCAAAAUCACUUUUUGCUUUUUUCAGAUCCUCUUCAAGUGAUUUAACUCUCUUUUCAAGCCAACUGUUAAGAUCUUUCAAUCGGUUGUUUGAAAGAACCAAUCUAUUAGCUUCAUCAUGUGUUUCUUGAAAAGCUUCAAGCAAUUCACUGUAAUUUUGUUCAUUUAAGGAAGCACAUGAACUUACCUCACUUGAGCUGCAAGAUUCAUCAUCAUUUUCAGCUACCAAACAUAUGUUUGUUUUUUCAUCUUCACUUGAUGAAGAACUUGAUGAUGACACCUCAUUUUCAUCCCAAGCUAUGUAGGCUCUUUUUGUCUUGCCUUUCUUCUCCUUGUAACUAGUCUUUUUCUCUUUGCUCUUGUUUGGACAAUCAGCCUUUAUAUGACCUUGCUCACCACAACCAGAACAAGUAUAGUUAUUGGAAUUGAAUUCAUUGGGUUUCUUGUUUCCAUACCUAUCCUUGUUGUUGUCUUUGUUGCGGUUUCUGUUUAGGAAUUCGCUGAAUUUUCUUGACAGCAAGCUAAGGUUUUCCUCAUCAUUAUCAUCCCUGGAAUCUUGCUUUCCCUUGUGCUUGGAUGCUUUCAAGGCUAUGCUCCUUGUGUGCUUAUCUUCACUCUCUUGAACAUUGAGUCUAUUCAUCUCUAGCUCAUGUUCCCUAAGCUUUCCAAACAAAGAAGCAACACUUAAUGAUGUUAGAUCUUUAGAUUCGGAAAUAGCAGUUACCUUUGGUUGCCAUGCUCUAUCAAGACAUUUCAAGAUCUUGAUGUUCAGCUCUUCUUUAUCAAUGGUCUUGUCUAGGCUCAUAAGGUGAUUGAUGAUGUGCGUAAAUCUUUUCUGCACUUCAGCAAUUGUUUCUCCUUUAAGCAUUCUAAACAUCUCAUACUCUUGGAUAAGAGCAUGCUUUCUAGCUCUUUUCACCUCAUUUGUUCCUUCAUGAGUGACUUCCAAAGUGUCCCACAUUUCUUUUGAUGAUUUGCAUUGCGAGACCCUGAAAAACUCGUCAGAAUUUAAAGCAGAUGUUAUAAUAUUUUUGGCAAUGCAAUCGAAUUUGGCCUUUUUGCUUUCUACAUCAGUCCAUUGAGACCAUGGUUUCUCAAUGACAGAUCCAUCCUUUUCAAACUUUGGGAUAAAAGGACCAUUUUCAAUUGCAUCCCAAAUUCCUUUGUCAAGAGAUUCCAUAAAUAUUUUCAUUCUUACUUUCCAAAACUGGUAGUUCAAACCACAAAACAAAGGUGGUCUGUUAAUUGAAGCACCUUCCCCAAAAGGUAGUCUAUCAGCCAUUAAAAAGAUUUUUAGGAUCAACUUGAAUAACUUUCAAGAACCAAGCUCUGAUACCAAUUGUUAGAAAAGAUGGUUUUAAACUAGAGGGGGGGUGAAUUGUUUAAAGAGGGUUUUCGCAAACUUUUUAAAACUAGAAUGAAUUUAUCUUAGGAAACAAUUGAUUCAGAAAUUCAGUUCGCCAAAACAGCAAGCAAAAGUUGUAGUACCAGAAAAACAAUCGGUUGUUUCGUAGAAACAAUCGGUUGUUUAUACCAGCAAACAACAAAUAAACUGAAAUUAAAGAGUUAGAGAUAGAGAGAUUGUACACAUAUGUUUAUACUGGUUCACUCCAAACCCAGAGCUACAUCCAGUCUUCUCAGAAACCUUGAGAAAAUCCACUAAGCAAUCACACCUUGAUCACUUACACAACAACCAAGAGAAUGACCUUGAACACCUCAAGAAACACACUCUCCUUGGUCAACUCACCAACACUAAGAUUGCUGAUCUUGAUCCCCUCAAGAACACACAGCCAAUCUCAACAAAACACAUAAACGAAUACUUGUUCAACAGAGUACAAGGAUUACACUUGUUACAGAAGAUAAUCUGAAAUCAAUACAAGCAUAAUCCUAUUCCAUACACUUUGAUCAAUCACAAACUCUUAGCAAUUUCAGCUCUUUGAAAAACUCAAAACUAUUAGGAAAAACUUGUCAAAAGAUUCUUAAAUCUCCAAUCUGUUUUUCUGAAUAUAUUCAAAGAUAUAGUUUGUUAUCAAAUCUUAACAAACUCUUAAAUUGCAUUAAAAGAUUGGUCAAAGCAUUUAAUGACUGGAGCGUAAGCAGUUAAAUCAUUUAAAGCUCAGUCAAACAUAAAACAGUUUUUUUGUUAUGGUCCCAAAACAAACAAUCGGUUGUUUCCUCGAAUCAAUCGGUCGUUUUGGUACUUAACAGUUCAACCAUUUUAAAAACAGUUUUCAAUCUUUUCCUCAAAACACCUAAGUAUAAACAAUCGGUUGUUUCGACAAAACAAUCGGUUGUUUUAACUUAGUUUGAAAACAUUUUACUUUCACAAAGAUUGAGAAUGCUAAUGCUUUAGAUUUAAUCAAAGGGUGGAUUACAACAUAUAAACUACCUCAGAACUAAGCCAAGGCAGCACAGCAACAUCAAGCAUAGCAGAGGCUUCAACAUCCUUCAAAGGAUUUGGAUUCUUCAAAACUUGACACCACUUGGUUCAACACCUAUGUCCGGCGCUUUGGACAUAUCUUGAAGACAUCCAUUCACUGACUAUGUGAUGGGAGUGCAGCUUCCACUCGUGUGGAAGGGACUGAACAUAGACCGUUACGACGCGAUGAUCGAUCCUGAUGAACACAUGGAUGUAUACACUACUCAUGAGUUUGUAUACCUCGGACAAUGUUGUUUUUAUGUCGAGUGUUCCCAACCUCGUUGAAGGGAGGAUCACUGAGUUGGUUUACCAGACUCCCCCUAUAUUCCAUUGACUGCUUUGAAGCCUUGGCGUCCAAGUUUGGAACUCAAUUUGCUACCAGCCGACCGCACCACCUCACAUUUAUCACUUUGGUCAACAUCCGGCAGGAGAAGAGAGUCUCUCCGGCUGUUUAUGGAAAGGUUUGGUGAGGUGACCUUAAACAUCCAAAAUUUAGUCUAGACAUGGUCAUGCAUCAUAUGGUCACAACCCUCCGACCAGGACUGUUUGCCGAUAGUUUGUGCAAAAAGCCGACAACAAAUCUAGACGAGCUCAGGCAGCGAGCAGCUAAGUAAAAUAGUCAUAAAGUUUUUGGUGUCGUUGUCGAAGAACAGUUUAAUUUUUUUUGUACAAAUCCCUAAAUAUUGUGAAUAUUUUAAUUGUUUUUUAUUUAUUUUUUAAUUUAUUUUAAUUGAAGAUGUUUUAGUAAAAAUUCCAACCGGUGUAAUAUGUCCUUGAGAGUGAAAAAAAAACUUUACAAAAUAAUAUAGACAUAUUACACUGGUUGGUUCAUUAUAACCGGUGUAAUAUGUUUAUUUACCCUUAUUUUGUUUCUCACGCUCUCAUUAGUCACUCGCGCUUAAAGUUAUUUCUCUCUUGCUUUCACCUCCAUCAUCGUUGUCGCGUUGCUGCCAACAUUCUGAAUCACUUUGUCACCGUUCUGAUUCGCUUUUGCCACUUCUUUCUCCCCUAUUGCAUUUGCUUCUCUUUUCUUCAAAUCUGCGUUUUGUGUUGUCUUUUUGUUUUCGUUUUGCUAACUCUUUUUCGAUCUCAGGAUGGAGCCUAUGGACAUAGUUGGAGAAGCCAAAGAAGUUAUUUCGCUUCCUAAAAGUAUCUCGCUAGACCUUUUUUUUCUCAUAUUUGUGACUUUAGAUGCUUAGUUGAGGAUAUUUCUAUUUUUUUAUAUGUUUUUUGAAAAAUCAUCCUUUUUGCAGCCACAAUGACCAAAAUAUUAAGAGAUGUUGCCCUCGGACGUGUGUGUUGCCAGAGAUGCGCAUGAUUUGUUGAUCGAAUGUUGUGUCGGUGAGGCUUGAAAUACGAAAACCCUUUUUCAAAUUUCAUUUAAUUUAUUAUUGAGUGGUAGUCUUCUUUUUUAUUUUAAACUUUUUUUUGUGUGUUUCUCUUCUUUUUUUAGGUUUAGUGAUCUUUUGUGUAUUUUUUUUCUGUACUAAUGGUGUCUGUGUUGUACACUGUUUUGUUGUUUGUGUCAACUGUGAUUUUUUCUUUUUUUUAGAUUAUGAUUAAAUGGUGUUUUGUUUUUUUUAUUUCACCUUGGAUGUGCACGAUUUGUUAAUUGCACAUUGGUCUUGGUUGAAAAGGGACAAAGGGAAGGCAAGAAUUUUACUAGAUCGUAUUUUUGUCCUGAUGUGAAAUGAAAAUAUGAAUUUUAUGGUUGAUGGUAAAUGCAUUUUUUAUUUUUUUUUAUCAGCAAUAAGGAUUGAAUAACAGGAACCACUUAAGGGGUGAUUCAACCCUUAUACAUACCUAAAAAAUAUGAGACAAAUUCACUGGUCUCCCAAACCAACAAAUAGAGAGACAAACAAAUCUACCACUAUAAAACCCGUACAAUUCAAAACUAACUCGUACAAAUCUACCACUAUAAAUGCAUUUCUUAUUGUUGUGUUGUAUUUUAGUAAAGUUAUAAAAAAAAAAAACUCUAACAUAUUACAUCGGUUGUGGCCUUAACCGGUGUAAUAUGUGGACUAAGUAUUUUAACUUGGAGCACAUAUUACACCGGUUGUUUGUCCCAACCGUUUUAACAUGUCCCUUCUGGGGAACAUAUUUUUGAAUUAUUUUACUCAAAUUUUGGUACAUAUUACACCGGUUUUUACAUCUAGUAUAAUAUGUGAUUGACAUUUUACAUCACUGAAAUCUACAUCGGUGAUAAAAUCGGUAUAAUAUGUCUCAUAAAAUCGAUGUAAUAUGUGUUUUCUGCACUAGUGACAUAAUCAUACCACUAGAAACAGUCAACUAUAAAACAUUAGAGUUUUCAUCAAAAACAUUCACGAAAGAAAACAAAAAAAUAUUAAAAUAAAUACCAAAAAAUUACUUAUAAUAUCAUAUUAUGAUAAUAGAAUUUAAGUAUGACUCAAGCUCAUAAAGCUACUUCAAUAAAGUAAGAUUUCUCUUUACUUAAAUAUUAUAAAUUAAUCUUUCCUUUGUUAAUGUGGAAUUUUCAAAAGUUAAUAACAAGUAUGUUAUUACAAUAAAAAAAUGUUCACGAAACACUUCAAAGUUAAAUACAAUUAAAUUAAGAAAUCAAACAAAUUAGAAUAAUCAUCUUUAGCAAAUCAAAGUUAAAUAUAAUGCAAUUAAGGAAAUAACAUUUCAAUUCUUAAGAUAAAUUAAUAAAUAUAACUAAGAAGACACCUUCACCAUUAUAAAAAAAAUUAUUAAAUAAAAAUUAAUUUUAAAAAAAUAAAAAAAUAUGUGUAUUUAAAUUAGUUUUAUUAUUGUUAAAUAAUUUUUAAAUUAAUAUUUAAUUAAUUAAGAAGGUUUUAAUUUUCAACUUUAAAAUUUAAAUAAUUGAAAUAAUACUAGUAGUUGAAGGUUAUAAACCUUUUUCAAAGCCCUAACUACUUAAAAAUUUACAAUUACGACAAGAAUUAUAGUAUCUCCAAUCAUGUUGCUUUAUCCGAAUCCAAUUAUAGUCUUCCAAUUUUGAAAUGAUCAAGAGAGAAUAAGAUAACUUAGAGUGAAGUGAACAAUUUAUGAACUCAUUGGAACAGGAGACAAGCGAUCACAUAAAUGAACAUCCAUCAAAAUGCUACAUUUUUAUUCAUUAUAUUGUUUACUGAUAAAAAAAAUAAAAUUAACUUCAAUUACAUAAAACAUCAAGUUCCAGUUAGGAUUCACCCCGAAACUACAAUUUAGAAACACAUUUUGAAAAAGAAAAGAGAAUGAGAAAGAAGGAAGCUUAGAAAACAUCAUCAGAAAAUGACGGGACUUGCAUUUGAUGCAUCAAAUCCAGAUCCACCCUUUCAAGGGUCGCAAGAGAGAGCACUUUAGGGAAUCUUCACUCAUAUCAUAGCUCUCCUUUGAUGGGCAGGGAAGAGUUGGUUUAUGAACCUGUUUUUCUUGAAGGAAAAACACAAGGGAGAGGCCCUAUGCUGGUUUUGGAUGAUGCAAUUCUUUGUGUGUGAUUCCUUUUUGGCCAAAGAAGGUAUGCUGGUUUUUUGCUGUAUAGAUGUUGGUUUUCUGCUGCAGUUUUGGUGCUAGUUUGCUGCUGUAGUUUUGGUACUGUUUUUUGCUGGUUUUAUGCUGUAUAAAUGUUGGUUUUCUGCUGCAGUUUUGGUGCUGGUUUUAAGAUGUACAAAUACUGGUUUUCUGCUGCAGUUUUAGUACUGUUUUAGCUGGUUUUAUGCUGUAUAAAUUCUGGUUUAUGCUGCAGUUUUGGUGCUGUUUUUAUGUUGUUUUUGCUGCAGUUCAAGUGUUUGGAGUCUAGGCACUGUUGUUUUCAGGUUUAGUAGCAGGGUAUUAAGCAUAGUUUGUUUGAGUGUAUGUCAUUGUUCUCUGGAAAUGUUUGUAGUCAUCUGUUAUGUAGAUGAUCUCUUUAGUUUUAUGCUCUUUCUUGUUAUGUUAAAACAAGAGCCAAAGGAACCUAGAUUUUAAUACUUGUUAUUUUGUAAGUUUUUUUUGUAUAAGGGUUGGGACACUCCUGAAAUGUUUCCCUUUAAUUCAUUUGUCUAUUGCUGAUAAAAAAAAAUAUCACAUCUCUCCUAAAAUUCACAAUUGUACACAAGUGAUUGGAACAUCUACAAUUAAGAACCCUAAAUCCUAAAGAAUAUUAAUUAAAGUUAACACAGUCAAAUGUACAUAAAUUUAUUAUGUGCCUAAAUACUAAAUUUACACAAAGUAUACACUUUUACAAACACCACAAAAAGACUAAACUUCUUCCUAAAUCGCACGUUUCAAGUGUUUAUCAUGAUGACACUUAUGAACAUCUAAAAUAAAAAAACGUAUAUUCAUGAGUUGAGGUCAACACCUACCAAUUCAAAGCGUAAAAUAUUAACACAAAAGAAGAUUAUAGUGAUGAAAAUCUUAGGAUGCUAAAUAUGUACCGCGGAUCACCUAUAGCCCAUAAUUGAUGCUCCAGUGCUUGUUUUUACCAAUGGGAUCAAUUUCCUCCACAAAUUCAGUUGGCAUAGAAAGGAGAUCAAGAAAUUUAAGUUUCUCCAGAGAUUGAAAGCCCUCGGGUACAGUUUUGAGUUCAUCAAGGCAUGUCAACUCAAAAUAUUCCAAAGACUGCAGUGCUGUGUCAUCAAUACGGAUCGAAUUCAAUUUCCAAAGAUUUGAGAGAAUUAGCUUCCUUAGUUUCGGAAACCCUCCACGUUGAAAACUCAAUAUUUGACCUUCAUAAGCGUAGGUUAAAGAGAGAACCGUCAAACAAGGCAUAUCUUUUAGUGAUUCCAACGGAUCAUUGGUUAAGUCAGAGAGGCGCAAGGUCAAUCUCUCAAGAUUAUGGAGUUGAGGAAUCCAAUUGGGUAACCUUUCUAACUUCAUAUCAAGGAAAAGCUUCUUAAGUUUAGAAUUUCGUAACGUAAUGUUCAAGUCGACUACUUCACUGCGGUGAUGACCAGAUGUUUCAAUGCGUAGUGCCUGCAAGUGUUCCAUCUCCUUUAUUGAAGAGCAAAGAAAAUUGUUGUGCUCUCCGGUGAAACAAAGCACCCUCAGAUCCCUUAACUGCUUUAGCUUUCCCACCUCUCUAAUCGCCACUUCAUCAAACUCCACACGCACUUGUGGUAUCUUUUGUAGCAUUGUCAUGCCUCCAAUAUCCUUCCAUUCAAUUGAAGAAUAUGCACAGUUAGGUGUCAGAAGAUGCCGUAACUUUCGAAGCUUGGUGGUCUCCUUUGGAAUCUUACACACUUUUGUUUCUCGUAUAUCCAAGGUCUCCAAGUUCAGGAGCUUACCAAUGGAUUUUGGAAGAGUUUUUAUCAGUGUUCUCCUAAAGCUUAAAUACCUCAGGUAGAUUAAAUUCCCCAACUUUUUAGGAACACGAGGUAAUGCAGAAUCUUCAUAAUCAAGUACCUUCAAUGACAUAUCAUCUUUAAGAAUUUUUCUCUCCAAUUGCACAAACCAUGAUUCUUCUUGUUUUCCUGGAAUGAUUAUAAUUGACCGAAUGAGUGAGGUUUCAGUACUUCUAAUUACAUCAUUGGUUGCAAUUGUCAGACGUCGAACCAACCCACUUGACUCAGAUUGAUCAUCCCCACCACCACCAAUAUACUCGCCAAAACAAGUAUUCUUGAUUUUUCUACGGAUCAUGACGUGUAUUAAAUCAUGAACACGACAUUUUAUAAAUUUUUCUUCGAAGGAAAUUGAAGACACUUGCACCAAACUUCUAUGGACCAAGCCUAAUAAAUAUUCAUUUGCAACUUCUUCUAAAGAUUUCUCGGUAUCAGGUGUAACAACACCCUCAGCUACCCACUGCUUAACCAAUCUAUCAGAUUCAAUUUCAUAGCCUUCCGGAUACAUUCCGAAAUACAAUAAACAUGAUCUGAGAUGUAUUGGCAAAUCAUUAUAACUGAAACCUAUAAUGUCUGUUAUACCGUUUAAGUUACGAUUCCUCUUCAACUCUUCACUAAACUUUGUCCAUUCAAGGGCACUUUGUUCCUUUCGUUGACUCAAAAGACCGCCAACGACCACAAUUGCUAGAGGUAAACCUUUACAUUUCCUAAGAAUUUCAAAAGACACAUUUUUAAGUUCAUGGGGACAAUGUCCGUCAGAACCAUAACGUGCCUUCUUGUGGAGCAAUUUCAAAGAUUCUUCUGGACUUAGAGGUUCUUCAAGGUUAUAUACUUGAACAAUAGAAGAAGUCUUACAAAAGUCUGCAACUUUCACGUUCCUUGUUGUGAUUAUUAUCCUACUUUUAUUUUUAUCAUCAAUCAAAACAGAUUGAAUGUCAUCCCAAAAAUUUUCAUUCCAUACGUCAUCAAAUAAGACAACAUACCUUUUCUUCCGCAAGCAAUCUCUGACUUCUUCUUUCAAGGAGUCUUCAUCCAUCUUAGAAAUUUUAGGAGGUGUAUCUUCCUUUCUUUCUUUGUAAAGUUUGCGUAUCAUAUCCCUUAACAGUCCUUCUACAGUGUAAGAUUGAGAGACUCUGAUCAGUGCGUGGCACACAAAGUCGUCAUGGACCUUGUAAAGAACAUGCUUGGCAAGAGUGGUUUUUCCAACUCCUGGAAUACCCACAACCGUAAUCACAGUGCGUUCUUCUCCUUCUUCUCGUCCCUCUUUCAACCAACCUCUCAAUAUUUUUGUAGGUUCAACAAGGCCAAAAACCUCCUCUUGCGUCUCCAGAUCAGAUAGAUGGUGGUGCGAUGAAUUCCUUUGAUUUUCUACAGAAGUGCUUGAUCCCAAUUCUUGAUGACUAGUUUUGCUUUUAAUAUCUUCAACCUUAUAUGCUAUUUGAAUUCGAGGGAUCAGAGUUCGGAUGCAGUGAACAGCCUUAGAGAAUGAAGCUGCCGGUGGAGGAACGUGUCCAAUACGGAUGUCAUAUUCUUCAAUCACAUCUUCCUUGAGAAAAAGUUCUCUUCUCAGCCGCAUCGACGUUAUCUUCUUCUCUUCGCGCAGACGGUCAUCUCUUUCAGCUUCAGCCUCUUCAUCUGCUUUAUCGAUGGAAUUUCGCAAGCGUACAAGUUCAUUUUCAAUAUUUUGAACUUCUUCUCGGAGACCUUUCAUCUUUUUGACAGCUUCCCAAAGUAAUGAAAUCGCUAUCUCCAGAGCUCUGCACCCUAUUUCUUCUGCCAUUUUAGUGUAGUUUUUUCUCUCUGUGUUUUGCUGUGUGGUAAUGGUGAGUGCAAAGCUUGGUGUUGAAGUUAUAUGUGAAGGUGAAAGUGGUCAGCAAUACACUAUGAAUAAUAACCAUGAACCACAAGUACAAUUUUAAUAAACAAAAAUAUUAAUAAUUUCAGUUUACGUAUAAUAAUUUAUAACUAAUACAUAAUAAUAUUUUAUAUAACUAUAAUGAUGUAAAUUUUAUUAAUCUAGUUAUAUUAUUAUAUUUUAAAAUAUCAAAUUGAAUAAAUAAAUAAAUAAAGUAGUUAAGUCUAUUUUUGUUCAUGAUUUAUUGUAUAUUUAAGAAAAUGUUUUGUGGUUUGGUCUUUCGUAUUUAUUUUGCCGUACUAAGUAGUAGUUGUAGAAUUAAUUGUAUUUGUGAUAGGUAGUUCUAAUAUUAAUGGUACUGGUUAGCUUUCAAACAAAUUUUAUAUGUGGGUGGUAUGUGUGGCAUCUUUUACUAUGUAAUAGUUAUUUAGAGUUUUUACCACGGUGUUUAUAGUUAGUUUUUAAACAAUAUUAAUUAUAUUUAACGCAUUGAUCAAGGAGUUCAGAGAAGAACUAGAGAUCUUGAAAAGGAAAAGCCCAUAAGAGAUAAACCCCUUUUAGGUAAAAAAUCACACAUGAAGCAAAAGUUGAAGGCGAAAGAAAGCAAAUGUCCAUCCCACUAUACUUGGUCUUCUCUCAAACCAGCACACCUACAUAACGCACACACAACCCUAGCUUUGGGACGUCGAUGCCGCCCCUGCAAAACCCUAGCUUUUGGACGUUACUGUAGCCCGUGCGAAACCCUAGCUUUGGAACGCUGCUGCAGCCGCAAUUUUCAUGUCUUGUCGAUUAAUUUCUGCUGAUCGGAUAUCUAGUGUAUAAACGAAUCAAGCUCUGAUGUCAUUUGAUGGGAAAAAAUGUAUGCGGAAGCAACACACAUAAUCACGAAUCAAUGCAAAAAAAUAAACAACAUAGGAUUUAACGUGGUUCGGUCGCCAACUGCAACCUACAUCUACACGAGCAACUAUUAGGUUUUAUUUUUGUCCUGUUACACGCCAAUUACAAGUACAAUGAUCUCUUUAAAUAAAAAUUGUAAAGGGGACACAAUGAUUAAGUUACCCAAUUGGUCAUGACUUCAUACCCAACCGAUAGAAACUAAACUAUUAAAAAAUGCAAAUAAUUGUAAAAAUCACAGGUGAAUCACAAAAUGGUCAAGGUUUGUGUUCCAUCGUGAGGAACCAAACUUCUUAUUCCUCUUAUUUCCUUAACCAUAAUCAAAAUUGUUCAAAUUGAAUUGAGUGAUUGGGGACAAGGACCGGUAAGCCUAAUGGGAUUCUCUUGUUGUUUGGAUCUAUGGACAAAAAAAAUUCUAUUAGUAACUUUUAAUAUAUAUAUAUAUAUAAAAUUUAUUUGUUAUAUUUAUUUAUUUUAUUUAUUGAAAAACUAAUUUAUCAAAUAUAGAUAAAUGAAUACAAUAGAUAUAAAUAACUUUUGUUGAAAACAACAUGAAUGCUUAAAUGAUAAAAUGAGUAAAAAUCCAAAUGUUUUUAGUUCCAAAACCUAUGUUAUUUUACGGUGGUUUUGAAAUUCAUGAUAUUUUAUGAGGGUUUUGAAAGCCAUGACAUUUUACGAAGGUUUCAAAAUCUAUGGUAUUUUACAGAGAUUUUGAAACCAAUUAUAUUUUACAGAGAUCCUAAAUUCCAUGGUAUUUUACGGAAUUUUGAAGCCCAUGAUAUUUUACAAAGGUUUCGAGACCUAUGGUAUUUUACGAAGGUUUUGAAAUCUAUGGUAUUUUACAGAGGUCCUAAAAAUCCAUGGUAUUUGACAAGAGUUUUAAAAUCCAUGGUAUUUUAUGGAGGUUUUAAAGACUUUUCGGUAAAUGACUUAAUGGAUGUUUUAACUCUUGGUAAUGUAAAAAUAAACACCCGUUAAAACCAUAUUUUCCUGUAGUGUUAAAUUUAGAGACAAAAAAUAAUUAGUCAUUAUAUUUAAAGUAGUUUCUACUAUUAAUAAAAAUUUAUGAAAUAAUUUCUAAAUUAGUAUUUGUAUUAGCUAUCAAGGUUCAUGUUAUUAAUCUUUUAGAUUCUAAAUUAGUCUCUACAAGAUUAAUAAAAAUAAAUUUAAAAUAUAAAAUAGUAAAUAGCUAAAAUCUUUAUAGCUAAUGGUAUGAUAUUAAUUUUAAAAUUAUUUUAUAAAUUUUUAUUAAUAAUAUAAACUAUUUUAGAUUUCAAUAUUUUUUUUAGUUCAUAAAUAUAUAAUGAUAACAAAAGAGUAAUUAAAUAUACUUUUAUUCAUGUUAUUGUUCCAGCAAAUUUUGUGCAUCUAUGUGACUUUGAGCUUUCAGCGUGUUUAUUAAAUGUUUUGCGACCAAGUCGUGGUUUUAUUUUUUCCUAUUUACUUUGUGGUACUUCAAGAACCGCUAAAUUGUAUUUAUUGUAUUUCUUAGAUAAUAGUUGAUGCAAUUAAUUUUAUUUGUCAGGUAGUAGUUUUACAGUUAAUAGCUUUUUUUACCCAUCAAAGAAAUAAAAAUGUUAGUAAAAGACCUGUUUCUAUUUGUGCAUUUUGUGAUGCUGAAAUUUUUAUUUUUUAGCAAAUAAUUAAUAAAAUUAAAAAAUAAAAGAGACACUUCAAGGUGUCUCAAUCCUUAUACAACCUACUCUCUACAAAGUCAUGCAUCCUGAUGAGAUUACUAUAUUUUACAAAAAGUUCAUGACAGAAUAAAAAAUACAAUUAAAAAGUUUGUUUCCCUUUUGUGGGUUUUGAUCCACUCCCUAAGAUAUCAGCAAACAACCUAAAUUGUAGCUUUAUAUCAGCAGACUUCUCAUGAAUCCUCAGCAUUCACCGUGAUCACAUUUGGCACUUGUUGCACUUCCUACAUUUCGUCUUUCCCUUCCCCCUCUUUCUUAGAUAAAGUUGUCGCGGAUGUGUACCUUUUACCAAACUAAACCAAUGACUGCCUUCUCCUCUUCACGCUUUCAUGGCAGCCAUUUAUUUAAUUUGUUGGGUUAAGCUCUCUCCCUUUCUCAACAACUCAAAAUCUAUCCCUUACUGUACUCUCUGCACAAAUUCUAGCCAAUUCUAGCUUUUGUUGCCCAUAGAAACAGCACUUCCGUAUCCUCCCUGCAGAAAAUUGCUUCUCUGUCCUCUAAUACUUAUCGAUGACAACUCCUCUCCUUGUUUACCUGCAACAGAAAGCACUACCUUCUCCUCCUCUCAAGUGACUAAAAUACAGAGUGUGACAUCCGUGGGUAUACAUAAAUCAGACUAAGUUAUUAUUACAAUCCAACCUUUCAUGCUUUGUAAAUAGAUCAUAAAAUAGUUACACAGAUAACAACAGAUUACUACAAGCAAAACUUACCUUGUUACCAUAUUAAUACAGGUUAAAGGUGAUAACAUCCAGUCAGAAAAAGAGAAAUUAACUUUCCUUUCUUUAUAUUUCAUCCAUACUCAGGAUUGUACUUGUGCCAGAGUAAGAAUUUCCUCUGCAUCUACCUUUGCUUGGUUAAAAAUGACCAUGUUUCUAUGCUUCCAAAUACACCAAACAACUGAAACCCACAGGCUUUUCCAUAAUCUGUUGCCUUCUUGAUUUAGGCAUAUGCAUGAGAAUUGUUCAAAAUGGCAAAUCAGGUCAUUGUGGUUCACCGAACAGAUCCCCAACCAGCUGAAGCACAUAUUCCAAACUUUAGUUGAUACCUCACAAGAUACAAGGAUGUGUGAAGUUGUCUCCUCCUCCUUCCCACAUAAAACACAUAAGUUAUCCCCCAUUGCAACACCCCUUCUCUGCAAAUUCUGUUUAGUCGCAAUUCUAUUCGAAAAGGCCCUCCACACAUAAAACAUGGCUGAGGGCAUAACCUUUAAGUCCCAAAGAUGUUCAAACACCUCCAACCCCCUCCCAAUGGUGUGAUUUGCUAACUUAUUGUAAGCGGAUUUUACUGAAAAAGAGAACGUCGGGGGGUCGUUCCAAAACCUUUUGUCCUUUGUACCUUGGUGUAAUGGCACCUGUGAUAUGAUUGACAUGAAUUCCUCUACCAUCAAUUUUUCCCUCUCAAACCAUUCUCUUCUCCAUCUAAAUUCCCACACCCAUCCUUCUGAAUUCCAUCUUCCACAACUAUCUAUAGUCUUAUUCUGCAACUCUGAGUUAUUAUAUAAUCUUUCAAAUCUCUCUUUGAGUUGACCAAUAUCUAACCAUUCAUCUUCCCAAAAUUUGAUUUUGUCCCCUGAUCCCACUUUCCAGGCUACAUUCGAAUUGAACCAGUUAUUGUCUUGGUCUGAAGUUCUGACUUUUGUUAAAUCCUUCCACCACCUAGAUGAGUUUGUUAGUCUCAUGGAAUCGUACUUCGAUUCAAGAACUUCCUUCAAAAGUCCUGUUUCUGGUGUUUCCAUUCUCCAUAACUAUUUAGCUAACAGUGCCUUGUUGAACAAAUCAAUUCUUCUUAUUCCUAGUCCCCCCUCCUUUUUCGCUUUGCAGAUGUUCUCCCAGCUAGUCCAAGCGAUUUUUCUCCCUUCUGCUCCCCACCCCCACAAAAACCUUCUUUGUAGUUUUGUGAUCUCCUUGCACACUCCAAUUGGGGCUUUAAAAAAGGAUAGAAAGAAAAGUGGUAUGGCGUUGAUGACAGAUUUUAUGAGACAUACUCUUCCCGCGAAUGACAUGUUCCUCCCCUUCCAUACUGAAAGUUUCUUUCUAAUCUUUGAUAGAACAGGCUCCCAAAAAGCACACCUAGAUGGAUUACCACCGAUAGUUAGUCCUAAGUAUGUAAAGGGUACAUCCAUUAUGCUACAAUGCAAUAUUUCCGAAUACAAUUUCACCUCAUUUCUAUCUACUACAAUUGCACCAAUUUUGCUCUUAUGGAAAUUAACUUUGAGCCCCAAGCUUAAUUCAAAACACCUUAAAAUAGCCUUGAUGCAUAUAAUAUUUUGUACUUUCGAUUUGCAUACAAAGAGGGUGUCAUCUGCAAAUUGGAGUAGAUUGACUUCCACCUCUUUUCUCCCAACUUUUAUUCCGGAAAACAUAUUUUUUCUCGUUGUUUGUUUCACUAACCCCGCCAAACCUUGUGCUACAAUCAAGAACAAGAACGGUGCCAUAGGAUCCCCUUAUCUAAGGCCUCUAGAGGGUUUGAAUUCUUUUGUCGGGCUACCGUUUACCAAAACUGAAAUUGUAGCUGAUUCGAGGCAUGCUCUAAUCCAUUGUAUCCAUCUUUCACAGAAUCCAAGUCUUCCCAUCAUAUAAAACAAGAACUCCCAACUCACCGAAUCGUACGCCUUCUCGAAGUCCAGUUUCAUUAUCACCCCACUUUUUCUCCUUCUUUUCAAAUCAUCCAACACCUCAUUCACUACUAGAACACUGUCUAAUAAUCCUCUAUUAGACAAAAACGCCGAUUGGGAACCAUCUAUCACCUUCUCAAUAACUUUUUUAACCCUCUUAGAUAACACUUUGGUCACAAUUUUGUACAAACAACCUACCAAUGAUAUGGGUCUGUAUUCUUCAAGAGAUUGGGGAUUUUCAGACUUUGGGAUCAACGUUAGGAAGGAGGCAUUGCACCCCUUCGGGAUUUUCCCUUCUUUGUGAAAGUAUUUCAGAGCUCCCACUACCUCCUUAUUUACGAGACCCCAAAACAUUUUAAUGAAACUAAAGGUUACUCCAUCAGGGCCAGGGCUUUUUUGACCAUCACAGUUCCAAAUGGCUUCCUUAAUUUCCUCUUCGUCAAAUGGAUCAGUCAAAAGUCUAUUGUCUGAUUCUGUUAUCUCCUCAAAAUGUACAUUAUCCAGCCUUACUCCAAUGUCCUCAAUGGCCGUCAGCUUUUCCUUAUAGAAUUCUUUGACCAACUCUUUUACUGCAUUCAGCUCCUCCACCCAAUUGCCUGAGUUAUGACAUUGUAUUCCUUUUAUCUCAUUCCUUAAUCUCCUCCACUUAAUAGACGCAUGGAAGUAUUUAGAGUUGGUGUCCCUCUGCUUGAGCCAAAGAGCUCUUGACUUCUGUUGUAAUAAAGAUUCAUUCCUCACAUUUAUAUCCUGUAAUUGGCUCAAAAGUUCUCUUCUUUCCCUAAUCUUGUCCUCUUCUAGAUCAACUAAAUCGUCUCUCAUGUCCAACUCUUGUAUUUUCCUCAGGAUAUCAAGUUUUAUCUUAUCAGUAUACCCAAAGACUUCUUUAUUCCAUCCUUUCAAGUCGCUCUUUAGCAUUUUCAGUUUCUCUUUUACCACUGCAAAUUCGUUGCCCUUCACCACAUAACUUUCCCAUUUUCCUUUAACAAAUUUGUCAAACUCCUUGUCUUCUUGCCAAAUAUCCAAAAACCUGAAUGGUUUUGGUCCCCAAUCAACCACGUUUGAUUUUAGCAACAAUGCGCAAUGGUCGGAAAUUUGUCUAUCUAAGACAUAUUGCUUACAGCCUGGCCAAUAUUGCAGCCAUUCUAAAGUUGUCAAAACCCUGUCGAGCCUACUCUUUGUUUUCCCGUUAGGUCUAUACCAUGUAAAUUUCCUUCCUAUGCAGGGUAUAUCCAACAAUUCCAAUUCAUCAAUAAAAUUAUUAAAACCUUGCAUUUCUCUCUUGUUUCCCCUUGCUCCAUUAAUCUCCUUGCGUUCCCCCUCUCUUCUUACUGAAUUGAAAUCCCCUAACAUACACCAUGUUUUACAAGGUUCUUUGUAUCUAAUCUUUUUUAAAUCUUCCCACAUUUGCAUUUUAUCUAUCAAAUUACACGAAGAAUACACAUUUACAAUGACUACAGGAAUACUAUUCUCCUUAAAGAUCCCAAUAAAAACGUUGAACCGGCUACUAAUUAUGCGAUUUGAACAUAGAAAGAAUUUAUUGUGCCAAAUCGUGAGAAUACCCCCUGCUCCAUUAGAUGGUUCGCUAUAGAGAUAAUCAAUAUCACUGUCUCCCCACAAUUGGCAACAUUUAUUGAAGCUGAAAUUUACCAUUCUUACUUCUUGCAAGCAAACCAUUCUAACACCUUCCUUUCUUAUGAUAUCCUUAAUGUACCUCCAUUUCACUGGACUCCCGAACCCUCUUACAUUUAUUGACAAGAUUCUCAUUUAUAACCCUUGUUUUCCCCUUCUUCUCUUUGGGAUUUUUUAUUCCUAUCCCUUUUUUCCAAAACUUCUAAGUUAACUAUAAUGUUCCCUUCAACCCCACCUGUUGCUCCUAACUGUUUUCCCAAUUCCCAUAAUCUAAUAGUUUCUACAGAUCCAUGUUUUAGCCAGAAUAAACGAUUGCAAUUAUUAAUAGCCAUGUCAGAAACUGAAUUGCUAAUUUGAGAUAAUGCUGAACUUAAUUGCCUGCGUUCGACCCGCUUGUUGUUUUUGGUUGAUUCGCCCACCCAGAAAACUCUUUUUUUCGUUGUAUCCGCCGGUUUGAAAGGGUUCAGACCGUUGACUUGCAUUAUUUGGUUGUUCUUACCUUUUGCCAAAUGUUGAAAACCUUCCCUUCUUUUCUCUUCGAACCCCAUCUUUCUCUGCCCUUCGAACGGUAAAUAUGUAUCCCUUAUUUUGCCCCGAUCUCGAAGCAAUCUGAUUUGGGCUCUGCUUAUGGUUUUGUUCCUUGUUGACAAUAGCUAGAUGUUGAUGUGUUUCGCCAAUCUCCCCCACGGGUGACGAACAUUGAGAGUCUUCCACCCUCGUAAUUGACAGCAUUGGAUCCUCCUCACUCACCUUCGUUUUUCCCGACACCGAUGAUGCUUGAUGGGAUAAAACUCCUCCCUCUUUCUCUAUCAUCGCUGGCAAACACGGUGAAAUACGCCUUCUUUCCUCUUCCGCCGCAAUAGGGUUAGUUGAGAUUGCGAUAAAUGCCUCAUUACGAAGCUUCUCCUUGUAAGCGGUGGUUUCAUUAUUCCACGAAUAUCCAAUUUGUUCUGAUUCGCCUAAAGCUUGUGAUGUUUCAGCGUUGAUCUCAUUGCCGUUAGAUCCCUUCCUCAUGUUCUCCUCAUUCGUGCUUUCCAUUGGGCCAUUUUUAUUAAAAAAGACAUUGUGAUUUCGAUCUCUACACCCCCCUUCCUUUGCCCAUUGGGUUAUUUGGUUCGUGGCACUUUGGGCCGUUUUCGGAGGCCCAAUCCCCUUUGCCACGUCUGUCCUAUUUAUGGCCGUUGGAACAUCUAACCCUGGUUUUUCCUUUCCCAAAAAAGAGCCGCAAAUGGGUGUCGAGGUAGCUCCUACGGAAUUUUCCAAAAAAAGGCAUAUAACUUUGUAACGGUACAAUUGGUACUAGUUCGGAACUCCGACGAAACUGUGCCGUCAUUUCCACCGUUGGUUCAUCUACGUCGCGGCUACCCGAUUGUGCAGAUGCGAGAGACGCAACUGACUCCGCCUCUGUUUCGAUUCCCUCAGAAUUCUCACCCCACUGGCAUUGGCAAAGUUUGAGUUCUGGGAUUGUGCAUUCUUCCUCCACCGAUAUCUGAUACAAAUUCUCGUUAAUCCUCAUGUAGUUGGUUAAUUUUGCCUCACAUCCCACUGACACUCUAAUUUUGAAUCUUGCGUACUCGAGUUCUUCCAAGGCAGCGUUGCUUUAUCAACCUCAAUGAGUGUACCCAUUAAAGCUGCAAUGUGUUUGAAGCAAUCUGUAUUCCAUAACUUCAAUGGUAAACCCCUACAUCUCACCCAAACCAAUUUUUCCACCGCUACGAAUUGAUCUUCUCAUGGAAUGAUGGUGUCAAACAUUUCUUCAAACCAUGCUUUAUUCUCCUCUAUCGCUUCUAGGAUAUUUGAUUCGUUUUCCCCCAGCAAUAGCACAUGGAACCCACCCAGAAAUUUGACCUUUAUAUGGCUGAAGCCUUCCAAAAUAAAACAUUCAUUCAAACAUGAUACCUUACUUAGAUCCGAAACUCUCCCAAUGAAGCAUUUUUUUAGCCACUCCCUGGAAGUUUCUUCUGCUCUAAAAUGUAUUGCCUGCACUCUUGCCCUGUUCUGUGAUUGUUCACUAUUACCUUUACCAUUCUUAACUAUAUUUGCAUACGUUUUUUCCUCCUUGGCCCUCCACUCUUUUUUAGGCUCUCUCCCCGACUCUAUUACCUUCCCUUUCAACUUCAUGUUCCACUCUUUUCUGGUUUCUGCUGAUCUAUUGUAUUUCGGUCUGUUAGCCUUCUGUUUCCAGCUUCCAAUCCAUAUUGUAUUCAAAUGGUUCUCUAGUUCCCUGAUGUUCUGUACUCCCUGAAAUCUCACAAAUUCGAACCUUUGUUUCUUAAUGUUCAGUCUUCUUGAUAUGAAAAUAUCGUUUACCCUACCCCAUCUGCGAAAAAUCCUCCACAAAUCUGAUUCUUUGAUGUCUAAGGGAAAGUUAGAGAAGAAGAAAGGAAUCCCUCAGGAGGGUCCUGGUCUCUCGAAAGCCAUUUGUGAUGCCGAAAUAAAAAUAGUAAAAUAUAAAUUUGAUAUUAUGAAUUGCAAAUGUUAGUUUUUGCUCCAAUCUUAUAUGAAUUAUCCUAGCUAAGUUCACAUGAAUGCAGCAAAAUGAGCUUUGAGGUAUACCACCAAGUCAGACUUUUGGCCUUUGGUUUAUGAAGGAAAAUAGUGAAAAUCUUCAAGAUUAUUCGUGUAGCGAUUGGAAUCAUAUGAUAUAAAUAGUACAAGCAGAUGUAUGCAAUUUCAUUUGAGAGUGGAUGUUUUUUUAGGUACUCAAAGAACUAAGAUUUAUUAAAUAUUUUCUAAUAGCCAUCUGUAACAAAUCAUUUUACUCAAAAAAACUUCAGUCAAACAUGGACCAAAAUCAAGAUAAAGCAACUAUUUUUAAAAUAUAAUUAGAUAUUGUAAAAUUAGUUAAGAUUUUUUUUUAAAGAUUUUUUUUUUUUGGAUUUGUGUUCCUUGUAGUCUUUCGGAUAUCCAACAAAAAUGGAUGUAAUGUCGUGAAGAGUAAAUUUAUUUCUAGAAGAGGAUAAAGUUGUUACACAAUCCAAACAUUCAAAAGCUUCUAAUGACCAAUAAUCAAGUUUGAAUUCAUAUAGAACUAUAUAUGAUGGUUUUUAGUGUAGUAUACUUGAGAGAAAACCAUGGUAAUUCGAAAUACAACAAUGUAAACAUACUCUCCCCAUAAUUAAAUUGGCAACUUGGAUUGAAAAAUUAAAACUCAAGCCACAUUCAAUAGAUGUUGUUCUUUCAACUAUUGAGUUUUGUUGAGUUCUCUCCAUAAAAAAAAAUUGAUGUCGAGUGUCUUCUUCUAUUAGAAAAUCAAUAAGAGCAAAUUCAUUAUGAAUCUCGGAACAUUUAAUCUUGGUCCCAAACUGAUUUUUAACUAUUUGAAAAAUAUAUUUUAUAACAUUAGAACUUUAGAAUUGUGUUUGAACAAAUAUAUUAAAGUAAAAAGACUACAAUUGUCCAUCAGGGUUAAGCAAAAAUGUUUAGAUUUGUCAUAAGGUCCUCAAAUGUCAUAAUGUAAUAUAUUAAAUAUUGAUUCAAAAAUAUUAUUGAGUGAAAUGAAGGAUAAUUUUAUAAACAUAGAGUAAACUUUUGAUAAUUAAAGUAAAAAAAAAAGUAUAUAAAAUAUCAAAAGAACGACAUUACUAAAAAGUUGAAGGACUUGACUUUAUCCAAAUUUAGAAUGUCAAACAAAAACAUUUUUUACAAGAAUCAAUAUUGUGAAAAACAUUAUUUAUAUGUAUUAAAGGAAAUAGAGUUAACAUUAUUUUUUAAGAGAACUGAAGGAGACAAUAUGUAAAAUCUUUCAAUGAUAUUACCACCAACAAUCUUACUCGAGUGAAACAUUCAUGAUUCUUGGGCUAAUAAGGUUGUUGGUUGUCCUAUGUUUAUCUUGCAAUAUAAGUUAAAAAGGUUGAAACUUGAGCUCCGAGACUGGAAUAAAAAUUCUUUUGGUAAUGUUCACAAUGCAGUUCUUCUUAAGCAGGGUAUCCUCUUUGGUAUUCAAAAAAACUUAGAGACUGCUAGUUUGUCUGAUAGUGAUGAGCUUCUUUGUCAAGAAAAGAUUGCUAAGGAGGAGCUUGAUCAUGCUCUUCACUGUCAAUAUUUGUUUUGGAAAGAAAGGGCUAAGAUGUUAUGGUUCAAGGAUGGAGAUCGAAAUACCGCUUUUUUCCAUGCUGUGGUCAAAAGGAGAAAUAAUUCUAGUGGGAUUCAUCGUCUACGGAUUGAUAAUGAGGUUACGGAGGAUCCUAAAAUCAUUGAGGAUCAUAUUUUGGACUUUUAUAAAAAUCUUUAUGCUGAGUCUAUUUCUAAUGUUCUGGAUACUGAUAAUAUGGAAGAUUUUAUUGGUACUUAUAUUCCUGCGAUGGUUUCCUCUAAAGAGAAUAUGAUGUUGAUUAAAUGUCCUGAUUUUUCUGAAAUCAAGAAUGUUGUUUUUAAUCUUAACGGUAAUAGUGCUCCUGGUCCUGAUGGUUUUGGUGGUGUUUUCUAUCAUUCUUGCUGGGAAAUUAUUGGGACAGAUGUUUGUAAUGUUGUUCAACAGUUCUUUAAACAAAAUUGGGUUCUCCCUGGAAUGAACAGUAAUGUGGUAUCUCUUAUUCCUAAGAUUCAGGGUGCUGAUUCCAUUAAAGAUUACAGGCCAAUUGUUGUUGCUAAUUUCAAAUUUAAAAUUAUUUCCAAGAUACUGGCGGAUAGGCUUGCUCUUCUGGCUGCUAGAAUCAUUUCUCCUAAUCAAUAUGGGUUUGUGCAGGGUAGACAGAUUCAGGAUUGCAUUGGUAUUGCUUCUGAAGCUAUUAACAUGCUUUCUAAAAAGGUUAUAGGAGGUAAUGUGGCUUACAAAGUUGAUAUUCAUAAAGCUUUUGACACUCUGAGUUGGAAGUUCUUAUUAUUAGUUUUGAAACGCUUUGGUUUUCACCCCUCGUUUGUCAGUUGGAUUAGUACAAUUCUUCGUUCAGCUAUGCUUUCUAUCAGAAUAAGUGGUAGUUUGGUGGGUUUUUUUCCCUGCAGUCGAGGUGUAAGACAAGGUGAUCCAUUGUCUCCUUUACUUUUCUGUCUUGCAGAGGAAGUUCUUAGUAGAGGUUCUCUAAGCUUGUGAAUGAUAAGAAGAUUUUAAAUAUGGCUAGUCCGAAAGGUUAUCUCACUCCCUCUCAUAUUUUGUAUGCUGAUUUUUUGUAGGGGGAUAUUAAGUCUCUUCGAAAUUUGAGUACUUUUCUUAAAACAUAUGGUGAUUUUUCUGGUCAAUAUAUUAAUAACUCUAAAAGUAGUUUCUUCACCAUGGAUAAUUCUGCAAGAUUUGUCACCAAAAUUCAAAAUAUUCUUUCUUGUAGUCAUGGUUGUUUGCCUUUCAAUUAUUUAGGAGUGCCUAUCUUUGUUGGUGCUCCAAAGUGUCGGUUUCUUCAACCUUUGGCUGAUAAAGUUAAAUUGAAGCUAGCAUCUUGGAAAGGUCAAUCUCUUAGCAUGAUGGGUCGGAUCCAGUUGGUCAAUACAGUGAUUACUGGAUUUCUAGCUUAUAGUUUUAAUAUAUAUAAAUGGCCUGUUUCACUUAUUAAGCAAGUUGAGCAGUGGUGUCGGAAUUUUAUUUGGACUGGUGAUAUUAUGAAAAAAGGUAUCGCUACCGUUAAUUGGGCGAAAAUUUGUUCACCUCUUGAGGAUGGAGGCUUGAAUAUUAUUAAUCUUCAUCAUGAAAAUAAUGCAUAUCUUCUUNNNNNNNNNNNNNNNNNNNNNNNNNNNNNNNNNNNNNNNNNNNNNNNNNNNNNNNNNNNNNNNNNNNNNNNNNNNNNNNNNNNNNNNNNNNNNNNNNNNNGUUUAUAGAUCCUCCUCUUUUUGGCUUGGAAUUAAGCAAUUUUAUUCUAUCAUACUUGAUUAUACUUCUUGGACUGUUUGUACAGGUUCUUUUAUUAAUUUCUGGAAUGAUAAAUGGUGUUCUACUACUUCUUUAGCAAAUAUUGCAGGGUUAUCUGAUGGGUCUAGCAUUCCAGAUACAGUCUCUCACUUUUGGUCAAGUUAUGAUUGGAAUAUUCCCUUAUCUUUACAGCAGAUGCCGCAGUUUUUUAAUCAUAUCAUGGUUAGAGAGGAACAAGAUAUUCCUAAUUGGACUCUAGACGAGUCUGGUCGUUUCACUCUUAAAUCGGCUAGGACUUUUUUCUUGGAACCAGGAGUUCCAUGUGAUUGGGGUAAGUUCAUUUGGUCUUCAUCUAUUCCGCCUUCCAAAACUCUAGUACUCUGGAAAAAAUUUUAUGGGUGACUUCCUACGGAUCAGCAUAUUCAGAAUAAGGGUUUGCAUAUAUGUUCUAUGUGUACGCUUUGUGAAAAGCAUGAAGAAUCUAUUCAACAUCUAUUUUUUGAAUGUUAUACUGCAUUACAUAUUUGGAGUUGGGUUCGACAGAUUUUUCUUACUUCUCAUUUCUCUAAUAAGGAUGAUCUUCUUUCUUUUAUUAAGAGUGAUGGUAGUCCUUUGGUUAAAUUGAUUNNNNNNNNNNNNNNNNNNNNNNNNNNNNNNNNNNNNNNNNNNNNNNNNNNNNNNNNNNNNNNNNNNNNNNNNNNNNNNNNNNNNNNNNNNNNNNNNNNNNUAUGGCGUAUGAGGAAUUAUGCUAGAUUUCAGGAUAAGAUUGAAGUUUCUAAGGCUAUUUCGGUAAUUAAAGAUUUAACUUGUCUAGUGGGAAAUUCGUCUAAAGCUUCAAUGAAGAAUGAUAUGUUGGAUUUCAACGUGAUUAAGUUUUUUGGUAUUAAGACUCGUAGUGGGAAAGUUCUUCGUCCUCUUCCUGUUAGAUGGGAAUUUCCUUCACCAGGUUGGGUUAAAAUUAACACGGAUGGGGCUGCUAGGGGGUAUCCUGGUCUUGCUACUUGUGAAGGUAUUUUUCGUGGGAGUAUGGGAGAAUUUAUUGGUGCUUUUUCAGGGUUUCUUGAAGUUCAAACUGCUUUGGUUGCUGAGUUUUAUGGAGUUAUACAUGCUAUGGAGGAAGCUCAAAAGAUGGGACUUACUAAAGUUUGGCUUGAAUGUGAUUCGGUCUUGGUUUGUGCUGCGUUUACUGCUAGGACUAAUGUUCCGUGGAUGCUUCGUAAUCGAUGGAAUUCUUGUCUUACUUACUGUGGGACAAUCAGGUUUAGGGUUACUCAUAUUUUUCGGGAGGGGAAUGCAUGUGGUGAUAAGUUGGCUAAUUUAGGGUUCAUUCAUAGAUAAUCAUUUCAUUGGUAUAAUAGACUUUCAUCUAGUCUGUUCUUAGAAUUCUUUAUGAAUAGGUAUAGUCUACCUAUGUAUCGUUUUUGUUAACAUGUGGGUUUUGGUCUAGUCCCCCAUAUUUUUGUUUUUUCUUUUUUUUCUUUUUUUUAAUAAUACUUUUUUAUGUGAUGGCAGAUGAUUGUUGUUACUUGAGGUGUCAGCCUUGCUGAGAUGUCAAGUUGCAUAGUGAUGCCUAACAUGAAAACUUUUAUAAAAAAAACAUAAACUGAAUAAAAAAUUAGUUUUAAUAAAGGUGAUUAACAAAUAACUAUGGAUCAAUAAAAUAAUGAUAGAAAUUAAAUUGAAUUAAAGUACUUAAAAAAUAUUAUAAAGCACUAAUGUGAGAGAAAUUUGAACAACACCAAUAGCUGCUAUAUUAACAACAAAUUGAUUGGGUAAUACAAGAGUUUUAUUGGUGACAUAUUUAUAAGAUUAGAAAUAAGAUAAGGAAAAAUAAGAUAAUAUCAUAAUAUGAAUACUGACACUGACACAUGAAAUCAAUUAUUCAUCUAUCUUUAAACUAAGAAUAGAUAAAGAUAAUAGAAAAAACUAAAUCACUGGAAAAAUUACUAGUUUUCAUCAAUGACAUCCACAAGAAAAAACAAUAAAAUUAUUGAAAUAAAUGCCAAAAAAAUCACUUAUAAUACUAUAUUAUGAUACUAGAAUUUAAGUAUGCUCAACCUCGCAAAACUAGUUGAAUAAAGUGAGGUUUCUCCUUAUUCAUGAAACACAUUAAAUACAAUUAAAUUGAGGAAUCAAACAAAUUAGAACAAUUAUCUUUAACAUAUCGAAGAAUCAAAAUUAAAUAUAAUGUAAUUAAGGAAUAAAAAAAUAAAAAUAAAUCAUAGCAUUUUAAUUCUCGAGAUAAAUUAAUAAAUAUAAUGAAGAAGACAUCUUCAACACUAUAAAAAAAUCAUUAAAUAAAAAAUAAUUUUAAAAAUAAAAAAUAAUUUAUUACUAUAUUAAUUAAAUUAAAUAUUAUUCUAAAAAUUAAAAAAAAAAUUAUAUCUAAAUUAGUUUCUAUUAUUAAUAAAUAAUUUUUAAAUUAAUAUUUAAUUAGGUAACAAGAUUUUAGUUAUGAAUUUUAGAAUCUAAUUGAAAAUAAUAUUGGUAUUUUAGUUAUGAAUUUUAGAAUCUAAUUGAAAAUAAUAUUGGUACUGAAGUCUAUAGUUUGAGUGAGAAACUUUUUUCUUUAAUGAAAACCCUAACUCCUUAAAAAUUUACAAUUAAGACAAGAAUUACAGUAUCUCCAAUCAUGUUGCUUUAUCCGAAUCCAAUUAUAGUCUUCCAAUUUUGAAAUGAUCAAGAGAAAAUAAGAUAACUUAUAGUAAAGUGAACAAUUUAUGAACUCAUUGGAACAGGAGACAAGGGAUCACAGAAAUGAAUAUCCCUCAAAAAUGCUACAUUUUUAUUCAUUAUAUUAUAUUGCUUACUGAUAAAAAAAAAAAUGAACUUCAAUUACAUAAAACAUCAAGUUGCAGUUAGGAUUCUUCAACCCGAACUACAAUUUAGAAACACAUUUUGGAAAAGAAAAGAGAAUGAGAAAGAAGGAAACUUAGAAAACAUCAUCAGAAAAUGACGGGCCUUGCACUUUGAUGCAUCAAAUCCAGAACCACCUUUUCAAGAGUCGCAAGAAAGGAAACUUGUGAGAAUCUUCACUCACUCCUCCUAAAAUUCACAAUUGUACACAAGUGAGUGGAAGAUAUUAAUAAAAGUUAGCACAAUCAAAUGUAGAUAAAUUUAUAAUGUGCCUGGAUACUAAAUUUACAGGAACUAUACACUUUCACAAACACCACAAAAAGACUAAACUUCAUCCUAAAUCGCACGUUUCAAGUGUUUAUCAUGAUCACACUUGUGAACAUCUAAACUAAAAAACGAAAUUCAAGAGUUGAGGUCAACACCUACCAAUUCAAAAAAGCAUAAAAUAUUAACACAAAAGAAGAUUAUAGUGGUGAAAAUCUUAGAAUGCUAAAUACGUACCGUAUAUCACAUAUAGCCCAUAAUUGAUGGUCCAGUGCUUGUUUUUACCAAUGCGAUCAAUUUCUUCCACAAAUUCAGUUGGCAUACAAGGAACAUCAAGAAAUUUAAGUUUCUUCAGAUGUUGAAUGUCCACAGGUACACUUUUGAGUUUAUCAAGGCAUGUCAACUCAAAAUAUUCCAAAGAAGGCAGUGCUGUGUCAUCAAUACAGAUCGAAUUCAAUUUCCCAAGAUUUGAGAGAUUUAGCUUCCUCAGUUUCUGGAACCCUCCAGCUCGAAAAUGCAAUAUUUUACCUUCAUAAGCGUAGGUUAAAGAGAGAACAGACAAACAAGGCAUAUCUUCUAGUGAUUCCAACGGAUCAUUGGUUAAGUCAGAUUUGCGCAAGGUCAAUCUCUCAAGAUUACGGAGUUGAGGAAUCCAAUUUGGUAACCUUUCUAACUUCAUAUCAAGGAAAAGCUUCUGAAGUUUAGAAUUUCGUAACGUAAUGUUCAAGUCAACUAUUCUGCGGUCACCAGAUGUUUCAUUGAAUGUUUUAAUGCGUAGUGCCUGCAAGUGUUUCAUCUCCUCUAUUGAGGAGCAAAGAACAUUGUUGUGGUCUCCGCUGAAACAAAGCACCCUCAGAUCCCUUAACUGCUUUAGCUUUCCCACCUCUCUAAUCGCCACUUCAUCAAGCUCAAUACGCACCUCUGGUAUCUUUUGUAGCAUUGUCAUGCCUCCAAUGUCCUUCCUGUUGAUUUUGGCUUAAUCCCAAGUCCCACAUCGGUGGGUUCAUUGUUUCCUCCUUCACUGUUAUAUAUCCCAAUUUGUAAUAUCUUCUCUCAUAAUAAUAAAAGUGAGUUGUUUUUGCUGUGCUCGGAGAUUAGGCUAAACAGGCCGAACUCCGUUAACAAUUUUCGGGUGUGUUUUUCCUCUUUAUCUCUUUUAUUAUUCCGCUUUAUUUAUUCAAUAUUAUUUGUCGGGUAGCUCUGUUAGGGUUUUGUUUUAGUGGGAAAAUUACCCGUUUUUCCCAACAAGUGGUAUCAAGAGCCGAAGGUUCACCUUGGGUUGUUUGAAAUUAUUUGUAAUAUUGAAUAUUAUAUUGUGAGUCUCUAAUGGCAAAUAAAGAUCAAGAAGGGAAGGCUCUGCAAGAUGCAAAUGUUGCAGAAAGCAAAAGUGAUGUGUUGAUUGUCUCGCUUUCAGCAUCAUUGCAUCCAGAUGAGUGGAUAUUGGAUUCAGGUUGUACCUAUCAUAUGUGUCCCAUUCGGGAAUGGUACUUUGAUUUUCAAGAACUCGAUGGCGGAGUUGUUUACAUGGGUAAUGAUAAUCCAUGUAAGACAGUCGGGAUAGGUUCAAUCAAGUUGCGGAAUCAUGAUGGAUCCACCAGAAUUUUGCGGGAUGUACGGUACGUGCCAAAGAUGAAGAAGAAUCUCAUCUCAUUGGGGGCUUUAGAAUCUAAAGGCCUAGUUGUGACGAUGCGAGAUGGAAUUCUUAAAGCAACUUCAGGAGCACUUGUGAUGAUGAAAGGUGUGAGGAAGAACAAUUUGUAUUACUACCAAGGUAGUACAGUGGUGGGGACAGUAGCGGCAACAACUUCUAGCACUAAGAAGGAUGCUGAGGCAACGAAGUUGUGGCAUAUGAGGUUGGGACAUGCUGGAGAGAAAUCCUUGCAAAUUCUUACCAAGCAGGGACUGUUGAAAGGUACGAAGGCUUGCAAACUUGAAUUUUGUGAGCAUUGUGUUCUAGGAAAACAACGAAGAGUGAAGUUUGGCACUGCAAUUCACAAUACCAAGGGUAUUCUGGAUUNNNNNNNNNNNNNNNNNNNNNNNNNNNNNNNNNNNNNNNNNNNNNNNNNNNNNNNNNNNNNNNNNNNNNNNNNNNNNNNNNNNNNNNNNNNNNNNNNNNNCAGAAGAAGAGUCAGAUGAGGAAGAGGUUCCUACCCAAGAAUCUCAACAGCAAUCAGCGCCAAUUGCAGUUAGAAGACAGAGACGAGAUAUUCAGAAGCCUGCUCGUUUCAUGGAUAUGGUUGCCUAUGCACUUCCAGUUGUUGAUGACAUUCCAUCCACUUACCCAGAAGCUAUUCUGAGUUCAGAGAGUGGUAAUUGGACAGGUGCGAUGGAAGAGGAGAUGCAGUCUUUGAAGAAGAACAAGACGUGGAAGCUGGCACAAUUACCAAAAGGUAAAAAGGCAAUUGGGUGCAAAUGGGUAUUUGCAAAGAAAGAAGGAUUUCCUAAUAAAGAAGAUGUUCGCUACAAGGCAAGGUUGGUUGCUAAAGGCUUUGCUCAGAGGGAGGGAAUUGAUUAUAAUGAGGUAUUUUCUCCAGUUGUAAAACAUUCCUCCAUUCGAAUUUUGUUGGCCUUGGUAGCACAGUUGAAUUUGGAGCUUGCUCAACUUGAUGUAAAGACCGCAUUCCUACACGGUGAUUUGGAGGAGGAAAUCUAUAUGACUCAACCAUAAGGAUACAAGGUUGAUGGUAAAGAAGAUUGAGUUUGUGAUAGCUGUCGUUUUGCUGUCAAAUUAAUAUGAUUCUAGCGUAGACUUGUCUAACACUAGAGAGAUGAUAGUAUAAUUGUGGACAAAUGUCCCCAAGUCGUCUCCCAACGAAUCCAAUAGUAAAAUCAGUUUAUCAGGGUUUAAAAUCUAUCUGCAGACAAUAAAAGUUAGCAAUAACAAUAAAGAUAAAAAAGGGGUUUGAGAUAGUUGUGCAAAAAAUAUAAAAGAGACUAAAAUAGCAAAUAAAAAGCGGUUGAUCCCAAGUUCUUCCACCAUUGAAUUCUUCACAGGUUCUCUAAAGAUUAAUCUUUUCUCAAUCCUCCAACAGAGCUAAACCAGAUUGAACAUGCGCCAAUCUAAUUCAACUGAAACUCACCAGUAAAGCAUGCGUCUACUAGUUUAAUCAAUACCCACUUUGUUCCAUGCGUAUACUCCAUGGGAAUGCUUACCUCCUCUCCCUUGAAUCAUGCGCCCAAGAAAUUAAUUAGAACAAUGCGAACUAACUAAGAAACCAAAGUUUAAGAUAAGGAAGACUCUCAAUCAUGCGUUCAAGUACAACCUCUCACAAAAACUAGUUUUCCAGGAGAUUAGACAAUAAAAACAACUACUAUAGAGAAUUAAAAAUAGAAACUUUUAUUGAACGAAACCUCAGAGCUCAAUGGGAAAUUACAGAGGAAUCAACCAAAAUGGUUUANNNNNNNNNNNNNNNNNNNNNNNNNNNNNNNNNNNNNNNNNNNNNNNNNNNNNNNNNNNNNNNNNNNNNNNNNNNNNNNNNNNNNNNNNNNNNNNNNNNNCACUUGGUCAAUGCAUAGUUGGAUAUUGUGAUUCUAAUUAUGCAGGUGAUUUGGAUAAGCGACAGUCAACAACUGGCUAUUUGUUCACUUUAGCAAAAGUGCCAGUCAAUUGGAAGUCUACCUUGCAGUCUACGGUGGCUUUGUCUACGACAGAGGCAAAGUAUAUGGCGAUUACAGAGGCUGUGAAGGAAGCAAUUUGGCUUCAUGGGUUGCUUAAAGACUUGGGAGUUGGUCAAAAACAACUUGAGUUAUAUUCUGACAGUCAGAGUGCUAUUCAUUUAGCAAAGAAUCAAGUCUUUCAUGCACGGACGAAGCACAUUGAUGUUCGCUAUCACUUUGUGCGUGAGAUUCUCGAAGAAGAUGAGAUUGUUCUCCAGAAGAUUCACACUACGGAGAAUCCUGCAGAUAUGCUCACCAAGGUGGUUACAAGGACCAAGUUUGAACACUGUUUUAGACUUGGUUAAUAUCUUGCACAUUUGAAGUUGGCGCCCGGAGGCGCAAAUUUGAAGCAAUGUAAAGUUUGUUUUUGUUAUGUUUUGAGAAAAUUUGUUUUAGGUGGGACUUGAAAUUAAGCUAAGGUGGAGAUUUGUUGAUUUUGGCUUAAUCCCAAGUCCCACAUCGGUGGGUUCAUUAUUUGGGAAGGAGGUUUGAGGGUUAUAAAUUAAACUCUCCUCCUUCACUGUUAUAUAUCCCAAUUUGUAAUAUCUUCUCUCAUAAUAAUAAAAGUGAGUUGUUUUUGCUGUGCUCGGAGAUUAGGCUAAACAGGCCGAACUCCGUUAACAAUUUUCGGGUGUGUUUUUCCUCUUUAUCUCUUUUAUUAUUCCGCUUUAUUUAUUCAAUAUUAUUUGUCGGGUAGCUCUGUUAGGGUUUUGUUUUAGUGGGAAAAUUACUGUUUUUCCCAACACUUCCAUUUAAUUGAAGAAGAAGCACGGUCAGGUGUCAGAAGAUACCGUAACUUUCGGAGCUUGGUGAUCUCCUUUGGAAUCUUACACACUUUUGUGUCUCGUAUAUCCAAGGUUUCCAAGUUCAGGAGCUUACCAAUGGAUUUUGGAAGACUUUCUAUCAGUGUUCCCCUAAAGCUUAAAUACCUCGGGUGGAUUAAAGUUCCUAACAUUUUAGGAACACAAGGUAAUCCAGAAUCUUCGUAAUCAAGUACCUUCAAUGGCAUAUAAUUUUUAAGAAUCUUGCUUUCAAAUUCGACAAACCAUGAUUCUUCUUGUUUUUCUGGAAUGAUUAUAAUUGACCGAAUGAGUGAGGUUUCAGUACUUCUAAUUACAUCAUUGGUUGCAAUUGUCAGACGUCGAACCAACCCACUUGACUCAGAUUGAUCAUCCCCACCACCACCAAUAUACUCGCCAAAACAAGUAUUCUUGACUUUUGCACGGAUCAUGUCGUGUAUUAAAUCAUGAACACGACAUUUUAUAAAUUUAUCUUCAAAGCUAAUUGAAGACACUUGCACCAAAUUUCUCUGGACCAACCCUAAUAAAUAUUCAUUUGCAACUUCUUCUAAAGAUUUCGGGGUAUCAGGUGUAACAAAUCUCUCAGCUACCCACUGCCUAACCAAUCUAUCAGAUUUAAUUUCAUAGCCUUCCGGAUACAUUCCGAAAUACAAUAAACAUGAUCUGAGAUUGAUUGGCAAAUCAUCAUAACUCCAACCUAUAACUUCUCUUAUACCGUUUAAGUUACGAUUCCUCUUGAAGUUUUCACAAAACUUUCUCCAUUCAGAGGCACUUUCGUCCUUUAGUUGACUCAAAAGACCACCAACGACCACAAUUGCUAGAGGUAAACCUUUACACUUCCUAAGAAUUUCAAGAGACACAUUUUUAAGUUCAUCGUGACAAUGUCCUUCAGAACCAUAACGUGCCUUCUUGUGGAGCAAUUUCAAAGAUUCUUCUUCACUUAGAGGUUUAUCAUGGUUAUAUACUUGAACAAUAGAAGAAGUCUUACAAAAGUCUGCAACUUUCACGUUUCUUGUUGUGAUUAUUAUCCUACUUUUAUUUUUAUCAUCAAUCAAAACAGAUUGAAUGUCAUCCCAAAAAUUUUCAUUCCAUACGUCAUCAAAUAAGACAACAUACCUCUUCUUGCGCAAGCGAUCUCUGACUUCUUUUUUCAAGGAGUCUUCAUCCAUAUUAGAAAUUUCAGAAGGUGGAUUCUCCUUUCUUUCUUUGCAAAGUUUGAGUAUCAUAUUUAUCAACAGUCCUUUUACUGUGUAGCGUCGAUGGACUCUGAUCAUUGUAUGGCACACAAAGUCGUCAUGGACCUUGUCAAAAACAUGCUUGGCAAGAGUGGUUUUUCCAACUCCUGGAAUACCCACAACCGUAAUCACAGUGCGUUCUUCUUGUCCCUCUUUCAACCAACCUCUCAAUUUGGCUGUAGGUCCAACAAGGCCAACAACCUCCUCUUGCGUCUCCAGAUCAUCUACAUGGUAGUGCAAUGAAUUCCAUUUAUUUUCUCCAGAAGUGCUUGAUCUUGGCUCUUGACUAUUUUUGCUUUUAAUACCUUUAACCUUACGUGCUAUUUGAAAUCGAGGGAUCAGAGUUCGGAUGCAGUGAAAAGUCUUAGGGUUUGUUUGCUUCCACAUGAGUACUAUUCACGAAGACAGAAAUGAGAAGCAUCUUCUUGUUUGUUUCCAGUGAUGCAUGAAGGAGAGGAGAAGUGGAAAUGGAAAGUUGAAGAGUUUUUGGUUCUUCUCACUCAUGAAGAGAAAGUUGAAGAGAAGAGGAGAAAGUUAAAUAGAUUUAUCUAAAUUACGUUUUUACCCUUAAUAUAUAUAAUAAAAAAUAAUUAAAAUCAUUUAACUUUUCUAAUAUUUUUAAAUAAACUGUACAUACCAAAUAAAUAAUAAUAAUAAUGUAAAGUCUUACUAAUACUAAUAAUAUAAAUAUUAAAAUAAUAAUAAUAUUUAAUNNNNNNNNNNNNNNNNNNNNNNNNNNNNNNNNNNNNNNNNNNNNNNNNNNNNNNNNNNNNNNNNNNNNNNNNNNNNNNNNNNNNNNNNNNNNNNNNNNNNNNNNNNNNNNNNNNNNNNNNNNNNNNNNNNNUAUAUAUAUAUAUAAUUAUUUAUAAAAAUAAAUUUAUAUAAUAAUAAAUAAUAUUAAUCAUCUAAAAUACUUAAUUAAUUUUUUAUAUAUUUCUAUAUAUAUAACAUAACAUAAUUUAAAAAUUCACAUAUAAUAUUAAAAUUAUUUAAAUAAAUUAACUUAAAUAAAAAAUAAAUUUUAAUUAAUAAAAUUAUACUUUAAUUUUAAAUUAUAAUUAACUAAAAUAUAAAAUAGGAUUAAUCAUUAUUUAUUCUUUUUUAUAUACAAGGGUAAAAUUGUAAUCUUACAAACUUUACUAUUCAAAAUAAUUUAUAAUAUUCUUACAACUAUCAUAUCACUCACAAAUUUCAAUAAACUUUCCUCACACAUCCACUCUAACAUACCCCAAUCCAAACAACCUCAACUUUCUUCCCACUUCCACUCUCACUCACUCUCAACUUUCCACUCCCCCACACUCUCUAAUCCAAACACACCCUUAGGGCUUGUUUGCUUCUAGGGGUGGCACUGUAGGCACAGACGGAUGUUGGGUGCCACCCCCGUUUGAAUUUGUAGUUGGGUGAGGGUGAGGGUGAGGGUGAGAAGAAAGUUGGGCAAAAUAAGGGUCUUCUGAGAAGUGAAGAGAAAGGAGAGGGUGAGUGAGUGAGUGCCACGUAGGAUGGAGUGAAAUAUCAUUUGUGCCCUCACUUUCAUUUUAGACGUAUGUGCAUCGUAAGUGAAGCAUGCAUGAGCAUCUGUGAAAACGAAACUCAGAAACCUCACAAAUCUCACAAAGCAGAGCAGAGGCAAUUCAGUUGUUCACAAAGCACAUACAUAGAGAGUCUGGUGGUUCAUGUGUGCCCUGGGUUAUGUUUUUUUUUUAUUUCAGUUUGAACCUAAUCGAUUAUUUCAGCUUUAUGUUUGCUCACAUAAUCGAUUAUCUGAAAAUUUUUGGCAACCAUAAUCGAUUAUGGGUCAUGUGUUAUUUUGACCAUAAUCGAUUAUGUUACAAGCAUAAUCGAUUAUGGGUCAUGUGUUAUUUUGACCAUAAUCGAUUAUGAAACUAACAUAAUCGAUUAUGUUAGUUUUUGCACUACAAGCAUAAUCGAUUAUGUCUGUGGAUAAUCGAUUAUGUGAUUUUUUUGAAGGGAACUGAUAAUCGAUUAUGUUCAUAAGUUUAAAUUUUCUUUCAAAUUGAAUUUGUUUAAAUUAUUUGAAAGUAAUUAUUGAUGUUAAUUACUUUGUAAUUUUAGAUCUAAAUAUUUAGGAGAAAUUUACUAAUUAUAUUAGUAAAUUAAUUAUUGUGAUAAGUUAUUUGUGUAAUUGUAUACUGGAAGGAAAGAUUAUAUUGAAAUAUGAAUAUUUAUGUUGUUACAGAUGAAUUCAAAUUAUAAAUAUGAAUACGUAUUUUAAAAAUAAUAAUAAUGUUUAGUGUUUCUUUUCUUAGCUUAUACAUAAAUUAUUAAUCUUAUAAUUAAAAUAUUAUAAAAAAGGUUGUAGUAAUUAAAAACACAGUCAAGGUUUAGAGAAGAAAAUGAUAAAAUUAUACUUAUAUUUAAAAUUAUAUUUAAUUAUUUCUUUGAAUUUUACAUUUUUUAUUUUAUUUAUAAAUACAAAUUUAAAUUAUUUUAAUUAACUAAAAUAUGCAUAAAAUUAAUAAUUACUGUAAAUAGUUAUUAGUGUUUAAAAAUUAAAUUGUUUAUAAGAAAUAGUUUUUUAUUUGUAAAUAAUAUUUUUAGGGUUUAGGGUUAGUUAAUAUUUUUUUAGAUUGAACAUAAAUUCAUAUUUCAUUUCUAUAUUCUAUUUUUUAAUUCAUUUUAAUUUUAUAUUAUUUUUUAAGUUAUAAUUGAAACCUACAAUUAUUUUAAUUAUGAAAAUUAUGUACAAAAUAAUAAUCAUUUUUUUAAGUAUACUUUAUUAUUAUAUAUAAUGUAAUAGAAAUUAAAUAAUAUAAUACUAAUUAUUUUAAUUAACUUAAAUAUCCUUUAAACUAAUUAAUAUUUCAUUUUCCUAUUUAUUUAUAUACAAGGGUAAAUUUGUAAUCUUACAAUUUACACUAUUCAAAAUAUAUUAAAAUACUCUCACAACUAUCACAUCAUUCACACUUUUCAAUAAACUUUCUUAACACAUCCAUUCUAACAUCUCCCAAUCCAAACACCCUCAACUUUCUCCACACUUUCUUUACACUUCCACUCAUCCACACCCUCAACUUUCCACUCACCCACAACCUCUAAUCCAAACACACCCUUAGAAAAAAAACCUGCCGAUGGAGGAACAUGUCCAAUACGGAUGUCAUGUUCGUCAAUCACAUCUUCCUUGAGAAAAAGUUCUUUUCUCGACUGCAUCAACUUUCUCUUCUUAUCUUCACGCAGACGGUCAUCUCUUUCAGCUUCAACGUCUUUAUCUGCUUCAUAAAUGGAAUCUCGCAAGUCUCCAAGUUCCUCUUCAAUCUUUUGAACUUCUUUUGGGACAUCUCUAAUCUUUUUGACAGUUUUCCAAAAUAUUGUAAUCCCAAACUCUAUAGCUUUGGACAAUAUUUCUGCAAUGCAAGGGCAGCACAUUUUAGUGUAGUGCUCUCUCUGUGUGUUUUGCUGUGUGGUAAUGGCGAGUGCAAAGCUUCGUGUUGAAGUUAUAGAGCAAUGUGAAGGUGAAAGUGGUCAGCAGUACACUAUUCACAAGUACAAUUUUAAUAAACAAAAAUAUUAAUAAUUUUAGUUUACGUAUAAUAAUUUAUAACUAAAAUAUUUUAUAUAACUAUAAUGAUGACAAUUUUAUUAAACUAGUUUAAGAUUUGAUUAAAUCUCAAAAUAAUUAUAUUGUUAUACCUUUAAUAAAAUAUCAAAUUAAAUAAAUAAAUAAAUAAAGUAGUUAAGUCUAAUUUUAUUCAUGAUUUAUUGUAUAUGUAAGAAAAUGUUUUGUGGUUUGGUGUCUCGUAUUUAUUUGGUCGUACUAAGUAGUAGUUGUACAGUUAAUUGUAUUUGUGAGAGGUAGUUCUAAUAUUAAUUGUACUGGUUAGCUUUCAACAAAUUUUAAACGUGGGUGGUAUGUGUGGCAUAUUUUACUAUAUAAUAUAGUUGUUUAGAGUUUUUACCACGGUGCUUAUAGUUAGUUUUUAAACAAUAUUAAUUAUAUUUAAUGUAUAUAAUAGUCGUUUAGUUAGUUUUGAAACAAUAUUAGUCAUAUUUUGUACCUUUCAGUAUGGACAAUCCACAAUCCACAUUUUAUUGAUGUGACUACCUGCUCACAUACUUUAAGAAUUAUAUCAUUAAAUAAUAUACUAUUAUGGAACAACAAAGUACUAAAGUCUAAGCAAAGUACAACAUGGUCCAUCAUGAUAAUAAUAAUAAUAAUAAUUAAAUCAUAUCCUCCUCCUUCAAGAAAAGAAUAGGAUUCAACAUUUGAAAGAUUUCGAAAGAAUAGGAGCUACAUUAAAGAAAGAAAUAUAGAGUUAAAGGAUAAAUACAAUGUCCUUAUUCAAAAAAGCUUGUCUCAAAAAUUCAAGGAUCUAGGAAGUUUUAAUCUUCCCGUUUCUAUAGGUGUUUUAUCUGUGGACAAUGCCUUGCUGGAUUUUGGGGCAAGUCUAAAUCUAAUUCCUUUGGCAAUGCUAAAGAAGAUAGGCGAUUUGGAAGUUCAACCCACCAAGAUGUAGUUACGGUUGGCAGACAGAUCCAUCAAAUAUCCUUAUAGUGGUUGAAGAUUCGUAUUCCCUGUGGAUUUUGUUAUAAUGGACAUGAAAGAAGAUGAGGAGGUUCCCUUGAUACUUGUCAGACCCUUUAUGGAGACUGCUAGAAUGACAGUUGUUGUUGACAAAGGAGAACUUCAAGUUAGAGCUCAAGAUGAGGAGAUAACUUUUAAUCUUUUUAUGGCCUAAAAGUUUUUAAUGCAGGGGAAGAACUUGUUCAAAAGGAUGUAACAAAGGGAGUUGUCCACCUUGAAAUAAACAGGCGUCAAGUUAGACGAUGUUAAACGAGCGUUUACUGGGAGUCAACCCAAUUCACAUUUUAGUUUUAUCUAGUUUUGUACCUUUGUUGAUUUUAUUUUUCAAAAUCAUGUUUUCUUGCAUGAAGUCUUGCCCAAGCAAGUUAAAUCUCGCUCAAGCGAGAAAGUUACAAAAAGCAGGGUUCUCUCGGGAGUUAUCUCGCUCAAGCAAGAUAGUUUCAUGACGAAAUUCUUGCUCAAGCGAGUUUUACGUCAAAAAAUGGUGUUUUCUCGCAAGGAUUCUCGCUCGAGCGAAAAAAAAAUUGCAAAAAAAAAUUGGUUUUUCUUAAAGGCACCCCAAUUCCCAUAUGUCUCCUAAUCAUUUUGCAGGUUAUGUAUUUUGGCCUGGAGAUAAGUUCUAUUAUUUAGGGGGGCAGAUCUAGCAAAUGAAGCAAGCCUAUAAAUGAAAAUUUUAACAGAAAGUUGGAUGACUUCUUAGGAAGAGAUAAUUGAUAAAAAAUAUGGUUUUAUCUUUCUAAUUUUCUUUUCAUUUUGGUUAUUUGAAUUUUGUUUUAUUUUUCUGUUUAUGUUUUUUAUUUAUUUUAUUUUUCGGUUACUUUGUUUUUUUUUAUAUUUUCUUAUUUGUUUAGUUUGUUUUCUUUACUUUUUUUUUAAUUUUCUGUUAAAUGCUUAUUUGGAUUUUUUGUCUUGAAUUAUUUUUCUUGAAUAAAUUUCAGUUUUAAUUUUUUUUUUGUUUAUUUGUGUCAAAUAAAAAAGAACUAGAAUAUUAACAUUAAAUUGUGAAAAAAAAUUGAGUUUAAAUAUUAAAUAGUGAGAUGAAUUAAACACAAGUUAGAAAAGAAAAUAUGUUUGAAUUCCUAUUCAAGUAUAGUUGAAAUUGUGAUACAUGAAAAUUUAACAGAAUGAUUGAUUAGGACAUAUGUUGAUGACAUGAUAAUUACCGGGAUGAUUUAGAGGAACGCAAGAUGUUAAAAGAGUACUUUGUAAAUGAUUUUUAGAUAAAUGAUCUUGUUCCUUUGAAGUAUUUUCUUGGUAUCUUGUUUAUAAAGAAAAAAGAAAGAAAUAUUACAAUUCUUACUUUCUAUGUUGAUGACAUGAUGGUUACCGGAAAGAUUUAAACAAACGCAAUACAUUAAAAGAGUACUUGGCAAAUAAAUUUGAGAUGAAGCUAUGCACAUACAUGUCCCAUUCAAUUGUAUUAAUAAUAAAGUUUCACAUGAUACAAUUUUAUCUAACACGACUUUAUAAAGCAUGUGGAGAUUGAUAGUUUUUUCAUUAAGAAAAAACUUGAUAAAAAUAUUCUAAAAUUACCAAAUAUUUAAUUUGAAGACACUUAGCAAAUAUUCUUACCAAAGUUAUGACAAAUCAGGUUUUUAGAAAAUUAUUAGAAAAAUUAAAAAUGUAUGACAUUCAUUUACAAACUUGAGGAGAAGAAUUUUUAUUGGUUAAAUUAUAAAUGUGUAUAAAAUAUUUUAUAACCAUAUCUUCUUUAAUUUAUAAAAAUAGUGUAGGUAUAUUAAUGAACUGAAUAAAAAUUAUAGAUAAAUUCUUUUUAAUUUAGGAGAGGUAUUAUUGAUCAUCCACUAUGUUGUUCUUUUAUUUGUGGAUAACGUUUCUUAAUCGUAUAUUUUUAAUAUUACACUAUAAAAAAUUAUUAAAUAAAAACUAAUUUUAUAGAUAAAAAAUAAUUAAUUAACUAUAAAAAAAUUUAAUUAUUAAUUAGAUAUCAAUUUAUAAAUUAAUUAAUAUUUUUUUUUAAUAAUAAUAACUACUUUAGGUGAGUUUUUAUGGUGUUUUUAUUAAAUGUUUUGCGACAAAGUGGUGGUUUGGUUUUUGUUUAUUUUAAAGUACUUCUAUUAAAUGUUUAUUAAAUUGGAUUUAUUGUAGUUGUCAAAUAGGCAGUUGUAUAAAUUAAUUAUAUUUGUCGGUGGUAGUCUUACAAUUAUCUUUAUGGUAAUUUUAAGAGAAUAAUAUAAAAAAAUUGAAAUCAUUUAUAAUAUGUUUUAUAAUUACAAAAUUUAAACAAAACAUAAAUUUUUUAGUAAAAAACCUUUAUUACUAUCCAAUUGAAUUAUUUUUUGACAAAUUUAACGGAAAAAUAACACCGAUAAAAAAAACCAUUAAAAAAUUAUGAGUAUUCAUAAUUUUGAAUUAUUAAUUAUUGUUUAAUAUAUAAACAAAUUUUUACACUUAUUUAUAAUUUAAAUUUUUAUCUAAAUAAAAAAAUUAUUAAUUUAAACUGACUUAUUUAAAUAAUGCAUUUAAAAAAUAAAUAAUUUUAAGUACGAUCAAUAAUAUAUUCAAAUAUUUCAAUAAUUAGGACAUUCUCUGUUAAAAUACGAGUUAGUAUUCUUUCACCCUUUUUCUUGCCUAUCAAAAUUUUGAAAAGAAAAUUAUUUUUCUUAACUCUGAUUUUUAAAGUAGUCUUCAUCUAAUUAUGUACUCUGUUUCAUGUGUUAUUUAAAUUAACUUCCAUUUACUUCUCUUAAUAUAAUAACUACAAUUUUACUUUAAAUAUAUACUUACAAUCAUAAAAAAAUAAUUAUUAAUUACAAAUCAAUUAGGUAAAAAAACUUAUAUUAUAAACUAUAUGGGAGAGCAAGUCUAAGUAUCUCAUGUAUUUAUAUAUAAAUCUAUAUAUUGUCAGGUAAGCUUCUAAAAAAAUGUCAUAAUUGUCUGCUUUUUUUAUAUCUUAUAUAUUUAUAAAAGAUAGCAUUUUUUAUACAAAAUAUAUAUAUAUAUAUAUAUAUAUAUAUAUAUAUAUAUGUGUGUGUGUGUUUUUAAAAGAAAAAGAAAAAUCUUUCAAAAUGUGCUAGAAAAUGUUUGAGCAAUUUAUUAAUCUACAACAAAGGCUACAUGGAAACCAAAAUGUUUCGUUUUGUUUUUAUCAAUGAAAAAGCUAAUUAUUAUAGCUUAAAUCUAAUUCUUUAUGUUAUUUUUUUUCUUAUUUUGGCCCGUUUCUUUUAUUUCUUCCAUUCUCGGCCAUUAAUUAAGCUCUGUUUUCAACAAUAUAUAACAGUCUUGUGCCUUUUACAAAUUGAUGUAACUUGUUUUGAAAAUUAACAAAAUAGAUCAAUUUUGAAAGAAAAAUUCAAAAUAUAAGCUCUUAACUAACAUAGGAAAAUUAAAGAUAUAUUUAUUAUUAUUUAAAUUUAAAUUUAAAUUUAUUAUAAUAUUAUUUUGAGAAUACAAGAUAAGUGGAAGAAUAUUAACCAAAAAAAUUUAUAAAAAAAAUGACAAUUAAGGCAAUUCAUAUUUCAUCAAUACUUAUUACACUCAUAUUUUAUUUUAUGUUCUCGCAUACUUAAGUAUCUUCUAUAUUUUUUAGGUAAAACUCUCUCAUCUAUUUGUUACAUUUAAACAGUUCAACCUCCAAUCAUCCAGACUGACAAAAAAUAUAUAUAUAAAUAACUUUAUAAUUUUAUAAUUAUUUAAUUUUUAUUUAUUUAUUAUUUUUGGAUAUUACAACAUUUAUUUACUUUUAUGAUACUUUCUCCUCAAACAUACAAUACAGUUUUUAUCUUUCUUUCUUCGUUUUUUUUUUAAUCAAAUAUAAUUUUUUUAUCAACAAUAAAAAAUAAAUAAAUAGGAACCGAAUGGUCUAACCCUUAUACGGCAACCAAAUAUAGUAUAAACAACUUACAUUCAAAUUUGUUAGUAGAGAAAUUCAACACCAUUUAAAAAAAAGUCUUUUCAUGAUAUCCAGUAUCAUUUUUUGUUGUUCUAAUAGAAAUAAUUUUCAUUUUUUUAAAAAACAGUUUUUUACAUAAGAAACAAAUAGAUUGACUCCAAUAAAAAGAAUUUGAAAAAUCAUAAAAAAAUGGUUGUCAGAGAGAUGCUCUAAACACUAUUUCAUGAAUUCCUGCUUCUAACACAGUUUUACCGAAACAUUUAAAAAAAAUAAACUUAAAUCUUCCUUAGAAAUACAAUUUUUUAAAAUAAUUUUUUACAUGCUUUAGUAUAUUUAAAAUAAAAUGAAAUCGUGUUUCUGCUAAUUAAAAGUAAAAAUUCAAAAAUAUUAAAGUGAAAUUGUGCAUGGUUUUAUCAUUGUUAUUAGGUUAGGUGCUAUUUUGUCUUUUUCUGAAGAUGAGAGACUGUUGAUGGUAAACAUAGGAGGCUGCUUCUUCCUGCACCUCAUCCAUACCUUCUGUCACUCCAUAAAUUUUUUUAUCCCAAAAAUAUUUUUUUUUUAAUAUUUCGAAUUACAAAAUUUGAAAAUCUUUUUCUAAAUUCAUAAUUAGCUUUCGGAUUAUGUAAUCCGAAAGUCUUUUGUGAUUAGCUUCUGAAUUAUAUAAUCCAGAAAUCUUUUCUAUACAUAAAAUUAGCUUCUGGAUUACAUAAUCCAUAGGCUUAUUUCAAAUGCAAAAAAGAGUUAUGGAUUUUAUAAAUCUCAAGAAUAAUUCCGGAUCCAAAAACAUCUUCUGGAUUAUGUAUGAAGGUGGCACAAAAAAGGAGAAAACGGUAUUUUUACAUUUAGUAUGGGAGUAGCAGAAGAAGGUAUGGAGGUGUAGGAAGAAAGAGUCGAAAAAAAAUGUCGAUCUGAUCAUAAAUAUACUGUGAUAAAGUUGUUUUUCUUUUUUGGGCUUGUUUUGGGCCUUUUUUACUUUUUGUAACUUAUCAUGUACUUAGGCCCACUUUACGCUGCUUUUCUUUUUCUUUUAUAUUGCACACCCUUGUAUUGCUUUUUACACCUAUUAUUUCAAUAUCAGUUUUCUUUCUUCCACGAUUCUCUUCAUUCUCUGUCUCUUUGCCUUUUCCCUUUCUUUUAGGGUUUCGUUCUUUAUACAGAGUGUGCUUUAUGGUGUUGUGUGUGCUCGUUUGCAGAGAGUGUUAACCUUCAUUCCAUUCACGUGUUCUUUGUCUCGGAGUAACGCGGCAAUCGUAUUAUACUGACUCUCAUAAAACAGCUAACAAUGUUUCCUUAUGUUACUGCUAUAACUAAUAGAAUAGAUAAAUCAUGUUAGAUGCAUAAACUAUCAUACUAAGAUGAGUAUAACAUUCAUUUUGUGAAAAGUUUUGGCAAUUUGGAGAAUUGGGCGAUUUCUUUAUACCAUGAAAGAUUUUACCCAUAUCUUCAAUACAAGCAGACAAAAGAAUUGCAGUUCCAGAACAAGGGUUUCGAUUAUCACAGCUUGGAAAAAAUACAAUGAAUUUCUAGGAAUACACAAAAAAGAAUAGUGGCAUGUAGGAGAAUGCCCUUUGAUCCAAGUAGGAUCUAAUGCCAGCCAGACAAAUUGCUUGGACAAUUAUCUGAUGAAAUGCUAAGAAUACUAACAGCAGGUAAGUUAGUAAUGCUCCUGAUAUAUUGCUCCAAAUUCUGAUCUCCAUGCCUGAUCAUCGUAUGAAUAGGAGGAAGCUGCAUUGUGUGCCAAAUCAGAAUCCUCUCUAUACAGUGGUUGCAGUGCAGACUCAGGUAAUUUGCUCUCUGUAAUGUACUGCUUCAUGGUAUUAAUCUCUGUCUUGUGUUUUCUUUUCAGCUUCUCAAUUUGCAUCUUCAAAUUUUCAUUAUCUUGUUGCACAUUUGCAAAGUUCUCCUGUAGAACAUAAGAAAUAUAAUAUUCAAGAAAUGUUUAAAAACAUGUUAAGACAGAAUAUAUGCAGAAUCUUCACAACCACAGAUACUGGUAACAUAAUUGUUCCCUUUAAUAGGGAGGCAGAAAAUUAGUGGAAUACAAUCUAUCUUGAGAACAUUCUGUGUUUCCUUGUUAAUUCUGUAUUACUUGCCCAGCCCCUUUCUUUUUUUCCUGUUUAUUUGGUAAUUAGUGAUCCAAAAAACACCAUCCCAAAAGAACACCAGCAUUAACUCCCUAAAAUAUGUUACAUUGAUUCUAGAACCCUUAAAAUCAGAUAGAAUUGUACCUCUGCAAAAGCUGCUGCAUGUUCAGCUUCUCUUAGUCUAACAAGUAGCUCUCCAGCAGCCUGAACAGCUUCUGCAGUCUCUCGAAGUUGAGUCUUCAAGUUCUGGUUCUCCUUUUUCAAUAAUUUUGAUUCCCUUUCUCUUUCCACCCUCAACGCAGAAAGCUCAGCGGAAAGAGAUUUGGCAAAGCGUGCGUGACCUUUUUUUGAGGCUUUCGCUGCUGCCUUCUUCACUUCUGCUAUCCCUUCCAUUAUGGCAUCGUGUUUCGCAAACAAAUCAUCGUAUUUUUCUUGUAGAUCAGCAUAGUGUUCCACCAUUCUAGCAUUUCCCAUAACUGCUCUCUUUAGCGCAUCAUCUAUUUCUGCCACGCACUUCUUUUCUGACUUCAGUUCCAUCUCCAACCUCUCAGUAUGUUGGCGAUAAGACUCAAGAUCAGCUCUAAGUUCAUCAGUAAGACAAAUCCACUCACUUUCCAUUUCUGUCCAUCUCUGUCUUUCAUUCUCUAGCUCUUCGUUGCCAUUAUCAUAAGAAAAUACCCCGCUUUUUUGCAGUUGUAUGGAUCUUGACAUCAAAGAAGAUCUUAGUUUGUCAGUAGAUUUUUUAACUGGUGCAUCACUACAUGACUGCAGCUUGCUCCUUAGAUUCUGAAUUUCCUCAAGAAGUGACUCCUUCUCAGUUGAAUCAAAAGUGAUGUCCUUUUGGCCUAACUCUUCCUGAACUUCUUUAAUUUCACAUUUUUCUUCCAUAAUACAUGGCAAAUGACCAUUUGAGGAAAAUUCCCUUAGAAGCUGCAAAUGAUAUCAACCAAAACAAAUGAAAACUAACCAUCAAGUGGAUAGACUUUAUAGUUAUUAUAAACUAUAAAUUAUAAUACAUUCAACUGACCUUUUCUUCAUCUGUCAUCGAGUUAUACACAGUAAUUGAGUUCGGAUCUCUCUCUCCUUUCAAUUUCUCCACCUGGUUAUAAGAGACAUCGCCAUUAAAUGUAAAGUCAAAACCACAACUCAUAAUGGAAAAUGGGAGGAAUAUUAUACCAACUGAUUUAGUUGCUCAAUUCUAGCUGCUUGCUCCUUGCAAACAAUCUCGAGCUCCUUCUCUUUUAUGAUGUUUUUGCCAUUACAUUCUCCAAAUGCUAACUAAAUUGUCAAAAAAUGGAUAAAUGAAGUCAAGACAUAAAAGAAGGUAUUUAAACAGAUACUUGAGAAAAUUAAAACAAUACAUACUUGGACCACACUGGAAUCCUGAUUAGAUAGUUUAGUCCGGCAUGAUGCACAAAGGAAAGAACCUACUUCUUCACUGUAAGCUUUCUGUGGUAUUGUUUGGUCACAAGAUUCAGCCUUGUCAAUGUCUGGACAAGGUGUCAAAGUUAAGUGCUCAAAGGAGAAGGAAGUUGAAGAUUUGUUCAGUGCUGAGUUAUGCUGGUGAUAGUCAAUAAUCUGUAGUCCCUUCUGAAGGCUUGCUGCCAAGGACUCAACCUUGCUAGACUGUAACGAGGAUUGCACGUGCUUGUCUUGUUUAAAUGGUUUGUUCAACACAUCGUUACUGAAAGUUGAACUCUCUGCCACAUUGUUCCAACUUCCAAGAUAACUUGAUGAAAUAGCCAAACUUUUCCUUUGAAUUUUGCUGAAUUUUGGAGACUCAGACAACUGUGGUCCAGCAAGUACUGGAGAUUGAUUACAUGAAUUUACUGAAAUGCCCAAUGUUUUUCCGCAGCAUUCCUCAGCCUUUUCAAUUUCAUCACCACUGGUGGGGUCUGCAUCACAAUUUUCCUCAAGAGAUAUGUCCUUUGGAUUUCCUUCAGAUGAACUAUCCAAUUCUUCAAUUUGCUGGCAUAAUUGCUGUAUGUCAUCCUCACUGACAUUUACGCGCUCAAUAGUAUCACAAUCUAUGUUGGAUAAGAGAAGAGAGCGGUUUAAGCUGACUCUCAUCUGAUUCAGGCUUUCCCGCACAUUUUGUCCUUGGAAGUAUCCAUCUUUACUCCCAGCUGAGCUGUGAAUAUCAGUCUUUGCUCUAAUAAGUUCUUCCUGAACCAUAGAAAACAUAUUGUAAUCCAAAGAUUUGCAUUAGAGUUUGAUCUUUCAAUAACAACUACCUACAUGAGUCCAGGAAUAUACCUUCAAGUGUCUGAUGUUAUUACUCAAAUCAACAUCAGUCUCCUUUAUUACAUUGAUAACAGGCUCAUUUCUGAUGGAUCUUACCUGCUCACCAAAUCUGAGUGUGCGCAGGGUUUUAUCGUUACUCCUACAAUCAACAAGCGCAAUCUUUAUUUUUAGAACUCAAAAAUACCCUCCCACUACACUCUAUAUAUGAACAAAUUAUGGUCUUCAAUCCAGGUUAAUACUUGUUAUUAGGGGAGAUGGAACAUAUUACUGAAAGUUUGGCAUUUCCACCAAGUGGUUCUUGUAGUAAGCGUGUUAAACAGGAGUCGCUGUGCAGAAUGUCUCCAUUUUUUCCAGACUGAGAUUUCUUAGUCAGAGCAUCCACUAAAUGCCUACACCAGAUAAAUAUAACAGUGGUUACAAAUAGAAAUAAUCAGACUAUAGAAAUUACAAUAAGAACUAAGGCUCUGUCUGGAAGAGAAUUUGCUAUGCUAGCAAAUUACUUAGGCUUAUUUUAUGACAUGAAGCCUUUUUAAGUAUUAGGGAAAACUUGUGAAAAUAGCUUAUGACAUGUCCAUAAGUUAUUUUCACAUUAGUUCAAUUAUAAGACAUGUCCAUAAGUCACUUUCACACUUAUUCCAAUUUACAUAAACACUUGCAUGAUAAGCACUUCUUCAAAAAGUACUUAUUUAAGUUGUUAACCCAAACACACUCUAAGAAGUAACUUAGUCACGGGAUCUUACUCAAGCUGAGACACUGAUUUCUCUACUUGUCUGUUUUCCCUUGCACAUUGGCUACCUACAUCACCAACUUCAUCCCUGUCCAGUCCAGCAAGAUCAAUAAGGCUGAUUCUGCUAACUUUUGAGCUACUGAAAAUGUCCUUUGUGGUUCCCUGUAACAUCAGUUUACGAAAAUUGUGUUUAAUCAACCAAACUAAUGAAAAGAAUUAACAAUAUAAGUCUGCCUUCAACCUUAGAAAACCAACUGUUUCGUACAAAACUGCUGUUAAUGUCAGGUAGAAUUACAAAAAUUUGACAGUAUAUCUCAUUUCGAAAUUUGACAGUACCUUGCACAAAGAUUCAAUGACAAAAGUGAAAAUUAUGUGCGAUCCAGAGCUAUUAGAAUUUAAGCUUGUUGCUUCCUUUUUCCUCCUUGAAAGGCCCUGCAGCAUACAUAAAAGAAUGAACUUAGCCGAUUAAGAUUAAAAAAGAACUGCUGUCAUUAAUGGGCAAAUCCAUACUAUAGUUAGACCAAAAAUAUCAGCUAACAGAAACAAAGCUUUUAGCUUCUCAUAAAUUGCAUAUAGAUUUCAACAAUGUAGACCUUAAUCAAAAUUUGUGCCACAUCAUCAUAAUUAGUGAUGUAUUCCUCAACCAGAUUCUCAAUAUAAGGAGCAUUUCUUGAAUCAUCCUUCAUCUGCAAUAAUUUUGACAUAGGUAAUAAGCAUGUAGCAACUAGAAACAGAAGAAACAUGAAGCAUUACAUUGAUAAAUUUGUACUCAAAAGACGGAGCAUAUUGCCUACCUCAAGGUUCUGCUGGAUAGGAUUGAGUAAAUUGCCAAUUCGUUCGUUGUUUAUCUGUUUUAAAACACAGAGCAAAAAACGAAGGAAGAAACACACUUUAGCAAUAUCCAGCGACCAACUCAUUGCUGUUUUGGGAAGCUUUAUAAAGGAAACUUAAGUUCUGAUUUACCUCGAGAAAUGAACAGCGACAUUGAUAGUUGAACUGCUUCUGAUCAGAAGCAAGCCUCUCCUAUAUUGUAAUCCAAACUCAAUCAUUCAAAAUUUAAAAGAAUAUAUAUAUAUAUGAAAAAAAUUAGUGAUUAAAGUUGAAGAUAGAGCGAGCAUACUCUCUCUAACUCAGAUAAUAACAUUCUGAAGAUCCGAGGAACAAUUCCCAAUUGACUAGAAGACGAGGACUCAUCAACCAUGGCACUUGGGGGACCCCACAUUGUGUAAGUCUUUCCACUCCCAGACUAGUAAAGAAGCACAACACAGGUAAGAAGGAAAAAUAAUCCUCAAUAUUCCAUCAAAAAUUGACACUCGUUUUGUCACUAAAAAAGUUCAAACGCAUAGCAAGCAACCAAAUGUACCUGGCCAAAUGACAGAAUAGUAGUGUUGUAACCAGCUAAGGCAUUUCUAACCAAGGGAACACCCACUGACUGAAAAACAUCUUCCUGAACAUACAACAGCACAUAAAUCAAAUUCAAGAUUGAUCUUCUCUUGAAAAGAAAACCAGGCAGCAAAAUCAUCGAAUAAAGAAAGGCAAAGUCCUCAUUCCCUCAUUAUUACAGCAAAGUGAUGUAAUUUCAAAUUACCUUUUUUUUUCUUACAUUAAGAGAUACUUUAAGAUUUCAAACACGAAUCACAAUCACACAAUGAAGCGAAGUUCCUACCUGAUUGGAGUUGCCAUCAAAAACUUCAUCAAACAUGAACUUUAUGUCCCCAAUACACAGGGCAUCAGAAGAAACCUUCUUAAUUUCCCAAUCCCCCUCUUUUCCAUUGAUAUUUUCUGGCUUAAUUCUCACCACAACCUGCUCCAAAAUACACAACAUAUCAUAAGCAAAAAAUAAUAAUUACUUUACACACUAGUUUCUGGGGCUACAGAUUACAGCUUGAAAGUUGAAAUGUGACCAAAGGAAGCAAAUUUUGAACUUGCCUUCACAUGUGAGUUGCUCUGGGGAAAUGGGUCGGUGGGCUUCAAUUGUUGGUGGUGAUUGAGGGAAAUGUUUGGAUGGGUAGGGGGAGUGUUUUCAACGUCCGACUUUAGGAAUUUAUGGUUUGUAAAGGAUGAAGAAGUGGGUUUGCGAUUGGAAGAAGAGAUUGAUCUGAGAAAAUUCGAAGAAAUGCUUCCCAAGAAACCACUUGAAUCUGUGUUGUUCUUCUUUUGCCUCAUUUUUUUGAAAAAAUGAAAUUCAGAAGAGAGAGAGAGAGAGAGAAUUUAGAUUCAAAUGUUGGAUAGAGAGUGAAGAGAAGAUGAAGAGUGUUUGAAUUGGAUUAACUUUGAUUGAAGAAAGAUGACCGUUAUGAAUGUUACGACCGAAAUCCCUAAAUUGUCCUUUUUGAUUUAUGAAGAAAUUAUUGCUUUUAAAUAAAAAGGUAAUGAUAAAAGAAAGUGGUCGGCGUUAAGAAAAGGUUAAAUAUAUAAUUUACAUUAUUAAUCUAAUAUUUUUAAAGACAGUAUUAUUUUCUCUCUUUAUUUUUUAUAACUGUUUUUCAGUUAUAUAAUUCAUUCUUCUUUUUGAUGAAUAAAAGUGUCCAGAUACAAUUUUCCUAAACAAUUAAUUUUCAAUUAUUUAAGAAUAAUAAUAAUAAUAAUAAUAACUCAUAUACUAAAAAAGUAAUUAUAUUUAUGAAUUUAAUUGAAAUAUAUUAACAGUUUAAAAGAUAAAUUGUCAUCUAAUGACAAAUACAUGCAGUUAUAUUGUUUAUUUUUGUAAUAAUUUAAAUUUUGUAUAAGAUAAUUUUAAGUUAGUUUACCGUUUAAAAACUUAUUAAGAAUAUAUUAAAUUAAAAUUUACAUAUAUUUUUGUCAAAAAAUAAUAGACAUCCAUUGCUAUUUUUAAUAUAUACUUUGAAGUACAUGCUUCUAAUCAAAUCACAAUACAUUGUGGAUGGGUUACAUCAAAUAUUGAAAUAAUAAUGUCUCAUUUAUAUUAAAUAACUAGAAAUAUAUAAGAAUGUGAAAAAUAUACAGAGAAAAUUAGGUAAAUGUUUGUUAGGACUUCACAACUUUAUGUUAGUAACAUUUUUUUUUCAUUUGAAUUUAUACUCUUGUUCUUGUUUUGUAUUGACUGAGAUAAACAUUUUGCAAUAGAAAAAGCAAAUUAACACACUAAUCUUUGUUUUAUUUUCUCCAACUUAUUUCUUUUGUCAACAACUUCAAAUUGAGUCUCUAAAUUCAUAAAAAGUAUUAAUAAAUAUAGUAAAUUAUUAUUUACAUUAUCAUUUAAUCAUAAAUCAUAAAAAAAUUCAUAAAUAUAUUUAUUGAAUGUUACAAUAAUUAUCUUAAAAAUUGUAUCAUGGUGGUUUGUAAUAAAUUGUGUAAAAUUGUUUUAUAUUGUAAAAGUAUAAGUAUUAACCUCAUAAUAUUAUAUCGAUUCAAAUAAAAAAAUAGAAAAUGUGAGUGGACCAUUAAUCCUAUGAGAAAGUAAAAUAUAAUUGAAAGUUAAACAAAAUGGUCUCUUGAAAUUAUCCAAAAGUCGUUUUUUUGGAAAAGUUCAAAUUAACCACAACCAUUACUAGUUUUAGAGCGGAGAAAUGCAUUAAAAAAAUUACUUAAAUCAUAAAAUAUGUGAUGUUGUUUCUUAUAUAAUUUUGAUUGUAUAUUUAGAUUUUUAAUUUUUGAAUAUUAAAUAAUUUUGGUUUAAUUAAUAUAUCAUUAAUUAUUAAAAAAUCUUAAUACUUUUGUCAUGAUAAAAAAAUGUUAAAGUUUGUUAUUAAAUCUAAAGUUUGCUAUUAAAACUUACUAACGAUUAAGGUUUAUUAUGUCUUUUUAUUUUUUAUUAUAUUAAAAUAAUUUUAAAUUAAUAUACUAUAUGAAUAAGUAAUUUAUUAUUAUCACUAAAAAAUAUGUAACAUUUUAUGUUAAUAAUUGAAUAACAUAUAAUUACUCAGAUUUAGAAAAUUAAAUUUGUAAUUAAAAUUUUAUAAAAUAAAUCUAUUUAAAAAAAACGCUCCUGCAAGAGAAUGAGGGAUAAAAUGGUCCAUUGAGGAAAUUAUAUUCAAAAUAAGUAGUCGUUGAGGGCGGUAGGAAAAAAUGACUUGACUUUCGUUUCCGACAUCAAUUAUUAAUUAUCGAUAAGCAUAGAUCAACAGAACAUUAUUAUUUUAUUGUAAUUUGUAAUAAUAAUAAUAAUGAUAGGAAUUUAUUAAAGUAUAAAAAAUAAAUGAAAAGUUAUUAUUAUUUAUUAUUAUAACGAAGCAUAAAAGCUGUUCAACUGUUUUAAAUAAUUUAGAAUAUUUUUCCCGAAAAAUAUUUUUUUAAAAAGUCUAAUUAUUUAAAGACUCUUUCCUUCAAUCUUUUUAGAAUAAAAUAAAGGAUAUUUUCUUUUUAAUUAUAAAAUUUUUUAGGUUAGACAUCAUACUUUAAAUAUUAAUAAUUAUUUGUCAUAAAAGACACUUUAACAAAGUUGAUUUUUUUAUUUUCUUUUUAAAAAAAAUAAGAUUUAAUUAUUUUGAUAAAUUUUAUGGAAUAAUUUAAAAAUAUAUAUAUAACAAAUUUUCCAAAAACAAAUGUUUAUUUAUUGUAACUAAAAAAAUAUAAAAAUGACAAGAAUUACAUCACCUUGAAGUACAUGAGAAAGUUAUUGGAACUUUAGUGUUUAAUUACAUUUCACGAUGUUGUGUUCUUGAAUGGGUUAGAAUCAAUAAAACGAUUAAGUUGCUCCAUUACUUUCUCGGUCAGUUGGUCUUCAUUUCUAUUUCUCUCCAAGCAAGCUCCUUACUCUCCUCCUCUUAACCUGGUUUCCACAAAGUCUAGAUUCAAAUGGUACUUGCAAAAGACACUCUGAUGCUCAAGUCAAAAUUGAAUAUUCGACACUCAAUACACUGAGCAUUGUAUUAUGACGUACUGGUUCUUGAAUUUUGUGCUUAUUUAUAUAAUUAUUAUGAGCUUUCUCUUAUUGGGUCAGAUUAUGGAGUUGGGUUAUGUUUAGAAUUGUAUUACCUAACUCUUGAUUGUUGAUUAACUUCGCUAAUCUUGCUUUAGUGUAAUAGUCUUAAAUUUUUAGUACACCAAACAAUUUUAUGAUAGAUAGAUAAUAUGUUUAUAAUAUUCAAUAAAUAGUUUAUAAGGUUAUUUUAAAUUUUAAGUAACUAUAUAUAAAUACAUCUAUUCACAAAACAUAAAUUUUAUAUACUCAUAUAUAACUCUUUCUUUUAUAUAUAUAUAUAUAUAUAUAUAUAUAUAUAUUAACUAAUUAAACAAAAAAAAAAUUAUUCUCAAAUAUUAAUACUAAGUAUAUUUUAUCAAAGAUUAUCACUUUACAAUUACUAUCGCUUUUGAUCUACAUACAAAUUUUAAGUCCAUAAUUAAGUUAGGAUAAAUUUAUUACACAAAUAAUUGUUCAAUCAAACUAUAUAAGAACAUUUUCUCUAUUUCUCACCACUUCAAGUGUUAAUUUAUAUGAUUUAAAUCAUUUGUGAAGUAAUGAUAUCUCUUUUCAAUAAUUAGUUCAUAUAUAUUCAAUAUUAUAAACCAAAGAUUGGUUCAACAUACCACCAUAGGUACCCAACUUCAAAUCAUGUAAUCCAACAUACCCAACUUUUCAACAUGCUGAUAAAAAAAAAGUAAUCCAACAUUAUAUACCCAAUUUAUACACUUAUAUAUAAUAAUUACUCAAAUGUAAGUUUAAGAAUAAUCUCAAAUAUUACAUCAUCAAAUAAUUAUACACAUGCAAAUUGAUAAUUGAACAUAAACAUGUAUUAGUUUCACUUUCAAUCCAUUCAUCAAAUUUCAUUUCAACCUAUAUAUCAAUUUCAUAUAUACAUAAACAGUUCCAAUACAAAUUUGUUAGGCAAAGUAAUUUGUUUAAUAAAUUUACAUUAUAAAUCAAUUCAUUGUUGGAUUCAGUUCCAUUAGACGAACUCUCAUAUGUUUGGGUGAAUUAUCAAAACUAACAAAAACAUUAGAUUUCACAGUAUCACAUACAUAAUAAUUAUAAAUUUAACAUUUCCAAAAAUUCCAAUCAAGCAUAACAUUCAACAACUAGAAUAAAUAAUAAUACAAUAUAAAUUUUAAAUAAUUUGUCAAAAAACAAAAUUAAAAAAAAACAUAAAAAUAUAUUUCUAAGUUGUACAGUAAUUAAUAAGAUCUCAAUUAAUCUAAAUUCUAAAAAAUUAUACAAAUCCUCUUUAUAUUUCCAUAAUUUCAGUUAUAUAGCUUUCAAUUUCAUCAUAAAAAAAAAUUGCUAGUAAUUUUUCUCAUAAUAUUUUCUUAAUAAAAAAUAACUUAAUGUACAAAGGCACAAACUCAACAAUUACAAUAUUAAUAACAUUCAACAAUAAUUUGUUGGAAUUAAAGAUUGCAUUGAGUUGUGUUUGAUGCAUUUAAACUCUCAUGAAUAUUUAAGAUGUUUACAUCAUAAAAAAUGAAGACUAUGUUUGUCUUAUCAUGUAUAUAGAUUUGAUUUCAAUGUAAUUGGUUUGUAGUUUUUUCUUCCCAAAUUUAAUUGAUCUUAGAAAACUAAAAACAUUGUUUUUAAAUUGUUUAGAACUUGAUGAUUAUGUUUGGAAAAUUGUAAUGGCUUAAAUUGGUACUUUAAUAUGUUAAAAUGUUAUUUAUUGAAGUCUUUAAAGACUAAAGUGAAUAUUUUAACUUAUUGAUUUAUCGAAUCAAUUGGUUAAUCACUUACGAUUUUUAAAAAGUUUAGAAAAUGAGGUUUUUCAAUCAAAUGUAACUUGUUAAUAAACUUGAAAUAUUUUAGUUUUCAAAAAGAUAUAGUUUUAAUAAAUUGAAAACUUGAUUUAGUCCAUUGUUUUCACUUUUAGUAAAAUCAACAAAUUAAAACAAAGGUUUAAUCGAUUAAAACUACCAGUUUCAAUUUUAAUUAAAAAUAUUUUUGGAAUAUAAAUAUGCUUUUACAGAACUUUGAAUUAUUAACAAAAAAGAGAUAGAUUUUGAAUUAUUCUAAGAGCAAGAGAACAAUUACAAAUUGAACAUUUUGAAUCUUGGAGUAAAUCUUUGUGUUCUUUGAUCACUUUUGCAUUGGUGAAUAUCUUAUUCUAGUUUUUUUUUUCAAAACCUAAAUGUUUUUGCAAAAAAACUCAGGGUGUAUUCUUUCUAAUUCUGAAUCUUUCUUGUACUAUUGUGUAAAAUUAGAUAGGGUUUCUAAUUGUAGUACUGAGUUGUGUGACUAUAGAACACUCUUAUAGGAUUCAAGAGGUGAGUUCUUGGUUGUCUUGUAUUGUAAGAUACUAUGAUUUAGUGUGGAAUCUCAGCUGGUGUAACUAGGAAUGGAUGUAACUCUAGAGGAAGAGUGAACCGUAUAAAUUUUGUAUGAUCUUCCUUUUAUCUCUCUUUUAUGUUAUCCACUAUGAUCUUGAUUUAAUUAUUGGGUUAUUAAAAAAUUAAUUGGUAGAUGUUUUGAAACAAAAAUUUAAUUUAUGUAACACCCCGCAAAAGUAGCACCCCAACCCCUUUUUCUUUGACUUAUUCCCUUCUCUCUAUAUAUCUCUCCUUCCCAUCUCUCUAAAUUAUCUUCUUCAUACCUUAUUUAUCUGAUCAAAAAUUCAAAUAGAUUAAGUUCUUAUUUACUCUAAAGAUCUCUUAUUCUUCAUUUUUCCAUAUGAUUUGAUCAUCAAUCUUAGUGAGGUUAGUUGAAAACAAGUGGUCCUCUCGACUUAUUCUGCCAUAUAUUGAAAUUUGGCGAUGUUUGGACAACUUGCUUUAGGUCUCCAGAUUUUGGAGUAGUUUCCCUAAUUGAGCUGGAAUUUUCAUUACAAUAAUGAAUUUUAGGUAAGGGGAGCUAACUUUAACUUUCAAUAAUACCCUAGGCUACAAGAUUUGGAUGUGGAGGGGAUGUGGUCUCAUGUUUCAAUUUCUAAUGUAGAGAAGUUAUUUGAUUAAAUUGUUAGAUUAUAUGUUGUGUGAACAUAUAGAAAUAUUAUAUUUUCAUAAUUUGGUAAUUAAGUGUUGUUUUUUUAUGUUGGAAAGGUUCUUGAAUGUUAAGUGAUUGAAUGAUAUGAAUUGUAUGUGAAUAAUGAAAAAUGUAUGAAAUUAAUGUCAUACAUUUGGGAUAAUGCAUGAGCUAUUAUUUGAUGAUACAUUAAGUAUGAAAUGUCUAUAUUUAAUAAGGAGCAUCUAGCUUCACUAUUGAUUUAAGUCAAACAGACAAAGGUAUCAUGUGAUGAGAAGUUGAUGAGAGAGUUCAUACACAUUGUGAUCGCUUGUAGUGACACGAUAUUUGAUGUUUGAACAUACCAUGAUCUUUUCUCUUAUAUUUGUGUGUUAAUCUAAGUCUUUGGUAUUGGAUCAGAUGUUAAUCUCUAGUAGGGACAUACUUAAUGAGUCUUCCGAAAGAUGAUGGAUCCAUGUGUAGUCAAUGUGAUUAAAAUAAAAUUGAAGUAUUAGGAAUUGAAAGAAAAUCAAAAUACUAUUAUUACAAAUGGAUCCAUGUGUAGUCAAUAUGAUUGAAAUGAAAUCAAAGUAUUGUGGAUUAAAAUUAAAUCCAAUUAUUUUGAUUGAAAAUAGAUUCAUUUAUGAUCUAUAUGAAUGAUGUAAUUGAUAUUGAAAUUUUAUAUGAUAGCUAUAGCAUUUGAAAGAAUUUUUAUAAAUGACUAAUUGAUUGGUUCUUUUUACAUGUAUUGAGUAUGUUAUGAAAUUUAUUUUCAUUACUUUACCUUGUUUUUCUUGUCGUAUUGUGAACUGAGUUGAUUGUGAUACUGUACACGAGUAGAUACUAAUACAAACACGGAAACAUUUGGGAGGUCUUAGAAUUUUAUUUUGGAACUUAGUUCUAUAAAUAUUUAUCUUUAUAAAAUUUGUAUAUAACCCUAUAAUAUUUGUAUUGUAAUAAUUAGUUAUAUUUUGUAAAUAUAACUCAUUAAUUAAUGUUGACUUAGAGAACAUAUCUGUUUCUCCGAAUAGCUCUUAUAACUGUAAAAUCUUUAGAUUAAAAAAAUAUAAAAUUUAAUCUGGAAAUAACUCUUUUACAAAUAUUUUCAGAAUAAUUUAUGUCUAUUUUAAUCAAAAUAUAAAAAAAAUGAACAAAUAAGCUCUGUAUAUUACCUAAUACUUUGACGUUUGUAAAUUAAUUAUAAUUUAGUCGAUUAAAUAUUAAUUUUAGCCGAUUGAAAAAAAUACUACAUGAAUUUAAUUUCUAGGCACUAAAUAAAUUUUAGUGUUUGUUUUUCCAAGCAAGUCACGGUGAUUUCCAUUUUUAAAACUUUACACCAACGUAAAGUAUUUCAUAUUUUAUCAUGAAUGAUUAAUAAUUUAAGAAAUAAAUAAUACAUAAUUUACACAAAUCCGUAUAUUCACAUAUCAACAGUGACUCGUAAUUAAACAAACGAAGUUAAAUAAAUAAAAAUCAAACUUAAUUACACAUUAUCUACAAAUUAUACUAUUCAGACCUUUUCUUAUGUAUUUUACUAUUAUAUUCUUGAAUUUGUACACAUUUUAUCAAUCCAUUAGUUAAAGUAACUUGUUUUAAAAACUAUAUAUUUUUAUCAAUUUUUGUUAUGAUCGAAACAAAUAAGAUAGGUAAAUUUUUCCUUUUUCUCCAAUAUUUCUAACGCACUUCAUCUUAAUUUAUUUGUGAAAAGUUUUAACUUUUUUAAAAAUUUAAAAAAUAAUCUCACUUGCAUCUUCAUAUCUCUUUUUCAACAGUAACAUUAGAAGAAAAUUAUGAAAUAAAAACUAAUAUUUAGUGACAAAAAAUAAUUAGUUGUUAUAAUUACUAAAUUAGAUAUUAUUUUAGAGACUAAAAAAAAUUUGGUUUCUAAAAUUAGUUUUUAUUAUUGUUAAAUGGUUUAUUUGGUAGCAAAAAUCUUGGUGGCUAAUUAAAUAUAAAUUUAUAAACCAUUUAACAAUAAUAAAAACUAAUUUAAAAAUAAAUUUCUUUUUUUUUCUAAAAUGGUCUCUAAUUUAGUUACUAUAACAACUGAUUUUUUUUGUUCUAAAAUUAAUUUCUUCAUGUGUUUUUUGUAGUGUAAUACUUUCAUUUCUUUGAGCUUGUGUAAGAGAGUUAGUGAGAAAAUUCAUUAUAUUUGAUAUUUCUUAGUAAAUAUUUUUUAUAAUUUUUUAUAUUUGAUUUUUUCAACUUACUAAUUUUUUUUUAAUUUCAAACGUGCUUCAAUCAUCAAUCAAUUAUUACUAAUCACCAUCACUUAAAAAUAAAAUAAAAAAUCACUCUUUAUUAUACUUAGAAGGUUAUUAUUUAAAAAAAAAUAGAAGUAGAAAAUUAAGGUACGAAAGUGGAGAAAAAAUUUGACAGGAACAUAUUUGAUGAAAGACAUAUAGAUAAGAGGGUGAAGUGUGAUUAACACAUUCUGAAAAGAUGAAAUUAAUAUACACUUUUAUUGUCCGAGUGUGUUGUCACUCACACUAUUCCAGAAAUACAAGAAUUCAUGCUAAUUAAGAAAACACCAUUACUUAGCAGUUUCAAUACAUUGGUCCCUUUCCACCACACACACACUAACUUUUAUUAAUAAAGAAAAUUGACAUUUUUAAUUUAUAAGCAUGAUUAAUCUGCAGCUACCAUUUUGAUGGGAACAUCAUGAAAUGGAGAGUUAGAAAAGGGUUCUUUUCUACACUAUCCAUCCAACAACCUCAUUUCUACACUCAUGCAUCAUCCACAUCACAUGCAAUAUGCUUCUAUACUUUUCUUUUCAUAUAGUAAAUACUUCAUCAUUUUAUGAAUUAUUUUUUCAAUUAUUAUUUUCUAUAUAACACUUUUUUUAUUAAUUCUUAACCCAACUUCAUCUCAUUAAUUAAGUUUCAUUCACUCAAUAACUUGUAUUUAAAAAGAAGACUAAUCAUUUUGUAAAAGAAAAGUUAUAUUCAUAAAUCUAUCAUUUAUCAUCUUUUGAAUAUUUUCUCAAUAUUGACCCUUUAUUUUUGCUAGCCUCUUUCUAAAACUACUUAAGAAGGAAAUAGGAUAAAUAGUUUGUAAAAUAUGUUCAUUAUUAUUUGUAAUUAAUAUUGAAUUUGAAUAAAUGUUUUUUAUGAGUAUACAAAAAUUUAAGUAUUUUUUAUUUUUAAAUAGAUUUUUUUUUUAAAUUAUGGAUUGGUGUAUGUGACUUUCAUUGAUAUUUUAGUCUUGUGAUUUUUUUUAUUUUUUUUUGUGUGUGAGCCUUUUGAUUUUAUGGAUUUUUUUUAGUCUCGAUUCAUAUGGGGAUGCACAAGUAAAAAGAAGCAUGGGAGAUUGGAGUACUUUAGAAUGAAGUUUUCAAAAAGGCAGAAAAUGACUAUAUUGUUUUUUUAUGAAUGGUCUAUUAUCUUUAAAUAUCAACAUAUCAACAAUGCACACAAAUAUAUAUUUUUACUUUAAUUUAAACUACCUGUAGAUUUUAGUUUAACUUUUACUAAAAAUAGUUUAAAUUUUUUAAAACUAAUUUAAUGUAGUUGUUGAAAGCUCAAUUCAAUUCAAUUAUUUUGCUCACCCAACACCAAAUUUCCCUAUUUACAUAUAUACAGAUUUUAUUUUAAUAUACUUAAUAAAGGAUUUGUAUUUCAAAAAAAAAUACAUAAAUACAAAUGCAAAAUGAAUACACAUUACAAACAACUCUUUUUUUUUUCUCUCUAGAACUCUCUAUUUUUUUUUUCUAAAAUAUGUCUUCACCUUGUAAUAUCAUAUAUAAAAUACAAUCAUAACAUAAAUUCACAGUACUAUAAAGAUAAACUAUAAAAGAAUAUGUUCAAAAUACUAUCUAAUUAAUUAUCAUUCAAAUCAAUCAAACUAAACUAUAUUUUGUUUGAAACUUAAUUAUUAAUUUAAACUAAAUAUUAUAAUUAGAAUAAAAAAUCAUUUACAGUUCAAAAUAAAUUUUCUACAUGAUGUAUGUUUCUCAAACCAUAAGAAAAAAAAAGUUAGAAUCAUACAAGAUAGAACACUACAAAUCAUCCAAUAGAAACCAAUUUUUAGAAAACAAAAUAAUUAGUUACAAUAGUAACUAAAUUAGAGACCAUUAUAAAAAAAUUUCUAAAUUAGUUUUUAUUAUUGUUAAAUAGUUUCUAAAUUGGUAUGUAAUUAACUACCAAAGUUUUAACUAUAAAUUAUUUAGUUUCUAAAUUUGGUAGCAAAAACCUUGGUUGCAAAUUAGAUGCCAAUUUAGAAACCAUUUAACCAUCAUAAAAACUAAUUUAGAAACCAAAAAAUUAUUUAGUCCAUAAAAUGGUUUCUAAUUUAGUUAUUAUAGAAACUAAUUAUUUUUUUUUCUAAAACUAAUUUCUAUUUCAUGAUUUUAUUGUAGUGGAGCAGUUAAGAGAAUAUUAACAAAAUAAAAUCUUCAAACAUCUCAUAUACAUAAUUAUGAACAUAAUAACAUUUUAUAAUAAAUGAAAACUUCUUCAAAAUCAACUUUUAAUAGAUACAAAUUGUUUUUACUCAUUUAUCCAAAAAAAUUAAAGAAGGUCCAAGAAAAAAAAACACAUUCAAAAACAAAAAGAAAGGAAGAGGGUUCACACACAUUUAAAAUAAGGAAUUACUUGAAUCCAUUGAGGACCACACUUUAUCUAUAGUAAUUUAGUGUCUAUUAAUGGAAGAACAACUCAAAUAGAAUAUGCCAACAUUCAAUAAUUUAAAAUAGAGGUUAGGGACCAUUGGUAUUAAUUCAUUCUGAAAAUUAAAUUAUUAUUUAAUAUUUUUCUCAUGAUUAUACCUUUUGAAAAGGUCUUUUAUUCAAUAAUUUUUCACUAAAUCAUUAGAUCGCGGAUGAAAAGAGACACAACUAGAUUAAAUAAAAAUGAUUGGUAGACAUCUAUUUGUUGACACUUAUGGUGCAUUUAGUUGAAGAAGGGAAGGUGAAAUAAGAGAUAAAAUUAAAUAAAAUUAUUUGAUAAAAAUAAGAAUAAGAAAAAGAAAAAUAAAAAGUGAAUGAAUCUUAUCACUACAUUGUAGUUUAUUUUUCAUUUGUUUGUCUUUAUUUGUAUAAUUUCUAUUUUUAUUUACAAUUUUGUUCGUCUUUAUUUAUUUCUCAUAACAUAUUUUGUUCACUUUUUUUUAUUAUUCCUUUUUCCUUUCUAUAGAAAAUACAAAUAUAGAGGAAAAGAAAACUCGUGUUCAUAUACAUAUUACCAAUGUAAUUACAUAUCAAAAUCAUAUUCUCAAUGAAAGCUCAUAAAACCUAUUAAUUUCUAAAAUUUCUAUUUUUUUAUUAAUAAAAAUAAAUAAAUUAAAAUAUUUAAAGAAUGUUUCAAAACUCGUGUAAAAAAAAAUAUAAGAUCCUAAAUGUUCAACCAGAGUAAAAAAAAAUCAGUUCCUAAUAAAUUAUAUUUCUAUAACAUCCUCCAUACUUAAAUACUUAAGUAAAAAAACAAAACAAACAAACUUCUACAUGGACAUAAAUAAAUAAGACUUCACCAUAAAGAAAUGAAACACAUUAAAACAACAUAAAAAAGUGAAGAAUUGAAGUAAAAUAUUUACAAUGAAGAAUCAUUGAUAUCCAUGUUUUAUUCAAACUAGAAUAGAAUGAAAAGUUGGAGACCCAUAAAAUAGUUUAUUUUGAGAAUAGUGGGAUCCUUAAAAGGAGAAGAAUGUUGGAAAAGUUUGAUUGUUGAUUUAUUGUGCAUUUUGUAGAUGAAUUGAUGAGUAAUGAGGGAGUAGGUAAGUUGCAUGUUAUGAAGUCAAAGAGAGGCAUCUAAGAAAACCCCAUGAAAGUGAUCAAAAUGCCCAUUUUUUCAAACCAUUUUGAUUCAUCAACUAAUCUUUUUCAAUUAUGCUGACUCUCUUUAGUUACAUUUGCAAUCAUCCCCUGCGUCAUUGCCUUCUUAUUAAAUUCUCAUUUUUUACUUUUACCUUUUUUUUUUCUUUCAUUGCUUUUCAGAAACAAACAAAUUCUACUGCAUAUAUAACAUUACCAUCUUUCAAUAAUUUACAUAUCACUCAAAGUCAAUACUACUGUUUACUAAUAAUCAUUCACCUUGGAAUGUAUGUUAAGUUUCUAUAACUCAUUGUAUUUGAUUUAUAUAUUUAGAUAUGAGACUUUUUACAUUUUUUUAGCUUGGAAAUUGAAAAUUUUAAAUAUAAAAUUAAAUAUUUGUGAAUAAUAUUAUAGUAGGAUAACAUCAUCUUAAAAUUUGAGUUUAUAUUUUAAUUAAAUUAAUUGAUUUAUAUGUGACUUUCAAUUUCACAAAUUGAAAGUCUUAACAUUUUAAGUCUGAGUCUCGUAAUUUGUCAAAAGAGGUUAAAAUCUAAUGGUAUGGUUAUGGGAUGAGUCAUGUUCAUUAAUUCCUCUACUUUUGUUUGAAGUCUUCACACGUAAAUUUCGGAAUCUUUCUACGUGAUCAAAGGCAGAAAAAACUACUCUUAAUUAUACAUGCACUAUUCAUGUAUUUGUAAUAUAGGGAUUUUAAAAUAAAUACUAAAUACACACUUUCAUUUUUUAUUUUAUUUUUACUUUAUAUUCUUUGUUAUUUUGAAAGAGUUAAAUACCAUAAAAUACUACUCAUCCUUUUAUGUAAAACCCUUUUGAGAAAGUUACAUUGUCUUUUCAGAAUUUGAAUUUUUUAUUGAUUUUUUUAUUUUUAUAUUAUGUCUUUAAAAUAUAUUAAUUUUUAUAUUUUAAAAUAUAUUAAAGUUAGUAUAUUUUAAAAACAAAAUAGAAAAACAUCACUAAAAAUCCUGAAAAAAAAUUUGAAUUCGUCUUUUAAAAAUAAUUUCUUUAAAUUGCUUUUUUUUUAUUCAAAUAUUCUUAUUUGUGUUGUAUUUUUUGUUGUCAAUAAAUCGUAAUUGUUAUAAAUUAAUAAAAUAAGUAUUUUUCUCUUGUGAAUUUAACUCUUCUUAUCAAGUCAUUAAAUAGAACAUGAAAAUUUUGGAUAUAUCAAAUCAAAACAAAUCACGUUUAAUUCAAAUUUAAAUUUUAAAACCUAAUUCCCAUAUUUUAGUGUGCAUAUUCCAAUUGAUAUCAUUAGCCUAGGUUAUUUAUUACUUAAACUUGAAAAUUACCACUUAAUAACUUUAUAAUUAAUCAGAACAUAUGCGUGCUGGCAAUAAAACUUUUUAUAAGUUCUAUAUAGCACAUCAUAUUGUUUUUUUAUUCUCUAAUGUACGGAUUUUAGAAGAUCUAUUGUACGCAUAGACAAAGAGGGGUUUAGAUAAUACUUAGAACUGAUUAUAUAAUUAUUGACGUGUCAGUAGGCUCCUUGCUCAUUCCUUCAACUCUUCUCAUUUUGUUAUUGGUGCUCGGUCAGUCGGAGGGAUACCUUACACCUCUGCAUAAGAUUUUAUUUAUAGUGUUGGUUAUAGGCCAUUGUCAUGAUAAGUCAUAUAUCAGUUAUUGACUGAUAUGCAUCGUGAUUCCUGACUAAUAGGGAGGUAUAUUGGUAUAUAAGUAUACUGGAAUAUUUAGAAAAAAAUUAUAACAUCUUUAACUUGGUGGGUCGAUCACCAGGCUCAAGACUGACUCGUUCGAUACCAAUCGGUACACCUACAUUUUUAUUAAUGUAACUGUUCAUUUAGUUGUUAGUAGAAAUAUAUAUUUUUAAGAUAGAUUUUUUUUUCUUAUAUUAUAUUUUAUAUUUUAUUUGGUAUGUUAUAUUAGUAAUAUAUAAAUCUAAAGUCUACAAAAAAAAAUCAUUAAAUAGAAAUUAUUUUUAAAAAUAAAAAAUAAUUAAUCAUUAGAUUAAUUAAAUUGGAUAUUAUUUUAAAAAAACUAUUAUUAUAUAAUUAUUUUUUAUUAUUAAUAAAAAGUUUCUAAAUUAAUAUAUAAUUAACUAUAAAAAUUUUAACUAUUAAUAAAAUAAUAUUUAAAUUCGUAACUAUUUUUUUAUAAUUAAUUAAAUAUUAAUUUAAAAAUUACUUUAUUAAUAAUAAAAAAUAUUUUAGAUAUCAAUAAUUUUUAAUCUUUAAAAUAUAUUUUUAUUUAAAAUUAGUUUAAUUAAUUAUUUUAUUUUAGUAUUAUCCCAAUAUUAGUAAAAGAAAUGGUUAAUGCAUAGACUUAAUAAAAAAUGUUAAAAAAUAUUGAAUGAAAUGGUGAUUGAAUGAAAAUAAGUAUUUCCAACCGAUUCUUGCAAGCAUGAUUAAGAGGAAGGAGAAGUCAGCAGGAGCAGCAGAGGGCAUCUUAAGGAAUCUUGAACCCUACCAUGGAUGCAAUUUCAAAUAUUUCAAACACAAAGUUAACACUCAUUCAAUGUUCAAACUUGGUCAUCUUCAUUCAUUUCUUCAAAAAACACAAGACCCCACCAUAAUUAAUCUUAUUAUCAUUUUAUCUCUGCACCAAUUUAUGGUGCAGAUUUUCCUCCAGAGGAAGAACAAGGUGCUUUGGGCCCAAUGCAUGAAUCAAAACAGAAAACUUCUAGAAUUAAAGUGCAAAAGUUAUUGUUAUAAUAAGUGCACGAUUUUUUAUACUCAUUCAAAAUCUUUCACUUCUACACUAUUUUUGUCCAUCUAAUCAUUUCUGUUUUUUCUUGUCAAUCAUUUUUUAUCAUCCAAUUUGGCAUGCAUUUUCAUAAUUUUUCACAACUGUUCUCAUUUAGAAGCAUUAAUGUUGGUAAUGGUAAGUUAGAAUAUUAGAUAUAAACAUUUCUCUUCUUAGGAAUUUAAAUCAUUAUUUGCUGUGUUGUGGGGAAGUAUUUUAAUUAAAUGAAAUUAAACACUUCUUUUAUGAUGAUCAAUUAAGAGUUUAUAAUUUUUUACAUUGUAAAUUAAUACUCAUGAUCAUAUAUACCUUUUAUUCCAUUACAUUGUAAAUUAAUUUAUUUCUUAAAUUUUUUUGUUCUGAUAAAUCAAUUACCAUCAACUUCAAUUUUAUUUAAAUAUUUAAAAAAUUAGUAAUUAAAAAGUAUCAGUUGAUGAUGUUUUUAAAUGAAUGAAUGUUAUUUUUCAACUAAAAUCUUCCAACACUUUUUUUAGUUGAGGUCAAUUAUAUUUUUUUCUCGAUUCACACUAAACGUUGUUAUUUUCUAUUGAUGUUAGCUACGAGUUUUUUUGUUGAAUUUUUAAUUGAUGUUGGUUAAGAAAAAAUUGUUUGACAUUAGAAAAAUAAAUAUAGUCGAAGUUGAUUAAAAGUUUUCAUAGUUAGAAAAAAAAAUCUUGACAAAAAGCUUUCGUAGGUAAUAUUUAAUUAUGUGUUUUAAGAAAAAAAAAAUAUUUGUAUCGUUAAUAAAAAAAAAAUCUUGACAAACAUCUAUAUAAAAUAACCACGGAAAAGGUUAAUAAAAAAAUAUUGACUCACGUCCAACAACAAAAUAGUCUCAUUAAUACUAGAGAAAAUUCUAAACAAUGUGAAUUUUAAGGAUUUAGAAAAUUAUUUGAUCAAUUUUUUAUUAAUAAAAUAUUUUUUUUCUCCCCUUCAAAAAAAAUUUAAAAAAUUAUUUAAGAAUAGAAAUGGUACAAUUGAAUGUUACAUAAAUAUUUUAAUAUUAAAAUAAAAAGCUUAUAAAUAAAUAAAAAAGUUAGUUAUUCAAAUUUAAAGAAUCAUUACAAUAAAAUCAUGAAAUAGAAACCAAUGUUUAGAAACCAAAAUAAUUAGUUGCAAUAGUAACUAAAUUAGAGACCAUUUAAAAACUAAAAAGAAUUUUGGUUUCUAAAUUAGUUUCUAUUAUUGUUAAAUAAUUUCUAAAUUGGUAUCUAAAUAGAUAAGGGAAGCUAGUUUGUUUUUAAUAGUGUCAUAUGUUAGAUAAUCUGGAUGUGAAAGUGACAUGAUCAUACUGCUUUUUGAAAUUCUUGUAAGAAUUGAUGUAUUAGUUUGUCUCUGAUUUAGAUGAGUUUAUCUUGAUUUAGUUUUGAAUUUGAAUUUUGAUUGAUUUUGAUUUAAAUGAGAUUACACUGAGUUGAUGUAGUAAGUUGAUUUAUGAUUCAAAUGAUUUCACCUAGAAUUGAGGUAUUGGUUGAUUUGAAAUUAAAAUACUAGUUUAUUUUGAAUGUUUUGCAAUGAAUGAAUGUGCAUGUAAUGAUGUGAUUGUUUGAAUACUACAUUUGGAACAAAUUGGUACAAUGUGUAUUUGGUCACUAGGCGAGCCAAAGCUCUUCUUCUGCAAAAUUCAUGGAAUUAAAAGUAAUUUUGGUGAAGUCAGUUGAGAAAAGUAAUUCUCUCAACUUAUUCUACUAUAUAUUAAAUUUAUGUUUUGUUUAGAUAAUUUGUAUUAGGCCCUUAUAUUUUGAAGUUUAUCCAGACUAAGAGGCUAAAAUUCUAGAGGUUGCUUUGAAAACAAGCUUAAGGUAAUGGGAGCUAAGUUUAACUUUCAAUAGUAUCAUAAACUAAAAGAUCUGAAUGUGGAGGGAACAUAUCCAAAAUUUCAAUUUCUCUUGCAAUAAUGUUAUUUGAUAAAAUUGUUUGAUUUUAUAUUGUGUGAACAUGUAUAAAUAUUAAAUUUUGAUAGUUUGGAAGUUAAAUAUUGUUUUUGAUGUUGGAAAGACUCUUGAAUGUUAUGAAUUAUUAAAUGUUAUGUGAUUGAAUGAUAUAUAUUAUAUGUGAAUGAUGAAAAUUGUAUGAAAUUAAAAUACAUUUGGGAUAAUGUAUGAACUGAUACUUGUUUGUGUAUUAAGUAUUGACGCCUAUGUGGUAACAAAGAUCUCUAGCUUCAUUGAUAGUCUAAGUCACAUAGACUAAAAUAUUAGGUGGUAAGAAAUUAACGAGGGAGUUCAUGCGCACUAUGACAUAUGAGAUGCACGACUUAGAUUGUAUUGAACUUACCUUGUUCAUUUCUCUUGGAUUUGUUGAUAAUCUAAGUUUUGGGUAUUGGAUCGGGUGUUAGUAUCUGGUAGGACUUACUUAAUACAGGUCUUUCAGAAGGCGUCAAUUGUUAUACUGUUUGUUGAAUAUCCUAGAUGUGUAAAUCCAUGAUUGUUUAUUGAAUAUCCUAGAUAUCAUUGACUAAGAUAAAAAUCAUUAUGUUGGUAAAAAAAAUAUUUAUGAUUGAUGUUGAUAAAAUAAACAACUCCAACCAAAAUUAACUUAAAAUAAACCUAAUUCUCAUGAAUGGGAUAUUUUUUUUAACACCAGCCAAAAAAAGUUUAUUUAUGUUAACAAAGAAAACUUAAAAAUGUUAAUUGAAAAACAAAGCCAACUUAUGGAUAAUAAAAUAAACCUAGCAAUAUCAAUAAAAAAUAAUUAUGAUAAACUUUCGUAUAAGAUUGAUGUUGAGUUUUGUAUGUCCCGAGUGACAUAUCCGUGACAUACGGAUAAUGACUCGAUUUUAAUUGAAUGACGAGACCAUAUAAAAUUUUGAACAAAGAAAUGAUACAAAGAUAAGAUACAGGAAAUUUUAGAAUAUAUAUUUUUUUAAAUUUUUUUACUUUUUAAUAUAAAAUUCAAAAUUAUCUAACAUUAAGUAAUCAAAUUAAUCUAAUAAAAUCAUAUAAUUUUUAAUUUCUUUAUAAAUUUUAUGUCCAAAUAAAUCGUAAAACCUUCCAACUUUUUAUAAAGAAAAAUUAUCCUUUUAAAAUUUCUGGUUCUUAAAGUUCCAACCUUGAUAUUAUUUACAUAAGUUUUUCUAAUUGGUUAAAAUACUUGGUUAAAUGUUGAAAAAUCACUGUGAUUAUGAUUUUAAAGAAAAUUAGUUUAAAGUCAAUAAAUUAUAUAUGAUCAUUAGACUACUCUAUAAAACUAUUUUAUGUUCAAGAAUAAAAUCUUUAAUUUGUAAUUUGGUAGAUUGACUGGUCAAGUUGUGUGGCAUUCGUAAGUUUAGGUUCUGGUUCAUAAAUUUCCAAACUUGUCUAAAUCUAAUUUUUUCUUUUUCUUUCAACACUAAAUAUAAAUGUUUUAAAUGCACAUAUCUAAUACAUAUGGUAAAUGGUAGUUCUAAGCACUACUUCGUGAAUAAUUUAUACUAUAAUGUACAACUAUGACUCUCUCUUUUUUUUUUAUCUUUAAAGAAGUAGUAAUUUGGUGACAUGAUUUUCAUUUUUUUUAAUUAGAGUUGUGUUUGUAUCCACAACUUUUUGUGUUUGACAUAACUUAUUUACAUGGAUAAUUUUUUUUAAAAAUCCAUCUAUUUUUGAUAAUUUUUUUUUGAAAAAAAGUGUACUUCUUUAGUAAAAUUUUCCUUUUGACAAACAGUUUAAUUGGUAGGUGAUUGGCUUUCCCUUAAGUUUACUAUUAAAAUAAUAAAAAAUUUGAAUGAACCCUAAUUACAAGACUUAUAUUAGAGUUGUGUUUCUUAUUAAUGUGGCCAAUGACCCUUAGUUUCAACUUGUCUACAUGUAUAAGUUUUAUACAAGUUUUUCUCUAUAUAUAUAUAGAAAGAAGUUUGAGCAUGAUGUAAUGAUAAUAAAUGAUUUUGUCAGAAUAAUAAAGUCUAAUAAAUAUGUACCUAGAUAUUUGGUUGAUGGCUUCCAAAGAUAAAGAAAAGAAAACAUGAAAAAGGAAUUAUAUACAUAAUAUUUCAUAGAUACUUUUUAUGUUUACCCUUUUUCCUCUCUUAAAAAUUGAAUUAGGGUGUUUUGAUUGAAGAACACCAGAAACAUAUGGUGUUGGAAGGAGUUGAAAAAUAGAGUGGGGUCCUUAUUCCUUAAAUGGUAGAAUAGAAUAGAACAGAGAAUUAGUAGAAAGUUGGAAAAUAUAUAAAGAAAUAAUAGGUGUUGUUGUUGUUCAUUGAUGUGUAUGGAAAGAAAAGUAACAUGAUAUGCACUAAAAGCAUAGGAUGAUGUCCCACUUCCACAAACCCACUCAAACCCUCUCUCAUUCGUCUCUCUGCUGCUCAUGGGGCCAUGGCGUGGGUACCUCUGUCCCAUACUCCUACACCAAUACUAUAUAUUUUAUUUUACUCAUAAUAAUAAAUGCAUAUGAAAAGUGUUAAUAAACUUAAUUAGUUUUGUUAUUGGUGAAUUGUUAUGAUUUUUUAGAAUAUUUCAUCAAUUAUAAGUAUGAAAUAAAUAUCUUAAUUUAUGUUAGAAUGAACCAGUGUGGUUGUACACUAAAAAAAUGCAAUUUUGUUUAUGUGCGUGUGUCCUGUCCCAUAUAUACUCUUCCAGAUACACACUCUUCUGCGACCUUGUUCCCUACACGGAUCCAUACACAUUCUUACAAGCAGUCACCAACAUCACUUUCCUUUCUACAACACACCAAAGUUCACAGCUUUUUGGUUCUUUCUAAAUCACCACCUCGAUUCACGAACUGGGUCAUCCUUUGAUUGUGGAUUGGAUUUUAUUUGGAGCCACACCCCUAGAUUUCUAUUACUUUGACUUCCCACACAGGCCAGGUAAAAUAUAAAACCUCAUCAUCUUCUCCUUCUGUAUCUGAAUCUUUCUUUCUUUAUUUAUUUAUGCACUUUCUUUCCAUCCUUCUCUCUCUCUCUCUCUCUGAAUUGUAGUUUGUUUUUUAGUGCUGUUGUGUGAUUUGUAGGAUAAUUUUUAAAGGGGUGGUUUUAGAAUUCUGUGACUGACGUGUCCUGGGUCACCGUGCCCUCCCUCGGAUUCCGCUGGUAGUGUUUGUGUGCAGGAAAACAGAUAAAGUUGGUUGCUUUAUUGGAAUAUGAGGAAACUUGGCACUGUCCUGUAUUGCUCUUGCUAGUUUUUAAGCUUGGCCUAUUCUGGGUCUGUGAGUACUUCACUGGAAAGUUUCAAUUUUGGGGGCUUCUGCUUCUGGUUUUCUUAAUUCUGAGUUGCCUUUUGAGGGAACUCAAGUUUUCAAGUCCAGGCUUCCUACUUCUCUCUCACGUUUUCGGGUAGCCUCUCUUUUCUUCUUUUAUUCCUUCCUAUCUUGGUUUAUGUGCAGUGAAGUUUGUUUCUAUUUUUGGAUCUCCUUCUGUCUAGGUUUUGGGUUUGUUUGUCUGCGUUUGUGUUUUGUUGAGCUAGGUUCUGGAUUAGAGAGUUAAGUGUUCUUCUUCUAGUACUAGGUUGUUUAGCACAUGUUUCUUGCUGUGGGAUUUAACUUCUAGGUAUCAUUUGUGUCUUCUUUCUUGGUUUGCUUGAACUUGGGGUGAAUUGACUUUCUUGUAGCUUUGUUGUUUGCCAGGUUCCUGGUUACUUUGAUAUAUCAUCAUGGAUUCCCCACAAUCUGUUGUGUCACCCUUCAGGAGCUCAGUUUUGGGUGAGGGUGAGAAGCACAAGUCUGAAGUUUUCUCGGGAAACUCUAGUCCCUUGUCCAAGGACAUUGAAGUGAAUGGGAAGGAAGUUGUCAUGUCAAAUGUAGAUGAGUGUCUUGGAGUGCUUGAUGUUUACAUACAUCAGGCCAGGGACAUUCAGAACAUUUGCAUAUACCACAAGCAAGAUGUUUACGCUAGGAUUUGCCUGACCAGUAAUCCUGAGAACACUGUGUCUACCAAAACCAUCAAUGGAGGAGGAAGGAACCCUGUGUUUAAUGAGAAUCUUCAAGUCAAUGUUGGAACUGUUGAUGCUUCUCUCAAGUGUGAGAUAUGGAUGCUUAGCAGGGUGAAGAAUUAUCUGGAAGACCAGCUGCUUGGUUUUGCUUUGGUGCCUUUGUCUGAAGUUCUAGUCCAGAAUGGGAAACUGGAGAAAGAGUACUCUCUUUCCUCAACCGAUCUAUUCCAUUCUCCUUCGGGUUUUGUUCAGUUGACACUUUCUUACACUGGUGCUUCACCUGAUGUUAUGGCAAUUUCUGCAAUGCCAAGCAAGGUGGCCACAGAUGCCCCUGUGCAGGAUUCUGAAACAUCCGAAUCUCUGGCCCGGGAUAUGGACAAAAUUGAGUUCCCGGAUCCGAAGAUUGCGAAUGAAGACCACUUGAUGGUUUCAGAAUACUUUGGCAUUCCAUGUGAGGAGACUCAGUGCUCUGAUAGCCUGGCUACUUCUGAUGCCGAAAAUCGUAGUUGUGAAGCCGGUGUUCGCCUUGUGGAAAGCUUCUCAGCAUGCAGUGGUGAGUCUGUUCAGCCACCUAAGGUUGAUUCCCCACCCAGCAGUGUGUCAACAAAUGGGGUUUCUUCCCCUUCCGUGCCUGCAAGCUCAGAAUCAUCUGAUGCUGCUGCUUCUAAGUCUCCCGUUCAGGAGCAAGUUUCAGGCACCAAAAAGGACAAAAAUGUGGAUGCCAAAGAUGGUGACAGUGAUUCUUCUACUUGGGUUCCUGAUGACUCAUUCCCUAAGCCUGUUGUGUCUGUGAACAUUGAGCCUGAGCCAAAGGUGGUGCAGCAGGAUAUAGUGGACAUGUACAUGAAAAGCAUGCAGCAAUUCACUGAGUCACUAGCAAAAAUGAAGCUCCCUAUGGACUUCGAAAAUGAACCGACUAGUUCAGGAAAUUCAACCACUGAGCAAAAGCUACAGCCUUCAAAGAGCAAUAAUUCCCGUGUGUUUUAUGGUAGCAGAGCUUUCUUCUGAUCUUUUGCUUCCCUUGUUCAAGGGAAUUCGGGCAGUCACUGUAGAUUUUAGAAGAAAACUGAUGUUAGUAGUGAAGUGAAAUAAUGUACUAUCCUGUGUGGUUUCCCCUUCUGUAUUUCAUCACAUGUUGGUUGUAGGUUACAGGGAAUAUAACUUUGUACUCUCACAAGCUUGUUGCUAUCUUAACUGCUACAUGAACUUUUGUGUUACCUUCGUCCUUUGUCAUCGUUCUUUUUUGUUUUGAAUGUCAAUAAUUGUUAAAUCAGAUUUCAUCUCACCAGAUAUUAAUCAUGUGUAUAAUUAGUAAGCACUAGUAAUAAUGUGGUGUCACAUGCUGAAAGCAAAGUGUAGAUGAAGCAGAAUCUACAAGACUUUACUCUCUUCCAUUUCGCAUGAAAAAACUCAUACAUGCAGGAUCGUGGAUCUUUAUCUUUUGAGAUCCGUAUUUUCCUGUCCUAGUUCAACAACUUCUGUUGAACGGUAAUGUUUAUUCAUUCAAGCACUCUAAUAGUGUAAAAGUAUUUCAAAUUGUCAUAGAAAUUUGCUUAUUGGUUUAUUCAUAUAAACACUCCAAUAAUAUUUUUAUUUACGUUUACAAUGCAUAAAAAGUAAACACAAUCUUCAUUAAUUUGGAAGAAAAAGUUCUACUUAAAAGCCAGUUAGGUUGAUGCUCAGUAUAAAUAACAUAAUGGUGAGGAAUGAGCUUCCAUCAUUACAUGCCACAUUUAUAAUGGAAAUAUAAACACACGAAACAAUGAAGAGAAAAAACUUGGAAGCUAAGUUUCCUAUUUCGAAGUGUUUCAAAUUGGUACUUCAUUUAUCUCUGCAGAUCUUGCAUAGAUGUGCCUCCUGCAGAUCCAUGCUAUUUGACCGUUGUCCCUGUACCUGACUCGCCACAGUCCAAACUUUUCUGCAAUAUCCUUCCCUGAGGAACAAUUCCUCUCCCUCAAGAAAUCAACCACCCAUUGCUGUGCUGCUCUUAAGUCUUGUUGAAUGUCCCUUGAACCUUCCAUGGACCUGUUUCUACGACCCAUAGCAGCAGCACCUAAAACGCCAGCUGCACUUGCCCCAGCUGCACCACAGAGAACUGAAGAGCCAGCCAAGUGAGCCACCUCCUUACUCAAGUCAGGUAUCAUUUGCCCCAUUCCAGCAGCAAGGUGAGCUCCUAUUUUAAGAGCUAAAGUUACCAAUGUCAUGAACUUCUUCAUGUAUGGAGCCAAAGACUUCACAGCAGCAUUAUCAACUUGCAUGAUUUCACAUCCCAUCUGAUCUUCAACAACAUGCAUUUGUCCCCGGAACUCGCAUAACAUGUGAAGCCGAAGAGCAUUCAUGCCAGAAAGCAUGGUGGUGACCAGUCUCCUUGUGUAGUUUUCUGUCCUAACAAAAUAUAUCAUGUUGGGGACUUUCCUCUCCUCAACCUGGACAUUGAAGGUUGCAAGGUGGUUCACUUUGCGAUGAAGCUCAAGGAGAAGUCUAUGUUCAUAAUAUCUCAGCCCCUGGAUUUCCUGUUUCAAGUCUCUGAUUUCUUGCUCAAUAAUCUUGAGUCUUUGCAAAACUUCUUCAACCCCUUUUGCAAUGCCACCAAAGGUUGGUUCAACCCUUGCAGCUUCAUCUCUUAAGGUUAUAGAUUGACCUUGCCCUUCAGGGUUAUUUUCAGGAGGAACUUGCAGUUCUUGUGCAAGACUGUAAAGGUCGUUAUACCUUCGAUGCAACACUUCCCGGAAGUCAUCAUCUGAUAAAAGGUCUCUUGCAAAAUCAAAUCCAUCUUGGAGAAUAGGCCUACCAGAGUCUAGGACUGGACUCCAUGUGUGUUGAUAAUCAUACAUGCUUUCUGCUGGAAGUGAAAGUAGUGCUUCUUUCAGUUGCUGCAGAGAAGCAAAUUGAGUUUUUCUGUAUCUAGGAGGUGUCAGUUUUCUCACACAUUCAGGUCUUAACACAUUCUCAGUCAAGGUGAUCCCAUGGCAAACACUUUGGAUUGCGGGGAUUACAAUUUGAUGAAUGACUCUUAAAGUUUCUGUCAAGUUUUUGGUGGAGCAUGCUAGGACAUCAAUAUAGUAACCCAACUGUCCCCCAAGUUCUACUCUUAUGUAGAUUCCAUUAAUGCUGAUUGAAAUAAGGUACUUCUCAAGACUGUAAGUUGCACCAUGCUGAUCCUUGACAGCCUUUAUUCUAUUGUGAAGGUGCACCUGCAACACCAAAGGAGAAAAAUCAAGAAAAUCCAAAAUCCUAGAUAUUGUAGCUUUAGAGAUUUAGGAGUGAAGAUAAAAAAAAGGGCAGUUUGAAGAAAAAGUAAAUAGUUUGCAAAUAACUAUGUCUUUCCAAACUACUUUUUUAUGCUUUUGCAUUCUAUGAACCUCAUUUGAGUUAGGUCGUCCACCAUCAGAAAGUAAUCAACACUAGAUGUAUUAAGUGAAUGGAAUAAUUUCAGGAAAAAGAAGUUGCAAGAAACAAUUGGAAACAGGGAAACUUAUGAAAAAGAGGUGUGGUAGAGCAACUCUUUCCUGUAAACGAGGGAAGAAACCUGGAGUUAGAAACAUGUGGCUUGAAUCAUCACACUCAAGAUGACGUCCUGCGUAAACGCAGUCUGGCAUGCUUAGCUGCCACCUCUGAGGCUUGCCUCUCCCUUCUUCAAGAAUGGAAGGAAUCAAUAGCAGAGAAUUUGGAUCUGAGGGAUCUUCCUCAUAACAAAGUUCAAGUUUUAGCAUCAUCCUCACAAGGUCACUAGCGUCUAAAUUCUCAAACACCUUUGAACCCAUACCAGGAAUAGGGCUCUGCAAACUUCCUCUUAAGAUUUUUUCUAAUUCCUUCCUGCUAAUAAAUCCAUUGUUUUCAGAGGAGUGCUGCUUCCUAACAUUCAACUUUAUGAGCUGACCAAGGACUUCACCACAGAACCACUCAAAAUCUAAAAUUAGAAAAUCUAACUCAUCAAAAUAAAUCACUUCUCCAAUGUGAUGAAGACAGGUAGCAAUAGCUCUUCUCUUCAUUUCUACCUUCUCUUUGUUGUCAUGUCUUGAUCGAAUUCUCAAAGGUGGAACUUUCAAUUGGCAUAGCUCACCAAAUUCCUUCCACUUCAUGGCUGGCUUGUUGUAGUUCUCAGAUCUCCAGUCUGAUAAAAUCUGUAUCAGAUCAUUGCAAAGUUGAUAAACCCGAGGCACUCUUUGGAGAAUUGUCUUGCUUGUCGUUCGGAUAUGAUGAGUGAGUUUACUAACUGAUGCUGAUGAUCUUGCAUCAACUGUGAAUACAGUUGGGUAAAAGUCAACAAAGCCUUGAAACUUGUCUCUGAGUCUCUGAAUUGACUCUACUGUGCUCUGCAAAUUUUGUGAUGGUUGGUUGAUUUUGUCAGAGUGUGUGAGAACAAUAGCAACACUUGGUAGCAUGCAUUGUUGUAUUGCUCUUUUAGAGUUGGAAACUAUGAACCUGAGCCAAUACUGCAGGUCAUCUUCAAUUUCUGUUGAGCUCUUUGGUUCUUUGUUACUUGGUUUCCUGAAUAAACUUGAUAUGAUGAUGAAAAAUGAUGCACUCCCAUGCCCUGGGAACAUGAGAUCAUGGAGAGAUAUAAACUCGUGAUGACCAGCAAGAUUCCAUAUUGAAAUCGUUGUAUCCUCAUCCUUGAAAGUUUUUAUCUUCAUUCCUACUGAUUUGACAGCCAGCUCCACUGGGUUCACUAUUGUUCUGACUUGAUCCAAGUAGGGAAGCGCCGAAGCAGAGAAAUUUUGUGAUAUUGAAUGACAAAGUGCGGUUUUGCCUGAAAAGUAUGAAUUUAAACUAUCAACAAUGCUUCAAGUUGACUCGUUAUUAGCUUAUGUUGAUAUGAAAAUAAUGGAGCUUAAUUUGGUUGCAUGAACUUGCUUAUUUUACUUACAUAGUUUUGAGAUUGUGUGCCAUGAAAUUAAUCAAUAGUUUUAACAUCUAUUUAUAUGAAAUGGUUUUCACUUUUAACAAUUAAUUAAUUUUGAGUAUCUAAAAUUACGCAUUUUACUUUGCACUAAAACUAUUUAAAGAUGAAAAGUUACACUCAACGUUACCUGCACAUUCUUGGCCACAAAAGAAAACUCUGCAACUCUUGGGUUCUGCGAGAGGCAUGUCCUUGACAGAAUCCAUAUCUGGUUCAGUCUUCUCAUUCUGGCCUAAUCUCUGAUAAAUCCGCUGAGUCCUUCCAGAGUUUUGUAAAGGUGUUCUGGAGAGAUCAAUGUCUUCAAUCCAAGGAUUUAUCUGCAGUGUCUCCAUAAUUGUCUUCAGCAAUAUCUCUCCCUCCACACGUUUGCAUCCUUGAAGAGACAAGCAUUUCAAGCUAGCAUUCUUCUCCAAACUCCUGAAGAUUUUAACAAAGUCAUCUGAUCUCAAACUCUCAUCAUCGUGAAUUCUCAACUGCCUCACUGUUUCAUUUGUUAUAAGAAACUGUAUAACAGCAGCUAGACCAUCCCUUCCUAUUCUUGUUCUUUCUCCUCCAAAAGUAAUACAUGUCAAAGUAAUGUUAGCUUGCCUUUGAAGUGCUGAAAAUCUACUCAAAGGGCAUAAUAGAUGCUCCACACCCAUUCCACUGAACCAAUUUCCAUUCAGGUGUAAGGUUUGCAGGGUUCUGUUCUUGAAGAGGCCUGCUGCAAUAUACACAAUGCCCUUGUCUUUAAGGCAUGUUCUAGACAAGUUUACCUCUUUGAGGCUCUGGUUUUGUUCCAAAACCAACCUAAAUUCCUUGGCACACCGGGAUUUUAGCCUUACUCCGGUCAUGUCAAGGGACUUCACAGUGAAGUUCAUGCCUAAAGAGCAGGUAACUCUACAAGUCCCUGAGAGGUUAAGCUUGUAAAUUCUAAGCGUGCUGUUCUCAGGUUCAAACUCAACCACCUUGGAACUCUUUUCCCUAUUCUCCCCACUCCAAACAUGAACUUCCAUUCUUCUGUUCCUUGCCAAAACUGCAGAUAUAAGAGGUGUAGCUGUGAUGGCAUUUGAGUCAAAAAUUGUCAACAGUUUUAGUGUUGAGUUAACUUCAAUCAUCUUCGAAAGCUCCUCAGCACCUCUUGACCCUAUUGAGUCUUCCCAUAUCUGCAGCUCCUCCAAACUGUCAUUCACCCUAAGAGCAGAAGCAAUGAGUCCCGCUCCAACAGACCCUAUGCCUGAUUCUGAAAGCAUGAUCUCUUUGAUCCCUUUAUUUGCCUUCAGAAUGUCAGAAAGGUCUGAGAGGCUUUUUCCAUUGAACCUGUUUCUUCUAAAAACCAAAUGUUGUACAUUUUGGUUAUUCCCCAGCAAAGUGCCAAGAUGUCUUACCUGUUUUGAGUCCCAUUCAACUUUGUGGAACUCCAAGUUUCUCAAGGAGGAGUUGUGUUUCCCUGGUGCUGCUAGAGUUGUCAAGAGGGGGGAAAAGAAUGGAAGCUCUUCCUUGGAAAUGUUUAUGCUUAUGGAGUUUUCUGUUUCUUGAUAACAACCUGAAGUUGGUUGGGAGAGGUAGAAGGAAAUACUGUGCAGAUUUAGGCCCUCUGAUUUGAUGGCUUGCUGAGCCCAUUGUAGUUCUCUCAGGAUCUGGUUUGAUGCCAUCACUUCAGAAACUCUGUAAAGUUGAAUGAACCUGUGCCCUUACCAGAACAUCAACACUAAUCUCAAAUGCUUCUUUGGAAGACAAUGUACAUACUUUUCACAAUGAAGCCCUCCAAAGAAAAAAUAUACAAGAAGGCACAAUAUUGCAACACAUUCUUCAAUAUAUUCUUUUGAUCACAUCAUUUAUUUGAAAUCACAAAAUUUCAUCAGCCAAACACCUUAUCGAAUGAACUAUCGCGAUUCUACGUAGUUUUUAAUAAAUUUUAGUCAGCAACAAAUAGUAUGUUAGAGCAAAAAAAAGACAAUUUUUUGAACUAUGAUCCGACCAAUUUUUACAUGGAAAAAAAAAGUGUUUAUUUAAUUUAUAUAGAAGACUCAUUGGACAAGAAUGCUUGUUUAAAACUGAUUCUUAACUUGUCUUGAUGAUCUUCUUUAGCAAAACAAAUGUUCCCACUGGAAUUGAUUCUUCACGUAUUCUAGCUAUUUCCUUUGCACCAUGGUGCAUCACAUACCACCCAAGAUUUCAACAUUGCCAAUGUGAAAAGCCUCUUUAUGCAUGUUUGUACAAAAUCAAGUAUUGCUAGCAAACACAUGGGUUAGGCAAAAAAGUCUCACCCUUACAUAAUUUUUCAACCCAACAUGAAAAAAAUGAGAACUUUUUUACCUAAAAGUUUUUACCUUGAUUUAAUUCUGCCAUGACUCUACCUAGAGUGAAUGUAGGCCCCAUUGAUGAUUUGUGGGGUAUCUGCUUUUUGACCUUUUAGACAAAGUGUAAAUUUUAUCUAACUUUUUCUUCUUUUCUUGCUCAUUCAUUCCCAUUAGAAUAAACAUAGAAUCCUAUAAAGUUAGAGGGCAAGUUAAGCUCUUUUGAAGGGUCCUAUCGGUGAAGAAAUCCUGUGUUUAUCUUUGUCUGGUGAAACUUGCUUUUGGAUUAUCCACAGGGGCUUUCAUAAUGUAAACUAAUCAAUCACUAAUUCAAAGUUGGCAAUCAUAUAGUAAUAUAUAUAUAUAUAUAUAUAUAUAUAUAUAUAUAUAUAAUAAUAAUAAGUAGUAUUUUGGUUAUGUUAUCAACGGAUAUUGUGGAGCAAUGUGCCUUUGUGUGUGAGAAAUUGUUUUUGUCAUGGUGGACCCAAGAACGAAUUGUUUACGUUAUAGAUGUAAAAUAUUUAUCAGAAAUUUCGUGAUUUUUGUCGUAAAUACAAAAAAUUAAGUUAAUAAAACAAAUUUAAGUUAAUGACCGUUUGAUAUAUUAAUAUUUUAUUUAACGGUUGAGAUGUUGAAUGGGAACAAGUUGUUUCAUUUGACUAAAAUUGCAAUUUGGUUAUUCUGAUAUUAUGUUACAGAUUGAAGUAUAUUUAAUCAACGGUUCUAUACUCUGAUUAGGUAUGUUAUUUUGGUUGCUGUAAUAUGUUAUUGCUUUGGUACGAUAAUAUGGUCGGUGACAAAGAUGAGUCUUUUUAAUCGGUUGGUGUAAAUUGAAUGAGCAAAAUCAAAUUUUCAUAUGAAAAAGGAAAUAAUAAGAAAAAAUAAAAAAUUUAGAAAAAUAUCUUUUAGUAAUAUAAUAUAUAUUUAUUCAUCAAUUUGACAAAAAAUUAAAAGAAUAUUUCUAUCAUUUAAAAAACAUUUAAAGGUUUUUAUUAAAAAAAUAUGGUGCCUAAAAGUAUAUAAAAAUAAUUGUAAUGUUCAUAUAUAUAUAUAUAUAUAUUUAUAUAUGAUUUAGUGAGAAAUAAAAUCUUAUCUCUCUUUCUAAGUUUAAUUUCUUCUUUUUCACUUAUGCAUACACUUUCAUUUGAUAUACAUCUAUUAAUUUAUACAUCCAGUUAUAUUUCUAUAGGAUAAAUUGAGGAGAUUAACAAUCAAUGAGUCAAAGUUAACCACACAUAAGAGAACAUGAUACUAUCUUUAAUCCUAAAUUUUAAAAUUUAUGUUUGUAGGUUUUUUUCCCAUGUCAUUCAACUUUUUCAUUUUUACUGUAUGACUUUUAACUUAUAUUUUGAUUUCUAAUAUUGAUUAUACCUAAGAGUGAUACAAGAACUCUUUCUUCACUUUUUACUAUCUAAUAUAAUAAUUUGUGAUUUAAAAUGUCAUUGAAGCAAUGACAUCUCCUUCAAUAAUGGAUUCUUAUGCUUAAUACUACAAACUAACAUAAACUAACUCAACAUAUCAUAUUGAUUCUUAUGCUUAAUACUACAAACUAACAUAAACUAACUCAACAUAUCAUAUGUUACUUCACUAACUCAAUCCAAAAAUAACAUACAUAUAAUGGAAUUUAAAUAAAUUACUCAUAGAACAAAUUCGUUAGAUGAAUUUAAAUAAGAAAUUAAACUAUUACUCUUAGAUUGAGAUUUGCUAAAUGAUUUUUCAUUAGUUGGACAAAUUAUAAUGAACUAACAAAAAUAACAUACAUAUUGCACAAUAUCACAUAAAAAAAACAUAACUAUGAAAAUUUAAUAUUUUCAAAACUUUCAACUCAAUCAAAAUAUUCAACUACUAGCACAAGUAACAUCACAAUAUUAGUUUAAAAAAUCUUUCCAUGAUUGAAUACUCUCAAACUCAACCAAAUAUAUUGUUUAAUAUACACAAAAUAAAUUACAUGACACAAUUAAAUUGUUGGAAUUCAAACUUUCUUGAAUUUUAUUUAUUUAUUGUUCUUACAACAAAUACCAAGAACACUAGAAUCAGGUUGACAAGAUUAACUCUUAUACAAAUCUUCCGAACUUGGGUUGGACUCUCUCGGCUUCUCCUCGAGUUGGGCUCUCGGCUUCUUCUCGGGUUGGGCUCUCGACUUCUUCUCGGGUUGGGCUCUCGCGGCUUCUUCUCGAGUUGGGCUCUCGGCUUCUUCUCCUCACGGGUGGGUGAGUGUACCUGCAAGGCGCUCCGAUGCCAAAGUCAGAUAUAGUUUUAUGUUCAUCAGAUCAAUUGAAUCCUCCCUACCUCUUGAGUUGAACCUCUAUUUAUAAGACUCUCUUAUUGGGCUUAAGAGUUACCUGUGUCUUUUCUUUUUGCACCUAACAUUUUGAAAACACACACCUGUAUAUUUGGGCCCAUCUUAUGGGCUUUGCUAUAAUCACUAAUUUAAUUUUACUUAUUUACUUUUUAUAUUUAACCUUUCGGCCGAGACUUUCGGUACAACCUUUCGGUUGACUUUUCGGCCUAGAUAGUACACUAGCCCCCUAGGCAUGAGGAUUUGAAAAAGACGUUAUGCCUAAUGAAAAGGACAAAUUUUGUAUUUAAUACCUUUCGUAUCAAAGUAUUGCCUUGUUUCAUGUACUUUUCUAGAUUAUGUCGAUUGACAUGACGAGUUAUAAUUGUGAUAUCGUAACGCUUCGUUUGAAAGGGUUUUUUGUUUUUAUUGAUUCAGAAAGAUUGAACUGAAUACUCUCAAAAGGUAUAAUGUCUUCUUCAAGCUCUGUUUCCAUUUCUGAUGAAUUUACAGAAUUUUCGGACAUGAGUAACGGGGCUAUCAGGAAAGUAAUGGAGAUGAAUGAGGAUAUUCAUUCAAUUGUUUCAUCUGCCAUCAUUUCUGUUGUGAAGAAUAAAGCUAGUAGUGAUAUGAGUUCAAGUGAAGAAGCUAUAGAUCUUGAAGCUGAAUAAAGAGUUGGUUGAAUCCAUCAAGAGUCUUGAAUAACAUAAUUUUUUCUUUUUUUUGAAGAUGUGUUUACCUUUUGGAUUUCCUUUCGGUCAACAUUUCAGCCUAUAAAUUAUUGAAAAUUGAUAACAUAAUAUUUGAAGUCGUGUUUACCUUUCGGAUUUCCUUUCGGCCUAUAACUUGUUGAAAAUUGAUAACAAUUGUUUGAAGGCGUUUACCUUUCAAAUUUCCUUUCGGCCAACUUUUCGGCCUAUAACUUUCGGAUUUUGUGCAUACUAAUCCCAAUGCUUCUUCUCAUGACAUGUUCUCGUCGGCUACUAUUCCUUCUCUUACAAAUUCGGUGAUUGAGCUUGCUAGCCGAACUUUACUAAUCGGCAAAGCAAUAAGAGAAGAGACUAAGGAUGUUGUUUCUUCUUUUGAACUUGAAAAAUUGAAAAAGGAAGCAACUGAAUCAAAUGAGAAGAUCAGAUCCUUAACUUCCCAGGUUGAAGAGUUGUCUAAGGCUAAGGAUUGUUAUGAAGCCGAGAAAGAGUCUUUGAAGGAGGAGGUUACUGAGUUAACGGCUCAUAAGUUAUCCCUUGACGAUGAGAUUCAACGAUUGAAAGGAAACUUCGCUGAUCUUUCUGCUGCGAAGAAAGCUGAAGCUGAUAAUAAUCUUCGUUUAGAAUCUGUGAUAAACCAGUUGAAUUCAAGGGUUACUCGAGCUGAGGGUUAUGUUGUUCAGCAACACAAGUUGGGUUUUGAAAAACCUCUCCAGCAAGCCGAGUAUUUUUACAAGAUUCCAUUGGAUGCUGGAAAUUUCGACGUGGGCAAAGAUUUUUAUAAUGACGAACUGAUGCCCAUAAGUGAAAUUCCUUAUGAUGAAGAUGAAGAUGAAGAUGGUGGCGCUGAUGAUGAUAGGCAUGCCGGCGCUGAAUAGCUUGUUUUAGUUUGUUGUUUUGUAAGAACUCCCAAGUAAAGUUCCAGGGUUCUUAACAUGUUUUGUCCCAGCCACUUGAUGGUUAUUUUGGAUGUAUAACAUCAAGUUAUAUAUAAUAUUCUAUUUACUUUGCACGUAUCCCAAUUAUUUGCUAGUGAAUAAUCUUUAUUUAUCACAAAUGUGCAUGAAAGAUAAAGUGAAGAUGUGAUUGUCCAUGUUCACCGCACCAUAUAUCACCUAAUAUAACCAAUGUGUCGGAUCCUAGCUUUCGGUUUCAAUAUCCAGCUUAGUAUUUGGCUAACUAUGCUUAAAAGAUAUAUCUUAGUUUAACUCAUCUAAUAUAACAAACAUGUUCGACCUCAACUUUCGGCAUCAUCAGUAUUCGGCAUUAGUUUUCGAUAAUUUUCUAUGCACUUUGUCCAACUAAAAAAGCAUCUUUGACCACGAGAACUACAUAUAAUAUUCUUUGGAAAAAAUUUUAAGUGAAAGUAGUUUAUGCCGAAAGAUUUACAUGAAAUAGUUCCUUUGGAAAAUUUUAGGUUCGUCGUGAAACCACCUUUUGAACUUAAUAUAAUUGUUUAUUGUUUUCUUUUAAUUCGAGUCAUUUUUUGUUACCAAUUAAAUAUCAUUUUAGACCUCUCGGCCUAACCAACUUGUUAUUUGUUUGAAAUAUUUAAUGUUAUUUUUCGGUUACCCAUAAAUAUUAUCACAGACUUCUCAAUCUUGUUCUUUCGGUUAUGUGAUAUGAUUGAUUAAUUUUGUUUUUCGGUUACGAGCAAAUGCUAUCAUAGACUUCUCGGUUUUAACUUCUCCGUGCCAACCUAACCUUUCGGUCAUCUGACUUAAAUGCUUUAAAUGUUAUCUUUCGAUCAUAAGCUAUUAUUUAUUUAUUAUUGACAUGAAAUCCUGAAGAAGUUAUUUUGGAUGUAUAGCAUCAAACCAUAUAUAAUAUUUUACUUACUUUGCACGUAACCUAAUCGCUUGCUAGUGAAUAAUCUUAUUUAACAUAAGUAUGCAUAAAAGAUAAAAUUAGAUGAUCUGAUAUAACCAACUUAUCUGGUUCUCGGUUUUUCUAGUUAGAGACCAAUUUUGACUAUUUUUAUAGGUUUGAACUUUUGGACUUGAUACUGAUACGCCAAUGUUUAUUUAGACUUCUCGGUUUUGUCUUGAGACCUCUCGGUUUUGCAUUAGAACCUUUCGGUUUUUUCGAUAAGAUCUCUCGAUUUUUGUUGUGCCAUGCAAAAAAUGAGACUUCUCGGUUUUGUAUUGGAACCUUUCGGUUUUUUGAUAAGACCUCUCGGUUUUGUAUUGGAACCUUUCGGUUUUUUUAUAAGACCUCUCAGUUUUUGUUUUCUGUCAUGCAAAAAAUGAGACUUCUCGGUUUUGUAUUAGAACCUUUCGGUUUUUUUUAUAAGACCUCUCGGUUUUUGUUUUCUGCCAUGCAAAAAAUGAGACUUCUUGGUUUUGUAUUAGAACCUUUCGGUUUUUUGAUAAGACCUCUCGGUUUUGUAUUGGAACCUUUCGGUUUUUUGAUAAGACCUCUCGGCUUUUGUUUUUUGCCAACCUUUUGGACUAUAACUUUUUGACUUCUUAAAUAAGAACUCCAUUGAUUGAGAUUUGAUUUGAAUAAAACACACUCGAGAGAGGGAUUUCACCUGGAGUGAAAACAUCUUGAUCCGAGAGGCUUGAAGUACGAGAUACACUCUCGGGAGGGAUUUCACCUGAAGUGAAAGCAUCCUAGACCGAGAGGUUUGAAAAACGAGAUACACUCUCGGGAGGGAUUUCACUUGAAGUGAAAGUAUCCAGGACCGAGAGGUUUGAAGAACGAGAUACACUCGCGGGAGGGAUUUCACCUGGAGUGAAAACAUCCUGGACCGAGAGGUUUGAAGUACGAGAUACACUCUCGGGAGGGAUUUCACUUGAAGUGAAAGCAUCCAGGACCGAGAGGUUUGAAGUAUGUGAAGCAUUGAUGAAUUUAACAGUUUGACUCUUCAUAUGAAUAACUUCUUCAUUAAGUGUUUCAAUCUUGGAUAAGACUUUCUUUAUACAUGAAAAAUCAUCCUUGACCGAAAGGUUUUACAUACAAUGAUGAGUGUUUAACUGCCUUGGACUUUGUCUGCUCCUUAUCCCUCCAUCUCUAGCAAAGCGUUUCAACUGCCCAACUUGAAUCAAUUCUUCAAUUCUAUCUUUCAAAGCUACACAUUCUUCUGUAUGACGACCAUGAUUCUUGUGGUAUUGGCAAUGUUUACUCUGAUAUGCUCUUUCUGAAGUUCUUUCCUUCUUUGGUGGUGGGAUUAUCUUUACUGCCAUUGCUUAUUGUAAGAUUCUUGCUCUAUUACUACUCAACAGUGUAUAUUGUUGAAACUUUCGGCUACAAAAUUAUUCUCUUCCUUUUCUAAACGAAUGCCCUCGAAAUUCUCUCAACUCUUUCAUCUGCAUAAACUUUGAUGCACGUUGUCUUAACUCAUCAAGAUUGGUUGUCGGUUUUUUGCAAAAACUGUCGGCAAAUGGUCCCGGUUUCAAUGCUGUAAUCAUAUGAUGCAUUGUGACUUUCGAACUGAGAUUGCGGAUACUUAGUGCUACCUUUCCAAAGCGCUCCAUAAAUGUUCUUAGGGAUUCUCCCUUUUCUUGCCUUAUAUUCACUAAGGCAAUUGAUGUCAGAUGAUGUGGUCGGCUUGUAGCAAAAUGAGCUCCAAACUUUUUUACUAAAGUGUUGAAACAAUCAAUGGAUAACGGUGGCAACCGAGUAAACCAACUCAUAGCCCCUCCCUUCAAAGUUGUUGGGAAUACUCGGCACAAAAUGACAUCAUUCCACGUAUACAAACUUAUUUGCGUUGUGUAUACUGCAAUGUGUUCAUCAGGAUAUGUACCUCCAUCAUAUUUCUCCAUUGUAAAAUUCUUCCAAUUUUCGGGCAGUGGGGUUUCUAUAAUGGCUUCGGAAAAUGGAUGCCUCUUAACAGAUAUUCCGACAAAGAUACCAGAAGUCUCUGGUAUUCUCUUCCUUGUAGUUUCAAAUCUUUCCUCAUUAUGUACCCUUUGGUGGAUAUGUGUUCUUGGUUGAACAGUUUCAAAUGAGGUGUUUAAAAUUGUCUCUUCAUUCAACUUCCUCUUCAUGUGCGCAUUCUCCGCCCUUAACAUACUUAACUCUUCUUCAUUGCUUUUCUUUAGUGUUUCGAACUCUCUUUGUAAUUGCAUGAGCAUAGCCAUUGACAUGGAAUUUUGAUUAUCUCUCUGCUCCCCAGACUGCUCUCCACCUUGCUCUUCUCUUUGAUUUAUCUUGUCUUCAACCUUUUUCAGCUACUUCUCGGCCCCACGGUGGGCGCCAAAAUGUUCUUACAACAAAGACCAAGAACACUAGAAUCAGGUUGACAAGAUUAACUCUUAUACAAAUCUUCCGAACUUGGGCUGGACUCUCUCGGCUUCUCCUCGAGUUGGGCUCUCGGCUUCUUCUCCUCACGGGUGGGUGUGUGUACCUGCAAGGCACUCCGAUGCCAAAGUCAGAUAUAGUUUUAUGUUCAUCAGAUCAAUUGAAUCCUCCCUACCUCUUGAGUUGAACCUCUAUUUACAAGGCUCUCUUAUUGGGCUUAAGAGUUACCUGUGUCUUUUCUUUUUACACCUAAAAUUUUGAAAACACACACUUGUAUAUUUGGGCCCAUCUUAUGGGUUUUGCUAUAAUCACUAAUUUAAUUUUACUUAUUUACUUUUUAUAUUUAACCUUUCGACCGACACUUUCGGUACAACCUUUUGGUUGACUUUUCGGCCUAGAUAGUUCAUUUAUGAUUAACAUAUGAUUAUAAUAAUGAAAUACAAUAUUAAAAACCAAAGUUAAAAACAACACAACAAUAAUUUGUGUGUACAAUACUUAAUCAAAUCAAAAUUAAAUCACAAAUAAUCUCUAUUCCAAAAAUUUAAACAAAUUAUAUUCAUAUUCCUAAACCCUUUUCCACGAUUUCAACUUUAUUAUCACAUAAUUUCUAAAGAUAAUAUUUAUCAUAAUAAUUUCUUUAACAAAAUCAAUCUAACAAAUACAGGUUCAAAAAUUUCAAUAUCAGUAACAUUCAAACAUUGUUCUAUAAUUAGAAUCAAAUUCACUUAUAAGUAAAAAUAGCUUCUCUUAUUUUUGACAAUGUUUGUGUUAAAAUGCAUAUAUAAACAAAAAAAAUCUAAAAAAUACCAAACGUUGAGAUACUUAAAGAAAUAUUACCAAAACAACUAAAAACACAGUCAAAAGGAAAAAAAAAGUUCUAAAACAAAUAAAGCCUCAAAAUACCCAUAAAUAAAAUAAAACAAAAUAAAAAUAUAGAUAAUUUAGAAUAAAAUGAAUCUACUUGAAAUUAAACGAUGAUAAAACAAAAUAUGUUAUAUUAUUAGGCUACCUUUAGUUUGUGGGGUGUCUUUGUGGGGGGUGGUCUUAGAAAAAUAGAGAACUUGGAUAUAAAAGAAAAAAACAGGACAAAAAAAAGGAAAAAGAAAAAAAAAACUAAAACACGUGUUAUAAUUAAAAGAUAAUUAUAAGUGUUUUUGAAAGAGUCACUAUCAAAGGCAUCCCAAUCUGCAAUUUGAUGGCUAAGAUAAUGAGCAAAAGAGAGUUAUUGCUACCACAAAUAUAAAUAGCGAGUGAAGUUUUUAUUUAUUAUUUAAUUAAUUUUGGGUAUUCAUAUGUUUCCUCAACAUGCCAUAUUGAUAUGGUCCCAUCCCAAUUGUAUAACAGAGUGGCAUAAACAUUAUAUAGUUAUAUACUGCAACUACAACUAGAAUAAAACCUAGAAUUAGUUCUAAUCAACAUUGUGGACCACACUUAAGAACAAAUAAAUAAAUCCAAAAUUUAAAUUAAAAAGUUAUUUCAACUUUCUUGUAACAAAGUUUUGUUUUUAAACCUAACAAGUCAACCUUUGAAGCUACAAAUAAUUUCUUUUUCUGGGUCAAUUUUUUUACAUUUGGGUCAAUUUAAUUUUAAUUUAUUUAAUUAUUCCGAGAGUGUGUCGGAUUUUAAUUAGGGUUUUUAGAGUUUCACAAUUUAAUUAGGAUGUUUUAAGCUUUAAAGGAGAUAUUGUUGUCUAAUGAUAUAUUAUUAUUUAUAAUAAUUUCAUUUUCUAUAAUAGUUAUUAAAACUCACAAUUUAGUUUUUUUUAUUAUUAAUUGAUAAUAUCAAAAUUUAUAGUUUUAAUGUAAUUUUUCUAUUUUUAUCAUUUUAAAAUUGUCUUUUAUUUGUGUAAGGGUUUUCUCAUCUUAAUACAGAUCUUGUAUUUGAUUAUUACUUUAUUUAUAAAGGAAAAGCUAAAAGGAGCAAACUAAUCAGAUACAUUUAUUGUAUAGAAAGUAUAAAAAAAACACCCUAGUUUUUUGUUAAUGAAAGUAAAUUAUAGUUUUUUUGGUACUACAAAUAUUUAAAAAUGUUUAAUAUAGUAUACACCAACAUAAUAAUAAUAAUAAUAAUAAUAAUAAUAAUAAUAAUAAUAAUAAUAAUUUACUUAAAUUCAGUGUUUUUAAAAAUAAAACUAGGAUGUUGCGAUAACUUGUUACUGUCAUCUCGGAUAAAAAGAUAUUUAUUUUUUAUUUCAACCAACCCCAACAAAAACUAUUAUAACCUAGAAUUUAUAUCAUUCUUCUUUUGGGAAAAUUAUGAGCCCUAAAACAUUCUAAAAAACAAGUUUUGAUAACCACUUUUCAAGAAAACAAUAAAUCUUGAGUUGGGAUUUUGAGAAUAGAAAUAUUUGUGUGUAUUUAAUGAAGAACAAGAAACCAAAGCUAGAUUAAGACCCCAACUCCACAAAAGGUAAGAUUGUUAUGUAUAAGUUGUGAUUAUGAUGUCCGAAAAUUGAAUUGAAGAUAAAAGCUUUAGGACAAAUCCUAAUCCAUUUAGGAGGAUAAGAUAAAAGCAUGGCCACAGGCAGGUUUCAUUUGAAGAUCCAAAUAUUAAUUCUUAUUAGGAUGGAAUCCCAUGAAAGGAACAUGCAGAAUGGUAAAUAGCCAUAAAAGUUGAUACUGAUAAGCAUAAGCUACACAAAAAUAAACAAUUAUAUAAGCAAAAAAGUUUCUAUAAUGAGUCAUGCAUACCCACUAGUUGCAUGCAACCAAUCAACUUUGUUGCAAGCAAUUCAACAACAGUUAUGUUAUUUUCACCAAACAGUAGCCACAACAGCACAUUAUAAGCAGGAAUUGACCAGUCUUGAAAAUCAAGAGCACUUCAAUAAUAGACCAAAUGCAAAGUUGUAUAACAAAAGUGUAACAAAGACUAAUAAAACUGUUCAGAAACUUGAUUAUUUGAUGGGGAUCCUACAUAUGCAUCCCACUCAUGUUUCACACUUGAUAAAUCAAACCUCACUUACAAUUUGAUCAGAGUUACAUAUACCAUGAGAAAAAGAGAAAAAAAAAGAAAAAAAGAUGGUGACAAGAACCAUUGAACCAACACCUUUGCAUGCCAGGCAUUACAGUGGCAAAGAAAGAAGAAAUUCAAAAAUUAAUAAUCUAUCAUUAAACCGACUAACGACAACGUGCCUCUCUGGAGAUGUACUAUUACACUAUCAUGGAACAAAUCUUCCUGAGUAUAUCCCGCAAAUCUGAUUUUACACCUCAAUCCAAUUCCAAGAAAGGAACCUAAGUCUUGAAAGAUGAAAAAGAGGACCAAAAUAAGGAUGAAAAAGAAAAAAAAACAAGCCUUACACAAAAUCACUUGUAAACUGCUUUGUCUUUGAAUAUGUAUACUUCAAAUGAAAGAAGAAAGAACACCGUUAGCUAUAUAUGACGUUUCCUUAUGAGCUGUAUCUCUUAGGUGAUGGAGAUGUAUGAAUUCACAAUACCUCAUUAAUCUUUAACCACUUUUCCUUCAUCUACUGCUACCAUGACAAAUCCAACUAUCAUAUCUCCUAGGCAGCGAUUCCUGAAAAAACAUCAUAUAUAUGUAAGAAUCUGCUAAAUAGUCAAUCCUUUAACAAUCAUAAUCAAUGUGCACUGAUUCUAGACGAGAAUGAAUAUAAAUGAGUAGAAAGAUUUGAGUUUUUGGUCUUUUAUCAUUAUAAAUUGAACUGCUUCAACAGAAUAAGUAACACAGAAAUGCAACCCUUCAUGUGCCUAUUUCAUGACAAUAUAACCAUGGACAUUCAACUUAGUGUGGUCUAUCCAGAUAUAAGCAUCUUUAAGAUAAUGGUCUAGUUUGGAAAAACAUCUCAACAAAUACUUGUAGAAAAAGAAAAUAAGAAAGUAAAAUGAAAUUCUUUUUGUAAGUUAAAAAUUAAUUUAUUUGACUUUUAUAGAAGCUUUGAGUGUGAUCUUUUUUCACAUUUAAGCAUCUUUAAAGUUCAUAUCCGGUUUGGAUAAACAUCUUAUUAAGUACUUGUAGGAAAAAAUAAGAAGGUAAAAUGAAACUUCUCACACUUAACUUGAUAGAAAGUCCUUAAGCAUAUUUCAAGUUAAUAUGAUGGUUCACUUUGGAUAAAUUUCUUAUUAAAUACUUAUAGGAGAAGAAAAAGGUUUAUGGGCUCUCUCACUAAAUUCCCCAAAAGUGUUUAUUGAAAAAUUUAUCCAAAUUGACCCAACAUAACUUACACAAAUAAAAUCAAAAUUCCAAUAAAAUUUAAAUGAAAUGAUAACGAAACCUACACAUAAGUACAGGAAGUUGCAAGGAAUAAUUCUACUUGGAUUGCAGUAAACACUUGUGAGAACGCUCAAGAAUCUGAAGAUAUAAAAUUAGAAGACAUGCAUAACAAAAGUCAGAAACCAAGUAUUCAGCAUAACUAAAAGAAGGCACUAACAAAGCAACCAUGAUAUCUUUAUCAAAGUUAAAGAUCUAUUUGUCUUGAGCUUAAAAAUGGCCGUAAAUGAAAAUGAGUAAAUAAAAAUUUCCUUUCCAAACUCCUCCAGAAAAAUUCAUCUUCUGAAGUAUAGAAAACACAUAAUUGGAAAUCAAAAGCCCAAAAAGUAUAAACAAUAAUCUGAUUUUCUUUUGGAGACAAGACUGUAGCUUAAAGUCUUACCUCUAUUAGGUUGUCUACUAGUAACAUUGUAGUUUCCAAUAUAACCCUCAGAAUUCUUUACUGGGUCAUCUGAAGCUAUACCACCAAGACCAUAACCAAAUGAACCAGAACCAUCAAUCUCAGAGACAGCAGAACGCCAAGCAGCGUCGUUGUAAACUGAACCACUGCCAGUACGGUACAAGUCCCCGUACGAUCCUUCAUAACCACCAGUUGACACAUUAAAUGUAGAGGCUGGAGUCACACCUGAACUGUUGUUUCUUCCAUACCCUGCCCCACCUAGACCAAAGCUGCUAUCACCACCUUCAUAAAUAUUAUUCCCAGUACCAUAACCAGAAGCAGCACCUCCACCCUGGGCUGGAAUGGAUGGACCCCAGCCUGUGCCACUAUUUCCAAUUGAAACACCAAAAGCUCCACUUCCAGAUCCUAGGAAAGGGCUGGGGCUGAUAGGAUUACUGGCAUUAUUGAGGCCUCCAUUUCCCCAUAAAUUACGAGAAGGUGAGUUCAUAAGAGAAUCACUUCUCCCAUUGACCCCACUAUAGCCUAUAGGAGUGGUAUAUCUGCCAGAGUUGCCAUUGUAGAAAGGAUUCAAUAGUCGACCAUAUCCUAGAUUGCUCCCAUAAUUGGAAGUCCCUCCAAAGGUUGGGCUCAAUCCUGAAUCCAAAUUCAUUCCCAUUCCAUAACCAGUGUUGCCAAAGGGAGUAAAUCCACUUCUACCACCAGUAAGAGGACUAAACCUACCAUCCAUCCUCACUCCAUAUCCUCCUAUUGGACUCAUACUAUAACCCUGAGCAUAACUGUUUAGGUAGCUACUGGCCCUAUUCAAACCAUAGUUAUAUCCUAUCAACGGGCUUCGGUUGGGACCAGGGGAAAGCUCUUUGGGAACUGCCCUCUUGACUUCAACCAUCUUACCAUUGAGUUCAUGAAAAGUUUUAUAUAGAACUCUAUCCACAGCUUCUUCAGAAUCAUAGGUAAUGAAGCCAAAACCUCUUGGCCUCUGGGUAUUAUGAUCAUACAUAACUACAACAUCUGUAAUUGUACCAAACUGAUCAAAAUACUUCUUAAAAUCACUUUCAGUGAUUGUUGAUGGUAAACCUCCAACAAAGAUUUUUUUGGUGCGUCCAGGACCAGGAGAUGCGUGUGCACUGCCAGACUGCUGCUGCCUAUUUAUAUUGAGCUGAUCAUCCCUAGGAACAGCUUUCUUUGCUUCAACCUGGAAUUCAAGAGAUCAGUACAUAACAAAAUCAGCAUGACAUUUUCACUUUAUUGAUUUAUAAACUAAAAAGGUUCAAGUUUGAUCCAAUGUACAUACAAAAGUACAUAGCCAAAAAGCGAAAAUGAGUUUUUAAUCAUCAAUGAAGUCGAAAAUUAAAGCAUAGGAGACAAUGAUCUCCUUUAUGAACACAAAUUUAGCAGCACAGCUAAACACAAAGUAUUGACACAAUGCCAAGUACAUCUACAAAGAAACAACUCACUGUGCGCCCAUCAAUUAUGUGUUUAUCCAUGAUUACUCUUUCUGCAACAGAAGGAUCAGCAAAGACAACAAAACCAAAGCCGCGAGCACGACCUGUUACGCGAUCCCUCAUGAUCACAGCCUCUAUCACCUCCCCAUAUUUCCCAAAAUAUUCCUUAAGCCGUUCCUCAUCAGUGUCCCAAGAUAUUCCCCCAAUGAAGAGCUUGCCAAGAUCCGAUUCCAUCUGUUCCAACACCAACCAUGAGUAGUUAACAAUCAAUCACUGAUUCCAAAUUUCCAAUAUUGCGAUUGAACAAAAUUCAAAACAAACACACAUUCCGAGUCAAAAUUCUCAUCUUAAAAGCCACACCAAAGAACAAAAAACCCACAAUUCAAUAAUCCAUAUCCAAAUCACUCAAUGAUAGCUUAAAUUCAAGCCAAGGAACCAAUCUAAACGCACAAUUUCCCAUAUUAACAAAUAAAUCCAACCUUUCCACCAAAGCAAAAACCGAUCAGAAAUGCAGAUGAGAAGAAAAGACUCACCUUAUCUCAAAAUUCAGACAGAACCCAGCUGUUGCUUCGAUCAGAGACGAAGUGGGUUUUGUCAAAUUCGAUCUAGGAGCAUCGGAUCUUCCGAGCAUCAAUCAAAACCCGAACCAGAAAAUCUAAUCUCACCGCCCCAGCAAGGAAAAAGAACAAGGAACUGGAUCAGAGAUGGAAAUUCAAAAACUUUACGAGAGAUCGGUGAAACUUGGACCGACCCAGAUGAGAAAAAUUUACCAUGUGCUGAUGACGGUGGAAAAAUGAUUGGCAUGUGAAAAAUGCUUCAAUGGGAGGAAGGGGAAGGAAGAAAACUGGGAAUGGAAACAGAGGAUGUGCUCAUCAUCAUCCUCUAUCUAUUCUCUCUCUUGCUUUUUUUUAUUUUUUCUUUUUCUUUUUUUAAAACUCUUGUUCUUGGUUAUUCCACUUCCUUAAUCUAAAUCAAAGGAAAAGGAAUUUGUAGCUAAGAUGUGGAGGCACAUUAUAUAUAAAUAGAGAGAGAGAGACUGCAAAUCCUCUGGUGCAAGAAAAUUUGGAGGAGCCAAGAGAUGACACAGAGUUUUAUUUACUUUUUUUUUAUUAUUAUUAUUUGAAAAGUGUGAAUGAAUAAUCAUUAAAUCCGUUUCUAUAAUAAAUUGAGAGAAGUUUUUUUUAUUUUUUUACUUUUCAGAGAAGUUUUUUUUUCUUCUUUAUUGCUAUUUUUAUAAUUAAGAGAAGAAUAGAUAAUAUAUGCUGUUAAAGUUACAACUUACAUUGACAAGAGUUUGAAGAUUUUUUUCAUUUAGUUGUAAACCGUUACUAUUUUCUUAAACUUGUAUGUUUUAUCGGUAAAUAUCUCUUGAAAUACCAAAAUUGACUAAGAUUGAAUGUUUUUCCACAAAAAAAAAUUGUUAAUAAUACAUUUAAAAUAAUUUCAAAUACAUUCUUAAAAGAUAACUAGUGAUAUUUUCUACAAAAUUUAUCAAUAAAAUUAAUGAAUUCUUCAUAUUGAUAAUAUAGUGGGGAAGAAAACUCUUUUUUGCACAUAUAUUUAUUGAAAACCGUUUAAUAUGAAAAAUAUAAUUAAAUAAAAAAUUAUACAAGAGAAAUAUGUGAGCUUAUCACAAAUAAUAAACAUGAUUAAUAUUUUUUUUAAAAUUUCGAUGUAAUAAUAUUUUGUUUAUGAAAAUAGAUUUUUGAUAAUUUUUGAACUUUAAAGUACUAUUAAAUUGGGUUUAGUGCGAGAUGAAUUAUUCUUAAACAUACACUAAUAUUUUUCAAAUUUAAAAUGACUUUUAUAUAUAUUCAUAUGAAGAGUAUUCAAAAUAUUAAAAAUAUAUUUGACGAUGUUUGAAUAAUUUUAUUAAGUUUAUUUAUACUUCAGUAUUGAUCGUCUAAUUGAUGGAGAAUUAGAAAUGUUAACAGUAAAUAUUUUUUUAUUUUCUUACAAGUAUUAUUUUUAUUUAAUCAUGUUAACUUAGUUAUAUAUUUUUGUUUAUUCUUUUUACUAAAUAGAGAGUCUCAAAUUUUUUUAUGUAAUUUUCAAAAAUUUCAAUUAACAAAAUAUGUAUAUUCUAAAAUGUGUUUUUAGCAUUUCUGAAUGAUUUUAUUUAUGCAUAAAAAUAGAGGUAAAAUUUCUCAUGGUAUGAUUAACGAACAAAAAUAAACACACAAAAAUAAUAUCGUAUCAUCUAUCUUUCUGUAAUUUUUUAUUAUGUUAUUUUAUUUUGAUAAGUUAAACUUAAUAUUUAUAUUGAUUUUAAUUUUGUAUAAUAUGGAUUACGUUUUAAAAUUUGAAAUUAAAAAAAAACACAUCACAUGUCAACAUGGUUGUGGGUUCCACUUAGCACAAAUGUAUUUUCACCUUGUCAAACUUAAUCUCUCUCCCACAUCUCACAAUCCAAUUAUUAUAAAUAAGAGUAAAUAUAAUUUAUGUAUACCAAAUAAAGGAAUUUCACUCAUAUAUUAAUACAAGUUAUAUUAAUCAUACUAAACUACAAUAAUGAAAGAAUAAAAAAAUCAACAUAUAGAAAUCAAUUUUAGAAAAAAAAAGUUAAUUAAUUACUAUACUCACUAAAUUAUAUAUCAUUUUAGAAACUAAAAAAAUUCUAAAUUAGUUUCUAUUGUUGUUAAAUAGUUUUUAAAUUGGUAUCUAAGAUGGUAUAUAAUUUACUCUGAUACCAUAUUACAAAGUGGACUUUAAGCCUAACUCAACCUCAUAAAACCGAUUCAUAUGGUUGAGGUUUGCACCCACUUAUAUACAAUGAAAUGCUCUAAUCUCUAGUCGAUGUGGGAUCUCCAACAACUUUAGCAACUAAUUAUUUUUUUUUUUCUAAAAAUUGGUUUCUAUUUCAUGAUUUUCAUGUAGUGUUAUAUUUGAUAUCAUAUAUAUAUAAAUCAAUUUUUAUAAUAAUUAUGUCAAUAAUGAAAUUAAAAAUAGUUCUCAAUAAAUUGAUAUUAAAAAGUAUAUAAUGUUUACAUUGAGGACAUAUGCAUUAAACUAUUAUAUGAGAAAUGAAAAAAAAAAAAAACCUUCAUUUAUUAUAUAAUUCAAGUAAAGUUGCAUUAUUAAUUAGUUAGAAAACACCUUAGAUAAGACUUUUGAUAUCAUUCUUAUAAAAGUAAAAUCGUAUUUACUUGUGAUUGAAUGAUAACACAAAAAUCUUUAAAUUAUUAAUUUUGAUAAAUAUAUAUAUAGGUGAAUAAAUUAUUGUUUUCAAAUUUUAAAUUUGUUAAUAUGUUAAGAUUAAUUAUAACGUUAAUCUUAACAUAACCUAGAGUGUUAAUUUAGUCAGAAUCCUUAAAAUGUACUUUUGAAAAGUAUAAAUAUUUUGUCUCAUCUCUAUUUUUAUUGGAUGAGUAUAUUCGUAUCAUCUUUUUUAUUAUUUUAUAUAUUAAUUAAAUAAGUUAAGAUAAAUUUCAAAUAAUUAUUAAAAAGUUAAAAAUAAUGAAAUAUAUGAUGUAGAAAUAAGUUACAAAAACUAAGGACAAAAAAAGUUAAUUUUUUUUUUAGUUUAUCUAAUAAAUUAAAAGUGUUUUAAAACAAAAAUGGAUGAAUAUUAGGUGAGAGUGAAUAUUUAUGUCUGAUAUCUAAUUUAAAAAAUUGAAUAUUAUUUAUACUCAUAUCCAUAUCCAAUCAAUGUAAGAAUUCUUCAUCAAAAUAAAGAUGAGUUUAGAUAAUAUUUAAAAAAACAUAUUCAUUUGUCAUCUUUAUUUGAGAAUUAAGGGUGAGAUGUAUUUAAAUUAUUUAUGUUGUUAAUUCUUAAAUGAUGUGAGAUUAUUAUACUUAAUCAAAUAUUUAUUAAUAGAAGUGUAUAUGUUGUUUUAUACUAUGUAGAAUUUUUUUUUUAUAUAUCCUCAUUCAAGUGAUUUUUAUAUAAAUGCGCCUUCUAAAUAUUUGAAAGUAUUAACAAAUUUAGUAUAAAUAUUGUUUUCUAUAAUGGUGUAAUUUUUUACACAUAAAUUAGAGUAUAUGGAAUAUAUCCUCGUACAAGUUCAAGAUAACGAGUGUAAAAUAUUUUACACGCUCAAAAGUUACAACCAAUCUUACUUUAAACGUAAUUCAAGUUUAUUAAAAUUAAUAAAUUUAUCAUAUAUUAAUAGGAAAUCAAAUUUAAAUCUCAUUCAUAUUUAUAACUAUUACAUUAGAGGAACUCUUUGUGGUCAUACAAUAAAUUUUUAUGUAUUAGUAAUAACAUUAAUAUUUAAUAAUAAUAGUAAAUAUAUUUAUAAUUUUAUUACUAAUAUUUAAUAGUAAUAUUAAAAAUACUAUUAAUAAUACUAACAAUAAUAUUAAUAAUAAAAAUAAUAUUAUAAUUAUUAUUAAUAAAUAAUAAUAUUAAUAUUAAUAACAAUAGUAUUAGUAAUAACAAUGAUAAUAGUAAUAACAAAAAGUUUCUUUAUGAAAUUUUUGCCGUAUGUAAUACUAUCUAUAGUAUAAAAUGACCAGUGUAUUACUUACUGUUAUAAUUUGUAUAUAAUACUAAAUUUAUUGAGGGAUAAAAAUCUAUAAAUAAUUUGCAUAUAUAUGAAUAUGUGUUCGUGUCUAAUAAUCUAUAUAUCAAAUUAAAUUUUUUUAUAGUGAAAUAAAAUAUAUUGCAUUUCAUGCUUUAUUUUACUUAAAUAAAAAUUACAACUAUGAGAGGAGAGAACUAUGAGUUUUAAUGUCAUUUUUAUAUACUUUUAAUAAUCAUUAGUAAUUUUUAUUGAAUUUGACUAACAAAUAUAUUGAGUUUUUUUAUCUUAUCAUUGGUGGUUAGGAGUGUUGAAACCAAAUUACAUUAUCCUUAUGAUAAAAAAAAUAACAUAAUAAAAAACUAAAAAUUAUAUAUUUUAUUGUAGUUUGAUUUUCUAACAAUCCAAAUUAAGUAAUUAUGUUUUUAAAGAAAAUAAUUUAUAUAAAAUAAGUUGAUAUGAAUUGAUUGGUGUUUGGAGUGGCGCGGUGCGUGACAAAGCUAAGCGGUGCAGUAGGUGGGUAGUGGUUGUUUGGCUCUGCGGCAGCACAAGGCGUGGCUGCACAUCGCAAGUGCAGUGGUUUCUACGUGGCGGCACGUUGGGUUUUUGGCAGCACAAGCAAGUGUGCGUUCGUGAGCGUGGCAGGGUGGCAGCGCUUCCUGGUUGGUGGUGCAGUGCUACGGUUCCACAAGUUUUGAUCGCGACGGCUUUCUGUUCCGCUGGAGGCGCGUGAACGGUUUUGGUGUGUUUCUUGGAUUCGAAGGGUCACGGGUCUUGGCUUCCAGCUACUUUCUUGGUACUUUCUUGGAAUUGGAAGUGGGGUUUUCAGUUUCAAGUGUUGUCUUGGAGGUUCAAGAAUGACAGAGUUGUCUCUGGUUUGUUUCUUGAAAUAUUGGAGUUAACAAGAAGUGGUUUCAAUUAAGAAGUCAUGUGUUACACAAGGAUAAAGGUGCUCAAGUCUUGGAUAAUAUCUUUGAUAUUUUUUUUCUAGUUACCUACAACUACAUCUUGUAUCAAGAGAAGAGAGAUAUGAUUGUUGUUCGGGUUGAAAAUAAAGAUUACUUGACACCUUCAAUUUGAGUGUAAGACGUGUCUUAUAUUUGUCGAUGCUGCCAUCCGAGAUUUUUACUUUAUUUUAUAGAUUCAUUUGCAUCAGAUGGUUUAUGCUCGGUGAGUAACGGUGUGUCAAGGUCCACGUUUGAUUUAGCUGCGAGGCGGAAAACUCUUCAUCCAUUGCUUUUUGCCAAUUUGGAUCAAAGAUAGCUUUAGCGUGUGAGGUUGUUUAGUGCCUGUGUUGUUAGCAAGAUAUCGUGAAUUAGAAAGAAAAUUAUGCAUAGAAACCUGGUUCAUUCGGCUAAUCUUGGGUAGUGGUUGAAGGAUUGGAUUGGGAUCUCAUUACGUAGUCUUGAAGCCAAGAAGGUGGAGUUGAUGUGCGAUUAGAUCGUCGAACAGGAAUGUCGGCUGGAGAAGGUUCGGUAAUGAGUGAUAGAUUUCCUAGUGUGGAAGAAGGUAAGAAAGUGUUUGCAUCUAUAUCAAAUAAUUUGUAUCUUUUUUUUUAUUGUGAGGAUAACCAAAUAUAUUGUCCAACGCGCGGAUCAAUUUUUUGCUUAGAUGAAACAACAUCAACCAAAAGUAGUUAGUUGAGAAAGUGAAGGUGGGUGCAGCUCAAAAUGUGAUUUAUAAAAGGUGAUUUAUUUUUUUAGUAGAAGUGAUGACAAACAACCCAUUCCCCAAAAUUCUAAUGGUAAAUGAGACUGGAAUAGAAAGGGAAGUACGUACGUUGACAUUCAAUACUUAGAUUAAAUGAAGAAUGACAUUUUAUUGUGCUUAAAAGAAAAAAAUAGUUUUGUCUCUUUGGGACAAAUACUACCAUUAUUAUGAAUGAAAAUGAGAUUUUUACUGAUACGUAGUAAUGAAGAUGUCAAUUGUAGACGCGCAGGAGAAAGAUGUCUGAUGCACGAGUUUGGUUUGGGAGAGGGACAUGUAGUAUAAGCAUACAAACGAACAUGAGAUUUAAAUUAAAAGAACAUCUAUAUUGUCAUUGAAUUUAAUCCUAUAAAUGAUAUGGUACUAGUUGAGCCUGUGAACAUUAGAUACAAUGUGAUUGGUUGCUCCACUAUCCAAAAUUCAUGGUUUCGUAGAAGCGAUUAAACAACUUUGGCGCAAACAGACCAACUACAUCUUUUUCCACCAAUAUAUUUACAAAAUGAAAUAAUUUAAAAUAAAAAUAAUUCAAAUUUAAUAUAUUUGAUUAUUUUAUAAAUUGUGAAAUUUCUAUUUAAAAACACGGUAAAGAAAUUUAGUUAAUAAUAACUACUUAUUUAUAGAAAGCUUUCAUUUUAAGAAAACUCACAUAUUGUAUACCUUUAUUAGUUUAAGUAUUUUGAAAUAAAUUGUUAAAAUAAGUAACAAUUUAAAUUAAGAUAUUUUAAUUUAUCUUAAUUCGAAUCAAUUGACUUAACUUCAUACAUGUUAGUUAUAAACGUGUGAAUCAAAGAAUGUGUUGUACUCAAAUACUCAAUUAAACAUGCAAACUAAAUUCGUGGUUCAAUAUGCUAAAUACAUCCUUGGAAAGAUAGAGAAUUUUAAGUGUUUGAUAAUAUUAAUCUACAAGAUUACAAAUUGGAUAUUUUUUAUUAAUAAUUUAAGUAAUUAUAAAAUGGAUGGUGAAAAAAAUAUAACUAAACAUGUUCGGAAUAACUUAUGUUAAACAACAACCUUAGAUAAUGAAUGUUGGUGGAGGAAUCUGAAAUCUUUUUCCUUCUUCAUAAGUCAAGUUCUAGUCGUGUAUCUACGAGGAAUUUGACACUCAAUUCAAUGUUUGUAGGAGAAAACAAAUUGAGAAACAAGAGUUGUAUACUUUAAAACUAUGAGAUUUUCAUUGAGAUGAUGAAGUAAUAUUUUGUGUGACAAGGAAUGGGCGAUGCAAUUGAGACUAUCUUGAUUUAUGGUAUUUCUUAUUAAAGAAUUGUAUUGAUGAUUCAAUACUUCGAGUUGCACAAAGUUUGACACACGAAAAGAAAAUUCUUAAAAGUUAUAAAAAGUGGUGCCUUAUAAUUACAUAGUUUGCCUUUUAGUGUUGGAAUAACAUGUUUGUUUUAUUUGUUUAAUUGAAUCCAAAUGCCAUAAUGGGUAAUAUAAACUUUAAUAAUAUAUCAUGCAAAUUAAUCAAAUCAUCAUUAUCUCUUCAAUAAAAAGAAAUCAACAAGAGUUUCAAGCAUACAUUUGACAUUUCUUAAAAGAGAUUUGGAUCUUUCCUUAAAAGAAUAAUAUCACAAAAUAUCUAAUUUAAAGUGUAAUAAAACAUAUAUGCAACUUAUAUAAUAUACAUAUUUAUCAUAUAUUUAUUUUAUAUAACCAUAAUAUACAGAACUAACAUAAAUAAAUCAUUAAAUACAGUUAAUUGCAAUUCUAUAGUUUUUUUCUACACCUAUCUCUAUGGAUUUUCUUUUCAUUAAUUACAUCAUAAUAUUACUAUAACUCAUUAAAUACAAACUAAAUUUAAAUUAAUAAAUAAUUAGUUAUUAUAUUGACUAGAUUAUAUAUUAUUUUAAAGAUUAAAAAAAUUAUUACUAGUAGUUUCUAUUAUUGAUAAAUAAUUUUUAAAUUGAUAUUUAAUUAACUACUGAGGUUUUAGCUACCAACUUUAUAAUUUAAAUAAUUAAUAAAGACUAAUUAUUUUUUAUCUUUAAAAUUAUUUUCUAUUUAUUAAUUUUAUAGUAUUGAAUUAACAUAUUAUUCUAUCAAACAUACAAUAUAUAUAUAUAUAUAUAUAUAAUCAAGUUCAUCAAAUAUUAUACACAUCAUAAAACACUACAAGAAAAUUAUUAAAUAGAAAUUAAUUUUAGAGACUAAAAUAAAUAGUUACUAUAAAAAAUUAUUGGUAUAUAAGAUGGUUUCUAUUAUUAAUAAAAAUUUAUACAUUAGUUUUUAAAUUGGUAUCUAAGCAUUAGCUACCAAGGUUUUAACUACUAACUACUUUAUAUUUUAAAUUAGUCUCUAUUAGUCAUUUAGUGACUAAUUUAAAAUCUAAAAUAUUAGUAGCUAAAACCUUGGUAACUAAUUUAUAUACUAAUUUAGAAACCAUUUUAUAAAUUUUUAUUAAUAAUAGAAACCACUUUAGAUACUAAUAAUUUUUUAGUCUCUUGAGAUAGUAUCUAAUUUAGUCAAUAUAGUAACUAAUUAUUUUUUAUCUCCAAAUUUGAUUUCUAUUUAAUGAUUUUCUUGUUGAGAAAGAUAUAUAAUAUAACAAUUUCUAAAAAAUUGAAAUUAAGUUUAUUGAUAUAAUAAGCUUCCAUCUAGUGUGUUCUUAGAAUGAUUUAUGAAUAGGUAUAGUCUAUUUAUGUAUCGUUUUUGUUAACAUAUAAGUUUUGGUCUAGUUCCCCAUAUUUUGUAUUUUCUUUCUUUUUUGUUUUUUAAUAAUAUUUUUUUCAUGUGAUGGUAGAUGAUUGUUGUUACUUGAGGUGUCAGCCUAACUGAGAUGUCAAGUUGCAUAAUGAUGUCUAAACAUCAAAGUUUUUAUAAAAAAAAUAAAAUUAUCUAGAUGUGGUGACUUCCUAAGAGGAGGAAAUUAUAAAAAUAAUAACUUCAAAAAGUUAGAAAAGGCCAAAAAAGAGAAUAAAAAAUAAAAAAUAUAUAGAUUGAAAUAUAAAAUUUUAUUUGUAAGGAUAAUUUAAAAUAUUAACAUUUAUUUUUUCUCACAUUCAUUUUAAACUUUAAAAAGAAAUCAGUUCUUACAGUCAUAAAAAUUGAUGAUAAAUAAAUUUACAUACUGUGUUUAAGAAAGGAUAAAAAGCAAAUCAGAAAAUGGCAACAAGACAAAAGGAAGAAAAAUUGUUUCAUUGGUGGGAAAUUAAGUUUUGUGCAUUCUAUCUUUUGUCUUUAUAAAUUUAUGUAAGUUAACGUCAUAUUCAUUGCAUUCUUAUCCUUCAUUUUUUAAAAUAUAGAAUUUUACAACGACAAAUUUAAUUUAACAAAGGAUAAAAUAUAAUGGCAGUCAUAAGAAAUGAAUCAAAUAUGUAAAUAAGUUAAAAUAUUUCAUAAAAAAAAUAGAAUUAAGAUUUUUUUUCAGCAUUACAUAAUAAUAAUAUAAUGAUACCAAAAGACUCCUUUAACAAAGAGAUAAUUAAGUUGAAAUAAUGUAGUCACGUACUUAAUAAUGCAUUAAAAUAUCGAGAUUCGAGAUAGAUAAAAACAUAUCCAAAAUCUGAACCAUGCAAUGCAUUUUGAACACGUACACCUACAAAUGAUAACAACAAUGCUCUCGGUCUCUGUUACCCCGUCACAGUGCAAUUAAUUAGUGUGGUAAAAUACAGGGAAUCGAAAAAAAAUUAAGAAUAUUAAUUCUUAUAUUUAUAAAUUACUCCUAAAACAUAUUUACACGAGUCUCUUAUUAAUAGAAAUACUAUUCCAAUGUAGAUUUAUAAAUAUGAAUUUUUAAAAUUAAAAGAAUCAUUUAUAUAUAAAAUCUCUCUAUUUUUUUUAAAAUAAAAACUUUUAUGUUAGAUAUUACUAUGCAACUUGACAUCUAAGCUAUGCUGACACAUCAAGUAAUAACAAUCAUUUGUCAUCAUGAAAAAAAAUAUCAUUAAAAAAAUAAAAAAUAUAAAAAUAUGAAAGACUAGACCAAAACCUAUAAGUUAACAAAAACUAUAUAUAGGUAGACUAUAUCAAUUCAUAAAAAAUUCUAAGAACAGACUAGAUGGUAGCCUAUUAUACCAAUGAAAAGAUUCUAUAUGAAUAAAUAAUAAAUUAGUCAACUUAUCAGCACAUCCUUCCCAAAAAAUGAGUAACCCUAAAGUAACAAGACCAGAAUAUCUCCUAGCAACUACAUUGAUUUUAAUUUUAACCCAGUCAAACUCUUUAUUUAAUUUUAGAAAAUUAGAAUUUAUAUUAAAAUAAUAUUUAUAACAGUAAAGAACUCUAAUUUAUUAAUAUAAACUAUCAAUUGAAGAACUGAUGGAUACACUUUUCAAUAAAUUCCUAAUGGUUAUUAUUAUUUUUUAAGCCAAAAACAUAUUUUAGGGUUACGGACCCUACAAAAUUCCUACUCAAUGCAUAGCUCUUGUUAUUGGUAACGUUUAUUAAUUAUAAGUUUUUUUAACAAUUAUCAACCUUUAUUGUCAACGAGUGUUUAACCUUAACCUUCAUUUCGAGUUCAACCUUUAUCAUCAUGAAGACAUAGUAGAAAACUUUUUUUCUAGUGAUAACGAAAAAUAAAAAUUUAUUAUUAUAAUAAUUAUUAAAUUUCAUAAAAAGAUAAUUAAAAAAUAAUUUUAUUUUAUUUUAUUAUAGAUAGUUAUUUUUAUUAAGUUAAUCGAUCAUGUCGAGAGAUUGAAAGAAGAUAAAGACAAGUGCAAACAUUAAUGGAAAUAUUAUGUGGAAAGGCACACACUAUUAGUAAGGGACGCGCAUGAAAGAGAAAUGAAAUGAGUUAAGUACAAAAAUCAAUCAAUAAAAGAUAAGCAAAAUGAUUAAAAUUAUGUGAUAGGCCCAAUAUGCCCAUUAACAAGUAGUAUAAAUAGAUGAAAUAUUUAGUUCAAUUUUUUAGUUUUUUUAGGAGUUAAUUAACAUAGAUACUUAACAUAGCUAGGUGUUCUUGCAGGUACCACCCCAAAUACCGAGAGACCAAAAAGUAAUUCCAGAACACGAGUGACCGAGAGAAGAGAGACGAACAGAGGAAAUGAGGGACGUGAAGGAUGAAGUGAAGGUAGAUUCUGGAGCCACUCUCUCUCACAUAAUUAGUACAAGUACAUUUUGGCGCCCACCGUGGGACAGAGUGUGAAGUGUUGAGGAAAAUGGUAGUCACAAGGGGGAAGAGUCAUGUGGAGGAGGAAGAAAGUGGACAGGAGGACUCAACUAUGUCUUUGUUCGUUAAGUUGCAGGAGUUGAAGGUGUUGAAGAAGAAGAAGAAUGUAGAUGAGAUGGAAGCAUUAAGAGCCGAAAACAUAUACAUGAAACAAAAGCUUAAAGAAGAAAAUACUAUGCCCUUAAAUUCAACACGAGAGUAUGUGGAUACAAGUACAUGACCAAACCCGACAAUUGUUAAUAGCUUUGAAUUAUCCCACAAGAGGCCUUGAAUAGUGUCUCAUGAUUUUUAUGGAACAACAAUAAGAAAACACCCUUUUUCUAAAGGAAUUAUGGAGGUUUUGUUGCCUGACAAUUGGAAGAGUCUAAUACUGGAGAAGUAUGAUGGAAGCACUAAUCCCGACGAACAUGUUGCGGUGCACAUUACUCAAAUAAGUUUGUACACUUCGGAGGAUGCCAUUUUAUGUAGAGUAUUUUCGGCAAUGUUGAAAGGAGUUGCCUUGAGUUGGUUCACAAAAUUACCACCUUAUUCGAUUGAUUGUUUUGAUAAACUUGUGAUGAAAUUUGGAGCUCAGUUUGCUACUAGUAGGCCACGUCAUCUUACAUCUAUUGUGUUGGUGAAUAUUCGGCAGGAGAAUGAGGAAUCGUCAAGGGCGUUCAUGGAAAGAUUCAGACGAGUGGCUUUGAGUAUUCAGAAUUAAGUCCUGAGGUAACCAUGCACCAUAUGGUUACGACACUAAGGCUGAGACCAUUCACAAAUAGCUUAUGUAAGCAGCUUGCAGCUGAUCUUGAUGAGUUAAGACAAAGAGCGACAAAGUUUAUGCAGUUAGAAAAGUUGAGAAGCUUCAAGAGUCAAAUGAGGAUGGAAGAGGGGGUUGAAAGGAGGGAAAAUGAUGGAGAAAUAUGGAAGAAGCUGAAAGAUGUGUACAAAGGACCAUGAUUUACACGAUAUACUUCUCUCAGUGUUAACCAAACAAAGAUAUUGGAAGAAACACUUCAUACCGAGUUAAUUCCUUUACCAAGGAAUAUUCCUACUCCAAAUAAUGUUGAUCACAACAAGCAUCACAAAUAUAACAAGAAUUUUGGCCACAAUACAGAAGAAUGUGUAGGGCUAAGAGAUAAAAUUGAAGAAUUGAUUCAAGUAGGGCAUCCCAAACGAUAUGUACAAAGAAAUGAAGGAAGAAGACUUAACUUUAGAGAAGGAGGCAUGGAGCGAAGUGAGGGAAGAAUUUAGGAGCGAAGAAAGGAGGAAAGCUGAGGAGAAGGAAGGGAGAGAAGUCAUGAACCACAAAGGAGAUAUUUUAAUGAUGAAAUGAGGAAUAGAGGAUGAAGUCCUAGGUCGAAAAAGGGGAGAAGUCCAGUGAAACUGAUAAGGGGAGUAAUCAAUACCAUUUCAAGAGGAUUUGUUAGGGGAGGAGUUUCAUCAUCAUCAAGGAAGAGGCAUGUAAGAUGUAUGGAUGUUUGAACUCGGUAUUUGAUGUUUGAACUUACCCUGAUUUUGAUGUAUGGAUUAGAUGUUACUCUCUAGUAGGGGCAUACUUAAUGAGUCUUCUGGAAGAUGAUGGAUUCAUGUGUAGUUAGUGUGAUUGAAACGAAAUCAAAGUACUAUGGAUUGAAAUGAAAUCCAAUGAUUGUGAUUGAAAAUAGAUCCAUGUGUGGUCUAUAUAAAUGAUGAAAUUGAUAUUGAAAUUUGAUGACAUUUAAAGAAAUAUUUAUAAAUGAUUAGUCUUAUUGGUUGUUUUUGCAUAAAUUAAGUAUGUUAUGCAAUUUCUUUUCAUUAGCUUACCCAUAUUUUUCUUGUUGUGUUGUGAAAUGCGAUGAUCGUACUACGUACACAAUAGAUAAUCAUAGAGGUGUACGAGGGUCUGGAGGACUUUACGAUGUUAUUUUGAACAUUAUAUUAUAAAUAUUUGUAUUUCUAUAAGUCAUAAUCUUCUAAUAGGAAUGUUUUGAAAAACUUUAAACUUCUAUAUAAACAUGUAAAACUUGUAUUUUUUGGGUGUUAUAAUUUUAAUAUCUUGUCUUUAUCUAAAAAUAUGUCAUUUCUUAAUUUAUUUUAAUUUUAAAUAUAAAUAUUAUAAAAUAAAAUAUGUAAUAAUUACACUAAGAGCUUAAAAUUAAUUAAAAUUUAAAAUUAGAAAUACCUCAUCAAAAUAUAUUUUUAUCAAUAAAACAUAUUUUUAAUAAAAAUAUCUUUUGAUUAUGUUACUUACAUUUAUAAAUUACUUUAAGAUAACUUCAUAUGUUUAUAAAACUAUUUACAUUUUUUUUAAUAAAAAUAUAUUUAAAUCUAAAACAUAAUGUUUAAAUUAAUGAUGAAGGUUUUAGUGAUGAAUCACAAUAGGAUGAAGUUGAGCUUUCAGCUUUUUAUUGAUAUGUCAUCUAUCCAGUAAUAAUUAAUGUAUUGGUUAAAGUCUCUAUUCCAACUUUCCAAAAUCAACCAAAAAACAAAAUGAAUUUAAUGACCAAACUUGCAUGCCCUAGAUUAUGCUACCAAUAUAUGAAAAAGCCCUUUAUGGAUCGAUUUAACUCUCAGAAUAAUAAGCAAAUGCAGUUCCUUGUACACUUAAACUUUGUGCAAAAUGAUUUUAAUUUAAUAUUAUCAUGAUGAAAACCAAGACAUUGAACAAUUCAAACCAUUGGAUUUGUCUUUUUAAAGUGUAAAAAUCUAUAUUUUUAAAGAUAAAAUAUUGUUUAUAAAUUAACAUUUUUUAUUUAUUUUAGUAGUAGGGAUUUUAUCACAAUUUAGUAAAAACUAUUGUUGCACUUUAUUUCUAUAAUUUAAUUAUUAACAUGUGUAAUAUAAGAUAGACAUCGAUGUUAAAUAUACAAUAAAAAAAUUUGUAUGAAGUUUGUAUGUAUAAAAUAAUAUAUGUUAAAAAUAAUAUAUCACUACAAACCUAGUCUAGUACAUAUUAAUCCCUCGCAUGCAAUCUAAACAAAAAAUGAAACUUGAGAUUAUUAAGGAAAUUUUGAUUGGUUAAAUUCAUCCUCUUCUGUCAACCAUCUCACUAACAAAUCUCUGAUGGAGAAAAGUAUGAGAAUAAACUCCAGAAACUUAAAAGAGAAGUUAGAGAGAGUUUAGAGAUAAAUAGUGUAAAGAGAUAAUGAUGUUUAGAAAAAAAAUAACUAUUUAAUUAAAAUUAUAAUUUAUAUACCCAACAUAAAAUAAAAUGUUAACUCUUUAUUUUAUUUUUUUAAAAUAUCUCUAUUAAACAUAUAUAACUAUCUUAGAUUAUAUCUCAAAAUAUAUCACUCUUUAUAAAAAUUUUAAUAUAAACACAAAAAUUUAAAAAAACAGAACAUUCAAACUAAACUCAUCUCAUCUUUUAGCUACUCACGGAGGAGCUUUAUUACCUACAACUUCAUUUGUCAUGUGUAAAUACAUGAUCAUCAUAGAUAAAGAAAACAAAACACAACAAACAAUAGGGUAAGCUAGCUAUAAAAAAAUUCUACAUAAUUUCAAUUUCAAUUUAACAAAUACAAGUCAUCAAGUCUCAUACAAUUUCUCAAACCAUAAAGUGUUUGUCAUAAAUUAUCAUUCACAUUUCUCAUGUCAGAUUUCUACUGACCAACAUAUUCAAACAACUGACUUUACUUUCGAGGAACUAGUGCAUUGACUUAGACUUAGAGAUUUAUAUAUGUCAUACAAUCUCAUUGUGAAAUCCACACAGCUAUGCGCAUAAAUAGUCUCGACAUCGUCUCUCCUAGUAUGAGAUGGUUAACUCAUAACAUGUCAAAUUAGUUAUCUUUCCAACAACUUACCAAUCCAUAUGAACUUUCAUCGACUCUCACCACCUGAAUAACUUUAUCUAUAUAAUUCCACUAUAUCAUUUGAGUCAGAAUACCUCCUUAUAGGCGAAUCCUUAGUCAAUACACAUCCUAAACAAUCUUAACACGGUAUUUUCAUUCCUUAAAACAUAGAAUUUCAAAACACACAAUAAUUCAUUCAAUAAUCAAUUAAAUAUCUAAUUAAAGGAUUUUUCAAUUAAAUAUACAUAAAAUAAAAUUUUACAUAAGUCACAAGUAAAAACUAUAAAAUAGAAAUAAACCAUUUUUUUAAAAGCAAGUAUAAAAAUUUCAAUUUUAAGAUUUUUUUAGGGCUACCUUAAGCGAAAAUCACCUCACUUGAGUGAUAAUGGGUCUCGCUCAAGCGAAAAUUUUCUUGCUUGAGCGAGAUUGAACAUGAGAGCACCUAGAAUUUCAUCCCAGAUCUCGUCUGAGUGAGAUUUCUUCUUGUUUUAGUGAAAACGGAUCCAAUAGCACCUAAUUUUUCAUUCUAUUAUAGAUUGAGCAAGAUAUAUGCAGAAAAAUCUACAUAAACAUGUUAUAUUUUCGAACCAAAAUUAAAUAUCACAACAAAUUUAAAUAAUAACAAUCAUAUUUUCUAUCUUUAGAAUAAUAUCACAACAAAUUUAAAUAAUAACAAUAAUAUAUUUUAUCUUCAGAAUAAUAUCACAACAGAUUAAAUAAUAACAAUCAUAUAUUUUAUCUUCAGAAUAAUAUCACACCAAGUUUAAAAAAAUUAACAAUCAUAUAUUUUAUCUUCAUGCGUCAAUGAGUCUAUAAGGAAUAAAAACCAUUUGAAUAAAAAAUCUUUAUCAAUCAAUAUUUCAUUAGUUUUUCCCAAACUAGCUUCAUGUAACUAAAAGAUAAAGAAUCUUUGAUAUCUUGCUAAAACGUAACAACCAUUUUCGUGAUUACCUCACAUCAGAUUUGUAUCCAAUUAAGAUCAUAUCGGUCAUAUUACCGAUAUAACCCAUAGCCCCCUAGCCUCGAGUCGAGUGAGCAAGGGGAUGAGUCUAUAGUCAAUGUUCACAUGAAAAAAAAAACAUUUGCAUUAUAGAAGCGAUUUUGCACAUGGCUCAAGGCACUAUAUGACAAGACAUGGGUUUGUCAAUUAUAAAGGCAGUCUGAUCGUAAUCAUCUACCAAGUUAGUUCGAUUGACAAUCAAGUUGUUUACUAGGCUCCCGCCAAGCUUUCACCAAACUUUCGUUAAGUUUUUACUUGCUUCGAAGGGAUUCCAUUCAAAUGGUUGGGUGUAGCUUAAUUGAUAUCUUGUGAAAUAAGCUUGACCUGAAGCAUCAAUCAAAUAGAUCCAUCGUGAAUCAUUAUAGUAAUUUUUUUAUAGCAGAUAUUGUCCAUACCUUGGUUGGGUGGAGCUUAAUUGAUACCUUGUGAAAUAAACUUGACCUGAAGCAUCAAUCAAACAAAUUCAUCGUAAAUCGUUAGUAAAUUUUUUGUAACAGUUAUUGCCCAUACCUUGGUUGGCCGAAGUAGUCCGAUUGUGGCUAUCGUUGGCCAAGAUGGUCCAAACAUAGUAUUCGGCCAAGUUGGUCCGCUCGUAGAAACCAUGAUGGGCAAGUUGGUCCAAUCUUAGGAUUAAGUCAAGUAGGUCUGUUUGUAAAAAUCGUUGAUGGUUGAGUUGCCCGAUCUUAGAAUUGGACAAAGUCAGUCCAUUUGUAGAAACCAUGACGACCGAGUUGGUCCGAUAAUAAAAUUUGGCCAAAUAGGUCUGUUUGUAGAAAUCAUUGAAGUUGGUCUGAUCUUAGAAUUCGGCCAAGUCGGUUCGUUUGUAGAAACGGUUGACAACCGAGUUGGUCCGAUCUUAGCAUUCGCCAAAUCAGUUCAUUUGUAGAUACCUUUGAUGACUGAGUUGGUUCGAUCUUAAGAUUGAACCAAGUCAAUCCAUUUGUAGAAUCCGUUGACAAUCAAGUUGAUCCGAUUUUAGAAUUCGACAACUCAGUCUCUGUGUAAAAAUCAUUAGCAAGCAAAUUGUUCCGAUCAUAGAAUUCGUUCAAUUGUAGAAACCUUUAAAAAACUUUAAUGGAAUAUCUUAAUUAUUAAGCUUAACUUAUUUUAAUCCUAAUAUUUUAAAGAUAAGUGUAAAAAAAAAACAAGAAUAUCAUUAUUUAUCAUUUAGUACUAAUUAAUCCACUUGAUAUAAAACAUCAUCUAUCCAAUACACGCAUCUCGUUUACAUAAAAAAAAACUAUAAAAUGUAAAAACAUGUGCAACCUAAUUAUUGCCCCUUAAUAAUGAGUAAUUUAUGUAUAUAUGUGGCCAGCAAUUUACAAUCUUUAAAGAUGUCUUAGCUAUGUAAUUUGGUUUUUGUCUUUUUGUGUGAGUAUCAUAUUGCUCCAUGUGCCCAUACUGAUAAAUGCAUGUUCCACCAUCAAAUGAGUUACUAGUAACUACCUUUUUUUUCACUUUAAUGAACUGCUUAAGUGAUUAAUCUUUUGAUUAUAGUAUAAUAAUGAGACUUUAUUCUGUUUUUGAUAAUUCUCCCUUAUGGGUUUGGAAUCUAUCAUGUCUUUAUCACUAACCACAUGAGAGUGGAGAAUACCCUUUUACCCAUUUUAAUUCCUUUUUGUAAUGAAAUGUGUGUUUCACUCGUCAAAAUUGCUUUUAAAUCGAGUCUAAAAAUUAAUACAUGAGAGAUAAAAAAAAUAGAGAAUAUUUUUUUUAAUAUGGACGGCUAAAAAGAGUUUUGAGCUAACAUAUUUAAGAAACUUAAUUAAAUAAUAAUAAUUGUGUCAAAUAAUAUUUAAAAGAAUAAAAAUUGAAUAAGUUCUUUAUAUUAAAUUUUUACAUCACAUUUAAUUAAAGUUAGGUUUUCAAAACCAUUUACUUAUUAUCAUUUGAAUGGAAAAUUUAAUAAAAUAUAAAUAAAUUACAAAAAAAUAUUAGAAUGCAUUUACAAUAUUGCUACUUUAUUAGGUCAGUUAUGCAAAUAAUAUAGAGACCAUUUGUAUACAAAAUUUAGUAAGUUUAUAGUAUUGGUGAAAAUAAGAAGGAAAAAUCAUUAAUAUUUUCAACAUGUUUUACUAAUAUUUUUCUCUAGGUAAGUAAUUAAUUAAAAAAAAUGCAGAUUGUGUUACUGUAUUCAUUCUGAUUUUUCACUUUGUGUGAAUAAAAUAACACUUGUAAUUCCAUUUUCUAAGAGUUAAGAGAUAAUAAUGAGUGGAUAAUAACUUUAAUCUUUAUCUAUCUGUAUUGAUAUCUAUUAUUCAUAUUCGUAUUUAUUACAUGUAACUUUACUAAAACUUUUAUUAAAUAAAUAUUAAUUUUAAAAAUAAAAAAUAACUAUACAUUAUAUUAACUAAAUUAAAUAUUAUUUUAGAAACUAAAAAAAUAUUAAUAUCAAUUUUUAUUAUUAAUAAAUAGUUUUUAAAAUUAAUAUUUAAUUAGUUAUUAAAAUUUUAGCUAUUAAUUAAUAUAUAAUAUAAAUAAAGAUAAAAAUAAUUUAAAAGUAAAAAUAAUAAUAAUAAUAACAAUAUACAAUUAGAAUUUGUCAUUAUAUAUACGAAGUUCGUUAUAUUAAACAGAAAAUAACAAAAAUCAAUCUGAUCUAGGACAAAAAAAUUGAGAUGAAAAAGAAGAAUAUCAAAUGUAUGUUAAAAUAAAACCCAAAAUGAAAUUUUCAUUCCUAAAACAACUUUUUUUUAUGUAAAUGCAUUCUUCUUUUAAUUUUACUUUUAGAAAAGGUAAAUCAGAUUAUUGAUUUGACAGAAUUUAAAGAAGUCACAGAUUACUGGGAAUAAAAAUCUUGAGAUGUUUCUGCAAAUAUUUUCUGAGAGUCAAGUAAAGUGAAGUUGUCCCAAGUGACAUGUUGUUGACUUUUCUUCAAGAACACAAAGUAAAUUCUUCCUCUUGAAAACAAUGAUAAAGAAUUUACAUUUUACCUUUUCUUUUUCUUUCUCUUUUGGUGUUUCAAAUAAUGAACAUCUCCAAGUUAAAGACAAAUUCCCAUAAAAGGCAAAUUUAUUCUUAGAACCCUAGCUGUGAACCGUUAAAAUAUUAAUUUGAUGAAAUUCUGUACUAACGGCUAGAAGUUCCAUCUAUUCACAUACAUAAUGAGUAUUUUAUGUUUUUUUUUAAAGAUGAGAAAAACUUUGGGACCGUUCCUUUAUACCGUCAUAUUUCGUAAUUGAAAAUAUAGAAAUGAAAAGUUUGCUAAGAAAAUAGAUAAUAAGAUAUUGAGCCACUCUCAAAUAAACAUAUCCUAAUUCAUUGUAUAACGAUCAUAAUGAAUAAUGAAGGUAAAGAUUUAAAGAAUUAUUUAAGAAUACUUAGUUUUGAAUUUCAUCACACAUAUUUAUUUAUGACGUAUAUAUAGAAAACAAAAAAUAACUAUGUAAAAAGAAAAGAAAGAAAACACACGGUAUUUUUCCAUCUCUUCCUUCUCUCUUCAUUUAUUUCUCACUUCAUAUCUCAUCUAUUUUAGAAUUUGGUCGUACCACGUUGUAGUUGAGGAGUUAAGGAACAUUUAUACCCAAACAGAUUCUCAAAUAAAGUAAGUUCAUAUUUGUUCUAAAUAUAAUUUAUUAUCUAUUUUUUCUUAUGAUUUAGUCAUCAAUCUUGGUAGGGUCAGUUGAGAUCUCUUAACUUAUUCUACUAUAUACUGAAUUCUUGUUCUAUUUGGAUAACUUGCAUCAAACCCUUAUAUUUUGAAGCUUAUCAAUACUAAGAGGCUCAAAUUCUAGAGGUUGCUUGAAAAACAGACAAUUAAGGUAAAGGAAGCUAACUUUAACUUUCAAUAGUAAGUACCCUAGGCUAGAAAAUUUGGAUAUGGAGGGGAUGUGGUCCCAAUAUUCAAUUUCUCUUGCAGUUAUGUUUAUUUAUAUAUUGUUUUUUUUGUUUAUAUAUUAUUUAAACUUGUAGAAAUAUUAGAUUUUGAUGGUUUAGUAUUUAAGUGUUGUUUUUUAUGUUAAAUAGACAUUUGAAGAUUGUGGAUUAUGUUUUAAAUGAUACUGUAUGAUGAAAAUUGUAUGGGAUUGAAGUCAUGUAUUUGAGAUAAUGCAUGGACCUAUAUUUGCUUGUGUAUUAAGUAUUGAUGCAUACAUGGUAACAAAGAUCUCCUAGCUUCACUAAUGAUUCAAGUCACACAGACUAAGAUAUUAGGUGGUGAGAAGCUGAUGGGGGAGUCCAUGCACACCGUGACAUAUGAGAUGCACGACUUGGAUUGUAUUGAAUUUACCUUGAUCCUUUCUCUUGGAUUCGCUGGUAAUUUAAGUUUUGGUAUUGGAUAAGGUGUUAGUCUCUGGUAGGACUUACUUGAUACGGAUCUUCCGAAAGGCUUCAAUAGUUAUUAAGUUUGUCAAAUAUCCUGGAUGUGUAGAUCCAUGUUGGAUCUAUGUGAUUGCUUUAUGUUGGGAUUUGAAAAAGAUUGAACAAUUGAGAAAUUGAUCAAUGUAAUUUUGUUUUCUCUUUUGAUUUAAUUGUAUAUAUUAUAAAAUUUUAUUUUCACUAGCUUACUGUACUGGUAGGCACCGGAUGAACGCGCGUGGCCGACCGGCCUUAUACACUAAAUGGAAACGAACGCACGUGGCCGACCGGCCGUAUACACACUAAAUGUAAGGGCAUUUAUGUGACAAGCUAAGGUGGUUAAGAUACACCUCCGAAGAAUAAGGAAUAUGCGUUUAGAGAAGAUAUGUUCCCCGGGUAUUCCGGAGCACGACUGACAAGACAUAUCCAUAACCACCCUGAGCCCAAGGGAUAGAAAGCCCAUUAGGCAAUCCUAUAAAUACUGUGCUGAAGCCAGAGAAAGGUACGUUUUCAUUCACUUACGAAACUGCGCUUAGAAUCUCAUACUUACUUGAGCGUCGGAGUGCCUUCGCAGGUACCCUCCCCCGCCCGACCGAAGUUGAUAGCACGAAAGGACGACCGACCAAAGGAGACAGCAAGAAAGGACAAUCGACCAGAGGAGAAGAAGAUCAACACGUCAGCAAUUACACCACGUCAACCGACCGUGCCUGGGCCCCAUCUCUCCACUCAGGUACACUUACCCUUAUUUUUCUUGUUGUGUUGUGAAAUGCAAUAAUUGUACUAUGUACAUGAGCAUAUGAUUAUAUAGGUGCAAGAGAGUUUGAAGGGCCUUAGGAUGUGAUUUUGAGUAUCUGUAUUGUAAAUAUUGUAUUUAUAUAAGUACUAAUCAUGUAUUAGGAACCUUUUGAAAUAUCAUAUGCUUGUAUAAAAACUUGUAGAACUUGUACUAUAAUAGUUAUAUGUAUUUUUGGGUCUUACAAAAAAUAUAAUUGUUAAGACUAAGAUAUUCAUUUGACAUAAUUAAAUAAAUUAAAAAUUAAUUAUUUACAAGAAGGGACCAAUUUUGUAAAUUAAAAUUGCAUAAGUGUAAAAAAAAACAAAAAUGCAAUUAUUUCUUUCAUUCUUUAUCACCUACAUUAAAAGAAUUCAUUACAAGUUGAUAUAUAAUCAAGUGAUAAAGAAUAAGAAUAGUAAUAUAAGAUUAUUGUCUUUGUCAUAUUUCAAAAUAUUUGACGAGAAUGAUGUUUAAUGUAACACCCAAAAAUACAUCUAACUAUUACAAUAUAGAUUCUACAUAUUUCUAUACAAGCUUAGAGUUUUUCAAAACAUUUCUAAUACCUUAUUAGAACUUAUAGAAAUACAAAUAUUUACAAUAUAAAGUUCAAAAGAACAUCCUAAAGCUUUCUGAGACCUCUAACACAUGUAUGAUCAUCUACUCGUGUACAUAUAGUACAGGUCAUCGCAGUUCAUAACACAUCAAGAAAAGCAAGGAUAAGCUAUUGAAAAUAAAAUUUUAUAAUAUACACAACUAAAUCAAAAGAGAAAACCAAAUUACAUUGAUCAAUUUCUCAAUUAUUCAAUCUUUUUCAAAUCCCAACAUAAAACAAUCACAUAAAUCUCACAUGGAUCUACACAUCUAAGAUAUUCAACAAACAAAAUAACAUUUGAUGCCUUCCGGAAGACUCGUAUUAAGUAAGUCCUACCAGAGACUAACACCUAAUCCAAAGAUUACCCGCGAAUCCAACAUAAAGGAUCAAGGUAAGUUCAAUACAACCCAAGUCGUACAUCUCAUAUGUUACGGUGUGCAUGAACUCCCCCAUCAACUUCUCACCACUUGGUAUCUUAGUUUAUCUGACUUAGAUCAUCAGUGAAUCUCGGAGAUCUCUAUUACCACAUAUGCAUCAAUACUUAAUACACAUAAAAAAAAAUCAGUCCAUUCAUUAUUCCUAAUGUAUGAAUUCAAUUCCAUACCAUUUUCAUCCUACAAUAUCAUUAAAAAACGUGAUACACAAUAUUCAAAAGUAUUUUUAACAUAAAAAAAAUACUUAAAUACUAAACCAUCAAAAUCUAAUAUUUCUACAAGUUUAAAUAAUAUAUAGACAAAAACACAAUAUAUAAACAUACAACAUCCUUGUAAGAGAAAUUGAAUACUAGAACCACGUCCCCUCCAUAUCUAGAUCAUCUAGCCUAGGUGCUAUUAAAAAUUUAAGUUAGCUUCCCUUACUUGAAAUUUCUUAUUCUGAUGGAAAUUCUACCUCAUACCAGGGGAACCACUCCAAAAAUUUAGGAACCUAGAUAAGUUAUCCAAAAAUUACCAAACUUUAGUAUGAACUUAAUCAAAUUGAGAGAAACACUUUUCUCAAUUGGUCUCACUAAGAUUGAUGGCUAAAUCCUAAAGAAAAACAGAUAACAAAGGAUCUUUAAAGCAAAAAUGAACUUAUUCUGUUUUAAAAUUUGAUCGGGUAUAAAUGUUUCUUAACUCGCCAGUUACAAUGUGGUCCGAUCAGAUUCUAAAAUAGAUGAAGAUUGAGAAAGAAAAUUAAAAAAGAAGAAAGAGAUUUAAAGAAAUAAAGAGAAAUAAGGAAGAAAGAAAAACAAAGGUGUCUGAGGAUUAUGUUGGUUUAAAAAAAUCGUUGUUACAUUUAACAAUUAUCCCAGUCUUUCUUUUUAAAAAAUAUAUAUUUUACAUAAAUUUUUUAAGAUUAGAAAUGCAUUUUCAGUACGAUAAUUGUGGAACAAGAUUUUUUUCACAAGAAAACUAUUUAAAAAAAAAUUGUAAAUCAACACAUGCCAACAGUAUUUAUAUCAUAACAGACAUCUUCACUAUUCAGGUUGAGAAUUUGGUUUUUGGAGUUGAAUUUCCAAUAUGAAAUAAUGCCAAGUGCAAGAAAACUCAGAAAAAUCUGAUCUUUGAAGAGUCAAAUUCUUUUUUUUUAUUUUUUUUUCUAAAUUAUUUAUUUAUUUUUUCACUAAUUUUUUAGAAAAAAAAUGCAAAACCUUACUAAAUUGGGCCUCCUUUAGAAAAAAAUUAUGGUGAUAAAAUGUAUGGAAUAAGUAGUGAUAAAAUCUUUGUGUUUUCUCCCUCUCUCUUUCAAUGCAGAGGUACAGAGAGAUUGUGUGGAAGUAGGUGCACAGAGAAAGUACAUGGUUAGGCCCAAAAACACAGUGCAAGGACAAGAGCCAUUCCUAUCACUCUAUUUCUACUGUGGGACACUCUCUCUUCUUCUCUUCUCAAUUCUGCAUAAUAUCUCACAAAAUGCCUUUCAAACUUAUAUAUAUAAAUGGUGGAUAAAUAUAAAAAAUCUUAUAGUUUGAUUAAGAUGUUGAAUUUUAUAUUACACUAACAUAGUUUAAUAAAAUGUCUUUGUACAACUCAAUUUUUAAGUUUAUAACUUGAUGCAUUCACAUGCAUUUAGGUAAAACUGAGAUGAAAAGAAGUGAACUUAUCAAAACUUGUGCAAUAAAAGCUAAACAAAAGGAAAAGGACAACACAUUUUACACAUAUCAAAAAAGAGAAAACGACUUUUCACUAUCAAGUAUCAAAACUAGUGGUCAUAUGCCACUUUCUCUCCUCAUUUUUUCUUGAAGUGAGAUCUCAUGCAUUUAAGACAUUAAAAUGAAAAAUAAAAUAAAAUUAUUCUAUGCUACAUUCUCAAGUUUGUAUAUAAAGAUUCCAUAACUAUUAAUGACACGUACUCAUUUUAAAUAUUAAAAAAAUGUCUUUGUCGUUUUCAACUAUGUUUGGAUAUAUUUCUUUUACGUAAAUCUAAUUUUUUUAGUAGUUGGAAAUUGUGUUUUUAGUCUAAUUAGUAGUAUUGAGUAAAUAGAUAUUCCAUGAUAGUUUUCAGUGUUUUUUGAAAAGUGAAAGUAUGCUCUUUAAAAUGCUAAUUUCUAGUUUUUUAUAUUUAUUUAUUUUUAUCCUCGAAAUAAUUAUUAAACUUUUUUUAAUAAGGUAAGUUAUUUAUUUAUUCAUUUGAUUUUUUUCAUGAUUUCCUGGGUAUAUUAUGUUAUUUAUUUUAAUUGUUAUAUUAUUUCUAAUAGUUAUUUUGUUAAUAUUUAUUAUAGUUUAAGAAAUUAAUAAUGAUAUAUUUAUUCUGUUUUUUUCUAUUUUUUAUUAAUUUUAUUUUUGAAUAUUUACUUUCAUCGAUGCACUAACUAAUAUAAUAUCUUCUUAAGUAUCUAUUAUUUUUACUUAAUUUUAAUUUUAAUUGAAAAUAUUGUAAGAUAUAACAUAAGAUUAAUAUUAGAAUAUAUAUUAUAAAAAAUAUAAAAAUUGAAACUAAAAAUUAAUCUACAAAUAAUUAAUAUUUUAUUAACAAAUAAUUAUUCUACAAAUAAAAAAAACAAUAAUUAACAAAUAGUUUUAAAAAUAUAAUUAUAAACGUCUCAAAAAAAUGAUUUUUUAACCAUAAAAAAUAAAAAUGAAAUUUAUAUAUAAAAAAAUAUCAUAUAAAUAUGGAUACAUUUGUUAUUUUACAUUUUAUGUUACUUUAAUGGAUAAUUUAUUAAAGAUUUAAUAUUUAUUAAACUAGGUUAACGUUUUCAGUUUUUCAUUUUCUAUAUAGCUUUGCUCCUAGUUUUGUAAUACGCAUACAUAGCCAUAAUUUUUUUCAUAGUUUUUGUAAUCAUAAAAGUAGUAUAUAUAUAUAUAUAUACAUAUAUAUAUAUAUAUAUAUUAAUAUCACUUUAUAAAUUAUAACUUUUAAAGUUUUUAUAUGUAUGAAAUCAGUGAGAAAAAUAUGUAGGUUAAAUUAUCUUAGGAUAAAAUAAUAAUUUUGUAAAGUCGGAAGAAACUUAGAGAAUAUUUGGUACUAUAAGCAAGUUUUUUUUUUUUUUAAAUCCUUCUGUUUAAAAAAUAUAUGUAUGACUAUUAUUAUGGAAUGAACUAUAAUAAUUUUAUUUUAUUUUACAUAUGUUUGAUCUAUUUUAAUGAAGUGUUUAAAAUCAAUGAAAAUUUGUUCUUGUAAACAGUUUUCAAAAUAUCCUACCUGAAAUAAUCUCACAAGAAAAAUAUAAGUCAACAAAAACGUAUGGGUUCACAAACUAAAUAAUUGUAUUUCAAAAUUUAAAAGUAAGAAUAUAUAUAACGUAAUAUUAGUUGUAAUAUUUACUAUCUUGAUAAAGACUAUCAAGGAAUCACGUCACAUUUGCUUAAAUAUGUUUUUAAUUUAUGAAUUAUAAUGUGAAAUUUGUUUUUCUUUAUAAUUCAAACUUUAAACUUCUUAGUAAGAAAAUUAUUAUAAUAAAUUUUUAUUAAUAUUUUUUCAUAAAAAUAAACUAUUUUUUAGUGUGAAUAGUAUGAUAUAUAAUUUUCAAGUGUAAACUAUGAGUCAACUUGAAAUUUAUUUAUUAUGUAAAAAAAACUAACAAUAAUAUUAUAAUUUAAGAUAUUUAAAAUUUAAACUAGAGACGAAAAUCAAUUUUGCAUAAAAAUAGAGAUAUGAAAAACAUUACAUCUUAUAUAUAACUUUAUAAUUUUUUAAAAGAUGGUAUUGAAUAAUUUCACCAGAAAUUAAAAGUUAAAUUAUGAUCCAUGAGCAUCAAAAUAAAAAAAAAAAAUAUUCUAAUUACAAUUCAUAAUUUUUUAUUCCAAUUGCAAUCCACAAUAUAUUAUAAUACUUCCUUGUUGCACUCAUUCUAUAAGAUUGGAGUAGAAAAAACUUUUAUCAAUUUUACAUUACUUCAUACAUUCAUCUAUAUAUUUUAGGUCAUCCACAAAGAAAAUAAAUAUACUAUUUUUUUGAUAGAUUUGUAACUCAAUACUCUUGAUAUACUCAAAUAAUACAUUAAAUCACCACUUCUAUAACUUCCCUCACACAAUUAUAUAAUAUAUCUAAUCCAAUCAUUUCUCAACCCAAGUAAAAUCAUCAACUACUCAUUACUAUACAACAUUAUAAUAAAAUCAUGCCAUCAACAUUAAAUUACAACACUUAAAAUGCUCUUGAUCACCUCAAAAAUUCAAGUCUUAAUUAUUAAACAAUCCAAUUCAAAACCCCAAGAUUCCCAAAGACCCAGAACACUCCAACCCUUGCAUGCAUAUAUGGUGAUGAGAAGAAAAAUAAGAAAAGCCUAAACCCUAAACUCAAAAUUUGGUAUUAGGUUAUUGGUUUUUCUAACUUGGAGGGUCAAAUUUUUCUUUGUUUAUGAAGAAGAAGAAAUUGUCUUUUGGAGAGAAGGAGAAAGAUAGGAAGAAGAUGAAUGAGGAAAGGGAAUAGAGUUUUGUUUUCUUUGAGAAAGUAAGAAGGAGUAGACUUUUUCCACACCCUUUAGUUGCUAAGUUAAGCUUCUCCUCCUUUUUUAUUUUUUAAUCUAUUCAAAACAAAUUUAUCUUCAACCAAAAUGUAGAGUCCUCAAUGAUUUAGCUCUCAUUACUAACUACACUACCCAUUUAAAUAUAUAUAUAUAUAUAUAUAUAUAUAUAACAAUAGACUUCAUUAAUUGAAUUAAGGUUAACUACAUAUUAAAUUUAAUUGCAUACACUUAUUUUAUUAUAAAAAAAUACAAUUCCAUACACUAUGCUGAUAAAAAAAAGCAAUUCUAUACACUACUCAUAAUUUAAUCCAUUUUCUUAUAUUUUUCAAGAUAUAGUGGAAGACGAAGAACAUUUGAGCAAUGUGAAAGUGUUAAAGAAGAAAAUUAUUUAUAUAGGUUCAAUUUUGAAGCACACUCUUUCUUGAGUGUUGAUCUAAAAGUGCCAUAUGAAAGGGAAAAAAAAAUCAAUUAAAUAUUAUUUUCUGAUUAUUGGCAGCCGUCCUACGAAAACCUACCGAUUACAAUAUUAUUUAUUAUUUUUUCUUUUAACGAAGACCUUUUGAAGUCAAAAUCUAACAUUGCUCUUGUUUGUUAAGAAAACUAAAAAAACCUGUCCAAAUUUAUCUCAAAAUAAUUGAUAUUUUCAAUUUAAAAUGUUUUAUCGUCAAUUAUAUUUUUCUUAAUUUGUCUUCACGUAAAUUACCCCAAUAAUUAAUUAUUAAUAAAUAAAAUAAAGGUAAUGUAUCUAUUAAAAUAGUAAGACCACUUUAACAAAAACAUACCACAAAACAUAUUUAUUAUUAUUAUUAUUCUUAAUCUACAUAUAAAAAAUUUAAAACUUGAGAUAAUUUGGAAUGGAGGUAUUAAUUUAGUCACACCCACUUCCCUUUAUUAUGGACCUUUGUCCUCCUUCAAAAGUCAGUAGCCCAAAUUUGAACAACCCCAAUUGCUUGUUGAAGUUAUCAUUUCUGGGCUGGCUCUUAUCUUCUAUGAUUUUGCUUAAAGCCUUAUUCAAACUUUUGACUGCACAGUUUUUUUGACUUCAAAUCAAGUUGUUUAAGAUUUCAAUUUCCAUUGCUUUUGAUUGUUCCAAGAUUUGAUUAUCAUGACUAAGAGGAGGCAAUGAAACACAUAAUUCAUAGCUUUUGAUUUCCUCAAAAUAAAGCUCUUGAAUUCUUAGCUGAUUGGAUUUACUUAUAAUUAAUUUCCUCUUGUAUUAUUUGUCUCAUAAAUUACUCCAAUGAAAUGACUUUCUUUGACAAAAAAAAAACUACCCUUGUUAAAAGAGUUUACUUGUAAUUAUAAACCUUAUGUGAAUAUUGAAACUGAAAUACCUAUAAAUGAAAAAAUUGUUGAAAAAUAGCCCUUUUUCUUUAAAAUGGCAACUUUUUUUUAGACAUAAAAAAUACAUGUAUUAUUAAUUAGAAGGGAUGUUUUCAAAAUGCAGAUGAUCACUCCAAGAAAUUAAUGCAAAUCAAUGAAUUUUGAACUACUAUAGCAUAGCUGAAAACCAUUGUCUGUAUCUAGCACAUAGAAAAGCAUGGAACAGAAACUAAUUCUCCAUUCAUUUUCUUAGGUGUUGCCAUCACAUACACUUAAGAUUGGCACUUGUAAUUUUUACUAAUAAAUAUUGAAAUUUUCAUACUUUUUGAAUGUACAAAAUGACAACAUCUCCAAUUCAACACACCCUUCACCACAAGUCCAAUUUAUCAGCCAUCCAAAGGGAAGAAUAAAGACUUCUCACACCAAGCACUUCCCCUGUAUCUUCAUUCUUCACAAAUUGUUCAACCCUUAUCCAAUUAAACAGCCUAACUAAGAUAAAAAUAAACGCAAUGGCAUAGUCAUCAAGCCUAUCCCAAUUGACUUAUCAACUCAAAAAAGGAUAAAUCACAUUUUAUAAAAAGAAAAUAGCAUAUCAAUAUCUUAUCUUGAAAACUAUAGAUGAGAUAAUUUUGGUCAUGAAGCAUUAGAGUCAUCAUUUUCUUCAUAAUCAUGUAAAUCAAAGAAAGGGUCCUUGAGCAACUCUGCAGCAGAAGGUCUAGCCCUUGGCUGAGCAAGACACUUCUCUAUGAAGGCCUUCACUUCAGGAUCUUGGAUCUUGCUCAAGGCUUCAGGUCUCACACCUGAUGACACCUUCUUGUAUAUCUUGGCAACAUUGUCACAUUCACUAUAUGGAAUCUCUAGUGUUACUAUCUCCAACACACACAUUCCAAAUGAGUAUAUGUCAACCAUUUCAGUGUAGUCUUCAUCAUACAACUCAGGUGCCAUAAAUUCUGGUGUUCCAAGAACUGAAUGUGCAGAGUGGCUCUUCCCCACAAUAGCUGCCAAACCCAAGUCACCAAUCUUAACCUAAGAAUAUAAAUGAAACAAGAAUAAAAUAAAAUCAGUUAUGACAUCUUGCAACAAACAGCAACAAAAAAAUCAUAAGUUCAUAACUAUACUGAUUAAACCAUGAGUGCUGAAGUUAGAAUGUCCAUAGGCUAAGAGUUGGGUAUUAAUCUCUCAAAUAUUGAGAUUUAUUUAAGAAACUAACCUCUUGCUAAAGUUCAAUGAUUAUACCUAAACAUGUAUCUAAUGAAAGCAGAUUUCCUAAAACCAUAAGCAUUAGUAAUCUAAUUUCCAAGGUUUUGCAUAUCCGUUAUUAGUUUCAUCAACAUUCUUGAUAUUAUGAAAAACCAUGGAUAAAUGUGGUCGGUGAAAAUCACAAUUGUUGUCACCAACACUUCAAAAACCUUGACAUUGCGACCAAAAUAACAGCUGCAGACAGUUUUUGUAAAAGCUUCAUAAUUUUUAUUACUUUCUGUCUUUUGGUUGAUUUUUAACUUCACAGUUAAGGAAACAUGAUCUGGGAAAAAGAAUGUUACCUGGCCAGUGUUCCCAUUGACAAACACAUUACUGCAGUUGAGGUCUCUGUGGAUGAUACAAGGGUCAUGCACAUGCAAGUAAUUCAACCCUUCCAGAAUCUGCUUGGACCACUUUUUCAAGGCCCUCAUGGACACAUGCCUGUGUUUCUUCCUGUACUCCCUCAGAUUCCCACUGGUGCAGACCUCAGUGAUGAAGUUCAAAGUGUUGUGUUUCUCAUCCCUCCAAACACUGUAAAGGGAUAUGAUGUUUUUGUUGGUCAAGCUUCUGAGCAAUCUCACCUCAGAGUAAAGCCUUUCCACCAUUGCAGGGUCAUCACUGAAGUUCCUCAGCUUCACUUGGUUCCAAGCCACCUCUAUCCCUUCUUCUUGAUCAAAUGCCCUGUAUACCUUUUUCACAGCACCACAUCCCAGAAGUUCACUGUAUCUGCCAUAUCUUCUAGUUGGAUCAAGUUCAACAAAUGGCUCUGAGUCUCUGUCAGAUGCAUCAGGCUUAACACUUGGCAUCUAGCACCAAAACAUUAAUCACAACACAAUCAAAAUAAAGGGCAAAAAGUUAACUAAUUACACACUCAAAAUUCUUUCUAGGUCUCAUUUUCAGAGUACAAAAAUCAUCUGUUACCAUAGUUUGUUGGAGAGAAAAAAGGAAAAAAGUAACCAACCCAUCAUCAAAAUUCAUAUAAAGAUUCUUACUUUCCACGUUAGAAAAUAAAAAAACAAAGAACUGGCUAGUUGGUAUGCAUGAAAAUCAGAUCAAAAUUAACCCAAGAGGCAACUAAUGAAACAGAAAUCAAAUCUCAUUAUGGUUAUGGAGAUCAUUGAGCACAUUAGCAGAAUUACAUGAGAAAUUGAUAACAAUACAUAAUGCAGAAUAGAGAAAGGAAACGAAGUGAUGAUGAUUACCAUGAAGAAGAAAAAAAUGCUAUUUGAAGAAGAAAGAGGAGCUGAAGAAAACAAGUAUGUGAGAAGAAGUAGAAUGAGACACAAAAACAAGAAAGAGCAAGGUAUUGGAGGAAACUAUAUAUACACGCAAAAUCAAGGAGGGUACGUUAGUUAAAAGGGUAAUUUCAUUAGGAUUAGAUUAGAUAUUAAUUAUUAGAUAUCAGAAACCGUUUUACAUAAUCUUUUUCUAAUUGGUGAAAGAUGAUAACGAAAAAAAAUACAAAAUAAAAUUUUCAUUAUCCAUAUCAACUCAAAUUAAAUUAACUUAAUUACUUGUUGUUCAGAUCUUUUUUUAAAAUGAUUCAAACUAGCAUUCACUAGCACUGUUUAAGAAACAAAAAAAGCUAAAAUAAAUUCACUUUGCACAAUAUGUAAAAAAAAACGUACAAAUUAAAACUACUAUCUUGAAUUAAAAAUAAAUAAAAAAGUUGUAAACAAAAUCUGUUCUGCUAACUAUCUCGAAUUAAAAAAGAUUAAAGAUGUUUUUAGAUAUAUAUUUUUAAUCUUUUAUAUCUUUCGACUUUUAUCUUUGCUUUCAAAUUAAUUAUACUAUUUAAAAGAUAUCAAUAAUUGCAAAUAAUUUUAUACUAUAAUAUAAACUAUUUAUCAUAAAUUUAAGACAUAAAUUAUAUGUUCAAAAAUAGAGUAUGAUGAUAAGGAGUGACAAUAUUAAAAAAAAUAAAAUUACCAUCAUUUUUUAUAUCAUUUUUAAAAUAGUUACUACACAAAGUCAGUACAUUUGUAUUUGUCAUGUACAUUUGUACAUUUGUAUUUAAAAAGUAUUUAUUUAAAGGAAAACAAAAUCAAGGAUUUUUUUGCCUCUCAUAAUUGAAUUUGGUUCUGUUUUUUUUUUUCAGGUUUCUAACUUUAUUGUGCCCUACAGCUUCAUGGUGUUAACUUUUUUCCAAGAAAAUCUGUUGAAAAGGAAAAGAAAAAGGUGCAGGAAUCCUAUUAUGAGAUGAAAUUUCAUAAUAUCAUGCAAUUUGUACUAUUUUUUAAAUGUUUCUUCUAAAUUAGUUCUUUUAAGAUUUUAGAUUAAGAAUAUCGAUAUAUUGAAAAUUAAUAGUCAUAACACAACCAAUUAAUAACCAUUUAUUGACCUUUUAUUUGUAUAUGAAAAGGUAGAUAACAUAUGAAGUAGGCUAAUCUUGUUAAUUUAUUUUAAUUAGGUUAAACUAAUAAUAUGUUUGAAAAUAUGAUGAUUUGUAACUAAAUUUAAAAUCAUCACUGAUGCUUAUCCUUUUUAACUUGUAAGAAAUAACUGAAUUUUUAAGAUUUUUAAAAUAAUCACGGAUGGUUAUCCUUUGGUAGUUUUAAAUCAAUUGUAAAAUCAAGCAUCAAAUUAUAUAUUUAUAAUUAAAAUUAAAAUUCCGCAACAAUAAAGAAUUUUUUCAGCAAAAAAUAAUAGAUUGAAUUAAAUAGUAUUAGUUUUAUUUGUUACAUCAUUUAUAAUUUAUAAAUUAUUCACUAACUGAAAAAUUAGUUUAAUAAAUUAAUUUAUUAGUCUCUAGUUUUUAAAAUUAUAAAAUUAGUCAAGAUUAAUUUAAAAUAUAAAGUAAUAAAUAAUUAAAAUCUAAGUAACUGAUAUUUGAUCUCAAUUUACAAACUAUUUUAUAAUUUUUUUAUUAAUAAUAAAAUUUAAUGUAGGUAUCAAUAAUUUUUUAGUUUAACUUAGUAAUAUAAUUACUAAUUAUUUUUUAUCUUUAAAUUAAUUUAUAUUUAUUGAUUUUUUUAGUGAUUUUUUUUAAAUAUAUAUUGACUACUCAAUUUUCUUAUUAUAGUACACCACUUGCUAAAGGCUUUAAAGGGGAGUAGUUGAUGGUUUAGAUGUGGUUGUCUUGGUUCAAGUAAAGCUUUGUCUUAGAUUACGUCCAAGUUUCUCUCUGGGUAUUUCUCUUUCUCUGAUUGGUCUCUCAAAUUUUUGGUCUAUAUGAGGAUGGUUUCUUGACAUAUUAUUGAGCUCAGACACUUAUAUUUUAAGGGAUUUUCUGAGUAAAGUCAGGAGUGUUUUUAAUUAUAAGUGUCUGGUGAAGUUUUUUUUUUAGGUGGGAGUGACUUAUGUCUAUUAUUCUGUAUAAGGGUUGGAUCACCCAUUUAUUUAUUUUUUAUUGUCGAUAAGAAAAACACCACUUGUUAAGUAAUAAUAAUUGAAGAAUUUAAUUUUAUUAAAGAUUAAAAACUUGUUGCAAAAUAAUACAAGAGCCCUAACCUAUUCAUUAUUUUCAUAUAUAAAUGAUAGUUAUAUCAUAAAUUAAUUAGAGAUAUAUGUAAAUGGGGGUAUGAUAUUAAUGUUCUAUAGUUAAUUUCAAUAUAUAUUUAAUUCCUUUAAAUGUAUAAAAAUUCUUCUAAUAAAUAUAUAAUACUACUUCCGUUGUUAAUUGUAUUUAAUAUAUUAACUAAUUAUUAAUUUUGAUGGAUUACUAUUCUAAAUGAAUAAAGAAAUGUUUUUCAACAAAUAAUGUAAACAAUUAAUAUCAAUAAGGUUAUUUUUUUAAUAUGGUUACAAGGAGAGCAAAAAAUUCAAGUUGAAUACUUUAAUUUUGCGUAAUGGUUAGUAUCUCAUGAAGUAAAAACAUUCAAGUAAUACUUUAAAUGAUGAAUAAUAUAUAAAUGAAAACAUUAACAAAUUUAUUAAAAUUUUAAAAGCUUAUACAUAAAUUGAUUCAUGUUUCGAGAUUCAGAUGAACAAUAAAAAAAAAACAGAUACUAUUCUCUUAAAGUUUUAAGUAUAUAUCUUAAUAUACAUUCAAUUUUAUGUUAUUAAAUUUUAGUAUACAUUCAAUUUCCACUAAAUACAGAAAGAAAAGUUGUAAAAAAAUAUCUUCAUAUACGAGUAAUAAUAAUAAAAACAUGUUAUUAAUUUUUAGUCAGCUAGACAAUAAUCAUAACUAUUGUUUUUAAUAUUUAAUUGGUAUUAUUCUUGUUACUUUUUAAAUGAUAAAUAUUUUUCUAAUUAAAUUUCAUACUAUUUUAUAAUAAUUUAACAAAUAUACGCAUGAUCGGUCAAAUAAUCCGUGAGAAUGCGCCAAUUAUUUACUAACUAAUUUUUGGAUUAGAUUACCUAAUUUGUAAGAUUUUUAAAAUCAUCACUAACGUUUAUUUUUGGUAAACAAUCACAAUUUAUUUAAUUACAAAAAAAAUUAGUGAAAUCAAGGAUCAAAUUGUAUUUUUUAUAGUUUAAGCUAAAAUUCCCAAACUUAAAAGAUUUUUUUAGAAAAUGAAACAAACCAUAAGUGAAAGACUAUACUAAUGUGGUUAAGUAAAAAAGAACAAUAUUUUUAAUCUGAUAUGGAACAACUAAAAAAUUGUAUAUUACUUGAUAAAUCAACAUUAGUGUGAUAAACUUUAUGUCGACUAUUCAAUAUUCUGAAUAAUUUUCUCAUAAAAGUUGCAGAUCAAAAGUAAGUUAUCUCUAUUUUCAGAUCAUGAAAAUGAGUUUGAGAGACGUUUGAUUUACACCUGAAUCAUAAUAUCCCAAAGAUCAAGCAUGGCAAGACAUAUUUUGCUUCCAACUUCACAAGCAAAUGCUUCCCAAAAAAUCACUCUUUACUAUUUUUUUAAUUAACAACAAAAAAUAAAAUAAAAAACAAAAUAUUAAGAAUGUUUCGUAUAUAGAAUCUCCAAAAAAAAAAUUUAAAAAUAAUUAAUCAAUUAAAAAUUAGAUACUAAUUUAAAAAUUAUUUUAUAAUUUUUUAUUAAUAAUAAAAAUUAUUUUUUAUUAAGAAUGUUUCAACUCGUAUAUAAAAUUUAAAAAAACAAAUUUAAAAAAUAAAAAAAUAAUUAAUUAAUUUAAAAAUUAUUUUAUACAUUUUUAUUAAUAAUAAAAAAUAUUUUAAAUGUCAAUAAUUUUUUAUAUUUGAUUUAAUUAAUAUAGUGAUUAAUUAAUUUUUAUUUUUAAAUCUGUUAUUUAAUAAUAUUUUUUAGUACGAUCCAAAAACACGAAAAUACACUCCAAAAAAACAUGAUGAUCCUUUUGAAUUACAACUACCAAGAAACAUAGCUGACCUCCGUAUAUUCCUAAUCACUCCAUAUAUUUAUAUGCUUUAAGUUUGACAUAUGAAAAAAUAUUUUUAAAAAUUUGAACAUAACUUUAAAUGGUUUAUACUUGUGUGUUAAAUUACAAUUUAGUUUUUUAGAGUGAGCUAUUCAAAUCAUGUAAAAGCAUUAGCUGAUGAAAAUGAACUAUGCAACUUUUUAUUCAAAUCAUGUAAAAGCAUCAAAAGUUAUUCUUCUUGAGUCAUGGCUGAUGAAAAUGUGAGUUAUGCAACUUUUGAUUCAAAUCAUGCAGAAACAUCAAAACGUAUUCUUCUAGAUUAUGGAAAUGAAUUAUGCAACGUUUUACUGAAAUGAUGUAAAAGCAUUAAAAAUUAUUCUUCUUGGGUGAUGAUGAAAAUGAAUUUCGUAAAGAAAACCCUCACAUUUUGAAAGGUUGAAGUGUAAUAAUAAUCUGGUGUUAGUUACUCCAUGAAUCUUGCAAAGCAUGUGUAGCAUUAAGUGGCAAAAGAUAUAUGAAUCCUCAAUACUGUGAUGAAGGCUUGCUUUCUCCCGUGAUCCUAUGUUUAGCUUUUGCUCUUAUUGGAAUUAAUAAAGGAUACACCAAACAACAUGUGAUUUGAACAAAUCUGUGACCAAAACUAUGAGUAGUAUCAGAAACCAUUUGCUGGUUUUCUGCACUUAAUUGUUUAGAUGGAAUUGUAGUUGCUGCCUUUACAACUUACCAUGUUUUUUUGUUGUUUUUUUUCUUUAGGGUUUAUUGCAGAUAUUGAUUUCUUUUAACAAUUCAUAUACCUUUAUAUAGAUCAUGGGUCUAACUCUGAUCAUGGUCACAUACUUAAGAAAUCGACCAAGUUGUUCAUCAAUCAUACAACAAUACAUUAGGGUUUCGUUGUUGAUAUGAGCUAGAACAAAUAUCUGAGUGCAAAAUUGUGUUGUGAUGCACGUGAAGAAGAGGUCACAUGUUGAGAUAUGUUACAUAUAUAUCUUUUCAUCCACCCUAUACAUAAUUUCUCAAAGUGAGAAUAAUGUGAAUGUGUUUUCUUUUCUUCGAAAAUUGUCAUCUUCAAUAAUAUGCCAUUCGCAAAGUAAUGGAGUUUUGUUUGAGACAAUAUUUCAUACCAAAUAAUAAUAAUAUAAAUCUUAUAGAUAUUAGAAAUUCAAUUGUGUGUUUGGGUUAUAUGUUGAGAAAAUAUAAAAAAGUUGCUUACUGUACUAUAUUAUAAGAAGAAAAAAAACCUCAUAAAUUCGUUGUUUUAAUGUUUUUUAUUAAAGAUGGUGUUAUAAUUUUUUAUGUAAAUUGGUUCAUACAUAUUGAUGAUGAAUUUCCUUAAUGCAUUUUUCUAAAAAGACGUAAUAGAUAUGAAAAAACUACACUGCCUACUAAUAUUUAAAUAUAUAAAUGUGUUCUAUAAUAAUAUUUUGUAAUAUUAUAUAUAUAUAUAUAUAUAUAUAUGAUGAUAUUGCCAUUUUAUUACUAAUAUAUAAAAAAAACAACCAGUGGUUAAUUGGCUUACUACAUGGUAUAAAUUGUUUUGAAUUUCUCAUUUCUUAAAAUUAAUUUAAUUUUAAAAUUUUAGUAAAACUACCUAGAAUAUGUUAAUAACUUAGUUUAAAUUUAAUUUGAAUAAAAUUGAACUUACAAAAUAAAUUAAUAAAAAUGACAAAAACUUAUCUAAUCUUUUAAAAGUAAUUAAAACUUCUAAAAUUAGAUUGUAUAUUGUCAUGGAUAUCUCGAACAUCUAAAAGCCAUCAACACUCAUUUUUUGAAAAUAUUUUCAUCUAGUCCCACUCAAGAUUGGGAAGAGGGUGGUGUACUAUUAGUUAGUUCAACCUUGUAUUAAAAAGUAAAUGCAACUUAUCUAAUGGGUCAAUUAUACGGUUUGUUAAUCAUCAACAAAAAAUUCAAUAAAACUAUCUAAAAUAUUAAUAAAAAAUCACAGGAACAUAUAUAUAUAUAGGUUACAUGAAAUCAGUUAAGGAAAAUAUAAACAUUAAAGAUUAAAUAAUAUUAAUUAAGAUUAAGAGGAUAAUUGGAUAACUAACUAUGAGUUUUGAUUUAGUCUCCUCAUAUUUUCUUGUUUUUCCUUUUUUUUUCUUUUAAUAAUAUUUUUUUCAUAUAAUGACAGAUGAUUGUUGUUACCUUAGGUUUCAGCUUAACUGAGUUUCUUAAUGAUGUCUAACCUAAGAGUUUUUAUAAAAAAAAAACACUAAGGUUUCUUAUAAAAAGAUAGUCAAAUUUUGAUGGUUUGAGACCACGUAAGCUUUGAGCCAAAACAUUGACAUAUAUAGUGGGGUCUGAUGAAACAUAUAUGACAUCUCAAAACCUAAUGUUGAUUAGUCACAACUCUCACUUUGAGCCUUAUAGUCUCUAAUGAUUCAUCCUCAUCCCUAUGUUUCUAUGAAAAUCUCUUUGCAAUAACUUUUAAGAAGUAACUCUUUUUUCCUUUUAACACACACUAUAGGAUAAAAGUUUAAAGUGUUUCUCUUACCUAAAAAAUGUUAGAAUUGUGUAAAACCUACAAAACACAUUAUAGGAUAAAAGCUUCAAUUGUUUCUCUAUUUCUGACCUAAAAAAAAUAUGAUACAAUUGUGUAAAACCUACGAGAUAAAAGGAAAAUUAAGAUAAUUUUCAUAAUCAUAAAGUGUUUUCUUAUAUAUUUUGUUAUCUCUUUUUUACAUUCUUCAAAGUUAUUAAUAUUAAAAUUAUUACUUUACUAUUAAUAAAUAUUUUUUAUGCGUGGAAUGUAGAAAAAUAUUAUCUUCAAAGAAGACAGUCGAAUAAUUGAUUCAUAAAAAUUUAAUGUAUAAUUUAUGAAAUAUAUAUUGUAUUCUUUAAAUUUAAAUAGAUUUUAAAUUUAACUAUUUUUUUUAUUUUAAGGAAAUAUUUUAUGAAAUAUAUAUUGUGUUAUUAAAAUUUAAAUAUAUUUUCAAUUUAAAUACUUUUUUUUGUUUUAAAGAAAUAUUUUAGGAAAUAUAUAUUGUGUUAUUUAAAUUUAAAUAUAUUUUUAGUUUAAAUAUUUUGUUUGUUGUAAAAAUAACAUGUAAUUAUCUUUAAUGAUUUUCUUAGUAACAAUCUUAUUAUAUACAGUUAGUUUAAAUAGGUAAAUUAAUAAUUAUAAUUUUUUUUAUUUAACAUAUAUAUAUAUAUAUGUAUGUAUAUAUGGAGCUUUUUAAUAUUUUAAAACUCACAUUAUCAAAAAAUUAAGAUAAAAAUACUACUAAUUAUUGAUAUUCAAAGUUGAAAAUAAAUUAAGAGAGAGAAAAUAUCUAUGUAAUUAAGAGAUAAUUAUAAAAAUAUAUAAACAAUAACUUUAGUAUUAUUAAUUAAGUUUAUUAUUUUAUUUUAUUAAUUAAAAAAAUUAUUUUUUAUUAAGAGAUUUAUCUGAAUUGUUCAUCCAUUAAGAUAAAAUUUACAUUUUUUCUUUUAAAAUGAUACAACUUUAUUAUAAAGAAGAUUUUUUCUUUUAAAAUCAUACAACUUUAUUAUAAAGAAGGAAGAAUCUUACCAAAACAAAAGAUAGUUUUUGUUUGAAAAUACUUUUAAAUUUAGUCGUAAUAGUUAUAAAAUUUUAAAUAUUGUCAAAAAUAUUAUUUUUAAAAGACAAACAUUUUCAAAAUAUGACUAACUCAUUAAUAGGUUGACCACGAAAUGGCUCCAACUCGACUACAGUCUGAUCUUAGAACGAUUGAGGUCGACCAUGAAAUAUCACCACAUAACAGUUCCAGCUUUGUUGUAGUGUGGCCUUAGAAGGAUUGAGGUCGACCAUAAAAUAUCAUCCUGAAACAACUUCAGCUCGGCUGGAGUCCAACCUUAAAAGAAUUGAGGUUUACCAUAAGUCAUAAAAAGACUUAAGUUUGACCUUAAGUUUGACUGAGCUUGGCUAGAGUCCAACCUUGAAAGAAAUUGAGGUUGAUCAUAAGUCACAAAAAGGCUUAAGCUCGAUUGGAGUUUGGCCUUACAGAGGUCGACCACAAUAUCAUCAUGAAACAACUUUGGCUUAGCUGGAGUUCGAUCUUACAGGGAUUGAGGACUAAAGUUGACCAUAAUAUCGCCACAAAACAACUCAAACCCAAUUGAAGUUUAGCCUUAGAGGGAUUGAGGUUGACCAUAAAAUUCUAAGGAUCAAUGGGAGGAUCGUGUACGACCUUGUCCGAUCAUUUGACAAGAAGGUUAUUCCACUAUUUAUAAAUGACUUCUAAUCAUUAGAAAAUUAAAAGGGCACAUACAUCUUUCUUGCAAUGGUUUGCUAAAGCUCAACACAGAUAACCCAAGCUACAAAUUACAUUAAUAGAAUUAAAAUGCAUAUGCUAACAUAAGUUAAGUUCGUAGACAUACACUUAUCUCGAUUAAAGACUAAUCACAACCAAAUUGACAAAGGCAUUUUUCACUACAAGAAAAUCAAUAAAUAGAAACUUAUUUUAUUAGGAACCAAAAUAAUUAGUUACUAUUUGACUAAAUUAGAGACCAUUUUAUAAACUAAAAAAAUUAUUAUUAUCUAAAGUAGUUACUAUUAUUAAUAAAAAUUUAUAAAAAUAGUUUCUAAAUUGGUAUCUAAUCAUUAACUACCAAAGUUUUAGCUACUUACUACUUAAUAUUCUAAUUUAGAAUCUAAAAUAUUAGUAGCUAAAACCUAAGUAGUUAAUUUAGAUACCAAUUUAGAAAUCAUUUUAUGAGUUUUUAUUAAUAAUAAAAAUCACUUUAGAUACAAAUAAUUUUUUAGUCUCUAAAAUAAUAUUUAAUUUAGUAAAUAUAGUGACUAAUUAUUUUUUAUCUCUAAAUUUAAUUGCAAUUUAAUGAUUUUCUUGUAGUAUUUGUUCUAAGUAACCGCUUAAAUAAUGCAUCAAUCUCGCCUAACCAUGUGGAAAAAUACUUGAGAAGACAUGAUGGUCGAAGGGUUUCCCACUCUGAAAUGACUCAACAUUCGAAAGUAUUGAUGAAAAUUUCCAAAACUAACACUAGUUAAUUCUUUUAGCCUAACCCAACUUAAGGCUAGGGGGUUGUGUACCAUCAAAGAUAGGUCAAACAUCCAAAAGUUAAACAAUACCUCUUUUUAAAAGCCUUUUAACUUAGUCUAACUCAAGGCUGGGUGUUUUGUAGUGUUAGUUAGUUUGACUUCUAUUAAAAGAAAAUAUAAGUUAUUUAAUGGGUUAGUUUAUAGAGUUUGCUAAUUCGAGGAAUUCAAUAAAAUUAUCCAGAAUCUUAAGAAAAAUCACAAGAAUACUUACUUGUGAUAUUUGAAAUCAUUUGAAAAAAAAUACAAACUUUAAGAUUAAAUAAUAUUAGUUAAUAUCCAAAUGAUAACAAAACAAUUGACUAAAAUUUAUAAAAUAAACAUCUAAUAAAAAACACUCAAUUUUGAAUAAAAUUUAUAAAAUAAACAUCUAAUAAAAAACACUCAAUUUUGAAUGUUCUUUCAGACCACAUACUUAGAAUCAAUUAAGAAAAAUACAAACUUUAAGGAUUAGAUAAUAUUAAUUAAGAUUUUGAGAAUAAUACAACAAAUAAAACUUAUAAAAUACAUCAACAAAGACACUUAAUUUUAAAUGGUUUAGUUCGAGAACACUUAAGCUUGAAAAAGAAAGAUUCCUAGAACCAAAUGUCUAAACACUUCAUGAAGAAAGAUAUUUAUUUAAAUAAAAAUGUUAAAUUAAUGAGUUAGCAUACUUACCUAUUAGGUUGUUAGGUUGAAAAAAUAGGGGUGAACUCGUCAACUAUUUUUAGCAUAUUGAGCUCGUGAACCUCCCAUUUCAAACUCAUUUUGUGGAAGUUGAAUAUUUUUUAAAAAAUUAUAAUUUUCUUAUGUUUAAUGCUUAUAUAAAUUAAAUAUUUUGAAGAAUUUCAAAAAAUAUAAUUGAAAUAUCAUUAAUAAAUAGUGUUUUUUGGCCUUAGAAUAGUGAAAAAGUGAUUUUAGAUCCUCUUUUAACUCUACAUACGGAGUGGUUUUCCUCUUUCACCAUUCCCAAUUAUUUUAUUUGUCACAAUUUUUUGGAACGAUUUUUAAUCAUAAAACAUAAUAAUAGUGAUUUACUCUGUGUAAAGGUUUAAGAUUCUAAGAGCAUCUUCAUUAUAGAGUCAUAAAAUUAAGAAUAUAUUCUAUAAGACCUCUAUCAUAUAUAUAGUAUACUGACACAUAGCAUCAAAAAAUAAGAUUUUGAUUUAUAAAAAUAAAAAAAAAAAUUACUUUUUUUCUUGUAAAUAUAUAUUUCUGCCAAUAACAAAAAUGAGUUUUAUGAGUUAUAAGACCAUUGCAUUGAAAUAAAAAUUACAAAAGUAUCUUUAAAAUGAUAUAACGUAAUAAAAUCACACAAAUUAAAUUAAGAUAUGAUAAAAUAACUCCUGCAGUGAAGAUGCUCUAACCACCAUCAAUUACAUCCACCAAAACAAAUUUCAUUUAAAAGUAAAAACAACAUCAAAAAUAAGAAUUCAUAACAAUUAAACACCAACUAAAUAAGAUUGGUUGAAGAGCUUUUCAAAAUUUUAAAGAACAAAGGUAAACACCAUGAAUAUGAAUCAACAAUUAUGAACUUGAAAGUGCUGAAUCAAUCUAGCAAGUUGCGAAAACGAAAUCAAUUUGGAUUAUAUAAAAAUGAAGAACAAGAGAGGGAAAAAAGAUUUUUUUUUUUUCAUCUUCUUCCAUGAUGUUAAUGAAAGAUUUAAGGAUUAGUGACAACUCUCCUUUUGUUUUUUUCUAUAUACAAAUUAUAUAAAAAAAAAAUUGAAGUUUAAACUUUUAUCAUAUGUUCUUGCACUGAAAAAGAAUAAUUUAAGGUAGAUUUAGAGAGGUUUUGAGGAAGUCAAACUUUGAUCCAGCAAUUUUUUUCUAAAGAUGAUUGUUGAGUUUGUUGGUAAAACAUCAAGUUGAGAUUUACCUCUUAUGCUUAAGUUAGCAAGAGUUAAGGAAGUUUUUACAAGUGUUUAGUGAGUAAAUAAAAGAGAUUGAGUGUGUUCAGUGGCCAAUAGGGCAUUGUAAGAGGCGUUGGUUUCAACUAGAAUAUAUUGAACUGCUAAUGUCCGAUAUGUCUUACUUGUAUCAAAUGUCGUACGCAUGUCAACAUAACCCUUGUUGUGUACUCAUUUGUUGGCAAACCCAAAUGAAAGGUUCGAGUAUAACUUGAUAAGUGAAGUAGGAAUAUCAAACUUCUAGAAUGUCGAACAAUAUAGUACAUCAACAGCAGAGCUUCCUGGUGGUCUAUAAGAAUGGAAAAGUGGUUCUAAAGAUGAACAAACAAUGCCCUUUUUCUUGUCUUCCAGAUUAUAUAUAAAACUUUUCUCGUCAACUUUGGUGUCAUUCAUGUGCAAGCCAAACCAAUUGCACUCCCAUUAUGUGUUUUUAUGUUUCCAUUUCUAAUCAAAAUAUUCCAAAGGACAUGGAUCCAUCAGUGGAACCUUCCAUGUACCAGUCACAACACUUUUCUUGGACUAAACAAAGAGCCAAUGGACAACUUAACCCAGCAUCCCUAGGAAUAAAAUUCUUUUAGGGCUACUUCCAAUAGGGUUAGGCUAAGGGAACAAAAGGCCAAUCAUCCUGGUAUAAUCUAUAACAUUGCAAUGAUAGGUGUUGAAGUGGUGCUGGUCAAAAGUAGAAUUUGUUUUACUUUCAGAACAACUAUCUUUUACCACAUCUGUUAAACUCUAGUAUGUAGUAUGUUAUGUAUAUAUAUAUAUAUAUAUAUAUAUAUAUAUGUAUGAAGAUAUAGAAUAUGGUGGUAGAAAGUGAAAACAUUUGCUGGCUAUGAUUAAAACCAUGAUUAACACAAAAAGCUUUUAUAAAGAGAGUAUCGGUGUUAAAAAGAUGCUCACUCACAAUGCAAUUUUUACUAAGCAACCAAUAAAAAGGGAUCAUAGCUUUCUGCAUUAAAAAGAAUACAAAAAAAAACGAUUCUAUAAGAUAAAAUAUGAGGAUUUGGCAUUCAAAAUACCACUCCGAAGUCUCAUCUCACUGUCUGCAGAAACAGUUUUAUUUAUAGACCCACCUAACUGAUAAAAAAAAGCAUUAUCUUUUUGGAAAACAACUAUAUUGCUCUACACUGUUAAAACUAUAUAAUUAUAACAUAAUUAAUAGUUAAUAUUAGCUUCUUAUUUUUUUGUGUAAUUUUAUAUUCAUGUUGAAGGAGUUAUUUAUUCUACAGUUUCCCCACGUAAUUGCUCAAGUAAAAAUACUAGUUUUAUUAUAAAAGCAUGUACCUUUUGUUCUUCCUACCUAUACAAUAUACAAGGGACUGGUAAGGCCCUUCACGUCAGUCCCUUCAGGUGAAUUUUGUAGUUUUUCUGCCUGAGAUAAGUAUGACUUUUGUUUAUUCCAUCUAAAUCUAAUACAAAAUGUGAGUUUUAACUAAACUAUAUUUUUAUUUAUGUAAUAUUUUAUUCAUUAGUUUCAUCUAAAUUUAUUUUAUUUUUUAAAUUCUUGGUUCUUGAAAUUCAUUCAAAUUCCAAUUGAUGUUUUCAGCUAUGUUCCGAAAUUCAGUUUGGUGUUGUUGGUAAAUUUGAUGUUGUUUGUAAAUUUGUUUCUUAAUUACAAUGAAUUUGUGUUAAACUUAAUCUAAUUUUGAUGUGAAUUUCAAUUAGUGAGCAUAUGUUAUAAUUCAAUUUCAAUAUUCAUUUCAAUUUGAAAUUUAGUGUUGUCUGUAAAUUUAAUUUUUUUAUUACAAUAAAUUAGAUGUAUUACCUUCAUUUAAAUUGGAUUUGAAUUCAUUGAAAAUUAUUCAAAUUUAAUUUGUUAUUAAUUUAGAUAAAUAGAUUUAAAUUCACUUUUAAAUACAUUCAUUCGUACAAAUAUUCAAAAUGUCCUAUCCUGAAUAUUUUUUUAUUUAUUUCACAAUUUGUGUGGGUCUAACCCACACUAUCAUUUGAUUUUAUUUCACACCUUGUGUAAGCCUAACCCACACUAACAUUUUAAAUUAUAUCCUCAUGGUGUCGGCCAAACUCAUUCAUGACUUUAAUUUAGUGUCCAAAAAGCGUAAGCUAAACCUACGCUAGCUUAAAAUAAUAGUUUUAACUUUGUGGCGGCCAAAAUGAUGAAGUGAGACUACUUGUGUUCACAUUGCGUAGGUUAAAAAAGUGUUCAUAUUGAGUAGGUUUAGCCAACUCAAAUUGGGUCAACUGGGACCCACACAAAAAGUUAGCAUCCAAAGUAUUAGCUUCCAUUUUCUGGGAGACACUUAGCCUACACUAACAAUGAUUUUGCAUAAGUUUUUGGCUAUUUGUGUCUGCCUGAAGUCUACACUAUUUACCUUAUUUCUUGUAGUGAUAGUUCUUAUAAGUUCCACUUAAUACCAUUCCUAUGGUAUAUUCAUUCGAAUAAUUUAUUAUAUUUUUUUAAAUCAAAUUCAUAUUUUUUAAGUUUAACAUGUCAGAUUCAUUAAUAUAUAAUACAAAAACCUUGAUUAAACAAAAAAAAAUAUAUAGAAGUUAAAACCUCGUUUUUCCUUAAAUAUUGGAUUUAAGAGAUUAAAUUUUAUUUUAAACCAAUUUUAAUAAUCAAAAUAACAUUUUGAUAUCAAGCACCUUCUUUGGAUUAACGUUAAAAUUUACCUCUGAAUUUUCCGAAGCCCCUACAAUGGAUACACUGAACACGAUCUCAACAGCACUGAACUUGGUCGAUUCCAAGAAAGAGAAUCUGAAGAAAGCCUUCGAUGAUCUCCAAUCCCUUCUCUCUCCUCUUCCUCUCGCAUGGCCAGACCUCGAUUCUCACUUCACCUCGCUCCACCACUCUCUCUCCCAACGCCUCCACCUCCUCCAGUCCCAAACCCUAACCCCAACCCCAAUUCCCGACCCACCUGCCCAAACCCCUAAUGAAGCGAUUCUUUCAUCAAACCCUAACGACCCAUCAUCGAAUCAUGCCGAAUCUUCACCUGGGGUGUCGCUCCAAAACGACUCCGUCCCUGGCUCGGUUACGCCUAGAAAAGAAAUGAUCGUUCUUUGCGAGAAAAUGGACGGUGUGGGGUUGAGGAAUUACGUCAAUGACCAUUUUUUGGACAGGGCCAGAGUUCAGGGGGAGCUUUCCGGUGCGUUUCAACAUGCGCCGGACGCGGGUGUGAUGGUUCUGGAAGCGUUGGAGGGGUUUCAUGGAGAUGGUAGUGGAUUGAAGGAAUGGGAAUUGAGGAAAAUGAGGAAGAGUUGUGUUGUGUUGGUGAAGCAAUUCAGGGUUGCUGCUCUAAGUGUGAGUGCUGAGGCUAGGGUGAGAGCUGUGAAGUUGGCCCAGGCAUGGAAAGAGAAGUUUGUGGGUGAUGAUAACAAUGCGUUUGGUGCUUUGGGGCUUUUGCAUUUGAUUGCUGCAUUUGGUUUGGUUUCUGAAUUCAGCUUGGAUGAGCUUGUUGACUUUUCGGUCGUGGCCCCCACCAAUGAGGAGUUCCCAGAGCUCUGCCGGGCGGUCGGGUUGACAGAGAAAGUUCCUGGUAAGGAUGUUGGCUUUUGUAUGAGUUGAUGGUGUUUGACAUUUAAUUGCUUGGAGCACGAUGUCAUUGAUGUGUUGUUGUUGGAGUUUGGUGUUUUAAAAUAGUUGUGCGUGAGAAUAUAUUUUGAAAGAGAUUAUUCUUGGACAAUAGUUUUGCACACAUAUAUCAGAUUGGGUCAUUAGAACAGUUGUGUGUCUAUCAAUGAUAGAUAGAAAGAAAUGAAUGUUAGAUAGAGUUAUGCACUUGCUUUGUAUGUGCAAGUAAUCUUGACUUGAAAGGGGAUCUUGUUUAACCUUUGUUUUCUGUUUUGAAGAUUCUGCAAAAGAAAUGGUGAAAACAGGUAAAAAUGUGUAAUCAGAAAAUAUGGUGAAAAAUAUGUGAUUAUUAGUUAAAAACUUAGAGUGUAUGGGGAUGAACAUGGAAAAAUAGGACACUGUAGGUUUUAUUUUUACCACUGAGAUUUAUUUUCAAUGGGAAUAGCUCUAGCUUCCUUCUCCAAAUGGUCAUGGUAUCCUUGACCAAGGAAGCACAUCCCCACUGAUGCAGACCAAGAUAAGUAAAUUUUUAAGUUGAGUUUUACAAUUGUAAUGGUAGGAGUACCACAAAAAGGAAGAACACGACCUGCAAAAGCCAUUUCAAAUGCACAAAACAUGGUGUUAAGGGAGAAACUGCGAACCAAAAUGUGUCCAACAACUUCAAGUAGAUCCACUGAGGGUUUAUAGUGUUAACAAGGUUUGGUGAUUCCAUUACUCUCUCCCUGAUAAUGAAAAAUGAUGUAUAAAAGAAUGAAAAAAGAGUAAGAAUGCAAAAUUAAGUAUAAUUUUUUGUUUCCGACAUGAGUCAGUUUUUUUUCCCAUUUGAAGCAAGGUUAUCAAACUCACAAUUUAAAUCAUGAGAUUGCAGGAGUUUACGACCUUACUGUCCCUUUUCAAGUUAACUCGGUAGUAGAAUUGUUUUAUUGUAAACUCAGUGGGCUCAUGGUGAACUCAGCCAAACUCGUGAGUUGGCAAGUUAGGCUGUGGGUUGUUUUUUUAAAUGAAACAACUCCUCUCUUUGUUGUUUGGCUUGCGGAAAUCGGAAAAGGGAGAAGACCUGCAAUAAGGGUUUUCCAUUAUCGCAAUUCACAGCUUCCCUUCUCUUCAUUAUUCUUCUCUUCAUAUCUCCUUUUCCGUUCAUGAUGCUGAUCACCACAUCCCCUUCAUUUCUCGUCAUCUGUGAAUUGGCUUUGAUCCUUUACCUCACUGUGAUUUCCCUUUGUUCCUUCUCUACUGCGGUUCGGUUUUCUUCCUUCCUUACUGCAAUUUCUUCUUCCUCACUAUGAUUACUCUUCCACUGUUGGUCUUCUUUGCAAUUUAUCCACAAUUGCUAACUGUUGCUCCUUUGACAUAAUUUCAGCUUCCUGGGACCGACUUGAACUGCAUCUCCCUAGAAGUUAACUUUCUAUUGUUUGUAUUUUGGAUCAUAGUUUUUGGUUGAGCAUACUGCUUGUCUUUUUCCAAAUUUCAGAAAAUGAAUUUGGUGAAAAAAAUGCUUUUUAAUUAUAAUUUUGUAUUGUUUGAACUUAUUUAGAACUAUCUACUUCCAGUUACUUUACUAUUGAUGUUUACUAGUUUGUUUUAUUAUGGAAUUAAAAUGUUGAAUUAUUGUGUCAUUUAUAGGUGUUUUAAUAUUAAGUGAAGUCUUACAAGUUUACAUUCGAGUUUACAAGUUGAGUUUAGGAAGCUCCCAUGAGUUUAUGUAAACUCUCAAGUUUGAUAACUUUGAUCUGGAGGACAAUAAACUAUGUGUGUAUUCAUAUACAUAUCUAUAUUGGAGACAUACAUGCUUAAUUUAUAGUGUUACACUUUUGUGUAAUUUCAUUGGUAAGGUUACAAUUGUUUGUGGUUUGCAGAUAUCGUUCAGAAACUUAUAGAUAAGGACAAACAUAUCCCAGCUGUCAAGUAUAUUCUUGAGUUCAAUCUUGCUGAUAAGAUUCCACCUGUUCCUGUUUUGAAAGCUGGUGUGGAUGAAGCUAAGAAACUUGCUAAAAAACUUUCCGAUGAAGGACAUUCAUCUGUAAGUGUCACCCUGAUUAAUAUCUUAAUGCAUGUGCCCUAAAAAUAAAACUAUAUUUAUUGAGGUAUGUUUGCAGAGUGAGAGUACUGCUAGAGAAAUUCAUACACUGAAAUUGGUGAUCAAGAUUAUUGAGAAUUAUAAGCUUGAAUCUGAACACCUAUGCACUAGCCUUGAGCAGCGUAUCGAGCAAUUAAAGAGGCAGAAGACCAAUAAUAAACGAGCUACUCCAGCCCCUCCUGCAAAGCCUCAUCAUAAACAGCAGCAACAACAGCAAAAGAGGAAUAUGCAGAAGCAGCAGCAUACUGGGAGCACACAUCCUCGAGCAUUUGCUCCAGUUGUUCCUGCAGCUGUCCUCAAGAAUGUCAAUUCGGCAAUGCACCACUACCAGCAACCUCGUGUCCAUCCAUCAGGUUUGUUUCCAGAGCAUCCAAAUCCCUAUACAAGCUCGCCAGCCAUGCCAAUUGGCAUGAUGGCUUCUACUGGAAAAUUUCUUCCUUAUGCAGGUCCUUCAGCUGGACCUUAUGGCCAUGAUGGUAUCCCAAUGGGUUCGCGUGGCAACCCCAAUCUAAGUGGUUCUCAUCUAAGCUCAUCGGAGCCACAUGUGCCAACUGGUGGUUAUUAUGAUAGAACCUCUACUUUUGGUGGUAUUGGUCUGCAACAUUAUUACCAAGCAUCUUAUUACCCUCAAUAGAUCAAUAAGUACUGAACUGGAGGGUUGAUAUUCAAGUUUUUACACCCAGACUGUUAAUCACCAAGCUAGUCUGCAACUUUGCUUCAUUGACAUAGGGAAAGUAGGUUCAGUAAUUAAGAAUUGUGAGGGAAUGUCCAGUGUCACAAUUUUUUAUUACUUUAAUCACUCUGUAAUGUACGUAUAGAAGUACUUCUAGGUUAACCAUGGUUAUAGCCCGUGGAUCUUCUCAUUCUCUCUAGUUUCCCCAUUCCCUAGGCUUUGUUGUUUUAAGUAAUGGGAAUUGACUGGUUUUGGAGAGCUAAAAUGAUCUGAAAUAUAAUUUUAAUGUUUCAAGUAAGAAUGAUGACUUGUUAAACAAGUCUACUGUUAUUCAUGUGAUUAUAUUAGUGCGUGUGUGUGUCUGGCAACAUCAAAUCGUAUCUUACCAGUACUUGGUGGAUCUGUUACAUGCAUCAUCAACGGGUUUUAUGAACUAUCAAAAUUUCAAUAAAUUUAUAUAGAACAAGCUCUUUUAUUAAAUGAUUUUUUUCAUAUGGUCUCAAGUGUUAUUCUACCAUUGUAAUCUAAUUAACAAAAUGGAUUGAAUCUAGAUUUAAUCUACUUUAAAUGAAUUUUAAAAAAAUUCAUUUAAAUUUGAUUAGUUAAAAUGGAUAUGGAUUUUAAAUCAAAUCCAUUUAUUUGGAUUUGAAUUUAGAAAAAUUCAAAUAAAGUAUAACUCAAAAAAUAAUUUUUUUACCACAAAAGAACUGCGAAAUUCUUCCAAAAUACUUAAAAGAAUCACCUAGAAAACUUUAAACGAGCUCAAAUGAGAUGUUGGGUGCCCUGGGGUGCUGGGAUGUUUGGGGCUGCUGUGAUGAUCAAAAUAGAGAGAAGGAUGAAGGUGAAAAGAUAUUUGAAAUUUUAGGGUUUUAUUUUUUUCUGAAGGGCAAAAUUGUAUUUUUUUAUAUUUAUUAUAGGAAGGGCAAAAUCGUAUUUUCAUAUUUAUUAUAGGAUGAAGAAGCCAUUGUUGCACUCUUUUUUUUGUGUUAAAAGAAGCCCAAAUUGGGACAUGUGUGGGUUCCCAAGUUUUUGAAUCCAUGGGAAGUGAAAUGAAAAGGUAGAAAAACAAAUUAAAUAUUAUUCAAGCUUAUGAAGGUAGUAAAAGAAAAAUGAACAUCAAUGAUAUAGAAUAUAGAGAAAACAAUUCCUAUCUAGGUUGAUGAGAAUGAUUAUGAUAAUGGUACUUGUUUUCAAGAGUUUAAUUGCUGUGCACUUUCAGUGUAAAAGAUUUUUAACUGUAAAACUAAUUAAAAACCAUAAUUAUGAUUAUUAAAGUAUUUAUUGUAUAAACAAUAUACUUAACAUACAUGUUCAUUUCUAACAGCCUGUUUGGACAAACAUUUAUACAUGGACUUCUAGAAGAAAAAAAUGAAAUAACUUCCUUUAUAAGUUAAAAUUAGCUUAUACACAAACUAAUGUGUAUAUGAAUUAUAAACUAAUUUUAAUUUGCAGACAAUUUCAUUUCAUUUUUCUUUCUUUCUUAAAGAUAUGACUUGAGUUUUUCACUCCUCAUACUCUUUUAUCUAUGAAGUGAGUUGUCUGUAUUCUAACUUAAGUUCGAGAGAUAACAUCACGUAAUGUAUUUGAGGUAUUGUCCGUUUUUGUUGAAUAGAUUGUCUCUCAUCUUUUCAAAAACUCCAUAACCCUUCUGCAUGAUGGUUUAGCAGUGUGGAAAUGAAUUUUUUUUGCUGAUGAGAGCUGAAAAUUCCAUUCAUUCACAAGAUAAUGGACAAUUCAUGUAUAAAAAAAUGAAUGGCUUAGCACCAAGUUGUAGUAAUAUGAACUGAAUUGGUUCAUGGCAUUUGAAAGUCACUUGUUUAUGUAUUCUUGUUGAUUAGACAAUACCCUACAAUUCACUAUGACAGCAUAUGACAGUAAACUAAGCAUUCAUGAUAUCUCAAAAAUAUGUUGGGGCCAAGCAUGCAUUCAUGGCGACAAACUUCCUUAACACUCAAUACAUAGAGAGCCAUACAAUUAUGAAACAAAUUUUGACUAAUGACUUAUCCACAAUGUUUCACUCUCUUAAUAAUGUAUUGCCAUGUUAGUGGAUCAUAUCACAUCCAUAACUCAUCCUCUUGGAUAAAGGAAGAAUGUUGAGUCCUUCACAAAUUUAUUUAAUAAGAAAAGAUGGGCUGAUAUAUUCAUUUCCCACAUUAUUGAGUUUUUGAAAUUCAGUUUUACCUAAUAGGUUGAAGAUGAUUAAACCAUUAUUAAAAAAAUUUAGAAUAUUUUUUAUUAGAUUUUCAAAUUUAAAUGCAAUUUGUUUAUUUGUUGGGGGUUUAUAGUUCAAGUAGUAUUACACUCCAUCUUUUUAAGCAGAGUCUAGGUUUUCAUUCUUAUAAAUGAGAAAAACAAAUGUUAUUGAGUGAGAGAGAAAAAACACCAUUAAAGAUAAAAAAAAAAUCAAGUUCCUUAAUAAUAUGGUUAUAAGAAAUAGUAUAAGAUUAGAAAUCUAUAAUGUUUAAGUAUAUAUAAGAAAUACGUAUCUUAAUUUUAUUGUUCUUACAUAUUCAGUGCACUGAAGGUUUUAAAACAAGACAAAAAAGAAGGUAGUGUAGCACUCACAUGAUCAAUGAUUCAUGCUUUAAGAUUAUUAAAUACCAAUAAAGAAAAGACUCGAGGAAGAAUGGAGGCAACUAUGAAUAAAAGAUAGAAUGUGUCAUGCAUGAUUGGACAUGUUUUAAUAUUAGUAUAAUUCAUCAAGGAAGAAAAAAUAUAUCUAUUAAAAAAUGGAAAACCAAAAUAGGAUUUAGAGGAAAAGGAACAUUAAAAGUAAUAAUAUUUUAUAACCAAAAAUUAAUCAUUAAUAAAAUUGAAAAAUAUUUCAUACAAAAACAAAGUAAAAAAAAAAAAUAGUGAUACAAAAUUGGAAAAGGAAGUUAAAGUAUACUCUACCACUUCUUAAGUCCUAGAUUUUGGGUUGUUUUGCUUACUUUAUCUUUGCCUAAUCAUAAGCAUAAGUACCUUUUUUUUUUCUCUUUAGGUAACAUAGCUUACCCUUUCCUAGACCAUGAUUAUUAAAGCCUAUAAACACUAAUUAGUGGACCAGAAAUUAUCCACAAAAUAUCUUCUUAACCACUUUUAACUUAAGUAUGAUCAAUAAAUAAAGAGUUAAAUCUUCUUUUUACUAUAUAAUAUAAUACAAAAUUUGUUUUUAUCUUAUAUUUUUAUUUUACAUAAAUGUAGAAUGUAUUAUAAUAUUAUAACAUUCAAAUAAAAAAAAAUUGAGAAUGAUUCCAAUAAUAUUUAGUAGGUUUAAAGUUUAAAUUAUAAAUAAAAAUCAAUUUCAUGUAAAAUAUAUAUAAAAAAACAUAUAAAUUUGACUGAGAAGGUGAUGAGGCCAACAUAUUAACUCAUUCUCUUUCUUGUUAUUUCUGAAUGCCAUAUCCAUGGAAAUUUCAUUAUUUAUUGUGAGUGAAGGAUGAAGUUGGUAAUGGAAGGCAAAAAAUUGCCCCAUUUAGAAGAAAAAAAUUGUAGUCCAUGUCCAAAGUCAGAACUUCAUUUUUAGUUUGUGAACCCUACCAAAAGCCUCACUUUGUGAACUAGUUUUUGGUUCAAUCCAUUUAACCCACAACUCACUUGUUUGUAACUCUUCUCACAACAACAUAGCUUGCAUGAUUUGUUUUAUAAUCCAAAGACCAAAGUUCAAAUAACAUAGACAACCAUUAUGAAAAAAACUAUUAAUUUGGUCCUCUAACUGUUAUUUUCUUUGUUAAGUAGAAUUUAAACUGAUGAAAUUGUUUGAUUAAUUCUUCCAUCAUGCACUAUUCAUCAGGGUAUUUGAAAUAUUUUGUAAUAUUUGGAGGAUCACUUGUACUUUUUUCUUUUUUUACUUCAAAGACUGCUUAGAGUAUAAAAUAACCUGGAUGUUGAAAUAUUAGCUGAAUUUGUAUGAUUACAAUUAUUGUUUAACAACUGUUUUUUUCUUUCAAGUUCUCAAUGUUUUUUCCUUGUAUAAGAACUAAUAUUUUUUUGCAUAAGAACUAAAUAGAAUUAGUUAUCUAAACAUUAUUUCUCAAUAAAUUUAGCCUAAUGAUGAAUUCUGGUUGAAAUAAUAUAAUUUUAGGUUAAAUAAUAAAUUAUUUUAAUAAUUUUCUUAGUAUUUAGAUUAGAAAUGAUAUUUCUGGAACACCUCUAACAGAGGGACAAAUAGUCCAUUUUAAAAAAAUGUAUUGUCAACUUGAUUCAGAAGGGAAGAACUUGUAUCAGGAUCUCAAUUUCAAUUCAAACAUGGGUUGAAUCCACACUCCAUGUUUUGAGAAAUAUUUACCAUAUGAAAAAAAGGAAAAAACGGAGUUCUUAUCUACAAAAAUACCUUAAGAAAGGUCAGAUGUAUAGAAACUUUCAACAAGAUAAUAUUUUUUCCAACUCUCUCAAAAUGUAAUCUAUUCCAAACAUAUUUAUCAUUGUUCUUUAAAAUCAAUUUAUAAGGAAAAAAAAUAUUCCAGAUGAGAGAGUAAUAGUUAAAAAAUGAAAUUGAGGAUUUAUUAAAAAAUAUAAAAUUAAAAAUAAAUAAAGCAAUAGCAAAAUCAGCAAUCAUGCAUUAAGAUGUGAUUGUUUGAGCUUGACCCUCCUCCCAUGGUGAUAAAAUGAUUUGAAUCUAUCCCUUUUUGUGGAACCAGUUUUGGUGUGGCCUUAACUUCCAACUUGAGAAAGAGAUUUUAUUUGCUGUUCUGCACCAAUCACUCAAACUCUUUUUUGUGUGGUAAAGAGUAACAUAGAGUUGGUACACUUUUUCCUUUCAAAUCUUACCUAUCCCAAGAAAACCACAUUAUCAAACACCACAAUUAUUUAUAAGAAGAGCUAGCAACAACAACAACAAAAGAAAAAUUAAAUAAAGAUAAAGAAUCAUUUUGUUAUCAAAUCUUUGUCCAAUAGUGAAACAAUUCCUUGACAAAAUCAUCUACCACAUUACUUUUUUAAAAGUCUAAAACUUCAAUCCACACAAACCCUUUUUCCUUCUCUCUCAUAUCAAACUAUCAUUACCAAAUUAAAAAUUCCACACUUUCUUCAUAUUUAAAUAAUUAAAUCUAUCUCACUUUUUUCACUUCAUGUUUUUAUUCUGUCUUUGUAGUUCUAGUUUUCCACUGCAAUUGUAUCCCUUGAAUUAACUAUGGAGUAAUACAAAAUUCUGUUUUUCCUAAAUAAAGUUUUGGUUAUAAAGAGAAUCUUAUGCAUGGAUUAUUUUUUAAAUAAAAAAAAUCAUAUUUUAAUUAUUUUAUAGAAUUUUAUGCUAUAAAUAAAUUAAAACUUAAAUAGUUAUUGUGAAAAUAAUUAUAAUUUAUUUAUUCUGAAUAAUAUAAACAAAAUUAAAACUAUAAGUUAAUAAUUUAUAUUUUCAAGUGAAAUUGGAAGCCAUAGAUUUUUUUAUUAAUAUAAUAUUAUCCAGGAUUAAUAUUUAAACAUGGAUAACUUUAUAUAUAAUAUUGUAUUAUUAUUUUCUUGAACAAAAGUUCUAUAAUUUAUAUUUAUGCAUGGUUUAAGAUUAUUUUUUUUCGUAAAUAUAUUUAAAAAAAUCUAAGUUUCCACUCUAUUUUUUUUAAAAUAAAAAUUAUUAUUAUUAUUUUUAUCUGUUCAUUUAAAGUUUCAAGCAAACUUUUUUUUUAUUUUUUAAUUAUAUACUUUUAUCUUCUAAUUCUUACAUAUUUUACACGAUUAACACAAUUGAUAAAAAUCAUUAUGGGGAAUUCAUAAUUAUUUUACAUAGCGAUCUAUAUUUCUAAUAAAGUAAAUACUGUAAUUAAUGCACAUCAUUUUUCAAAAAUCGCAAAAUCAUAUAAGUUGUGCUUUUUAAAAAAAAAAAUAAUUUGGUGACUACAAUAUUGGUGAGAAAUAUUCACUUUUUUAUAAAUCGAAAAAUUACUAGAGUUUUCCCUUUCUAGUAACUUAAUUUCCAAUCAUAAAGUUUGAAUCUAAGAUUCUAUUUAAAAAUAUACAACUUAGUUCCUCAUUAGUUAUAAUAUUUUUAUCAAUAUUACUUUAUCAUUUUUAUUAAAAAAAAUAGACGAGUGGAAUUUUUUGUUCUCAAUUAUAAGAUAUAUAGACUAAUUUUUAGAUAUACUAUUAAUUGAAUAUUAAUUUUAAUACUUUAAAAAAAAGUAUCUUGAGUAAUAUUAUUAAAUAUAACCACCUUUUAUAUCAUUUAGCUUCAUGAAUAGUUUUUAGAAUAAAGUUUAAUUUUGUAAUAUUAUUAAUUAAACCAAUCAAAAUAACUAUAUUGGUUGUUUUUAAUUAAUAAUUUGUUUUUAAUAUAAAGAAAAAAAAUACAAUAAUAAGUCUCACGCAUGUUUUUUUAAUAAACUUGUGGUGAUCAUUAGAGAAUAUAUUCCGUUUUACACUUUACUUUUAUUACAGACUUCUAUAUGAUAUAUUAUUAAUUUUUAUAAGAGUAGUUAUCUUUAAAGUUAUAUUAGAAGUUGUUGUAAAAAAAUUACAUUAACAAUGCAUAUUUGUUAAACUAAUGUAAGAUAAAUAAAAAUAUGUUUUUAUACUGUUAUUUAAUCACAAAUUAUUACAUAUAAUAAUAUGACUUUAUGAUUAGUUCAUUUUUAGAAUAGUUGUUCUAAAAUUCAUAUCAAGCAUAAGUUUUUUAUUGUUUGAUAAUGUCAAUUUUUAUUUCAUACAUGUUUUUAUGUUUAAUAUGUAUUAAAGAUUCAAAUUUAAGAGUAUUAAACAUAUUUAGCCAAAUCACCUGCUUAAAAUUUGAAUUUGAAAUUACAAAUUAAAUUAGAAAAAGUUUCAUUCAUGUGAGUAUUUAGAGUUCAAAUUUUGUAUGUAGUUAUUGAGUCUAAGGAGGUGAAGUAUGAUUCCAAAAAUUGUUCUUUGCAUUUCAUAUAUUAAUAUAUUAAGAGACAUGUUAGCAUCACACAUUUGUAUAACAUGGGAUGAGUUGAAGAGGCAGUAGCAUACAUAUAAUAGCAGCACACACCAUGAGAGAGAGAGAAAGAAGAGAAAAAAUGCAGAGAAAAGGGUAAAAUGACAAGCCAAAGAACCAACACAACAUUGAACACAGAUUCAUAAUUCUUUUUGAGAUUCAUUCUCACAAGUCAAUUUGAUCUCUCUCUUUCUCUGUGACAUACAUACCCUUCACAGGAAAUGACUAUUUUGCCCUCUCAUCUGUGCCUCCAUUUCCUUCUUCUUUGACUCAGCCCUUCUCUUUCUGCUUGUCCAAGACACAAACUUUCUUUCUCUACACCGUAAUGGACGCCGGCGAAGCUCACUCCGACGAUCCGAAUCGACCUGGGUCGAGGCCCAAUUCCACCGCCGAGCCUGCUCCGGCCGGCGGCGGCGGCGCGAGGUACAAGCUCAUGUCCCCGGCGAAGCUCCCGAUCUCACGCUCGCCGUGCGUCACGAUUCCCCCGGGGCUCAGUCCGACGUCGUUUCUCGAGUCACCGGUGCUGCUCUCCAACAUGAAGGUUAGUUAGUGGUGAAUGCAUUCGCCUUUUCAAUUUCUAGGGUUUGUGAUUUUCGGGGCUGGGUUCAAGGCUCGCGUUUGAUCCGUUUAAUUGCUCGAAGAAAAAGAAUAAAGAGAGAAAUGGGUGUGUGAAUUCGUUGGCAAAAUUUGAUUUUUGUUUUUCGGUGUUUUUUUAUUUUUUAUUUUUGCUUUUUUAUCAGUUGAACUUGGUCAAAGGAGUGUUUAAAUGUUUUUACUUGACCCGAGUGAGUUGAAGUCCACACAGUGUGAGUGGCAUAUAAAAAUAUGGUUCUUUUCAGUGUGAUUUUCAUGUAAAUGCCAAGAGCAUCAAAAUGGGGCAUAUGGGACAGUGUUAUGCUUUGGACGGAAUAAUUUUUAAAUAUGACGUGAUUUAACAUGUUGAUGAAUGGAAGAUGCUGUUUGUUUCACGAAAAAUUCGAUGUGAGUGAUAGAGUGAGUAUAUGUACUUUAUUUAAUCUGGUGGUUGAGGCUAAUUUAUUUUGCUUCUUUUUUAUUUAAUUUAGUCUUUUGUAAUUAGGGUUGGCCCUUUUUUGUGUUUGAUCUUUUUCACUUGAUAGGUUUUGUUAUUUGUGUUGGGACCCUGAGAUUCUGAUGCUUGCUCUUAUUGAAUUCUGUUAUUUUGCUUUAUGCUCAAUACGGUGUUGUGUUGGGAUAUGACUUUCUCUUAGGAUCGCUCAACAUUCUCAUUAUUUUCUUUUGCGUCAGUGUUGUUUUUUCACAUACUGAAUCUUCCUUUGCUUGGGUGCUUUUUCUUUUUGUUUUCAACGGUGUUGCAUUGCAGGUUUUACAGGAAUUUUCUUUUUCCCUAUUUAUAUGUGUGGAACAAAAGAAUAAAUGCUUUUUCAAGGGUUAGUGAUCCAUAUUAGUUCUGUAUGGCAUGACAUUGGAGUAAUAUGCGGAAUGUCAGAGAUUGUGGGUCAUGAUUUGUAAUUUUGGGAAAGUACAAAAUGCAUCACAUUUGUUAAAUCUUGAUGUAAUUGUGGGGGUGGUCCUAAUCUGUGCAUAAUUAAUGUGGGAAUGGCUUUUCUGAGCUGAAUUUGUAUAACUUUCAUUAGUCCUGAUGCACUGGGCUAUGUGGUAUAUACUCUAAAUGAACAACAUGCUAUAUUAUCCCAAAGAGAAAAUUAGAGUUUUGCAUUUGCUCAAUUGCAAUUGAAUCUUUCUGCAUAAGUAGCUGAUAAAUAUACUAUUGCGUGGUUACUCUGAUGUUUGUUUUUGUACUUUCCUUCUGUUAUUAUUCAUUGUCCGUUUACUACUGUGCAUUCUGAAACUUCCUGUUAUUUUGUCACUUUCUUUGUCCGUAUGCUGCUCUGAGAAAUUAAAAUUUUUAAGUGUGUUCGAUUAUAUAUUUUAUGAUUCAUUCUGUAAUUGCUUACCUAGAUUUUUCUAACACUUUCUCAAAUACUUUGCAGGUGGAACCUUCACCGACCACAGGAUCCCUUUUUAUGCUUCAUCAAUCAGCUCAUGCUUCUGUGACUUCUGCUGCAUCUGCUUCAUUUCCUGUAACCAGUGCAUGCUUCAAUACCAAUACAGUUGAUGACCGAAAACCCAGCUUCUUUGAGUUUAAACCGCACAGUAGAUCAAAUAUGGUAAUGAAUUACUCUGAAAUUGACGAAUAUAAGCUCUGAAAUUGAUGUUUUUCUCCUUAAUUGUAUCUGAUCAUAACCUGUGUACUAAGUUAACAAGAUAGGAUAGUUAGUUAAAUAUAUUGCAAUGUUAACUGGAACCGGAUUUGGUUUCCAAUUUCUUGUUUUGGUUUAUGUUGUUUUGAAGAUUACUGGUUUCGUGGUACUUACACAAUGCUAUUCAUUUAUUUAAGGUUCCUGCAGACCCUGACAAUCAUGCAAGUGAAAAAUGUACUCAAAUAGAUGGUCAAGGAAAAGGUCAACCUUUUGAUUCAUCAUUAGUGAAAAGUGAGAUAGCAGUCCCUUCAAAUGAAUUAAGUCUAUCAUCACCUGUUCAAAUUGUUAGCUCAGGAGCUAAUGCCCGUGUUGAAGGUGAUUUGGAUGAACUGAACCCUAGGAGCAACAUAGCAACUGGGCUUCAAACAUCACAAGUUGACAAUAGAGGUAGUGGACUUUCUGUUGCACCUGAGCGAGUAUCCGAUGAUGGAUACAACUGGAGAAAGUAUGGUCAGAAACAUGUUAAAGGGAGUGAAUUUCCACGCAGUUAUUACAAAUGUACACAUCCUAACUGUGAAGUUAAGAAACUAUUUGAACGCUCUCAUGAUGGGCAAAUCACUGAGAUAAUUUACAAGGGAACACAUGAUCAUCCGAAACCCCAGCCAAACCGGCGUUACUCAACUGGAAGUAUGAUGACUAUGCAAGAAGAUAGAUCUGAUAAAGCAUCUUUCCGAGAUGGUAAUACCUGUUAGAUGCUUCUUAUUGAUGCCAAUUUGUUCGUACUUAUUUUAAACAAAUAAUGUGGCUUUCUUUUUCUCCUAAUUGUUGAAUUGCAGACAAAGGAUCCAACAUAUGUGGCCAGGUGUCUCACCCAGCUGAGCCUGACAGUACUCCCGAGCUAUCGCCUGUUGCAACAAAUGAUGGUGAUCCAGAGGGUACAGGAUUUUUGUCAAAUCGGAAUAAUGAUGAGGUUGAUGAUGAUGAUCCCUUUUCAAAGCGAAGGUUUGACAGCUUAGUCCCAAGACCCAUGUUUCUUUCUUCUACUCAUGUAUGUUUGCUGAUAGCCAGAAGUUUUUUUUAUUUGUGCAGAAAAAUGGAGCUUGCAAAUGCUGACAUUACGCCUGUAGUUAAGCCUAUUAGGGAGCCACGGGUCGUUGUACAAACUCUGAGUGAGGUUGAUAUAUUGGAUGAUGGUUACCGCUGGCGCAAGUAUGGGCAGAAGGUGGUGAGAGGAAAUCCUAACCCUAGGUAUGUUAAUGAUUAUUUCAGUCUUAUGCCUAUUGUAAGGAAGGAAAAGAUAACCUCAUCCUCAUCCACAGGAGUGAUGUAUUAUAAUAUAUUCUAGAAAAGUAGAGUAGUUACUAACUAUAAUAUGUUGUGAAAUGUUGUAUAUUAUAAAUUCUGAAUCUUAAGCUUUUACAGAAUUUUAUUCCAAAGCGGGUCUAAAUAUUUAUUCAGCAGAUUUUAUUGUCCUCUUUACCAAUCGUCAAAUAUCAAACAAUGGCAAAGUUAAGGGAGGUGGUGUAGGAUGUUGAUGUCAGGGAGACUGAUAUUAUGUACCAGUAUGGUUCUACAUUAAGGAAAGGUGGUGAUGGUGUGUCAAAUAGGAACUGUAAUGAUCAAACAUAUUAUGUUAAUGGAAGCUAGUUGAUUGUAAGAGCAUUAUUGCUAGGAAUGUGCAAUGAAGUGUCAACAGAGAAGUUCACGGGACAGUAGACUGUUAGGUACUUAGAUAUCAAGAAAGUUUAGAUAUCUAUGUGUUACUCCUAUGCUCCGAGAGGAAAAUAUAUCAAUAUAAAAUUAUCAUGAUGGUAGACUAAUAGUGACUUAAGGAAAAUUAGGGCAAAAGGAGGGCCAGUAUGAUAUCCACUGAUUUGCUUGAUUUAAGAAUUUCUGUGUUGUAAAGUUUGUUCUUUCACUGAAUGCAAAGAUGUUAGCCAAAUAUUGUAGUUCUUUUCUAGGUCAGAUUUUAGAGCUGAAAUAUUAGCUCUAGUUGUGUCAUUGUCUGAAAACCUGCUUUCCUAAUAAGCAUGUGCCCACUUGAUAUUUCGAGGAUUCCCCUUUAGUAUCUAGUUCCUUGACUGACCCAAAACAAUAUACCAGCAUAAUUUUCACUUAAACAACUAUCUGUUUGAUUUGAACUGAAAGAUGCUUGAAAUGCAUUUUGUGUGCACAAAACUACCUGUAACAUAAUUCGGCCAUAUUUCCAUUUUAAUGUAAUCGGUGCUUGGACGUGAACUUCAAAGCGUGGAAUUUAAAUGAAAUGUGUACAUGAUGAAGUUGGCUGGUCUCUUUUAGUGAGAUGAGAUCCUUACAUUUUGUGUUUGGCGACAAUAUGAUGCUUAGUUACAUAUUUCUGGUUAACCUUGUUUUUACAAGGACUCACUUUAUUUUUCAGGAGUUAUUACAAAUGCACUAACACGGGGUGCCCCGUUAGAAAACAUGUGGAGAGGGCAUCUCAUGAUCCGAAGGCCGUGAUAACCACAUAUGAGGGGAAGCACAAUCAUGAUGUGCCAACUGCAAGGAAUAAUAGUUGCCAUGACAUUGCAGGACCAGCAAGUGCUGCUGGGGGACAGACAAGAAUUAGGCCAGAAGAAAGUGAUACCAUCAGCCUUGACCUUGGUAUGGGAAUUAGCCCUGUUUCGGAAAACACACCAAGCAGUCAAGGGAGAAUGAUGCUUUCUGAAUUUGGUGACAGCCAAGCUCAUACCAGCAACUCCAAUUUCAAGUUUGUUCAUACUUCGGGGCCGCCAGUGUACUUUGGUGUUCUAAAUAACAACUCUAACCCAUAUGGCUCUAGAGAAAAUCCAAGUGAUAGUGCAUCUUUAAACCAUUCUGCAUAUCCCUGCCCUCAGAACGUGGGAAGAAUACUAAUGGGUCCUUAAAAUUGUUUGCACACACAAAUAAAAAGAAAUACUGAGUUCCAUUUUGGUUUUUCUUUUUGGCGGGUAAAGUUUUAAAGGCAUGGCUCCUCAUUUUCUCUUUGGAAAUGCUGAUAGUUCUUUUAUGUAGAUCCUUAUAUGUUGAGAGCUGCUCUUUGGUAGAAUUAGUAGUAGCUGUGCCCCUUCAGGUUGACUCUUAAAUCUAAUUUCUGUUUGUAUAAUUAUAUACAGAUUCUUCUGUACAAAUAUGAAGCUUAUACCAAAGUUGCUUCAACAAAAACCCUUGUAAAAGUGUUUGAGUUCAGCUAUUUAUAAGAUGUAGCUUCUAGCUUGUUACUGAACUUAUUGUUUUUAUUCCAUGUGAUUACUAUAAAUUCAUGGUAACCAGAGUUCCCAAGCCUUCGUUACAACGCAAACUUCCCCACGUGACAAAGCAAGUUGUUUGUUAUUGUGUUUGAUAUUAGUCAAAUUCAAAGGAAGGCACGUCACACGUGUAAACAGUGGAAUACACGUUUGGUUUUCUCGGACUAUUUUGUGCAUAUUAUGUAAUGUGAAACAAAUUCUUGAAUUGUGUUUGGACAGACGUUUUUUCUAAUUCAGAAGAUACUUUCACUAGCUUUGGGGCCAGACCAGAAGUGUAUUAUGCCAUUUGAAAAUGCAGAUCCAAACAUGGAUCCAUUAGAUGUUUGGAUUGGUGUUAAAUGCGUACAUGUUUAAUUUUGUAUUGAUGAAUUGAUUUUAGGUUCUAAAUUGAUACUUAAUCGAAGUAUUUUUGGAUACCUUUUUGUUGGAUGUUUUGUUUUCUAGUUUCACAUUAAGUAGAUGGAAUAAAACUCGAAUCUAAGUGUAGAUGCGAUAAAUAGCACAUUGAAGUCACUGUAACAGCAACUUUCUUUUCUUUUUCUUUUCCAGAAAAGAAGAAAGAGUUUGAUUGCUAUAAAUGUGUAAAAAUGUAAGAAGUAAUGCAUAAUGAUAUAACUCCUACUGUCAAAAACGUCAGAACAAUGUUCCAGUGCCAUUUUUCAGACCAAAAGGUGCAUUGCAGACAAUUUUUUUUUUUUUCAUAACAAAUAUUAUCAUACUAACAUUUAGAGUGUAAUUUUUUAGAGGCGUAGAUAUCAUCAAAGUUGAGUUUUGUCUCUUUCUCAACAAAAAAUGUUUUCUAUUCACAUUACCAGAAAUCAAAUUCCUUAUAACAUGAUUAAGAAACUCAAUUAUCUAUCAAUUACCCUGAAUCACGUUGAUAGACUUUAAGAAUUAAGAAUUCAUAUCUUGUGUAUAUUGCUAUGGCUGUAAAUCAAAGGAAUACAUAGAAAUUUUUGGUAAGUCAAAUGUUCUUGGUUUCUAGCUCAUUUCAUACUGCUGUUGUAACUAACAGACAUGAAAUGUUGAAAAUAUAUUUAAAUAAACUGAAGACAGUAUUAUUGAAAACGGCACACUAAUAGUUAUUUUUGUUUUUGUUAAAAGUAGGCACAUCACAUGUGUCAGACAAAGUCUGUGUUGCUUUUGUUUUUGUCUCCAGAAAGCUUUGUACUCUAGGGGACAGCUAAUUUGACUAAGGCCUUCGUCAUAAUAUAUUUCAAUCCACACGCGUUGCAAUGUUUCCUAGGAAGCCAGAAACACACAGCACAAAAAUAGUCUGGUUUCAGAAAAGGGAGAACAUGAUUAGAAACAAUGAAUCAAUGAUCAUGCAAGGCACGACUCUUUCUACCGUAGAGUUAUUUCUGGGCCAAACAACACGGUUUCACGUGAGCCUUUUUACUCGGCAAUUUUGAUUAAGUUAAAAUAACUCAUUUCAGAUUUUUCAUGCAUUCACACAGCUUGUGAAUUCUGUGGAGAUCCAUCUAGUAGUUGUCAGUGCCAAGUAAUAUAGUUCAUUUUCAGAUUGGAAUAUGGCCAUAUUCAUAAGGAUUCAAAGAGCAAGGAGUUUAGUGUACAAAAUUACCACAAGAGUAAUGUAAGGGUAUGUGAGUGUUCGUAGGAUAAUAGAUCCAAAACAGUUUAAGAAAAAUGCAAUUAAGCAUACAAAGUGAAACUGUAGUAAGAAAUACCAAUCCAUACUUUGUUUGCUAUAGAUUUCAACUUACAUGUUUUGCAGUUAUAAAAUACAUCUCAGAAAAUUUCAGAAUAUAAGUCUUUCUUGAUAUUACUUGUAUUGCUGAUAUAGAUUGAGGAUGCUCUCUUACAAAACAGUAAUCUGAACAUAUGAAGUGAGGAGAAAUGUUUUAAAGAUGUUAAGGAUGAUACAUAACCUAACUAGAAGGCCUGGAGUAACAAAAAUGAAUUAACUGUUGUCGGAUUUUCAUCUCCAAGCACAAGAGGCAAUAAGAACUUGAUUCUUCCAACCAAGAAAUAGUGCACCAUCUUUUUCUUCCAGAGAGUAAUGACCAUGGUAGGUCUGGAGAAGAUCCUUGAUUGAAGAAUUAAUAACAGAGUUCAGUGGAUAAGGCGCAAAUCCAGCCUGUGUAAAACGCAUUCUCCACUUAUUCAGAAGCUCAUGACGUUCAACUCUUUCUUCUCCUUCACAUGCUAUUAAGUUGACAACUUCACGAGCCAAACAGUGCUGCUCCACAUUAAUCCUCUCUUUGUGCUCCCUUGGAAGAGCAGCAUCAAUUGAAUCAAAAACAGCCAAGUAGUAGUUCAUUGUCUCAACGAAUCGCUGCAAGAAUGGGGCAUUGUUGGUGUUAAAUUCUUGCUCAACAAGAGUCACCACUUUAGGAGACAAGUGCUUGGCCAAUCUCAACAACCUAUCGCGAUGAUUGUGGCCGUUCACACUUUCAUCAGGCACAUGGUGCAACAUGAUGGCAAAGUUCACAGCCACAGCUUCAUAAGGGCGAAGUUCAAGGUCUUUAAGUUGCACUUGAGAAGCAGGUACUCUCACAGCAUUGAACUCAAAGGGUACAUUACAUGACUCUGCAAGUGCUGAUAACCUUUUCCCAACAAUAUCAAGUCCUCCUCCCCGUGCAUAAGAUGAAAAGGAGUCAUCAACACCCGAUAUUCGGAUAUUUGGUGGUCCUCCGGGCCGGCGAGCAAGAGCCUGAAUCAGGCUCACCCAUUGAGUUCCCUGGGAAAUCUGAAAGUCUAUUAUGUGGACUUCACUUUCGUCCUUCAGAGCUUCGGCAAUUGCUCCAUUUGCUGACAUGUAUCCAAACUUGAAGUAUGGACAAACUUCAUAGAGUACAUGCAUGUAUGAAAGUAGUUCAUUACCAGUAGGCUCACUACAUUUCAAGGAUUUGUAGAUUGUGCUUCCUGAAGCAGCCAUCCUUGCCACAAGAGACUCCACAAUGUAUGCUCCCAACCGCUGAAUUGGAUUGCCCAAAACAGAAACCAUCUUACGCGACUCUGACAUCAUCCAUUCAGUUAUCACCAUAUCCUUAACAGCCAUUGCCUUUGCACAAGUAUAAAGCAUCUCUUUCAAAUCCCCUCUGGAUACCAUCUCCAUCAUUUCUUUCCACUUCUCAGUCUCUAACAAAAUUGAAUCAGCUUCUCCUGGCAUUAUAGCACCAUAGAUAUCUAGCAUAUCUGCAUUAGGUUCCAGCAUAGCAGUUUCCAGUUCUCUUAUCUUAUGUGUCAGCUCAUCAAAGUCAAGAAUCGGGUAAGAAUCAUUCUCUGGUGGGCCAUUAGCAAUUUCAAGAGAAUGCUGUGGCCUUAACACAUAUGAAUUUGACUCUAGGUUUGACAACGGGCUAUUGUUUGAUGAGAAACUGAGAGCAGGUGGAGAAUUUUGGCAAGGGAAACUGUUGCUUGUGGAAGCAGAUUCAAGGGUGAGAUAUUGGUCUAAAGUUUGGACUGAAGGGUAGGUUGUUUGGCUGCUGUUAUCAGAAGAGUAAUUGUCUAUGUUCUCACUUGAUGGUAAGCAAUAUGACUCCAAAUUUUGCACAGGCUCCACAUAGAACCCACCAGAGCCAUAAGAAAUUUUAUGAUUCUGAGAUGUUUGCAUUGAGAACAAGCCAGACAGUUCCAGAUCUUGAUAUAGUCAAACUCCAAAAGAUUUCGACAAAAAAACGGCUGAAUUAUUGACUCUCCUCAAACCUGGCAAGCAUUAUCCGUGUUUUAAUUGCAGUGUAAUGAAUAUCUGAGCUGUUCUGCAGAAGGUUGAGAAAGCAAUUUAGACAAAUAUGAUACUUAACAAAGAUAUCUGAAACUAUAAAAGAUCAAAACAAAGACACAAGUCCAUUGAUACUGAUUGAAGAAGGUAAUGUAGUUUGCCUAUAUCUGCUAUUCCUUGAGGUUAUUCACAUAAAGGUCAGAAACUAGUAAGAUUUGAGGUGAAAUCUUUCAUUAAAAGACUCCUUCCAUUUCAAAUCUGAAGAGUAAGCUUCUUGACAACACAAUCUAUAUCUCCGAGAUUCUUAACAAGCUAUUAAAAUAAACAACAAACCAAAAGAGACAGUGUAUUAGUCUAACUGAAUGCAACUUUAUAAGUCUAAUAGAAUAUUUAAAUUAGUCAGCAGAGACUUUGAUGUGUGGUUUCAAAUUUAAGCAAUCAAAUAAUUAAAAAUUAACUAGGAUAAAGCUUUAGACUACGUAAUGGAUUUGGAACACCAUAUAAUGUAAAACAAGACCCUUUUCUUUUUCUUCUUUACUUAUUCUCAAUAGAAAAAGUAAAAAAGGUGAAGUUAUUCAGAAAAGGUUGCCACAUGCCAUACAUGGCUGUACUGUAAAACACCAAACGGGCAAUUUGGAAAAUCUAUUAGUAUUCUGGGUUGGACUCAACUCUAACCUUGAACUCAAUUAACACACAAGUUUUUUAUAUCAAACAGUUUUAAAUCUUCUCUUGGUUAGAAACUACCUCCAAAAAGUAUGCAUUCAAAUCCAUAGUCAAGCAAACAACAAAAACACAGAUAAGAAGCUUUCCCCAACAACUACUGAAACAAAGCCAAAAGGUAAUAAAAAAAAAUAUAGAACAGAAAGAGCUGAAAAUCACUUCUCAAAGCUAAACAUGCCAUGACUCUGAAUGAACUCCAACAACAACCCUUUUUCACAAACUCAAUAAGAACAACCAUUGAAGAAAAAAAAUACGUUUUCUCUCUGGUAACUAAAAGGAGUUGGAGCACCAUCAUCAACUUAGCAACCAGAGACUCUUCGUGAUAUCAACCAAUAACACAAAUCAGGAAAAGGGAGCAUUUCAACAAUUUCAGAGACUCUCACCUCUGCAAAAAGCCUGAUCUGAAACAAGAUUACUCAGAACCACCGAUGCCCCAGUUGGAUUUAAAGCUCAAACUAACUUAGAAUCUGUCAUGCACAUACUCAUAUGUGUCAUACAAAGAGAUUAUGUUUGGAAUUAGAGAUUAUAUCUUAGAACACAUGGCAAGUCACAAAGGUUGUAGUUGGAUGCUAUGGUCCCUAUGAACUCUGAAUUGCACUUUUGCCAUUUUAUAUGGACGCCAACAUAGAAAGUCUCCUCUUGUAACAAAUUACUUUUUUGACUCUAACAUAGCACUUAAUUUACAAAGACUUUGAUUACUUUGUUAACUUUUUCUUUGUUUUGUUUCUAUUCACUUCAAUUCAAUUAUUCUCGUAUAUAUAUAUAUAUGGAUUUCUAAUAUUAUAUUUAUAUUUAUUAAUAUUUUAAUGUUUUCUCAUUUCGAGAAACAAAAUCAAUAUAACUACAGAGUCUCAAUUAUCUCAAAUUACUGUUUUUCAUAUUCCUUUAUUCUUUUUUACUUAGUUUUUUUUUCUCCUUCUAAGUUCACACACACUCUUUAAACAAUCUUUAUAAGCUGGAAAUUGAGUAAGAUGAGCUUUUGUGAAAAAGUUGGCACUUGCAAAAAGUUUAUGAGCGUUCACUUUUAAACACUAGAAACGUAUGAAUUGAAUACUAUUAUAUAUUGAAAAUGCAAAAUAAUUUUAUUAAAUUCAUUCAAUUUAUAAAAAUAAUUGAUACAAUUUUAAAAGUAAUUAUUGUAAAAAUUCAUUAAACUUAUUAUGCAUAAUUGUAAAACUCUUGAUUUAUUAUUAUUUUAAAAAAUAUAGUUAGAACUUAAUUAAUUUAUUUGUUGUUUUGUUUGCUAAAAAGAGAGAAAAUUAAAGUGGGUAGGAGUGACAUAGACACGUCAUGGAAAUGAGUGGCAGUAAACAUCCUAAUGAUGCAUGCGCUGGCGUCUCCUGGAGUGGGCCCCACGCGCUUUCACCUCUCAUAAUUUUAAUUCCUAUUUUUCCAUCAAAAAAGUAAAUAAGUAUAAUAUAUACUAUAAAUAAAUAAAUAUAUUUAAAUAUUUAUUUUAGUUCUUGUGAGUUUAUUUAAUAUUUUUGUAAUGUUUAAAUUUUGUACAAAACACUUAGAAUUAACUAAAAUACGGGAGAUGAAGAUUUCUUAAUGACUUAAUAUAAAUAUACUUUUUGUUUAUUUUUUUUUAACUUUAAAUCUCUUGAAUAUCUACAAUAAAAUUGAAAAUGUUUACAUAAACAUAUUUAAGGCUAAUUAUUUUAUAGAAGAAACGAAUAAAAAUAUGAAAGAAAUGAAAAAUAUGGAUACGAUGAUAGUUAUUUAUUAUCAUUAAAUGCGUUUAUAUUUUAUUCAACGCUUAAGAUGUUGAAUGGUGAAUUGAUUGUUUAAAUUGUGAAUAACUUAUUAAAAGGUGCAAUUUGGUCCUUCUAAGGUAUGUCGUAGGAAAAGGGGUUUGUGGUGGAAAAGAUGAAGUAUAUAGAAUGCAAGGGUCUUCUAAUAAUAUGGUUGAACGUUGAAGGCUCUACGUUACCAUGAGUGUGUGGUUUGAGUAGAGUAACGUGCAUGGCUCUAGGUUUUCUUUUCUUCAAUCAAAAAGGGUUUGAAUUGGAAAUUUUGAGGUUUUGUGUUGAGACUUUUUUAUGCUAAGGAUGGACUUUUUAAGUGAUUAAAGACCCUUUUGCUUCCUUCUCUAUUUUGAGGAUAAUGUUCAUUUUAUUUUGUAUUCUAAUUUAGGUUUUUAUGUUAUAUCUUAAUUCUUUUAAUAACUUAGUUGUUGGAUAAAGUGAAAGAUUGAGUUAAAUUAUAGGAAUUUUAGUUGUGGGUCAAUGAAAGAUUUUGCAUGUACAUUGAUAUUUUGUUUGGUUUAAUUGUUUAAGUCUCAAUAAGGAUGGUCCUUCAUGCAUUGAGUAACUAAAUAUUUAUUUAAGUAGCAUAUAUGUUUCAUAAAUGAAAUUAUAUAUAUGAUAUAAUAUAAGAUAAUUUGGCAUAACAUAUUUAGAAUGUUGUUACCAUAAUAUUUGUGCAAGUCCAAAGGAAAAAUGGUUUUUUAAAACACCUUGUCUUAUGUUGGAAGUUUGAUUGCCAAGAGUAAGAAAAGUUUAAUAAGAUAUUCUCCUCGUUUCAUAACAUGUUUUAAUUGUUUAAAAUUUAUCUUUAGAUGCUUUAAAUGUUAUGAUAAUAAUAAAUGGUUGCAUUUUAUAUUUUAAAUGUUUUACUUUGUGAGAUAAGAUUAUGAUUUAAUGACUUUAAUUUAAUUAAAUAGUUUCAUGGUUUAUACGGGAGAUUGUAUUAUUAAGAAGAUAAUCCUAUUUUACAAAAUGUGUAAAUGAAAUAUCAACAUUUUACUAAUGAUUUGAUCCUAUAGAUUAAUAUACUAUGUGGUAAGAUAUUAUAAUGAAAAUUUAUGUUCUUUAUUUAGGGUGAUAAGUCACAUAAAUUAAAUGAGUUAUUAUCUUGAGAUGCGUAAAUGAAAUGACCAAGUAUAUUUUGAAGAGUCAAGUGUUAGUCUAGCAUGUUUUAAUUUAGUAUAAUCUUAUAAGUGGUGAAUCUUAAAUAUAUUUAGAUAUUAUUAUGAGGUAUUUAGUAAUCAAUAAAAGUGAUUGAUGUUACUCGUGUAAAUGAGAUUUCUAUGUGAUUUCAUGAUUUUUUUUUAAGAUUUUAUGAUAUUUUUAUUUUUUGUUAGAUUACCUUUUUAUAUGUGAUUAUUUUGUAAUGUUAUUAUCAUAUGUUUAACAAAAGAGUAAUCAAUCGUAAUACAUUGAGAUUAGGGUUGUUAAAUUUAUUCAUGGGUUCACCAAAUGAGUGAGUUGAAAAAGAUACUACCCCGAAAGCUCCCACAUAAACUAGUUUAGGGUAAGAAUCAAAGUGAGUUUGACCUACUACAACAUUAAAAUGAGACUUCAAUUAACUCCUAAAUAUUGUUCAGAAUGACAUGAAUUUUUAAAAUAUUUUAAAUUACAAAUUGAUCCUUGGUUAAUUUUGUCACCUAAUUGUAAGGUUGGGUGAACCCAACCUGCCUUUGAAUUUGUUCGAUUUGAACUAACUUUGCAUGACUUUAAUCCAAUCCAACUAGACAUUUCUUGGCUUAAACCCAAUCUGACAUUAGCCUAACACCACUCAUUCUGACCUUGGUUGAACCUUACAUGAGUUCGACUGACUUGACUAAGCCUGACUUUAGGUUGACCUAGUUCGAUCCAUAUCAACUUGGGUUAGACCCAACCUUGCCUAACAUGGGUUUGCUCUCAUACUGGUCUUGACCUUACUCAGACCUAUCUUGACCUAGGCCAAAUUCGACUUAGUUGAACUUCAACUGCACACAAACCCAACCUGUUUUGGACCUUGUCCAAGUCAACUUUCUUGAGCCUAACUCACCCAACCUUCAACCAAACCCAACAUUGCUUGUCUUGCACCCAACCCGACCUUUCCUAAUUCGGCCUAAUCUAACUUGGUCGAACCUUCAACCUAGACUUAGUUCGACUUAGCAUGACAUGAGCCUGAUCCAACUUGGCCUAACAUGGAUCCAACCCAACUAGGUAUCACUUGAACCUAACCCAACUUGGAUUGAAUUGAGCCUAGCCCAACCUACUUGACAUGGUCCCGACACGCUUUAACUUGAUAUGAGCCAAACCCAACUCUUCCCAUACUAAUCUAGGAUUGAUUAAGCAUGAUUCGUGUCCAACCCAACUCAACCUAACCUAGACACGACUUGACUUAGUCCAAUGUAAAUUUAACCUAACUUGACUUGAACUAAACUCAACGUUACUUAGGCCCGACAUAGUUCAGUCCAACUCAAAUCGAUACAAUAUGGGUUUGACCUGGUCUUAACCUAACUUGGAUCCAACUCACUUUGAUUUGACCUAAACCUGGCUCAACUCAGCUAGAUCUAGACUCCGCUUAACCAACUUGACACGGUCUCAACCUAGCCUAACAUGAUCAAAACCUUCCCAUAUUGACUUGAAUUUGAAUUUAGAUAGAAUAAAUGUUUUUUUUUUAUAAUUUUUUUAAGUAAAUUUUUUUUUUCAUUUUCAUUUUUAAAGAAAAAAAAGUAUUUAAAAAAAUGUCCACAAGUUGACCUUAACCUAUAAAAUUUUAUUUAAAAAAUGUCCAUAAGUUGACGUCAACCUAUAAAACUUUUGUAGGCAUUUUAACUAUAUGAACUUUUUUUAUAUAAAAUAUUUUGGUUCUUGAACAUUUUUAAUCUUCAUCUAGGGUCAUGACGAAUGUAACAUCAAGUACCUCUAACUAUUAUAAUACAACUUUUAUAGGUUUCUAUACAAACUUAGAGUUUUCCAAAACAUUCUUAAUGCAUGAUUAGGACUUAUAAAAAUAAAAAUAUUUACAAAUAUAAGUUUCAAAACAAAAUUCUAAAAUCUUCCAGACCCUUCGACAUCUGUAUGAUCAUUUGCUUGUGUACAUAGUACAAUCAUCGUAGUUCACAACACAACAAGAAAAACAAGGAUAAGCUAAUGAAAAGGAAUUUCAUAACAUAUUUAAUUCAUGCAAAAAAAAUCAAUCAAACUAAUCAUUUAUAAACAUUUCUUUAAAUUUUGUCAUAUAAAAUUUCAAUAUCAAUUUCAUCAUUCAUAUAGACCACACAUGGAUCUAUUUCCAAUCACAAUCAUUGGAUUUCAUUUCAAUCCCACUUUGUCUUCCAGAAGACUCAUUAAGUAUGCCCCUACCAGAGAUUAACACAUGAUCCAAAGAUUAUCAGCGAAUUCAAUAUAAAGGAUCAUGGUAAGUUCAAACAUCCAAUACUAAGUUCUACAGCGGGACCUAGUGUGUAUGAACUCCCUCUCAGCUUCUCACCACCUGAUAUCGUAAUCUAUAAGACUUAGAUCAUCAGUGAAGCCAGAUGAUCUCUAUUAAACAUAAGUUUUUCAUACUUAAUGCCAUCAAACAACAACUCAUACAUUAACCCAAAUGUAUGACAACAAUUUCAUACAAUUUUCAUCAUACAAUAUCAUUCAAAACGUUAUCCACAACAUUCAGAAGUCUAUUUAACAUAAAAAAAAACACUUAAAUACUAAACCAUCAAAAUCUAAUAUUUCUACAAGUUUAAAUAAUAUAUAAACAAACAACACAAUAUAUAAACACACAACAUCCUUACAAGAGAAAUUGAAUAUUGAGACCACGUCCCCUCCCCAUCCAUAUCUUCUAGUCUAGGAUGUUAUUAAAAAUUAAAGUUAGUUUCCCUUACCUUAAUUGCUUGCUUUCCAAGCAACCUCUAGAAUUUUAGCUUCUCAAUGUAGAUAAGCUUCAAAUAUAAGGGCCUAAUGCAAGUUAUCCAAACAAAAUAGAAAUUCAGUAUAUAAUAUAAUAAGUUGAGAGUAUUACUUUUUUUUCAACUGACCUCACUAAGAUUGAUAACUAAAUCAUAGAGAAAAAUAGAGAAUAAGAGAUCUUUAGAGUAAAAAUGAACUUACUCUAUUUAAAAAUUUGAUCGAGUAGAAAUGUACCCUGACUCUUCAUGUACAACAUGACGCGAUUAGAUUUGAAAAUAAAGGAAUUAUGAGAGAGAAAAUAAAAAAAGAAGGGAUAGAUUUAGAGAGAUAGAGAGAGAAAUAAAUAGAAUGUCUAUGUUGGAAGGUUUGCUUUUUUUUCUACAACGAAAUUCUGAAAAUUAAAACACAUUAACAUGUCUAAUUAAGAUAAUGCUUUAUUGUUACUUAAAAAUAAGUUUAAGAUAUUUGGUAUUGAAAAAUGUGUUGCAUCUACAAAGUUAUUAAUUUGCCUUUAUCACAAUAGCCAUUGUUAGUAGGUGAAGUUUUAUGUGAUUUAUACUAAAUAUAAGAGUCACUUUCUCACACCAAUUGUUUUUUCAACUAAAAGAAAGAGUCAAAACAGUGUUAAAGGCUCCCAUUUAUUUUCAACAUUCUCUGCUCUAUCCAAACAUCUGCUGCAUAUUAGGUGCAAUCCUGGAAUGAUUACAUAAAAAUACUUAUAAAAUAAAUAUUUUUAAUAAAUUAAAAUUAAUAAAAAUAAAGCCUAAAUUAGAGUUAUAUAGCAAAUCAACUACAAAAUUAUAGAAAUAAGAAAAAACUCUUUACUGACAUUUAUUACUCGAUCUGUUUUCUAAAGAUUAUCCAGAAUAAAAUACAUAUAUAAGUAAGAACAAAAAAUCCCUUAAAAAACUGCUCUCAGCAAUAAUAACCCAUUAACCCUACAAAGAACAAUUUGAUUUAGUUUAAUGCUAAUCCUAAUAUUCAUUCUAACCUUACAAUAAUUAAAUUGAAAGUGAUUUCACUUGUAAAGACGCAUUUGAAAACAAUUAAAGUGAGUAUAAAGCUAUAAAUAUUGAAAAUAUAAUUAAAUAUUUUAAAAGUCUAAUUUAAAUCACUAAACAUGUAAACUUUAAGCAGUUUUUUUCUCAUAAAGAAAUUUUGCUAUAAAAAUAAAUAACUUUAAAGCAUAAUUUUCCAAAAAGUUUAAAGUUAAUGCCCAUAAUUUUCAAAAUUCAUUUAUACGUCAUAAAUGUGACGAGGCUACUUCGUCAUGUGUUAAGGUUAGUUUAUGAUUUGUCGGAAAAACAAUGCAAUAAUUUGUGUUUUAUCAUCAAAUGUUUUGUAAUCAUGCAAAACCUAAAGUGUGUUCCUUUCAUUAAAAUAAUAUCUAGCAAAAAAACACUAAUAUCUCAGUGAUAAACUAAAGGUUAAAUAUCUAUUUAACAAAAACAUGUUAUUGAAAGAAUCAUUGGCUAAAGAUAAUAGCUCACUUUUUUUUAUCAAAACUAAUUAAUUAUUAAUAAAGAAAAUAAAUAUUUCAUAACGAUAACAUUGUUAUAAGAAAGAAAAAAUAUAUCUAAGAUUAUAUUUGAAAGAGUAUAUUAAAAAAGAAAAAACAAACUACGUUACAUUUAGAUUAAAUGAAGUUAGAUAGUUUGAUUUAUUUAUUAUCACACAUUUUUGUCAUUUAAGUUGUUCAUUCAUUAUAGUGUUGAAGGGCAAAAUAUUAAGAAUAUACCACAUAAUGUAUAUUAUACACAUGCAUACCAUCAUUACCAUUUCACUUAAGAAAUAAUUUUAUUCCCUUAAAUUUGAGUUAAGUUUGUUUUCUAUUUAUUGAAUUCAAAAUUGAUUAUUUUAAUCCUAUAAUUUUAGGAAAAAAAUAUUUAUUUAUUUAUCUAAAUAUUUUCCACUAUAACGUUAUCAAAAUUAACAUUGAAGGAAAAAUAAAUAUAUGAUUAAAUAAUUAUAAGAAUAAAAAUCAAAAUAUGAAAUACUUGUAAUUGUUAAUCAUAUAAAUGGAAAUUUUUAAUUGUAUUUGAGACAGAGAUUAUAAAAAAAAAACCAUUAUUCAAAUUAUGGGAUUAAAUAUUAAAUAUAAAAUAUUACUUUAAAUACAAGACAUUAAAAAUAUAUUAAAAAAUAAAAAAUAUGUCUUAGUAUCAAUAAUAAGACUGGUUUAUGUUUUUAGAAUUUUAGAAUGUGAUUACCUUUAUUAUUCCAAUUUUAAAAUUAUUAUUUCCUUUUUAAUUUGAAAACAAAAUUGUUUUAACUUAUGCUAUUAACAAUUACAGCAUGAUAAUGUAUAGAGUUUAACUCAUAUUGUUAACAUUUCAAUUAAAAUAGUUUUUUUUUUCUUUCUAAUAUAAUAUUUCUUUUAAUUUUAUCUCAUUAUUUUAAAUAUUUUAAUUUGAUCUUAGUGACUAAUAAACUAUAAGUCAUCAAUCAAAAUUGAUUUGUUGAUAAAAAUAAUAUGUGACAUAAAAAAGCAAAUGCCGUAAAACAAUUACAUUAAAAUAAUUCAAAAAAUUAAAUAAAAUUAAAGAAAUUAUCAUGAAAAAAAAACUAUUUAAUCUAAAAAGAAUUCAGUGUGAAAAAAUUUCUACAAGAGAUAUAUCUUAUAGAAAAGAUUAUGAAAAAUUUCUUCCGGUUUAAAUUGUGGAGAAUUUUCUAUGGAUAAAAAACUUGGGGAAAUUUACUAAGAAAAACUGUGAGAAAUAUUUCCUAUAAACAUAUUGUCCAAGAAUUUUUUAACAUAUUAGAAAAAUUGUAUUUUUUUUUAUAAAUUUUAAAUAUUGUUCGCGAAUUUUUACUAUGAAAAAUAUCAUUUGUUUUCUAAUAGUGACAUAUAAGGGACGAGUUUAAGUUAUAAGAUACAAAUUUAAAAUUUUAAUAAUUUUAUCCAGCUUAGAUAAACAUACAAGGCAACUCGUCCUACAAUUUUUUACAUUUUUAAUCCAUACAGGUAUUUUAAAUAAAUUAUACAAAAAAUUAUUAUAUGUUAAUUCAAACAAAACGUAAACAAGUAAAUUUAUUAAAAGUUAAGAAUUAUAUUAUAUUUUUAAAAAAUUAUUGAAUUAUUUUACAAUUUAAUUAAUAAAAUAAAUUAUAUUUUUACAACUAUACAAGCUAUAAAAAAUAUUGUGUGUGAUGUAAGAAAAAAAUAUCAAAUACGAAUUUCGUAACUUGUUAAAACGAAUAUUCGUCGUCAAAUUUGGAAUAAAGAAUAAAGUGGAUAUUGAUAUAUGUGAGUUUAAAAUUGUUUAUGAUGUUUAAUAAAACCUACCUUGAUUUUAUAUUUUAUUGUGAAAUAUCUGUUUCUUAUUUAAAAUAUUAUUUCUACAACAAAUUUUAUAUGAAGAGAAUAUUCACAUAAAAUAUUAAAAUAUUUUAAAUUUAAAAAUAAGUAUAUGCAAGGAAACAUAUACUUAAUAGAAAUAAUAUCAUCUCUUAUUAUUUUUUGGGUCCUAAUCUCAACCACUUUUUCAGCAAUCACACCAACACACAUAAAUGUGAUUUUAUUGCAUUAUUUCUCUCAUGCUACUAUUUGCCUAAGAUGAAAUUAUUCUCAUGUUGUGUCCCACAAUCUCCAAUCAAUGCUUAUUACAAAACUACAUGUUGUUGAAACCCUAAAUUGAAAUGGCCAACCCUUUGAUGUUUGUUUAAGUUCAUUGACACUAAAAAGUAGUAAAGCCUCCCUUUUUAGGUGUAGUUUUAGGUGAGAACUCCAACAUUAGAAAAGAGGAAAAGAAUGUUUAGUUAAGUAGGGACAAGAUAAUUGUUUAUAGUAUUUCAUGUAACUACAAAACAUCACUUGCCAUGCAUCUAGGCAUUAAUUUAGUGAACUUUCAAUGGCACUUCAACAAAGCUAUUUAUAAUAUUUUAUAUUGCUUUUGUCAUACUAGAAUAAACAUAGAUUUUUAAAUACUUUCAUGUUACAAGCAAGUACAUAGUAAAAAUAUGGUCAAAGGAUCAAUUUUACAUGAAUUAAUCUUUAUAAUUAAAUGUAAAACUGAACUUUAUACGAUGAGUAAAAACAAAAUCACUACCAAUAAAGUAUUAUUAUAAUUUUUAAAUAUUUUGAUCUCAGUUUGUUUUGAUAGUAUCACUAUAUUAAGGAAGGAAUAUGUAUAUAAAUUGUUUUUAAUCUCAACUUCUUAGUGAUUUAAGACUAUUAGUUGUGAAUGACAGUUUAUAUACAUCUUCCUCUCUCAGUCCAUCCAUAUUCCUUUUAAAUUUCAAAACGAAUAAUAUCUCAAAUAUGGUUUAAUCCUAACAAUGUUUUCUCAAUCAACUUCAGAUAAAAAAUAAUAAACAUUAUUUUUAAUAUAAUAUUUUAUUAUUCAAUUAUCAUUAUUUCAUGAGUUUUUCAUCCAAAUUCUUUCACUAUUUUACCACCACUUUUUCAACCUUUACACAUUUAUUGACAUAUUAAACUUCCAAUACACACUGUUAAAUUAUCUAGAACUAUAAAAAUUGUUAGACUUAUUUUUAUAUAAAAAAACAUUUUAAUAUGAAUCCAACGAAUAAGAUUUGCUAAUCAAUUUUAAAAAAUUUAUAUUUAUGAAACUCGUAUUAUAAGAUAAUUUUUAUUGAUAAAUCAUUUAUAUAGCCGACUCCCAUUAAUAUAAUAAUAAAAAAUGUAAGCAAAAUUGAAUGUUAAAAUACAAUAUUAAACUUAAAUAUUCAUUAAGCAAUAAUGGAUUAAAAUAUACAAGUUGAUAGAUUUGUACCUAACGCCAAAAUGAUAAAAACGACAACAUAUUAUUAAAUAGAAUUUAAAUAUGUUUACUCUUAUUGUGUUUAUAAAUUAUUAUUUUGUUGUUGAUAAUCAUACUUUAAAGUACAGUACAUGGCAGCAUUUUCCUAGACCACCAUGAUGGAAGAUAACGAUUUUUCUUUUUCAACUUUUUUUUGUAUGACUUUGUUUAAUUAACCCUUAAUUAUUAAUGUAUAUAUGAUUCACAAAAUUCAAGGUUCCCUUUUAUUCAAAGCCAAAAAGUCUAAAAGGUAAGCAUUAUUGCAUUGUCAUUCGUGCUAUAUACAAAGUAAAAUUAUAAAAAUAAACUAUGCAAAAUUCCAAAUUAAGAACAUCUUCUAAAGAACAAUAAAAUCAAGGGUAUUGUAUGCCAUGAGUGAUUUAAAUAAGUUUAAACUCACUUGUCCAACAUUUUAUAGUUUGAGUUAGGUUAAACUGAGAAAAAUAAAUUCUGUUAAUAUGAACUAAAAUAAAUUUAGUUUACUUAAUACGCAUAACUCAAUUUUAUAUAAAUUCUUAACUUUUUUUAUUACAAAAAUUAUUAAAUAAUAAAUAAUUUUAUAGAAAAAAAAAUAAUUAAUUAUUUUAUUAAUUAAGUUAGAUAUUAUUUUAUAAGCUAAAAAAAUAUUAAUAUUUAAAAUAAUUUUUAUUAUUAAUAAAAAAUUAUAAAAUAGUUUUUUAAAUUGAUAUUUAACAUUUAAGUAUCAAUGUUUUAACUAUUAACUACCUCAUAUUCUAAAUUAAAUAAUUUAUAAUUAAAACAAUUAAUAACUAAAAUCUUAAUAAUUAAUAUUAAAUAUUAAAUAUCAAUUUAAAAUUUAUUUUAUAAAUUUUUAUUAAAGUAUAAAUGAAUUUAAAUACCAAUAAUUUUUAGUUUAUAAGUCUUUCAUUAUAUGUGCCCAAAACAUGUACCCAUAUUUGAAAAUAAAAAAGCUUAUGCAAAGAUUAUAUACAUGGUUUGUUGAACUUGGGUUGAAACUUUCCCUUGUUAAGUUUUCAAUUUGUUGUUUUCUGUUCUUGUUUUCAACGCACCAAAAUGCACGCCAUGAUUGUUUAUGUCAUAUUGGUUGCUGCAGAAUGACAUUGAUUCAUCGUCAACCGUGCGUCACACUUCCUCCCAACAAUCGUUUUAAUGAUUUUGGCUCUCAAUUUUCUUUCUUUCUUUUUGAUAACUCCAUCUCCACCUCAUCUUAACUGUGAUGUGAUGAUGUAACUUGCCACAUUUUAAUUCCUUGUCCAUAUAAGUCUAAAAUUGUGGCUCUUCUUCACUUGUUCAAACAUCAAGACAAAAUACUCUUAAAUGUCACAAGGACUAACAAAUCUUGAAAGCUCAUUCAAGAUCAUUUUCUACAUUUUCUUUUCAUAUUUAUAACUUUUUCAUCACCAUUUUUUAGUUUCUAUAUUUCAAGUAUUCCUAAUUUAUUUGUUAUCGAAUAAUUUGCAAUAUCCUUAAAGUGAAUAACAAGAUAAAUGUUUGAGAUCUCAUCUUUUUAGAGAUAAAAACAUUUAAUAGUGUACAAUUGGAUGUAAAUCUCUUUAUAAAUUAAUUUUUUAUAAGGUUAAAGUAGGUUUUCAUUUCUUAAGAUGAUAUCAGAGUCAUUUAGAAUCUAUUAUGACAAUAGUUUUUUAACCUUAUCAGACCAUCUAUUGUCGGUCACUAUCGACCAUCUAUAAACAUAUAGUCCUAUACAAGUUGACACCUUUAGAUAAAGACAUUUAUAAUUAUUUGUCAAUUUUUUUGAUGGAGCACAAGUCAUCGAAUUAUCAAUAUUUAAUAAUCACAUCAACAAAAAAUGGUGAGGAAAAAUUAGAAAUUUGUAUUGAUCAAAAUUUCUACUAAGGACACUAGUGCAGAAAGGGCUUAUUCCGACACUACAUUUAAGACGUUUGUACGGUUAGAUGCUGUCAUUCAAAACGCGCUGACAUUUUUCAAAUUAACUUCCUCUAAAAGGGUGGCUAUUUGGUAUAACUAUCUUCUUAAACAAAACACUUUGUUUUAAGAAGACAACUAUAACAAAUAGUUGCCCUCUUAUACUCUUUUUUUUACCCUAACUUAGAGCGCGCCAUUUACGCUUCAAUACUUCCUUUCUCAGGCGCUUUGUUUAUGCUUUUCUACUUUGGUGCUUCUUCUUCGUAUUCAUCGAGCAUGCAUUGUCUUUUUCGUGCCAUUGGUAAGUUCGUUUCGAGCGCUCUACUUCUUCUUCACCAUUGAUUUUUGUAUUUUCUUAGUUUAUUUUCUGUCAUUACUCGAAGGUCGUCACCACCGUUUCAUUGCCUUUAACGCUGAUGUUUGAGUUUUCAUUGUGCUCUAUUUUCUUUGUCGUCGUUGCCACUACCAUUGUUGUCAUUGUCGCACCACUCUUCACCACCACCGUUGCCUUCACGCACAAGGUUGGUGGUGUUUUAAAUUUUUUUAAUGUUAUUAAUUUGUUUAUUUUUUAUGUAUUAUAAUUUUUAUUUUUAAAAAAUUUAUAUUAUUUAAUAUUUAUAAUUAAUUUAAUGAUUUUUAAUUUGUAUAUUUAAUAUUUAUUAUAAUUUGUAUUUAUUAUUAAUUUAUAUUAUGUUAGUUGUUAGGUUCAAAUAGAAUUAUCGUGUUGGUAUUGAGUCCGAGGGUGUCGACCCUCGACAAUUGUUACAUGUUCGACCCUUGGUAAUAAAUGAAUGGACUGAUAAAAAUUUUAUGGAAUUGCUUCAAUUGUUGAAGGAUAUGCUUCCAGAGAGAAAUAAUCUACCUAAUCGUAAUUAUGAGGCCAAAAAGAUUUUUUGCCCAAUGGGUAUGAACUAUAAAAAGAUACAUGUAUGUCCUAAUGAUUGUAUAUUAUACAGGAAAGAUUUUGAAUUGUAGAAAAGUUGUUCGAGAUGUGAGUUAUCACGUUAUAAGUUGAAACAAAAAGAUGAUGAUACUAUUGAAGAGAUAGAAAAGCAUGGGCCCCUCAAUGAAGGUUACUUAAACAUUUACUAACACGAUUUUUUCUAUUAAUCUGUUCAUGGCGUUUAUAUAACAUCCUCAAAGGUCAAUCCAAUUCAAAUUUUCAAAAUCUGAAGUGGAUGACACUAAAGGUUUUUUAUUUUUUAUUUUCUCUUUUCAUUGUUUAUCAAUAUUAACUUUUGCUUUUUAUUGAAUUAUAGUGUAAUGGACAACCAAGAAGUUAUGAGUGUGGCUAUUACGUUAUGCAAUGGAUGGUUACCAUGACUAGGCCUAAAAGUGAUUGGGAGCAAGUAACAUGAUGAUAAAUUAUUUUUAUAAUUCUUUAACAUAUAUGUCUUAACACUAAUUUAUGUGAACCUUAUUAUGUAAUGCAGUUCUUCAAGAAUGAGCAACCAAUGUCUUCGGCCACCAUAGAAUAUGUGAGACAUUCUUGGGCCACAUAUUUCUUAAUUUUUUAUAACUCUAGGAUAGUUAAUCAAUAGUGUAAGAAUUAGAUAGAUAGAUAGAUAGGAAUAUAUGUAAAAAUAUAUUAUUAGUGUUUGUAAUACAUUUUAUCAAUAUAUAUAAUUUGAUUAUCUGAAUUUAUGUAUUUGUCUGACUGAGUUAUAAUUGAACAGGUCAAUUAAAUGAGAAUUAACAUUAAACAGAAUGUACUAAACAAAAUAAUCAUCUAUAAGGACGACUAUUUACCAUAGCCGUCCUUUUAGAUGCAACACAAAGAUUUAUAAGAACGACUAUGGUAAAUAGCUGCCCUCUUAUAUGUUUCAGAAUGAUUUAUAAGGGUGGAUACGGUAAAAAUCGCCUGUUUACACAUCAUGCAUAAGAGAGGUGUAAAUGGUGACUUUUACUAUAACCGUCCUCUUUGUCUGAAUUUAAGAAGGCGACUAAAUAGUAUCAUUCUUUUCUGUUGGAUAUAAGACUACAUGUACAUAAAAAUGGCUAGAAAGUCGCCGUUUUACGGUAAAAAUAUCCAUUGUUUUUAAGCCUUUCUGCACGGGAGAAAUUAAAAACAUAAAUUUGAAAAUGUUUAGAAACUAAGAAAGAUAAUUAAGUUGUAAAAAAUAAGUAUAUUUGCAAUGAGUAUAUGAUAUACUAUCAUAUCAAGAUGGGAAUUAAAGUCUUAUGUUUCUGCUGGAUUCACAUGGACUUGGUACAUUUGACAUAUCAAGAAAUAUUCCAUUUGACAAAGCUGGUUCCCAUCAAUUAUGAAAAAGAAAAGCAUACAAGAAUUAUACGUUUGCAGAUUUGAAGAGACUGCGGCAGUAAUGGACUCACUUAAUUUAUGCUAGUAAAUUGACUUGUUAAUUUGAUAUUCCUAUGAAUUAUAAUAUCUUGUAAGUUACAAAAUUGAAUAUAUUUCAUGUGAAAGUGAAAUAUAUUUUUUACUUCAAUUAUCUUUGUUCAUACAUGUUGAAUAGUACCUCAUUUAGAAAUAUCAAGAUAAAGUAUAAUUUAAAUAUACAUACUCUUUUAAUUUUUUGAGAUAUCUUUUAAAAAAAUUAUAAUAAUAUUUUAAACUUUAGAACAGAUGAUACUCAAAUAUAAUACAAUAAUCAUAACAAUACUUGAAUUCAAGAACUAUCUUAGAAUUAAAAUUUUAAAUGAGUGAACUCAUAAAAGAAAAAUAUGAACCUGUCUAUGUCCAAGGAAUGUAUAUUUUCGAAAGGUAAUGUUGACCUUAAGGUACAGGGACUUAUGUAAUCAAGACCUAAGUCAAUCACAAAAUGAUGAAUUUUAGUCCCACCAACUUGCAAUCUAAAGAAUCAACAGAAUAUCAUUUUAAAUAUGAUUUUAUGUGGAUUUUACAAAUAACAUUUUAGUAGCACGAAAGGGGUUGUAUUCUGUUUUUAAAAAUAAUUGUAUAAAAGAACUUUUUAUAAAGAGUUUUAGAUAAAGUGCGGGGUGGACGACUCAUAGCUCGCUACGAAAAGUGCGGAACAGAUUCAUUAAUCCAAUUCACUGAUCUGCUUAGGUGUGUCCCGUAUAAUUCACAGUCUACACGGGCCAACAAUGGAGAAGUGCGGGUUGGUCUGCUGACCCGCUUAAAUAAAAUUUUAUUUUGCAAAAAAAAAAAAAAUCAUAUCUCUCUCAUUCAUUGUUGCAGUGUGGUCUUUAUUUUAUUUUAAAAAAAUUGAAUUUAAUGUACUAAAAAAAUAAAUGUUUUAAUUUAAUCAUCUAAAUGAGUUAAUAUUAGGAGUGAGAGUGAAUUUAGUUUUAAGUGAAGUCUUAUAUUUAAAAUUUGUUAAUAAAAAAUAAUAUAAAGAAGAGAUUUCAAUAAGAUAGUUAAGAAAUUAAUCAUCUUCAUUCAAAUAUUUUGUAGUAAAACUUUGAUGAGAUACUCUUAUACAUUUACAUACAUAAGAAAAAUAUAUGCAAAACAAAACUUUAAUGAUGUUUAAUUAAACAUUCUAACAACCAUCAUAUUUGAAUUCAUAUUUUUUAUCUUAAUUGAAUGAAUUGAAACAUAAAUACAAUUUAAAAUUUUCAACAUCAAGAAUAUAUGUUUUUUUUUAUAAUUAAUGAAAUUUUAAUUUUUGAAAAAAAAUAUUUUUCUUAUGCGGGUUAGCCCGCAAACCCACAUAUUAUUUUUUAUGCGAAACGGGUCGGUAAAAUGAGCCUACACUUCUUACGCGGAACAAACUAACCGAUCUACUUUUUGCGAACCGAACGCAGAACGAAUAAGCCCGCAUUGCCACACCUAAUUUUAGAUUCAGAAUAAAAAAAAUACAUUAAAUAUUUUUAUAUUGAUUCGUCACAUUACUUAGGCUAUAUUUAGUUUUUGAGAUAACUUUCACUAAUAAUUAAAUAUUAUAGUCAUUGUUCAAAAUUAUUUCUGAUUAAAAAUUAGUAUUUUUUUAUAUAUUUAUCUAAUAAAUUGUCUUAAACUCUUUUAUACCAGUCCCUUUAUGUUUUGUACACUUUCAUAAAAUAAUAGAAAGAUGUUAUAAUCCAAGAUGAAUAAGAUAAAACAAAAUGAAAUACGAACUUAAAUUUAACUAAAAUGCUCACAAAAAGAUGAUAAUACAGGCCUUUUUGCAAAGCUUAACAUAUCUUCUAGUGCAUAUUUUGAUGGUGGUUCAUUGACUUUGUUCUGUAAGGAGAUUUUUUCAUAAAUACUAAAAAAAAUAUAAUAAACUUUAAAAAAAUAUUAAAUAAUAUUUAUAAUAUAUCAUCCAUUCUUACAUUGUGAUAUGGUAUAUCAAUUAAUAUACUAAACCAACUUUAAAUUUUGUUUCGUCUCCUACCUUAACACAUAUUUAUUUAUAUAAAUAUAUUCUGGGCCAAAACUUUAAAUUACAUUUCAUCUCCUAUCUUAAAAGAUAUUUAUUUAUAUAAUAUUCAUCAAAACAAAGACUACAACCAAUUUGUUUUCUAUAGCCCUUAAACCCCUUAGUUUUUUAGUCAACCGCACUAAUUCACCUACAAACUUUGCUUCCUAAUAUACUUCUAGGAAUCAUUAGUAGAAUGUCUCUAUGAUAACAAGAGAUGUGAUGUGUUAGUUAUAAGAGAAAAUUAUAAAAAAAAGUAAGUUCAUAAGUUUUUAUGAUGGUUUUUAUUCAUUAUGUUUAUCAUAAAUUCCUAAUAUUACAUUUGUAUCUUAGUGUUUUUUAACCAAAGUAUACGGAAUAUGCAUCUUACAGUUUGUUGUUAAUAUAAACAAAUAACUAAUAAAAGAUUAAGGUUGGGUUAUUUUUAUUUGAUGUAUAAUUAUAAUGUCUUUCAAAAAGAAGAUUAUUUAUCAUACUAGUUGGGUAUACCUCUAAUGUUAUAUUCAAAAACUAUAAAUAUGUAAUAUUUAUUAUAUAGUUGUAUAUAUAUAAAAAAAUCUUCAAAUUUAAAGUCCUAAAAAACAUAGUAAUAUAAUAAAUUUAUCUAAUCAUUUGAAAGGCACUUCCAUCAUCAUCCGUAACAAAUUUUACUUUUAUAUUAAAUAUGAUUAUCAUACACUAUAAGAAAAUUAUUAAAUAAAAUUUAAUUUUAUAGAUAAAAAAAUAAUUAAUCAUUGUAUUGACUAAAUUAGAUACUAUUUUAGAUACUAAAAUAAUUAUUGGUAUUUAAAGUAGUUUCUAUUAUUAAUAAAAAUUAUAAAUUAGUUUCUAAAUUGGUAUCUAAUUAGCUAUUAAUAUUUUAGUUACCAACUACUUUAUAUUCUAAAAUUGAUAGCUAAUUAGAUGUAAAGUAACUAAUUAGAUACCAAUUUACAAACUAGUUUAUAAAUUAUUAUAAACUACUUUAGAUACCAAUAAUUUUUUAGUCUAUAAUUUAUUUAUUUUUAUAAAAGUUUUCAUGUUAUGCAUCACUAUGCAACUUGACAUCUCAACUAGGUUGACACCUCAAGCAACAACAAUCAUCUGUCAUCACAUGAAAAUAAUAUUAUUAAAAAAAGAAAAAAAAAGAAAGAAAAUACAAAAACAUGGGAAGACUAGACCAAAACUCAUAUACUAACAAAAACGAUAUAUAGGUAAACUAUAUAAAGAAUUCUAAGAACAAACUAGAUAGAAGUCUAUUAUACCAAUGAAAUGGUUCUCUAUGAAUAAAUCCUAAAUUAGCAAUUUAUGCCUUCACGAAAAAUAUGAGUAACCCUAAACCUGAUUUUCCCACAAUAAUUAAGACAAGUAUUUCAUCGAUUACGAAACAUCCACGAAACAUUAGAUUAGUCCUAGCAGUAAACGCAGCACAAACCAAGGCAUAAUCACAUUCAAGCCAGACAUUAGUAAGCUCCAUCUUUUGAGCUUCCUCUAUACCCAUAAAACUCAACAACCAUAGCAGUCUGAACUUCAAGAAACGUAGAGAAAGUACCAAAAAUACUCCCAUAAGUAGCAAGACUAGGAUACCCGUAACAGCCCCAUCAGUGUUAAUUUUAACACAGUCUGGUGAAAGAAACUCUCAUAUAACAGGAAGAGGACGAAGAACUUUACCAUUACGAGUACUAAUACCAAAAAACUUAAUCACAUUGAAAUCCAACAUAUCAUUCUUCAUUGAAGCUUUAGAAAAAUUUCUCACUAGACAAGUUGAGUCUUUAAUUUUCGAAAUAGCCCUAGAAACCUCAAUCUUAUCUUGAAAUCUAGCAUAAUUCCUCAUAUGCCAUAUCAUCCAAAUAGAAAAAGUUAUCACAACAAGCUUAAUCAAUUUAACCAAAGGACUAUCAUCACUCUUAAUAAAAGAAAAAAGAUUAUCCUUAGUAGAGAAAUGAGAAGUAAGAAAAAUAUGUCAAAUCCAACUCCAAAUAUGCAAAGCAUUAGAACAUUAAAAAAAAUAAAUGUUGAAUAGAUUCCUCAUGUUUUUCACAAAGCGUACACAUAAUAUAUAUAUAUAUAUAUAUAUAUAUAUGCAAACCUUUAUUCUGAAUAUGUUGAUCUCUAGGAAACCUCCCAUGAAAAACUUUCCAAAGUACUAGAGUUUUGGAAGGCGGAAUAGAUGAAGACCAAAUGAAUUUAUCCCAACCACAUGGAACUCCUGGUUCCAAGAAAAAAGUCCUAGCCGAUUUAAGAGUGAAAUGACCAGACUCAUCUAGAAUCCAAUUAGGAAUAUCAUGUUCCUCCCUAACCAUGAUAUGAUUAAAACAAUGAAGCAUUUGUUGUAAAGACAAGGGAAUGUUCCAAUCACAACCUGUCCAAAACUGAGGAAUUGUAUCCGGAAUGCUAGCACCAUCAAAUAACCCUGCAAUAUUUGAUAAACAAGUAGUAGAACAUCAUUUAUCAUUCCAUAAAUUAAUAAAAGUACAUGUACCAACAAUCCAAGAAGUAUAAUAAAGUAUAGUAGAAUAAAACUGCUUAAUUUCAUACCAAAGAGAUGAGGAUCUAUAAACCAUUCUAAACUCGUAUUUUGAUUUAAGAACCCUGACUUUCUAGAGAAAAGACCAACUAUAAAUUAAUAUCUAAUUUAGUAAAUAUGGUAACUAAUUAUUUUUUGUCUCUAAAAUUGAUUUUUAUAUAAUGAUUUUUCUAGUAGUGAUAGUAGUAUACAACAAGUAUGAAAGGGUAACCUAAUAUAAAUAAAACAUAUGUGAAGAUUGGUUCAGUCAAAAACUAUGUUCAAAGGUUCUUAGACCAUCUAGAGGUGUUAGAUCAUUUAGAAGUCUUAAAUCGUCUAGUAGUUCGAAGACCUUCACUAUACACGUUAACCGUUUCUGUUUGAGGCGCGUCUUAUGUUGAAAGUAAAUUAGACAACUUUUUCUAGUUAUAUUAAGACCUUGUACUAAACAGUUUUACCUUGACGUUUGAGUUGAGAGUUCACUAUAAGACUUAAGAGAAAAUUCAUGUUAUAAUCUCAAUUUUUGUUCCAUAGUGAAUUUCUACCUGUGAAUGACACAUUAAAUUGUUUUUUUUUGUAAUUCUUCAUUAUUAUGUUCUACUGUAUUUUCUGUUCACAUUUUUAGUUCUUGUGUUUUCUCCAUUAUCGUGUUGCAUUUGUACGUUUAAACAGUCCAAUAAAUUUAUGGGUUUGCUUUACACAUAUUAUAACAUAAUGUUAUUAUAUCAUAUUAUAAUGAUGCUCAUAUCACUUUAUGCAUAUGAAUGCAAAAUGAUUUCAUAUUUAGCCACACAUUGUAUUUGCAUUGUUUGUCUUCCUUAGGUACUCAUCUAAAAAAAUGUUGUAUAAAUACUUUAUACAAAUUGUUAUAAGCAUUCCAUUUAAGUGUUUUCACCAAUUUGAAUAUAGUCAUCCACAUGAUUAUUUAUGGUAAUCACUUGUUGUAUUCGUUAUUUGACCUUAGGUACUCAUUUCCAAAUAUUGCUUAUAUGUUUGAUACAAAUCAUUAUAAACAUUUCUCACUUCAGCUCUUUCACCAAUUUGAAUAUAUCCAUCACACAAUCAGCAAGUGAGUCAUAAGCUAAUAUACAAAUAGUAGUAAUGCACUUUUGGAAAGGUGAUAAACCUCUUCUUUGUGUUCUAUCUAACCUCAGUGUAAUGUAGUCAUUGUGAUUACUAAGGGUUUCUACAAUUCUUAUGAAGAUAUCCUUUUGCAUACGAAACCUUUGACAAAAUUGAGUUUUUGUGUACAUAGGAUUCUCAAAAAGUAAUCAUUGAACAACUAAUAAUGACCUUGCUCAUGAUUUUGUUAUACAGUCUUUCUUCUUUAUUUAUUACUAUCAAUGUUGUUGACUUCAUGUUAGUGCUCAACUAUUAACAUGACUUCUUCAUGAGUGUUGUCUUUGAUUUUCCCAUGUAUAACUUGAUCCAACAAUGUGUUUAAAUGAUAUUUUGAAAAUCUAUUUUAUGGAUAAUUGAAGUGUUACAACAAGAUAUGAGACAUUUAUUUUUCUUCUUGCACAACUUUGGUUAAAACUUUCACAUUCCUUUUCUCUCAUCUCCCUUUUCACAAGGCACACUCUUUCCCUUUUUUCUCUCUCCACUCCUCACUCUUUCUCAUUCCUUUCUCCCAACUCCCUUUGCAACCCAACCUUCUCCCUCUCUUUCCCACAACUCAACCUUGCCCUUCCCUUUCCUUCCUCUUUCAACCUCCCACAACUCAAUCUUCCACCUUUCGGUCUCACUCCCUCCUACAAACCCAAUCUUUCCUCCUUCUCUUUCUUUCUUGAACAAGCCUUUGAAAAGAAUUGCAUGUGUCAUUCAAGAACGUUGUAGAUGUUCUGAGAGGGACAAGAACAAUGAGAUCAACAUGUGUCUUUAUUUUAUUUAUUUAGUUAUUCUAUUGGAGUUUUCUGAUUGCAUAUCAUUAUACAUCUUUAAUUAUUUGAAUGUCAUUCUUUACAUUUUGAUUUGUUUAUAUAUUAUUUCUAGAAAUUAAUAUGUUUUUCUUCAUUAUUCUCAUAUUUGAUUUCCGAAAAAUGAAUAAAAUAAAAUAUUUUAUUUUAAAGCAAUAGUUUUUUCAACCAACAAUCUAAUUUUUUUUAAAAAAAAGCUUUAAGUGUCACUAAUUCUCUAAUUCUUACUUUGUUUCCCGUUUUGAUUCAAAAGAAACAACUUAGGUUAAAAAUACAAAAUUAACAUAAAUAACAAUUAAGGCCCAAUUAAAUCCAAUUAGAGAAAUAUUAAUUAAAAUAGUAGAUUUAUCCAUGAUUACAGUCCAAGAAUCUAUGAUUAAAAUUGUUAAGUAUGAGUAAAUUUAUGUUCAUCAUUCACUCUCUUCUAACACUAUAUUUAUUUGAAGCAACUCUAAAAAAUUAUAUUAUUAAAUAUACUCUAAGCGACACCCCUACAUAACAUAUCAAUUUUUCUCCACAAAUUUAUGUUGUUAACCAGAACUAUCUUUGUAUGAAAAUCAUUAAAUAGAAAUCAAUUUUAAAGACCAAAAAUAAUUAGUAGUUAUAUUGAUUAAAUUAGAUAUUAUUUUAGAGGCUAAAAAUAUUAUUGGUAUCUAAAGUAGUUUUUAUUAUUAAUAAAAUUUAUAAACUAAUUUCCAAAUUAGUUUCUAUUAUUAAUAAAUUGGUAUCUAAAACUUUUAUAGUUAAUUAGAUACCAAUUUAAAAACUAGUUUAUAAAUUUUAUUAAUAAUAUAAACUACUUUAGAUAUCAAUAAUUAUUUUAGUCUUUAAAAUAAAAUAUCUAAUUUAGUUAAUAUAUUAAUUAAUUAUUUUUUUCUUUAAAAUUAAUUUUUAUUUAAUAAUUUUUUUUAUGGUGUAUGAAAACCAAACAAUUAAUUAUAAUUCAAAUGAUGUUAAUGAUUUAAUUAUAGUUGAUUAUACAAUGAAAAGUUACUUAAUAUUUAUUUUCUUUCAAAGAUAAAUACAACAACAUAAUCACCUUAUAUGGGGAUAUUAUAUAUAUAUAUAUAUAUAUGUGUGUGUGUGUUCUCAAGGUUUUCUAGUGAAGGCAAUAUUUUUUGUUGUUGAAAUAUAUAGGUCAGUUUUAUCACAAGUGAGUGAUGAUGUGGUAAAAAUGGAAAAAACCCUUCAUUUUGUUUUUCUUCAUAGUUACACAAAUAGUACUUGGUCCAUAGGGAUUCCUUGAAUUUGCACGUUCUAAUUGUUAUUUAUUUUGUCUAGUUAUCUAUUAAUUAAUCAAAAGAUAACAUGUUAAUAAUUCAUCCAAAUAUUAAUCCACAAAUUACUUCAAAUAAAUUUUUAUCUAUAAAUAAAUUAUGAUUUAUACAAAUUUUAUAUACGGAUUAUUCCAUACAUAGAAUUGAGAAUGUAACAAUGAUGUAAUUUAACGAUAUAUCAUUUUGGUGUAAUAUUUUGAAGAUAUUAUUCGAUAGAUAAAUGAAGUUAUGCAUUACCAAUUGAUUUUUAUAUGCAGAUUAUAAUAAACAACUUGUUGAAAAAAUAAAAUUGAUAUUAAUAAUACUAUAUUCUUAUAAUGAUAGAAACUCUAGUAGUAAGAAUAAUACAUAAUUUUAUUGGAGAUUACAAAUUUUUGUUGGUAUGCGAAUAAUUUCAUAACCAUGAUUUGAACCAGGAAAGAUUGUUGAUAGUCGUUUUGGAAAGAAAGAUUUAUGCAGGAUUCCUGAUCAUUUUUACUGAUAAAGUAAGAAAAAACCUUCAAAUAAAAUAUUUUGAUAUACCUAUAUAUAUAUAUAUAUAUAUAUAAUUUGUAUCUUGAAACUCUAAAGAAAUUUGAAGAAGUUUACUGUGCAAAUUUGUAAGUUUUGAAUAUGUAUUCAUUACCAUUUUCAUUAUGAUGAGUUUAUCAUCACAUUUUUGUUAACAACGGUCAUCAGCAUAACCGAUGUUGAUAUAGCUUUGUUGAAGAUCAUUCUUAUAAUAAUGAAUGAACGUAAACUAUUUUUUUUGUUUUUCAUGCAUUCCAAUCUUUCUAUUUGAUAUAUUAAUGGGAGAUAUAAGUUUGACUUGGUGGUAAAAGAUGAAGGAAGGAAGGGACACAUAUGUGUUUGAAUUUCAUUGCUAACAAAAACUAACAGAUUCAUAAUUUUUUUUAAUUAAGUAGUAAGUACAUGUGCAUCUGAACAUGUUAUUUCACUAAUUAAACACAUUUAUUAAAUGGUUUUAAAUAUAUGAGUUUUGACUUUUUUACAAUUACUUGUCAAUAGUUAUUAGAUCUUAUAUGGGGUACUCUUUAAAAACUUUCAAUUCCAAAAGAUAGUACUUUUUUAUAUCUAAAUAAGUUUUUUUUAACUUAACUAUAGAAACACAUACGAUUCUUUUUAUUUUUAUCAUUUAUAUAUAAUUAUAUUUAAUAUUAAAAUUUAAAUAAACAAUAAUAUUUAAACAUUUAUAUUAAUAAUAUAAAUUUAUAAUUUAUUUUUGAUAAAUAGGAAUAAUACAAUGAAAAAACACAUAAAUUUUUAGAACAUAAUGUAUUAUGACAUCAUUGAUCAUGAGUAUAAUUUUUAUUUUUUUAGUUAUUUUAUUAAGUUUGUCAUGUUUUUUUUUUAAAUUGAAAAACUUCUUAUUUUUAUAAAAGAUAUGUAAAUAACGUAAUGGAACUUUGAACAGUACUUAAUUAUUUUAUAUUUAUUUUGAAUCACUUAAAAUUACCUUAAGAUAUUACAUAAGAUUAGUAUUUGAUAAUAUAACAUAAAAUAUAAUAAUUAAAAUAAAUAACAUCAUUAAAAAUAAUUGGUAAGUGUAUGUUGAUAAGUUGACUAAUUUAGGAUUUAUUCAUAGAGAAUCAUUUCAUUGGUAUAAUAGGUUUUCAUCUAGCCUGUUCUUAGAAUUCUUUAUGAAUAGGUAUAGUCUACAUAUGUAUCAUUUUUGUUAACAUAUGAGUUUUGGUCUAAUCCUCCCAUAUUUUUUUUGUAUUUUCUUUUUUUUAAUAAUACUUGUUUCAUGUGAUGACAAAUGAUUGUUGUUACUUGAGGUGUCAGCCUAACUGGAUUUCUUCAAUCUUAUACAACUUGGACAUGGCAUGGCGAAUUAUUAAAUUUACCACGUGUUUCCGUAACUGAAGAAUAUGUGGGACCCACCAUGGAUGAUGCAGUACAUGGUGAAGUACAUGAUUGGAGGACAUGAUUCGUGAUGUGAGAGUUAAGUCUUUUGCAGAAGCACAUGAAUAUGGAAGUAUGUCAAGUGAUGCAGAGACUCCAUUGUAUCCUGGAUCAACUAACUUCACACAGUUGUCGACAGUGUUAAGAUUGAUGAAUUUGAAGGUAAUAAAUUGAUGGAAUGAUAAAAGUUUCACAAAAUUGCUUCAUCCUCCUCCCCUCCCCCGACACUCAUCCUCCUCCCUCGCCUCAGAGACCAAAGCAGAACUGACGAGUAAAAUACGUCAAGAAUUAAUGGAGGAGAUGAGAAAGGGGACUUAACAAGUGCGGCUAGAGUUGCGACAGGAUUUUCUAUCGCAACAAGUUUGUGUUGAACUGCCUGAGGCUAGGGUUAGUCUCACACCCAAGAGCACAAAGGGGAGUUGUGCGACUCCUACAACAUCAAGGGAGGAUAUUAUUGGCUAGAUGAGCCAAUGUGAGCUACUGGUAGAGGGUGACAUGUUUGCUCAGGUGGUGGCCAUUGGAAAAGUCUAUCAAGAAGACACGACCUUACAUAACGUUCCUCUCUCCCCUUAUGUGGCGAAGAUAAUGGUGGAAAGAGUACGAGUAGCCAAGGUAGUCAAAAUCGAGAUCUUACUUAGGAUCAGAAAGAUAAACAUGAAUCGUAAAACGAGUAGCCAAGGCAUUGUAUUUUGGUACUUCCGUUGAGAGAAAACUCAAGGAGACACCAUGCAUGUGUCAUAAAAUGAUGAAAAAAUAGAUUUCAUUCUUCAAUUACUAGAAAGCCAUAAAGCUUUCUAAGAAGCAAUGAAUACUAGUGUGACCAAUUUGGAAGCCCAAGUGACACUUCAAAUUGAAGCCCGAGAGACCAAGACCGCAACAAAAGAAUUCUACGUUAUAAUCAGUUUACACACAUUGAUGGGCCACAUAAUAACUCAGAAACUCAAGGUUUUAGGUCAUGUUAACGGUUCCCUAGUUGUGAUUCUAGUGGAUAGUGGGAGUACCCACAACUUCAUCCAAGAUUGCAACACUAAAUUCAUGGCCCUUCAAGUUGUCCCGACUCAAAACUUUCAUGUCUUGGGGUAGGAAUGGAGAUGAACUUUCAUGUUCAUUUGUUUGCAAACAUGUACCAUUACAAUUGGGCUUUCACACAUUUUUCGUUAAUUUGUUUAUGUUCUCAUUAAGUGGGGUUGAGAUCGUAUUGGGGGUACAGUGGUUGACAACGUUGGGACUAGUGUUAAUUGACUAUGAAUAACUAACCAUGAAAUUCAUUAGAAAGGGGAAAAUGGUUGAACUCAAGGGCCAACACUAGACGACACCUAGAAGUCAUUAUACAUUAAAUCAAGAGGAUGAUUUCUACCAGUGGCAUAGCUGAAUAUUUUUUGUUACAAUUGUUCCAUUCCAUAGAAUAGUUCCUUAGACCUUCACCAGUACUAGAAAUUGAGGAAAUAUUGAGUAGAUAUCUAUAAUUAUUCAAGGAAUCGUGAGGCCUACCUCUUAUUUGAGCAAUUGAUCAUCACAUUCCCCUCUUAGAAGGGUCGACUCUAGGGAAUGUCACACCCUACAAAUAUCCAUAUUUUCAUAAGCAUGAGAUUGAACGUCAGAUUCUUGUCUGCGACGUUCUUUUUGUGGUUGGAACUCAAUCAUAUUGCUUCUAGUACGCACCGUGCGUAACAAAUUCAAUCCAAAAGCUAUAAUGCAAAGGAUCAUCACUGAUGCACUUUCAGUAUUAUUUUUAAUUUGUUGUUAGAUUUGUGAAAUUAAAUUCAUGUUUGUCGUAAGAACAUCGUCUUAAAUUGCAUUUGUUUCCUCAAAAUGUAUCAUCUCUGCAUCGUCAUAAUGUUUUGCCGAAUUCAUAAUGUUAUCCAUGAAAUCUUUAACUUUCAUCGAGAACCAUAAUUACAUGUAAAUGUCAAUACAACAUAUUGAAUGCAAUUACCAUUUCGAUGUAAAAGUACACCGAGUGACUCUAAAACCUAAUUUUAAUUAAUUAUAAUAAAAUUUUUGUAAGUCACUCUAUCAUUUUAUUUAUGUAAAUAACAAAAAUGACAAAUAUAUACUAAAAUUCAAUUUUUCAAUAUUAUNNNNNNNNNNNNNNNNNNNNNNNNNNNNNNNNNNNNNNNNNNNNNNNNNNNNNNNNNNNNNNNNNNNNNNNNNNNNNNNNNNNNNNNNNNNNNNNNNNNNUCCCGAGGAAUACUGGGGAGGCAGUCCGUUAUCCAUGGCGGAGAAAGGUGACUAAUGACAUAAUAACUAUCUACACAUAUUAUUAAAAAUUCAAAUUUCUUCUCUAAACUUUUUCUGAUUAUUUUUAAUUACUACAACAUUUUUUAUAAUCUUCUUAAUUAUAACAUUAAUAAUUUAUGUAAAAUCUAAAAAACAAACCUCAACUUUAAAAAUUUCUAUUUCCAAUUUGUAAAAAUAUUAAUUUUAAAUAAAACAAUAUAUUCUUAUAAACAGUUAAAUGUUCAAAAAAAUAAUAACUAUCUACACAUAUUAAAAAAAAAUCAAAUUUCUUCUCUAAACUUUUUUUUUAUAUAAUAUACUACAACACUUUUUUUAAUCUUCUUUUUUAUAACAUUAAUAAUUUAUGUAAAAUCUAAAAAAAAAACUCCACAUUAAAAAUUUCUAUUUCCAUUUUGUAAAAAUAUUAUUUUUAAAUAAAAUAAUAUAUUUCUUAUAAAGAGUUUAAAUGUUCAAAAAAUAAUACACAUAUUAAUAAAAAUUCAAUUUUUUCCCUAAACUUUUUAUGUUUUUCUUAAUUACUACAACAUUUUUCUUAAUCUUCUUUAUUAUAACUUUAAUAAUUUAUGUAAAAUCUAAAAAAAAAACCUCAACAUUAAAAAUUUCUAUUUCCAAUUUGUAAACAUAUUAAUUCUAAAUAAAAUAAUCUGUUUCUUAUAAACAGUUAAAUGUUAAAAAAUAAUAACUAUCUACACAUAUUAAUAAAAAUUCAAAUUUCUUCUCUAAACUUUUUUUUGUUUUUUUUUAAUUACUACAAUAUUUUUUAUAAUCUUCUUUAUUAUAACAUUAAUAAUUUAUGUAAAAUAAAAAACUCAACAUUAAAAAUUUCUACUUCCAUUCUGUAAAAAUAUUAUUUUUAAAUAAAAUAAUAUAUUUGUUAUAAACAGUUAAAUGUUCAAAAGAAUAAUAACUAUCUACACAUAUUAUUAAAAAUUCAAAUUUCUUCUCUAAACUUUUUCUGAUUUUUUUUAAUUACUACAACAUAUUUUAUAAUCUUCUUUAUUUUAACAUUAAUAAUUUAUUUAAAAAAAACCUGAACAUUAAAAUUUUUAUUUCCAUUCUGUAAAAAUAUUUUUUUAAAAUAAAAUAAUAUAUUUGUUAUAAAUAGUUAAAUGUUCAAAAAAUAAUAAUUCUCUACACAUAUUAUUAAAAAUUCAAAUUUCUUCACUAAACUUUUUCUGAUUUUUAUAUUUACUAGAACAUUUUUUAUAAUCUUCUUAAUUAUAACAUUAAUAAUUUAUGUAAAAUCUAAAAAAAAAAACUCAACUUUUAAAAUUACUAUUUUCAAUUUGUAAACAUAUUAACUUUAAAUAAAAUAAUAUAUUUCUUAUAAACAGUUAAAUGUUCACAAAAAUAAUAACUAUCUAAUUUAGUUUAUAAUAAUUUAAACAAAUUAAAUUUUAAAAACAAUAAACAUAAACAAAUUUUAAAAUUAAACGUUCAAACAAAAAUAAAGCAUACAUUAUAAAAAAAACUACAUACCUCAAGUGAGCAUAACAAAAUAACAAUUGAACUGCUGGGAGGAAGAAGACCACCACAACACAAUGCAACUGUACGGAAUAUCAAACUGUGUCGGAAACAAAUUUCAUUAAAAAAUAAAAACAAAAAUUUAAAAAUAAAAAAUCUGAAAAAACAUUGAACAUAACAUAAUUGCCUUAAAAAAACCACAUAAUCGAUAAUCCAAAGAAUUAACUGGCAUAAUCGACUUUGCUUGCAGUUAUAAAUCCAACAUAAUCGAUUAUGCUUCAAGAUAAUCGAUUAUGUUGAAAUUUAGAUAGCUCCCAUAGUCGAUUAUGCUCAGCCAAAAUUACAAAUAAUUAUGUCAUGAUCAUAAUCGAUUAUCCAUUGUUUUUACCCACAUAAUCUAUUAUGGUGUGAAUUGUUUUUAAAUGAUAACUGGUUAGGCAUGAAACUAAAGUCACAAAAACCUAACCUGAGGUAAGAGAUGAACAACAAAACUCACUCUCCUAUCACUAUGCUUACUCACGAGCCUCUCCAAGACCCCUAAACCCAUGAUCAAGUUUGUAGGGUGAUUUGAAUUUGUUCUAUGCUUUCUUAGCUUUGCAUAAACAUAUUAUAUACGUGAAUGAGGACGCAUCUACUCUCUCACCACCUGAAUUAUGCAUUGAAUUCGCAUUCAACUCUGGUAAAAUUUGCAUUCAACUCUCUAGUCAAAGAGAUUCCUAAACCAAAGUCAAGAAUCUCAUGCGCAUCUGCUGCCAUUGAUGUGCCACUGUUCACUGGUGUUGUGCAUGCCAUGCAAGGCUCACAUGUGUAAGAUAAAGUUCAACAAAAGCAAGGGUACCAAUGUCUUUCACACUAUCCUACAUGGCUUUCAUCUUAAUAUCCUCUCAUUUCUCUUCACUUAUGAGAGUAACCCUAAACACCCUAUCUUUCCCUUCACCCACACCCUCAACCUCAACCUUGCACAAAAGCAAACGGGGGUGGCACCUCUCAUCUGUCUACGGCUAUAGUGCCACCCCCAAAAGCAAACAUAACAUAAGAGAAACAAGUUUUUGUUUUCCAAGGAAUCGAUAGGGACAUAUAAUAUCCAAGGAUGGCAUUUGCUUAGAUCCUAAGAAAAAUUUGUGCAAUGAUUUCUUGAACGAAACCUAACACCAUUAAAUAAUUGCACAAAAUUUUAGGGCUGACGGGUUUUUAUUAAAAUUUGUUCAGCAUGAUGCUUCUAUAGUUGCUUCUCUCAAUAACCUGCUGAAGAAACACUCAUUUACUUGAUCUAAAGAAGCACAACAAUCAUGUGAUCAUUUAAUAUAUUAAAAAAUUAUUAGUAUUUAAAAUGAUUUUUAUUAUUAAUAAAAUUUCUAAAUUAAUUUCUUGAUAGUUAAACUUUGAAAAUUAAUUAUUUUUUAUCUCUAAAAUUAUUUUUUAUUUAAUAAUUUUCUUUUAGUGAUAAUUCAGACUUUUGGAUAGUAAAUUUUGAAAACAUUCCAAACUAUAUAAUCUAAAUACAUUUUUAAAUAUGAUUUAGAUUAUGUAAUAUAAAAAUGUAUUUCGCAUUAUAUAAUUUAUAAUAUAUUUCUGUAUUAUACAAUUUAUAAUAAUUUAUAAUUAAAAAAUAAAUAGUCUGAGAAUACAUUUUUAGAUUAUGUAAUAAUAAUGUUUUUAACCAUAGAUAAUUUGAACUUUUCCCAUACUCAUGGAGGUGCAUACAGGAAAAAAAUAUUAGGUUGAAAGAAAUUGCCACUACAACAUAAGACCCAUUUCUAUACUUGCCAAAUUAGAUCAAAUGGAACCUGUUUAUGUGGAUUUUAUUGUUUUUGUCAGUGAGAUUCUGGUUAUUUCAUAACAACAAUUAUUUAUCAAUAAAAAAUGCAGUCGCAAUUGUGUGUUCUCUUUUACCAAUUCAGUUUUCCAACAUUGAGCAAUUUCUGUUUUGAAGCACAGCCACAUACCAUGGAGAAUGCAUAAAUGGAUUUAGAAUCGGAGAAUCCUGUAGCGGAGAAGAAUCCUGUAGCGAAAAUGGAGAAUACCCCUGUAACAGAAAGGGGAACCUCUCUUUAAUACAGAACCUCUCUUUAAAAGAAGGAAGAUCUUAGAAGGAAGAUGGAGGACUUGGUGCAGGAAUACGAAGCUGUAGAGAAUGAGAUCAAAGUUGACACUCUUUACCUCCAAGAAAAUCUACUUAGGGCACUCCAUCCAGCAAAGGGACGAAGCACUUCAAAGAAUGCACGAGGCACUUCAAAGAAUGCACGAGGCACUGCAAAGAAUGGACGAGGCACUUCAAGAGGGACGAGGCACUUCAAACAACGGACGAGACACUUCAAAUAAGGGACGAGGAAAUGAGAAGACUUUUAACAGCAAUUAUGAAAUCAUCGAAAGAUCUGAAUAUGGUAUUGCAGGUGAGACCGAGUUCGUAAAGAAGAGUAUUUGUUAAGAGUGAUAGGUACAUUUUUCCCUUGUGUUCAGUUUUGUGUUUGUGUAGACUCUUUUCAAUCUAUUGCAAACAUUGCUACAUUAAUUGCAAGUCGGCUACUUGUAUAAAACUUGGUUGUGAAUGCUGUGAUGCUCUCCCCAGGAGGGUGUGUUGUUUUACUUUGUACCUGCGUGCAUCCAACAUCUAAGGUCGGCUUGUUUUCUGGUUAUGUUGUGUCACCCACAUUGUUAGGGACCAUUUGCGUUCUUAGGUACUUCUUCUUAGAGAUGUGAGUCUCUCUUAUUUCAACGCCAUCCUAUUUUGACGAAGAACAGCGCCCUUUCCGAUAACAUUCUUCAGAAACUAUCCAUUUUUCUCCCUAUUUGCCAAAUUAGAUCAAAUGGAACCUGUUUAUGUGGAUUUUAUUGUUUUUGUCAGUGAAAUUCUGGUUAUUUCAUAACAGCAAUUAUUUAUCAAUAAAAAAAUACAGUCGCAAUUGUGUGUUCUCUUUUACCAAUUCAGUUUUCCAACAUUGAGCAAUCUCUGUUUUGAAGCACAUCCACACACCAUGGAGAAUGCAUAAAUGGAUUUAGAAGCGGAGAAUCUUGUAGCGGAGAAUCCUGUAGCGGAAACGGAGAAUACCCCUGUAACAAAAGGGGAACCUCUUUUUAAUACAGUACCUCAGAACUUAGAUAACAAAUUAAGAAAGAAGGAAGAUCUUAGAAGGAAGAUGGAGGACUUGGUGCAGGAAUACGAAGCUGUAGAGAAUGAGAUCAAAGUUGACACUCUUUACCUCCAAGAAAAUCUACUUAGGGCACUCCAGCAAAGGGACGAAGCAUUUCAAAGAAUGGACGAGACACUUCAAAGAAGGGAUGAGGCACUUCAAACAACGGAUGAGACACUUCAAAUAAGGGACGAGGAAAUGAGAAGACUUGUAACAGCAAUUAUGAAAUCAUCAAAAGAUCUGAAUAUGGUAUUGCAGGUGAGACCGAGUUCGUAAAGAAGAGUAUCUGUUAAGAGUGACAUACAUUUUUCCCUGGUGUUCAGUUUUGUGUUUGUGUAGACUCUUUUCAAUCUAUUGCAAACAUUGUUGCAUUAAUUGCAAGUUGGCUACUUGUAUAAAACUUGGUUGUGAACGCUGUGAUGUUCUCCCCAGGAGGGUGCGUUGUUUUACUUUGUACCUGUGUGUAUCCAACCUCUAAUAAGGUCGGCUCGUUUUCUGGUUAUGUUGUGUCACCCACAUGAUUUUGGUAUUUGGCGAUGUACUAUUAUAUAUUUGUUUCUACCUUGAGGAAAAUUUGAAUCUCAAAAGUAAUGAGUUGGUCAUUACACCAAUGGAACUCAGCCCCAUGAGAGCCCCUGCAAUUGAUGGAGUCAAAAUAGUUCCAUUUAUGGGAAAUAACACUCCAGCUGUAAUUAGACAGCAAUUAGACAGCGGUGAUAUUGGAUGUUAGUUGCUGAGGACGCUACUCUCAAAUCAAAUUAAUUCAUACAGCGAAUGAAUUUGCAUUUUGAUAUAUAGUUGUUGAGAACGGUGAUAUCUAUUAACAUUCGAUUGUCUAAAUCAACCAACAUCCAAGAGAUAUUUUGGGUGCGAAUAGUUCAGUGUCUUAACAAAAAUAAAGGCAUUGAGAACAUAACCAACUCAUUAUUUGGUUAUUGAAGUAAAAACAUGGUACAUAUUUCAUGCAAAUCAACUGCUUUGAUUCCACACUCCGAGUGUUGUCUUUGAUUUUCCCAUGUAUAACUUGAUCCAACAAUGUGUUUAAAUGAUAUUGUUUAAAUGAUAUUUUGAAAAUCUAUUUUAUGGAUAAUUGAAGUGUUACAACAAGAUAUGAGAUAUUUAUUUUUCUUCUUGCAUAAUUUUGGUUAAAACUUUCACAUUCCUUUUCUCUCAUCUCCCUUUUCACAAGGCACACUUUUUCCCUUUUUUCUCUCUCCACUCCUCACUCUUUCCCAUUCCUUUCUCCCAACUCCCUUUGCAACCCAACCUUCUCCCUCUAUUUCCCACAACCCAACCUUGCCCUUCCCUUUCCUUCCUCUUUCAACCUCCCACAACUCAAUCUUCCACCUUUCGGUCUCACUCCCUCCUACAAACCCAAUCUUUCCUCCUUCUCUUUCUUCUUUGAACAAGCCUUUGAAAAGAAUUGCAUGUGUCAUUCAAGAACGUUGUAGAUGUUCUGAGAGGGACACGGACAAUCAGAUUAACAUGUGUGUUUAUUUUAUUUAUUUAGUUAUUCUAUUGGAGUUUUCUGAUUGCAUAUCCUCAUACAUAUUUAAUUAUUUGAAUGUCAUUCUUUACAUUUUGAUUUGUUUAUAUAUUAUUUCUAGAAAUUAAUAUAUUUUUCUUCAUUAUUCUCAUAUUUGAUUUCCGAAAAAUGAAUAAAAUAAAAUAUUUUAUUUUAAAGCAAUAAUUUUUCAACCAACAAUCUAUUUUUUUUUUUUAAAAAGCUUUAAGUGUCACUAAUUCUCUAAUUCUUACUUCGUUUCCCGUUUUGAUUCAAAAGAAACAACUUAAGUUAAAAAUACAAAAUUAACAUAAAUAACAAUUAAGGUCCAAUUAAAUUCAAUUAGAGGAAUAUUAAUUAAAAUGGUAGAUUUAUCCAUGAUUACAAUCCAAGAAUCUAUGAUUAAAAUUGUUAAGUAUGAGUAAAUUUAUGUUCAUCAUUCACACCCUUCGAACACUAUAUUUAUUUGAAGCAACUCUAAAAAAUUAUAUUAUUAAAUAUACUCUAAGCGACACCCCUACAUAACAUAUCAAUUUUUCUUCACAAAUUUAUGUUGUUAACCAGAACUAUCUUUGUAUGAAAAUCAUUAAAUAGAAAUCAAUUUUAGAGACAAAAAAUAAUUAGCAGUUAUAUUGAUUAAAUUAGAUAUUAUUUUAGAGGCUAAAAAUAUUAUUGGUAUCUAAAGUAGUUUUUAUUAUUAAUAAAAUUUAUAAACUAAUUUCUAAAUUAGUUUCUAUUAUUAAUAAAUUGGUUAAUUAGAUACCAAUUUAAAAACUAGUUUAUAAAUUUUAUUAAUAAUAGAAAUUACUUUAGAUAUCAAUAAUUAUUUUAGUCUUUAAAAUAAAAUAUCUAAUUUAGUUAAUAUAUUAAUUAAUUAUUUUUUCUUUAAAAUUGAAUUNNNNNNNNNNNNNNNNNNNNNNNNNNNNNNNNNNNNNNNNNNNNNNNNNNNNNNNNNNNNNNNNNNNNNNNNNNNNNNNNNNNNNNNNNNNNNNNNNNNNNNNNNNNNNNNNNNNNNNNNNNNNNNNNNNNNNNNNNNNNNNNNNNNNNNNNNNNNNNNNNNNNNNNNNNNNNNNNNNNNNNNNNNNNNNNNNNNNNNNNNNNNNNNNNNNNNNNNNNNNNNNNNNNNNNNNNNNNNNNNNNNNNNNNNNNNNNNNNNNNNNNNNNNNNNNNNNNNNNNNNNNNNNNNNNNNNNNNNNNNNNNNNNNNNNNNNNNNNNNNNNNNNNNNNNNNNNNNNNNNNNNNNNNNNNNNNNNNNNNNNNNNNNNNNNNNNNNNNNNNNNNNNNNNNNNNNNNNNNNNNNNNNNNNNNNNNNNNNNNNNNNNNNNNNNNNNNNNNNNNNNNNNNNNNNNNNNNNNNNNNNNNNNNNNNNNNNNNNNNNNNNNNNNNNNNNNNNNNNNNNNNNNNNNNNNNNNNNNNNNNNNNNNNNNNNNNNNNNNNNNNNNNNNNNNNNNNNNNNNNNNNNNNNNNNNNNNNNNNNNNNNNNNNNNNNNNNNNNNNNNNNNNNNNNNNNNNNNNNNNNNNNNNNNNNNNNNNNNNNNNNNNNNNNNNNNNNNNNNNNNNNNNNNNNNNNNNNNNNNNNNNNNNNNNNNNNNNNNNNNNNNNNNNNNNNNNNNNNNNNNNNNNNNNNNNNNNNNNNNNNNNNNNNNNNNNNNNNNNNNNNNNNNNNNNNNNNNNNNNNNNNNNNNNNNNNNNNNNNNNNNNNNNNNNNNNNNNNNNNNNNNNNNNNNNNNNNNNNNNNNNNNNNNNNNNNNNNNNNNNNNNNNNNNNNNNNNNNNNNNNNNNNNNNNNNNNNNNNNNNNNNNNNNNNNNNNNNNNNNNNNNNNNNNNNNNNNNNNNNNNNNNNNNNNNNNNNNNNNNNNNNNNNNNNNNNNNNNNNNNNNNNNNNNNNNNNNNNNNNNNNNNNNNNNNNNNNNNNNNNNNNNNNNNNNNNNNNNNNNNNNNNNNNNNNNNNNNNNNNNNNNNNNNNNNNNNNNNNNNNNNNNNNNNNNNNNNNNNNNNNNNNNNNNNNNNNNNNNNNNNNNNNNNNNNNNNNNNNNNNNNNNNNNNNNNNNNNNNNNNNNNNNNNNNNNNNNNNNNNNNNNNNNNNNNNNNNNNNNNNNNNNNNNNNNNNNNNNNNNNNNNNNNNNNNNNNNNNNNNNNNNNNNNNNNNNNNNNNNNNNNNNNNNNNNNNNNNNNNNNNNNNNNNNNNNNNNNNNNNNNNNNNNNNNNNNNNNNNNNNNNNNNNNNNNNNNNNNNNNNNNNNNNNNNNNNNNNNNNNNNNNNNNNNNNNNNNNNNNNNNNNNNNNNNNNNNNNNNNNNNNNNNNNNNNNNNNNNNNNNNNNNNNNNNNNNNNNNNNNNNNNNNNNNNNNNNNNNNNNNNNNNNNNNNNNNNNNNNNNNNNNNNNNNNNNNNNNNNNNNNNNNNNNNNNNNNNNNNNNNNNNNNNNNNNNNNNNNNNNNNNNNNNNNNNNNNNNNNNNNNNNNNNNNNNNNNNNNNNNNNNNNNNNNNNNNNNNNNNNNNNNNNNNNNNNNNNNNNNNNNNNNNNNNNNNNNNNNNNNNNNNNNNNNNNNNNNNNNNNNNNNNNNNNNNNNNNNNNNNNNNNNNNNNNNNNNNNNNNNNNNNNNNNNNNNNNNNNNNNNNNNNNNNNNNNNNNNNNNNNNNNNNNNNNNNNNNNNNNNNNNNNNNNNNNNNNNNNNNNNNNNNNNNNNNNNNNNNNNNNNNNNNNNNNNNNNNNNNNNNNNNNNNNNNNNNNNNNNNNNNNNNNNNNNNNNNNNNNNNNNNNNNNNNNNNNNNNNNNNNNNNNNNNNNNNNNNNNNNNNNNNNNNNNNNNNNNNNNNNNNNNNNNNNNNNNNNNNNNNNNNNNNNNNNNNNNNNNNNNNNNNNNNNNNNNNNNNNNNNNNNNNNNNNNNNNNNNNNNNNNNNNNNNNNNNNNNNNNNNNNNNNNNNNNNNNNNNNNNNNNNNNNNNNNNNNNNNNNNNNNNNNNNNNNNNNNNNNNNNNNNNNNNNNNNNNNNNNNNNNNNNNNNNNNNNNNNNNNNNNNNNNNNNNNNNNNNNNNNNNNNNNNNNNNNNNNNNNNNNNNNNNNNNNNNNNNNNNNNNNNNNNNNNNNNNNNNNNNNNNNNNNNNNNNNNNNNNNNNNNNNNNNNNNNNNNNNNNNNNNNNNNNNNNNNNNNNNNNNNNNNNNNNNNNNNNNNNNNNNNNNNNNNNNNNNNNNNNNNNNNNNNNNNNNNNNNNNNNNNNNNNNNNNNNNNNNNNNNNNNNNNNNNNNNNNNNNNNNNNNNNNNNNNNNNNNNNNNNNNNNNNNNNNNNNNNNNNNNNNNNNNNNNNNNNNNNNNNNNNNNNNNNNNNNNNNNNNNNNNNNNNNNNNNNNNNNNNNNNNNNNNNNNNNNNNNNNNNNNNNNNNNNNNNNNNNNNNNNNNNNNNNNNNNNNNNNNNNNNNNNNNNNNNNNNNNNNNNNNNNNNNNNNNNNNNNNNNNNNNNNNNNNNNNNNNNNNNNNNNNNNNNNNNNNNNNNNNNNNNNNNNNNNNNNNNNNNNNNNNNNNNNNNNNNNNNNNNNNNNNNNNNNNNNNNNNNNNNNNNNNNNNNNNNNNNNNNNNNNNNNNNNNNNNNNNNNNNNNNNNNNNNNNNNNNNNNNNNNNNNNNNNNNNNNNNNNNNNNNNNNNNNNNNNNNNNNNNNNNNNNNNNNNNNNNNNNNNNNNNNNNNNNNNNNNNNNNNNNNNNNNNNNNNNNNNNNNNNNNNNNNNNNNNNNNNNNNNNNNNNNNNNNNNNNNNNNNNNNNNNNNNNNNNNNNNNNNNNNNNNNNNNNNNNNNNNNNNNNNNNNNNNNNNNNNNNNNNNNNNNNNNNNNNNNNNNNNNNNNNNNNNNNNNNNNNNNNNNNNNNNNNNNNNNNNNNNNNNNNNNNNNNNNNNNNNNNNNNNNNNNNNNNNNNNNNNNNNNNNNNNNNNNNNNNNNNNNNNNNNNNNNNNNNNNNNNNNNNNNNNNNNNNNNNNNNNNNNNNNNNNNNNNNNNNNNNNNNNNNNNNNNNNNNNNNNNNNNNNNNNNNNNNNNNNNNNNNNNNNNNNNNNNNNNNNNNNNNNNNNNNNNNNNNNNNNNNNNNNNNNNNNNNNNNNNNNNNNNNNNNNNNNNNNNNNNNNNNNNNNNNNNNNNNNNNNNNNNNNNNNNNNNNNNNAUAUUAAUUAUAUAUAUAUAUAUAUAUAUAUAUAUAUAUAUACCCUUAGAUCAUGACUGUCUGAGUUCUCAAGGUUUUCUAGUGAAGGCAAUAUUUUUUGUUGUUGAAAUAUAUAGGUCAGUUUUAUCACAAGUGAGUGAUGAUGUGGUAAAAAUGGAAAAAACCCUUCAUUUUGUUUUUCUUCAUAGUUACACAAAUAGUACUUGGUCCAUAGGGAUUCCUUGAAUUUACACGUUCUAAUUUUAUUUUUUUUGUCUAGUUAUCUAUUAAUUAAUCAAAAGAUAACAUGUUAAUAAUUCAUCCAAAUAUUAAUGCACAAAUUACUUCAAAUAAAUUUAAACCAGUUGUUAAACUUUUCCCCCUUUUUCUAAUUUAACUGUUAAAUGUGUGUUAUUUAUUAAAUGAUGAGAUAAGUAAAUUGUUCUUUGAUAUGCAUAAUUAAUUAUAUAUAAUAAAUGAUGAAGAAUUAAAUUAUCAAGAUUAAUUGGAAGAGUUGCUUCUCAUCAGUUCAUUCUCUGCUAAUUUAAUUUCUCAAUUAAUAAUAUCUAUAUCAUUUAUUAAAAACACCAUUAACAAAAGAUUGAGUGACACUUAAGUUUCAAGCAAUAUUCUUGCUGAUUUCCUUUGAAAGAUCCUUCUUAUGUUAAUUUCUUAUUAUUCUUAAACCUUAAUCACAAAAACUCAUUAGAACUUAAUGAAGAUCAAAGUAAAGAUUAGCAAAUAAAUGAGUUCUUAACAUUUUAAGAUUGAAGAAAAAAUUACUCAAAGUUUUUAAUGUGUGAUACGUGGGGCCUACUAAACAUGGAUUAAGAAGCUAAUUGGAUUGCCUAAUAUUCUCUUGUUGAGUAUUUUAUACGUAUUUGAAUGAAUUUAAAAUGUCAAAUUGGAGACUUUGAAUUGUCCAUUGAAGACUCUGAAAACCCUUUUUUAACGUUGAAAUGUUGACAAGUUAGAGCCUUUCUAGAAGCUCCAAUAAAUGAUGCUUAUUAAAUAUUGUCACAUAAAUGCUAAAUCAUAUAAGAUAUUUAAAUAGAUCACGUCAAAGGAUGUGACAUUGGUCACAGCACAUAGAUAUUAUAAACCCUAAUAAUAAUAUUAAAUAAACAUGAUGAUUGUUCUUAUUAGUUUAAUAAAUCUUCACCCUUUUUUGGACAAAUUUUAAUUUGACUAUAUUUUGGAUCAAAGGUAGAGUUUCUCUCCACUGGCAAAAAUUAUUACACUAUAACAAUAGUUGAUAGAUACUAAGUCAAACAGAUAAUAAUUAAUUACUUCAAAAAUAAAUAUGCAACUAAUCACACAAUGGUUUUUCAAAAAUUAAAAUUAAAACAUUUUAUAUUGUAUGCAUUGUAUUUUGUUAGAUUCAAAAUAAAGUAAUUUUCAGAAACUAUUUAGCAACCAUUUCUGUUAAAAUCGAUAUCGAUUACCUUAUAGUAUUUGUAAAAAAGAGGUAUGAAGAAAAAAAAAAUAGUCGUCAAAAUAAAUAUGAAAAAUGUUUUAUAAUUUUAUAUAUUUCAUAAAUCUUUUCAAAUAUCGACUGAAAAUUUACGAGUAACUGAGCAAUUUAAUCAUGAAAUAUACGACACAGUGCUACUUUAGUUUUGAAAAAAAGUGAAAUAAUUUUAAUGUAUCAUGAAAUUAUUUUAUCAUUAAAAUUAUAAUUUUAAAAAACCAAUUUGAGAAUAAAUCAUAGAUUAUUUUGUUAAAAUAAUAAUAUUAGAUGUCCAAUUUGAACUUUUUACACAUUUACGGAAACAAAAUGAUUAUUUGCCCAGAAAUAUAUUAAAAUUUUCCCUUGAAACCAAAAUAAGUUAACUAUCUUUUUAUAAGGUUAUGUAAAAUUAUAUAUAUAACUAAAUAAAAACAAAUAUAUUGAUUUGGUAUCAAGAAACAAAUUUCCUUACUAAAUCCAGAGAGCAUUUCACUGAAUGUAUGACAUAAAAUCAAGAUCUGAUAAGAAAAUAAAAAACCAAAUACUUGGUAACAUAUAAAUUAAAUUAUUAGACUGUUUGAGAGUAAUUGGUUACUCAUACUGUCAUAUUCUAGAAACCAAACAUGCUCAUAAUCUUUCUGUGAUUCUAUAAAAAAAACUAUAACCCUCUUCAGUGUUAUUAUUGUUAAUUCCACCAACUCAGCUUUCAUGCACUUGCAAUGUUGUUGACUAAACUCAUUAGCUAGUUGAGGAAAGAGACCAAUGGAAGAAGGACCCAAUUAUGUGUCAAACUAACUCUAUAUUUCUCUGGUAAUCUUGUAUGUAGUCUCUGUGUGUUUCUGAAACUACAUUACUGCUGAAAUUCCACUAUCUACUGGAAAUGAAAAUGGGCUGUCUGGGAGAUUCAGUCCUUGAUUGCUGCAUAAAAUAUUUUCCAAAAAGUCAGAAAAUAUUAUCAUUAUGAAUGAGUAGAACAAAGAAGAAUGAGAUUAAAUUCUUGGCAAAAGGAAGUGUUUAAAGAGGUUUUAAUGUUCCCAUGAUGAUUUAUAUACCUGUCCUCAUCAGUGUAAUUGUCAUUCAGAACAUGAUUGUGAGAUUGGGUGGAAUGGACAUUGAAAUGAUCUGCACAGAAGAGAAAAUACAAGAUAAAAUGUAAUGAAACUGAUCAUGAAAAAUAUGCAAUCCAUUGUUGAUAAUGUAUCACUGCACACCAUCUGAAACUUUUGAUCUGUCCGUGGUAAAGCCAAAAUGGGGUGAAGUGGUGAAAGAGUUUUGGGCCAAUUGCAGCUCUGCAAAACGUCUUCUCUGAAAUUCAAGGGCAGUCUCCUCUUGCUGUUCAAUGAUCAGCCUCCUCAGAAAUCGAGGGUUUGUGCAACCUCUUGGAACUAUAAAAACUGAGUAUUAGUGCAAAGGCUUCUUAAACAAAAGGGAGAGAGGAAAAGAAAGAGCAUAUGCAUAUAAAAAAUAUAGCACAUUGAACUGAUACAUGAAAUCUGGUUCCAAACUAGAGUAUACCAUGCUCACUUGACGAAGGUUCAGUGUCAACAUCUACGUAGUGUGCUGAGCAAUAAGCAGGGUGCGGGUGCUCAAUUCUAUCUGGAUGCUUUCUGCAUCCAAAUUGAAAAUCACAUGAAAAAAAAAACACUGAUGGUACAGCAUCUGUCAAUUUAUUCAUAGCAUUUGUUACAUCUACUCUCUCAUAUAACAUUUUCUGAACGAUAGUGAGAUGGAAUUUACCUGAGCAUAAGUUUUGGCUUCUCCUUGUAAGGUUUCACAAGAACCCGUGAUUCACAGACAUAAUGAGGAUUUCCCUUAUCCAAAAUUGCUUUAACAGUAUCAGGAUCAUCAAAUGUAACAAAUCCAAACAUCCUUCUUUCUUGGCUUGGAAUCCUUACAUCUUCAACGUUCCCAAAAGUGCUACACAGAAAAACAUGUUAAAGCAAUUUGAAUUGUCAGACACAAAAACUAACUACAUAGAAGUUUGAAACAUUCAUUUACCCAAAGUAGUUUGAAACAUCAAUCUCGCUAAAAGUGCUGUCAGCCGGAAAUGUCAGGUAUAUUUGUCGUGAUGCACUGAUGUAUUUAGCAUAAUCUGCCCUCCCAUUGAACUUGGGAGCAUCUUCCGCCAGAACAACCGAAUGCUGCCCGUGAGGCCUGCUAAUCAACCAUCACAAAAAGGAAAAUUGUAGUAUGAAAUAUUCAACAAAUUUUCUACAAAAGAACACAUAUGGAAGUUACAAAAUCGUCACCUGUCAAUUAGCCGAAUGCUAUUUUUCAACCGCGCAAGAAGCUUUGUCAGACUGUAGCCAGACUUACCAUGUCUCUGGCUCUCAGUGAGGUAGCCAUCUGCCUGCAACACCUUCUUAUACUUGUCAAAGUAUGCCAUUGGAAGGGAAGCAAUUGAUAUAGAACCACCCUUUUUCAGUUUCAGGAGUUCAACAAUUUCUGACUCUAGUUGUGCCAGUGACCCAGGUGAAAUCAUCUGAUCAUCAUUCAAACUAUCAUUUCCAUACAUGUGAGAGAACACAUCAGGGGCCCCUAGUCCAUGAUAGUAUCUACAGCUAUUUCCAUGCUUACAAAAUCCUUUGUUAAAGUAGUGACAGAUCUUGACUGGAUGGUCAAACCUUCUACCAACUUUUCCACCCAAAUUACCAGCUGAUGAAGCAUCUAAGCCAUAGUAAUCAUUAGCAAUUCCAGGAGUGCCGGAAGUCCCAACAGCCCGAGAAUUUAUAGCAUCCAUGUGAUUCUCUAGACUGAAGAACGGGGUUUGCUUUUGAAGUUCAGAGAUAGAAUCCAAAUAACCCAAUGUCAUAUAUUCUGCAUUGGUAUUGUUAGCAGGCUGAGGAUCCCAGAAGGGAGAUUGAACCUGGAUGCCUGCUGUUGUAGUAGGGGUGCCAGGUGUGAUUACUGAAGUAGGGGAGAUUACUGAAAAAUUGUCAAAACCUGGUUGACAGUUCAUUGGAAGUGAAAUUGGAUGAAUGCUUUAUCUAGCAGCUGAUCUUUGAAGCAUGCUUCUGGUCUGGAACGCCAACUCACGAAUUAAAUCGUCAGGGAAUGAAGCCAAUUUCGCCAUGUCUUGUUCACCAUGUUCUUGGACAAGGAGAUACCCUAAGGUCUUUGAAGCGUUCUCAGGCUCAAAUCUCUGAAGUUUACCUAAAACUUUACCUGUGAAAUCUGAAAUAUCCAUAGCUUUUCAGUCACUGCAAGGAGUUAAAACAACACUCAACAGAAAUUAUUAAACACUUCUGAGAAAUAGACAUAAAGAAACAGUGGCCAUAAUUUAAAAACAUGAAAGAUAAAUGAGUCCUAGAGUAAGAUUUACAAAAAAAGUCAGAUAAAUCUCAGAACAACAAGUGAUGUUCUUCCAGCAAAAGGUAUCAAACUAGUUCAUGAAUAUAGUAGUAAGCAAUGAAUCCAUUUGUAAGCAAAUACAGAUCAUGGAUUACUUGUUUCCUAAUUUGGAAAUGAACAGUGAGAAGUAAUCCAAUGCCCCAGAAAGCACAAAAGCUGUACCCAUCAAAAGCAGCAACAUAUGGUGAGAAAUAAUCAAAUGCCCCCAAAAGCACAAAAAUUGCAUCCAUCAAAAGAUAACAAAUAAAAUUAAAGGUUGAGAUUCUCCUGUCUUUCAUCCCAGAGAAUCCUCAUCCGAUCAACAAACAACCCCUUCCCCAAAAGAAAAGAAAGCAUAGAAAAGUACUUAACAAUUAAAAAUGUGGCAAGGUUCAUACUCAUGAAACAGAGAAGGAGAUAAACAACCUGCAAGUGCUUCAAGCACAGAUCUUUCAACAACCCUUUUCUCGUCUACAUAUCUCAGAGCUUCACCUGACAUUCAGAGAGCAACAUCAUCACAAAACUGAGGAAAGGAAUGCUUUUGGAAAAGGUCCAGAAUCAAAACAGAUGCAGACUCCAAUGUGAAGCCAGUGAGCAACACUUGCACACUUGCACACUAACACUCUCUGUUAUGCGACUCAUUCACUGUGAUGACUCAUCUAUAUUUGGCCUUCUUUAUACCCAUUUUUUGAAGAUCAUACACAGCUGUUACGUAACCACAGAUACCAGGCAAAUUAUUUUGCUUAAUUCUCGAAGUCCAUAACUGCUUCUUGAACUACCCCCAGUGACCAAAACACCCUGGAAUUUUUUAUUUUUUUUUAAAAUAACUGCUUAUAAUAUAUCUACUACAACAAGCAUAAAACAAUUUCUUAUAAAUUAUCUCCCUACUUUAUCUUUAAUAAUAAUAUUUAAAUCUUUCAUUGUUACGGUCAAAGUUAAAUAAAAUGCCUCAUAUAAAUUUAAAACCUUAAAUUAACAAUAAGAAUAGAAAAUGUUUGGGAAUGAGCAAUGUGCUAAAUUUAGGAGUAGAUCAUAUGCACACGUCGGCAACAUGUGUAUGGCACAAACGUGGGUUUUUGUUGUGUCUCUAUUGAGGGAGAAAAAUAAAAACAGGGAAGUGGGGCCCAGUUGAAUCUGAACCACUGAGUUGGAUCCUUGAGAUUCUGAAACUCAGAUCAUGUUGGUGGGGACCAUGCCAAGAACAAAAAUGUAUGCUCCAUGCAACUUUGCCAUGGCAAAAUAAAACCUUUCUUUACUUUCUUCUCAAAAGUUUCAAUAUGUUGGGAGAAAAAUCACAAACCACUUACAUCUUGAUUUAUUCUUUUUAUCCCCAUUAUUCUAUUCUAUUUUUAAUAUUUCAUAAUAUUUUUCUCCAAUUUAAAGUUUUAUUUUAAUAAUAUUUUUUUUUCUAAACUUAUUAAAAAGUAAUAUUUAAACUUAUGAUCAUAAAUUUUAUGUAAUACUUAUUACCUCUAUUGAUGGUUUUAUAAGAAAACAAAAUAUGAUGAAUUUUUCUAUAGACUGUAAAAUUGAGUUAUGAUAUAAAGUUUUACAAAAGUUCUAUGAAUGGAUUUUUAUAAAUUAGAGAAAAUUAAUUUGACACUUUUAUACCAGAAGUUUUUUUUAUAAAUAUUGAUUAUUGUAUAAAACCCAAUGCCACAGCCAAAGUACACGUGGCGUGAUAAAGGGUCCAUUGUUUCUGUACCACUAGAUUUAUCUUUGUUGUGAUAAGUGGGGCCCACUUCAUGUUUGGGAGACCCCACAACACAAGAGACUUUUUGUUUUUGAGGUGGUUUACCAAAUUCUUUAAUUUGCUAAAUGUAUGCAACACCAUUUUCUUUCAUAAAACAAGUGUGUUUUUCUUUUGCCAUUAGUGUCACAUUAAACAUUUUUUUAAUUUUUGGUUUGAUCAUUUUUUAUAUUUUAUAUAAUUUUUAAAUUAUUUUUAAAUUUUAUAACUAACAAAACAAAAAUAUAACUUAAUAAUUAAUUAUUUUAGUAAAUUAUAAUAUAUAUAUAUAAAUAAAUAAAGAAGAAAAGUUCGUCUAUCCUAUUUUGGGAAUGGUCGAAAAUAAAUUUUAAUAAGAUUACAUAUUAAAUUUAUGUUUAUUUUAAAUAUAUUAUUUUAUUCCACAAAAUUCACAAAAUUGAGUUAGGAUGAAUCGUAACAACUUUUUUUUCCAUAACAAUUGCUCUAGGGUUUAAUUUCGAAGACCCUAAGUAGUGGGAUUACGGCUUCGUUAAUUGGUUUUAAAGAAUAUUAAAAUGUAAUAAAACAAAUAGUAUUAAUUUUAAUUAAGAUUAUAGUCAUAUCUUAAUAAUUUAUACUAAUUAUUAGUUUUGUAUGUCUCUAGAUAAAGAAGAGAAAAGGAAGAAAAUAAAAUUAUUUAUAUAUUUUUUAUUUAUUUUCUUUUCUCUUUUUUCUCUUUUUUUUCUUUUCUUUCAAUAUAUGAGAUGUACUAGUACGACCGAACGACUCACUGAGUCGAUCAGGAACUCAACCACGAUAAGAAGGUCUUGUGACGACAUGUGACCGACCGAUCCAUGAUGACGAGCCAUGGGUUGACCAAGUUAACAGGGUUAAUCUACAAUUAAGAGUUGUUUAGCACAACGCUAAACAUGGACCAACCUCCUAAUACGGCCCACCAACGAAGGCUCAUUAAGGUAAUAUAAAUAGCACAUAUUCCAAGAAUCAGGUACGUCAUUAUCUACAGUACUCUGACAUUCAAGUGUCGACACCCUGACUGACUUGAGCGUUGGAGUGCCUUCUACAGGUACCAUCACAGCCUGUGAGACCAAACGAUCGAGAGGAGGAAGGCGAAGCAGAAAGUUAAAAGCGACAACGACCGACCAAAGGAAGUAGAAGAGCAAUCGUUCUCUAGGCCCCAACACCCGUUCGAGAACAUGAGAUAUACAAAACUAAUAUGGUAUCAGAGUUUUUAGGAGUUUGGUGCCAUUUUUUUGUUUCUCUAUCUUGCUCAUUAUUUUUUCAUCAUAACAAGUCAAACCCUAGAUCAACUUAUUAAUCCCUCCAAUCUAUACUAUCUCAUCAUCAAUGAAAAUCUGACCAUGGUUCUCGUUCCUUCCCUGUUAACCGAAAACAACUAUCAUGAUACUGAUAACAAUGAUAUAGACAAGGUGUUGAUGAAUAUUGUGGUUGAUCCACGAAUCAGUGGAAGAUAUGGUAGAGGCAGAGGUCACAAUUUUAAUGGACGAGGCGGAAGGGGAAAUAAUUCUCGUUGUCUUUGUACGUAUUGUGGAAGAAAUUAUCAUAUAGUGGAUACAUGUUAUCAUAGACAUGGUUUCCCAUCAAGUUACAAAUUCAAGCAAAAAACAACAAAAUUUGCUCAUACGACUGCAUCUAUUAAUGCUAAAAAAGAUGCUACUCUUUUCGAGGCUAAUCUCCCAUUCGAGGCUAAUCUCCCAAAUUCCAAUAUUAAGAUUUCUCAAGAACAGUACAACAAUUUAAUGACUUUGAUCCAACAAUCAUCUUGUCAAACUUCUGCUUUGAAUCGUAUCAAUACGUCAUAAAUCAAUUUAGCCAAAUCAAAUAAGUUUUCUAGUCAUUGGGUAUUAGACACAUGUGUUACAUAUCAUAUAUGUUAUGAUAAGAAUCUUUUCCUUUCACCUGUCCUAGUCUCUUUACCUAACGGAAGUCAAUUAAGUGUUAAUCAGUCUGGUACAGUUCAAAUAUCUCCCUUACUCACUUUGACUGGUGUUUUAUAUGUGCCUUCAUUUCACAUCAAUUUGAUUUUUGUUUCUAAAUUAACCACAAAUCACAAUUGUUUAACCAUUUUUCAACCUUCUAUUUCUUUUGUUAUUCAGACUCAACCAUGGAGAGUGAUUGGUACCACUGAAAGAUCACACAACCUUUAUCAAUUGAGGACUUCUAGUAUCCAUCAGGUGUCACAAACAAAAAUUGGAACGAGUAGACUUGACAGUGAGAGUUCAUGCCUUCCAAAUAAGAAAAUCAACAUCAAUAAAUCUUGUGUAGAUAUUGAUAAUGCUAAAGUUUGGCAUUUUCAAAUGAGACAUUUGUCUUAUGAUAGGUUGAAAAUUUUGUCUUCAUAUUACUCAAAUAUUUCCAUAGGUUUUGUUGAUCCUUGUGAUACAUGUCAUUUUGUUGAACAAAAACAAAUACAUUUUCCUUCUAGUUUUAUUAAAUCAACUCAAUUUUUUUUAUUUGCUUCAUGUUUAUAUAUGGGGUCCUUUUAAUCAUGUUUCUGUUGAAGGGUAUAAAUAUUUUUUAACUAUUGUAGAUGAUUUUACCCAACAUACAUAAAUUUGUUUAAUGAAAACUAAAGCGGAAACACGCACACAUUUACAAAAUUUCAUCAAUAUGAUUGAAAAUCAGUUUAACUCAUUUGAAAGUAUUAAGAAGUGAUAAUGGUCCUUAGUUCCUUAUGACUAAUUUCUUUAAUAGAAAAGGGAUUGUUAAUCAAACUAGUUGUGUGAAAACUCUACAACAAAAUAGUAUUAUUGAACGCAAACAUUAACAUAUUUUGAAUGUCGCUCGUGCAUUGAUUUUUCAGUCUAACUUACCUCUUUGUUUUUUGUCAUAUGCUGUCAAGCACUCUGUUCAUUUAAUUAAUAGAACUCUUAUUCCUCUUUUACAUGAUAAAUCGCCAUAUCAAAUGGUUUAUAAUGACAUACCAGAUUUAUCUCAUAUAAAAAAAAUUGGUUGUUUGCCUUUCACUACUACUAGUAUUGUUCAAAGAACAAAGCUUAAUUCUAGAGCCAGAAAAUGUGUUUUUCUCGGUUACAAAGAUGGGGUAAAAGGUUUUACUCUUUUUGAUAUGAAUAAGAAAAAUAUUUUUGUGACACGCGAUGUUAUUUUUUAUGAAAAUUAUUUUCGUUUUUAUAAGGACACAUUGAUACCAAUUUGGACACAUGAUAUGUUUAAGCAUUUGCUUCCUUUUAUUUCUGAUAAUGAUAUUGUUAUGCCUACAUUUGUUGGUGAUAUUGUUCCUUCUAUUUUUUAUAAUAAUAUUGUUGUGCAUAUAUUUGUUAGUGAUAUUGUUCCUCUAGUUUAUGAAAAUGUAAUACCAUCCAGCCUUCCUGCUACUGAUUCUUCUACACCAUUACAUUUAAUUGAUAAUGAUGUCUUGCAACACCAACAUUCUGAUCCACAACCUUCAUCUGUUCGAGUUUCUACUUGUCUCAAACAACCACCUGGAUACUUGAAGGACCAUCACACUACUUUCUUCUCUUCAAAAUAUGUUACCAAUCAUUCUUCAAGUACUAAAUAUCCUAUACAAAAUUAUAUCUCUUAUCAUAAUUGUUCUCCUACAUAUUCUUCUUUUUGUCAUAAUAUUUAUUUUAUCCAAGAACCUAAAUCAUUUAAAGAGGUGAUACAACAUGAUUGUUGGAAAGAAGCUAUGCAACAUGAAUUUGAUGCUCUUAAGUCUAAUAAAACAUGGUCUUUGAUGGAUUUGCCUCCUAGAAAGCGUCCUAUUGGGCGUAAAUGGGUUUUCAAAGCCAAACAUAAACCAAACGACACCAUUGAUAGGUACAAAGCUCGUUUGGGUUCCAAAGGAUAUACUCAAACCGAAGGUAUUGAGUAUUUUGAGACUUUCUCUCCAGUAGUUAAAAUUACUACAAUUCAAUUUAUUUUGUCUUUAGCAAGUGCUGAGAUGAAUUCUUCAUCAACUAGAUGUGAAUAAUGUUUUUCUUCAUGGCGAUCUUGAUGAAGAAAUUUACAUGAAUCCUUCCGCAAGCCUUACUCUUUCUCAUCCCACACAAGUUUGUAAACUUAGAAAAUCUUUACAUGGACUAAAGCAAGUGAGUCGAUAAUGGAACUCAAAACUAACUCAAACUGUAAUACAACUUGGUUAUGUUCAAAGUACAACUGAUCAUUCUUUAUUUAUUCGCACAAACAAUCAUUCUUUCAGCGCUCUGUUGAUAUAUGUUGAUGACAUUAUGUUGGUUGGCAAUAAUCUUCAGGAAAUCCAGCGUGUUAAAACUCAUCUUCACAACUCAUUUAGUAUCAAAGACCUUGGUACUAUUUACUAUUUCUUGGGAUUUGAGAUAAGUUGUUCACGAGCAUCAGAACGACAAUGGCAACCGCUGACGUCAAGCCUCAAGGGAGCAAAAGGAACGAGUCUAAAAAAAACCUAAAGCCUAAGCUCUAGUCCUGAACACCCUCGCUCGGGGCAAGUUGGUCAGUGCUCUGCAGAUGUUGGACCUAUCCGCCAGGACCAAUCGGCCAUUGAAGACCUCCAUCUCUUGGUCAAAUGGACCAGAGGGUGGAGGCCUACCAUACAACACCUCGGCCUGACGGACGGCCAAGUCAAAGCUCUAAGUUAUUAAGACCAUGGUGUUCUCCAUGGUCUUCAACACCUCAACCUCCGCCGCCUCCUUCCCUUGGCGUUGAGAAGCAGCCUCCCCUUCCAGCAACACUCCCCUGCGCUCAGCCUCCUCCAGCGUCUGGCGCAGUCGAGCGAUCUCAACCGCCUUCUCAGCAUCGACCUUCUCCACCUCGGCCAACUGAGCCGCACCCAGCUUGAGCUCCGCAGCCUGCGAACACAGCUUCUUUUCGUACGUUGUGUUCGCAUUGACGACCUACUUCAGGUUAUUGGACGCCUCCUGAAGUAGGUGUUUGAGGCGCGACAUAUCCUCAAUGCGUCGCCUGCAAGCUUCGACCUCUCGACGGGUUAGUAUCAGGCUGCAACAAAUCAUCUCGACGCCACCGUCAAGAAUAUCCUCCUCGGGAACCGACCCAAUAAGCUCUUCGAGGCCGAGGGGCAAGUUAAAGUUCAUUGCCCUGGUGAAGCACUUGUCACCCCCAAACAACAUCAGGGACGACUCUUGGGCGGCCGUCACAGGUAAGGCGACUGCUGUUGGAAUGGGACGGUUGAACUCGUCGGUUGGUGUCGACCCAACACAAGUCAUCGCUCGACUUGGAGGGGGAUCGACAACUCCCUGGGUACCUGAAAGGUGCGGACAAUGUUGCCUCCCUCCUUGACCCUUUUCUUGGGGUUCUUUGACGAUGAACCCGCUCAAGCGACAGUCUCAAUAGGAGGGGGCCCGGUGCCGGCAACCCCCCCCCCCCUCUUCUCAUUCAAUUUAUUCUUAAACACAGUCAGCAUACCAACCGCCUGCGGUAUUUUCCUCUUAGCAAUUACUGAAACAAAAACAACACGUUAGCUAAAAGAAUAAAACGAGCGAAGGACUAAAUAUAUAGAACAUACCCUCGAAGGCCGCCACACGAUCAAUCUCUGUGUACAAAGACAUCAGCGGCCAAUCGGGAAGCUUCUUCGGAAGGCUAUCAAACAAAGUGAAAACCUCUCGCUCGCCUUUGCUUGGACUGACCAAGUGUGACCAAUCCUUUAUCUUUGUAGGAUUCCUCAUCCAAAACAAGGGGAACCUAGAUUGGCCGACCUCAUCAAAGAAGUAGCGCGUGCACGUCGGCUCCACGAACACCUUAAAAAACUUCUAUUUAAAGUUCUUAUAGGAGGUCGUGAAAGCCUUGAACAACACACUACCCGAACGAAUGACCAAGGAAUGCCAGCCGACUAGAUCAGAAGGGUGAGAGGCGUAGAAAUGCAAGAAACAAGUAGAAAGAGACACACCCCUAACAUUUGGCAUACCACGCGAAAAGCCUGCAUGGAUGCCCACGUAUUGGGGUGCAACUGACUCGGUGUCACGUUGAGCGCCCGAAGGACACCCACCGUGAACACAUCAAAAGGAAGAGACACGUGACAACUAUACAUAAAGAAGAAAAGAAGUUCAGUAGAUGACCGUUCCAUGUACACGCGGUCGUCUAGCGCAUAAGGGCUGAACGACAUUAAGGAGUUUUCGGCCGAAGCCUUCAAAAUUGGAACCUUGCCAAGAAACUCAACCACCGAGGCAUCCGUGUGAAACACAAACGCGAUCUGGCAUACCUUGGGGUCCACCCAGGACGGACCCCCAUGAGGGUGCGGUCGCUUAGACGAGCUAGACCGUUCUGAUGCGUUACCAGCACCAUCACCCCUCACUUCCUCUACCUGUGGGGCAAUAGUUUGAAUUGCCCCGAUCGAUAUGACCUUGUCGGAAGAGGAAGUGGAAGAAGAAGAAGAAGAUGAGGAAGACUUAGAAGACGAACAAGAAGGGGGUUCAGUUAAAGGAGACCGAGCGGGAGAAGAGGAAGAAGUGGGAUGCGAGCGGGUAGACAUGAAUAACCUUGAGAUGGACGAAGAACGCAACAAAGAUCGCUUGGAUUCGUUCGGGUGUCGGAACUCAAUGAAUAUUAGAACGCGUGAAAGGUCACUGUUCUCAACCCCUAUUUAUAACCCGAAGAUGUCUCGGAAUUCCUAACGUCACAAAAUCUCAACCGUUAGAUAUGCUUGAUCCAACGACCCACAUCGUUUGGCGCCAAAAAAACCCUUCAUAAAUGCACGUCACGACAUCCGCUCAUGCGCCGUUUCCAGUCACUUCACCCAUCAUUACGCCACCAACCGGAUCCCAACUCUCAGACUCUUCGGCUGUACCAGCCUUCGAGCCUAGUGGGCAACUGUACUGGUACGAUCGGAUGACUCACUGAGUCGGCCAACACUCGGACCAAGCCACCGCCUAAGCAAUGUCGAGGCGGACACGUAAUGAUACGUGGCCAACCGACCCUUAACGUUUAGUCAAGGGUUGACCAAGUCAGCAAAAUUAAUCUGUAGUUAAGGUUGUUUAGCGCAACCCUAAACACGAACCAAUUCCCUAAUCCGGCCCACCAAUGAAGGCCCAUUAAGGUAAUAUAAAUAGCAUGCAUUUCAAGGAAAAAGGUACGUCAUGAUCUACAAUACUCUAACACCCGAGUGCUAACACCCCGACUGACUUGAGCGUUGGAGUGCCUUCUGCAAGUACCCUCACCGCCUGUGGAGCCAGACGACCGAGAGAAGGAAAUGUGUAACAGGGAGCUUGGAGCAUCGUAGACCGACCGAAGGUGGUAGCUGGAGCAAUCCUUCUCUAGGUCCCAAACUCGUUCGAGAACAUUUUUCGUUCAAACCAAAAGUCUUGGGUGCAUUCUGGUGUAUUUAAUAUUAUUAUUUUAGCAUAGUUUAUUUUGGAUUAUUAUUGUUAAAUGACUUUUUAGAUACAUUUGAAUUGUUUAGAAAGUUUAAAAUAUAUGGUGUGAUUGAAUGGUGUAUUCACGUGUUAAAUAAAGUGUGAUCAAGACAUAAUACUUUUAGGAAAGAAAAUACCGUGUUAAGAUUGUUUAAAAUGUGCAUUGACCAGGGAUUGGUCUAGAAUGAGAUAUUCUGACUCUCCUAAUAUAAUGAAAUCAUAUAGAUGAAGUUAUUCAAGUGGUGAGAGUCGAAGGAGGUUCAUAUGAAUGGAUAAAUUGUUUGAAAGAUAACUAACUUUACCUGUUAUAUGAAUUAACCCUGUCAUAAUAGGAGAGAAAUGAUAUUGAGAUUAUUAUGCGCAUAGCUGUGUGGAUUUCACAGUGAUAUAGUGUAUGACAGGUGCAGAUCUCUAAGUCUAAGUCAACCCACGAGUCUUCCAGAAGUAGAGUCAAAUGUCUAUGUGUUGUGAGUCAGUAAAAGUCUGACAUGAGAAAGAUGAAUUGUGAAUUUUGAUAGACACUUAUGAUUAUGUGAAAUGCAUGAAUAUUGAUGGUUUUAGGUAAAUUUUUAAAGUUAUAUUUAUGUUACAAGUUUUAAAAAAUAAAUAAUAGCUAGUUUACCAUUUUAUUUGUUUUGUGGUUGUUUUCUUUAAUCUGUGAUGAUCGUGUAUUUACACAUAAAAAAAAACCUAUACUUUUUUUACAAUAUUUAAACUCAAAUUGAUAUUAAUAAAUGUAGAAGUUUUAAAAGAAAUAUAGAACACUAAAAAAUUCAGAAAGAGGGAGGAAGUAAAUAAUGCCAAAUCAUUUGCAUAACACAAAUUUUAAAAAAUAAUAUAAAAAAGUGAAACAUAAAACACAAAAUUUGUGAAGUAAGAACUUUCAUCUUUAAGACGCAAAAGUAUAAAAAAAAAAACAAAUUUCGAAAUAUUUUCUCUCUUUUGAAUUUGUUACAUAGUGUGCAUGCAGAUAGAAAUAGCAGAUGUAAACGCGUUUGCUUUAUGGGGAAUUGUAUAAAUUUAGUGUCUCACUACUAUGUAAAGAAAGUAAACAACAGUUACGUAUGCAAUUGUGUAAUCUUUAUUUUGCACAUUGUUUAAAAAUAAUCGAUUAUAUAUUUUACAUAAUUAAUUACACAUUUUAUUUUAUAGAGUGAUGUUAUUUUGUAAUUUUUAUGCCUAAUUCGUAUUCCAUAACUCUUAUCUUUAUCUCAAUACCCCAAAUUUAAUUAUAACCCUAGCCCUAACCCAAGACAUCAAAUGUAAUGAUAGUCCUAAUUAUAAUACAUAUUCAUAUUACAUGUCCACAUGAGAUUUUUUAGGAAAAAAUAUUUUUUAAUUAUAAACAAUCAAAAUUCACAACAAAAUAAAUUAUAUUAAUUUUUCACUUUUUUACAUGCAAAGUUAAUUUUGUAAUAUUUAUUUUUAUUAAUUAAAAAAAUAUAAUCUUUUUCAUAAAUAUUUUCUCUCCUCUCCACCAUAUAAUACAAACAAUUCACAUUCAUCCUAUUUUUUCCUUCAAAUUCAAUUUCAGUAAUAAUAUCUUGAUUGACAAGGAUUUUCAAAAUUCAUCAACUCAUUACAUACAAAUUUUUAAAUUUUUUGAAAUAUUACAUUAUUUUUGUUUAUUUUAAAAUAAUUAAUAUGUGAAUACAAAUUUCAAAGGUUUUAAAUUAAUUAAAACCAAAAUUAAAAAUAUCUUAAAUAUUUUAAUGUUAAUGAAUUUAUAUAUACAGUAUAAUAUGAAUAUGUUUAUUCAAUAAUUUAAAGGAUUAUUUCACAAAACUUAUUAUCCAACGUAUUAGUUUAAUAAAUUUCAACUACCAAUCAAAUGUUUAUUUUUUAUUUAAGUUUUUAGUAAUUUUUUAAAAUAUAAAUCAAAUAAAAAUAACAACACAUUAACUAAAUAUAUGAAAGCAAAUUAUAUUUGGAUUAUUGGCAUUCAGAAAAUCAAGUCUUCAGGCCCAAAGGCUGAAGCUUGAUCUCAUUCAUGGUAUAAAUAAAUACUUCCCGGUAAACCCUAAACCCUAAAGAAACCCAGUUCGCAAUUCUCAUCACACAUCACCCCUUUGAUGCUCCUUUCACUCCCUUUCAAUUGCUAACCCACAGACCACUAAAAAUCUAAGAAGAGAGAGAAAGAAGCACAACAAGGAUGUCGGAGGAAGAUGAAUCAAUGGUGGAACAGAGUGAUAAUGGAUUAGGACUUGAUUUUAUACUGAGCCUAGACGAUGUUCCAUCAAAGCUCCCUCCACACCUUGAACUUUUCAGAACGCGUGUUCUUUGUAACAACGAUGCUCCUAUACAUGUAAACCCUCAUGCUCUUGCCCUCUUUUUUGUUCUCUUCAAGUUAUUUUAAUUUUACCCUUUUUAUGCUACAUAGUUUUUACUCCUUUUAAAAGUAUUUUUAACACUAAUUUUUUAUAAAGUUUCUAUCUUCUCAAUUGGGGUGCUGGAAUUUUUGGAGUUAGGAUUCCAAGUAUCGCACUUGUUAUGUAUCUUAGAGAGGUUUGUUUUCUUAUUUACAUUUUUCUAUGUUGGUGUUUGUAGACGGAUACUAUACAUUAUUCUGGUGCUUACGGGGCUUUGGGAGUUGAUAACAGUCAGCAGUUUGAUCGCUUCCGUGAAAACUUCAAAGUUGAAGUGAAGCGGCUUACUGACAGUGACAUGGAGUUUGAUAUGAUUGGUAUAGAUCCAGCAAUCGCCAAUGCAUUUCGAAGAAUUCUUAUAUCAGAGGUGAUCUAUUUUUGCUUCCCUAAUUGUGUGCAAUGCUGAUGGCAUUUUUAAAAUAUUUUGAUGCAUUUGUUAGUGCUAUUUUUGGAGGUUAGAUGUCUUGGCAUAAUCUCCAACACUUGCUCCUUCUUCUUAAAUUUUGUUUUUUAAUAAGUAUCCAAUAGUAGAGAUGAUGCCCAGUCAUGAGCCUUUACUAGUUUAUAAUUUUGAAUGUGUUAAUGUCUUUGUACAGUAUCUAGAAUGAUUUGUCAGAAUUUCUGAAAUUAAAUUAGCAUGUUUUGGACCUAUGACUGUACAAGCAGCCAUAUUUGGAGGGGAUGUACACGUGUCCUUGUAGAGAAGAAUGUUUUAUUGUAGAGUUUGAUGACGGACUUUAAAUAAUACUUUGAGAAACUUAAAUGCAGACAUUGAUUGUUUUUUUCCAAGUCUUAAACUGUGAAAAGGUAACAAAGAGAUCUAUUUCUACCUUUAUUAAACCUCAAGUUACUUUGGGUUGACCCAUAUAUAUCUACUCGAUAUUAUCUAGUGUCUAUUAACUAGACGACUACUAAAGGCAUUGGAUUGUGUGAAUCGUUUAGUAGGUUCUGAAACACUGCUAUUCAAGCUGCCCAAUCUUUUCUGUCAUUCAAUCAGCUUUGAAAUAAGAGUAAAUAUCAGUAUCAGGGAAAAGUAUAAGAUGAAUGUUGGGUUAGUAGGUAAUGAUAAUGCCAUUUUGGAGCAACGAACGUAUGUUAUUGACAUGUGCUCUUUAGAUUUUUCAUUUUGGUUUUGGUUCUACAAAAUCUUCGCAGACUAUACUGAGGUAUGCUGCAGAUUUAUAGCUCCACAAAGUAAGAUUCUGGUAUAAAGUUGAUGCUGCUACCCAUCGCAGCUAUGCAUUGCCUGUAGUAGUGAAAUCUGGUUUGAAACCAGUUAAAACUGACUCAAUAUUUUAAAUGGUUUGAAAUCAGUUCAAUUCAUAACAGUUCUUGAAAAGUGGUUUGGUUCCCAACUGCCUCUAAAACAAUUCUCAUGUUUGAAUUAAGAAUUGGACUGUUUAAAGCUGUUUGGUGUUUAAGAAAAUUCAAUUUUGCACACCUCAAAAUUUAAUUAUUAUUAAAAAAUGUAUGUUUUCUAUUAACAUAUUCAGGAAUCUUACAUCAGGAUAGUUAUGGAAAUACUUAUUAUGAAAUGAUAAAUUAUAUAUAGAUAAGUAUCUAGAAAAUGUGAUGCCCUUUACAAUUAGAAUGUUUACUUUAAAUUUGCUUAAAGCCAGAGGGGAAUAUUGAAUGAGGGGGGUUAAUUUACUUGCUUUUGAUGUUUUUUGCUGAAUUGAAUUUUCUUUUAUUAACUCUGGUUAUCUAUAUCUUUUAAAGCAGUCUUACUUUGAUUUUGUUCAUUGCUUUGUAUGAUGACUUUGAGUAGGUUAGUGGUAGUGUAGUUGUGAAGUACUGGUGGAAAUAAUGUUUUUUUUUUGUGGUUUUAUAAUUUAGGUUCCAACAAUGGCUAUUGAAAGAGUAUAUAUCGCAAACAAUACAUCAAUUGUACAAGAUGAAGUUCUUUCCCAUAGAUUGGGUCUCAUUCCAAUUCGUAUUGAUCCCAGGCUAUUUGAAUAUCCAGGUCUAUAUCUAUACUAACCUAUACGUAAUUGUAUUUGUCAUUAAUUUUAUGACUUUCCGGUUUGUAACUUGAAAAUUUGAACUACUAUGUACACUUUGCAGUGUGUUUCCCUGUAUGGACGCAGUUAAAUGUGUUAUUAUUGCCUUUCUUUUGAAUAGAUAGUGCAGGAGACGACAAUAAUGAAAAGAACACCAUUGUCUUUAGGCUACAUGAACGUUGUCGAGUGGGUCAACCUCGUAUUACUGGUACGUGACUUGAAGCUCCUGCUUGCUAAUAUAUAUGUUAGUUUUAAUUUCUUAUUUAGCUAUUUAAAUUAAUCCUUUACCCUGGCUGCAAUCUGUUUUGAUUGAUGAUAUUGGGAUAUUAUUGCAGUGAAAUCCGAUAAGCUAAAGUGGUUACCUAAUGGGAGCGAGCUUCCCAGUGAAGAUGUCAAACCAAAUACAUCUUCAAAACCAAAGACGUUUACAUCUUUUACUUGCAGCCAAAAUUCACUUCCUGAAUUUUCCAGCAAUUCACUUGAGCUUACAGAUUCGGAUAUUAUAUUAGCUAAACUUGGACCUGGUCAGGUAACCUUCUUCUCUAAAAGGAGUGUAAUCACGUUUUCUUUUCUUUCUAAAUUUUAUGAGUUAAGCUUUAGAUAGAUAAAUUAUCUUUCAUGAAUAACUUUCUUCUCCAAAAGGAUUGCUUUUUGGAUCUUAUUAUACGUGAUAUUGUGAUGUUAUCUUUCUACCCUGAAACUAUUUUAACAUUUAUUAUCAAUAGGGAUGACAAUGGGGCGAGUGCGUGAUUGACUAUACCGGGCCUUGUCCCUGUCCCCGAAGUAAAAAAAUUAUACACAUCCUAGUCCCCAUUUUUGUCGGGUAUGAAAUUUGUGUCCUAUCUCCUCUCGUUGGGUAUCAGUAUAUUUGUACUUGCACCCGUACCUACUAAUGAUCCCAUAUUAAUUAAAUAAUUUUCUUACCAAAAAAAUAAAAACACAGUAAAGAAAGUGUGAUAUUAUAAUAAAUUAUAUAAUUGAAAUUUCAUGAUAACUAGAACAUUUAUUAUUUUUGCAAAUGUCGAGAGAGAAAUAUAUUGGGGAUUGAGUGAACUUGUUGGAUAUCAGACUAGUUGAACGGUUGAAAUAUAGAAUGAAAAAUAAUGUAGCAAGAGGAGAGUUCUUCAAAUGAAACAAAAUGAAGAACCAAGAGAAAAGAGAAGAUUGAGAGUUCUCACAUAGCAAAAAGUAAAUAUCAAAUAAAAAUAAUGAAAAAAACAAAAAUAAUUUAAUGUGUCCUAGAAAUGAUUUAAUUCGAUAAAACUGAUGUUUACUUAUCUUGAAAUGCAAUACAUCAUUUGAAGACAAUCUCACAAAGGAAAAACUUUGUAAUUGGGGUUGUGAUGGAAGAGAACAAUGUAAAUUAGUCUUUAGGUUACUUAAUAAACUAAAUAUGUUUUAGUAAUUUAAAACAGGGAUGAAGUGUGUAUGUUCAUGUUCAUACCCAUAUUCAUACCUGUGCCUAGUCAAUAUGGAGAUUUUCCAUCAAAAUUGGGAUGUGUUCGGACAAUAUUUGUGGAGUUUAUUUACCAUCUCUAAUUUUCAAUGCAUACAGUUCCACUACUAGCCAACUUUUUUCCUCAUAGACUGUAUAAUUGCUCUUUAAUGACAUAUUUGUUACUACACGAGGUUUAUUUACCUCUGUUUCUAUCUAUCCUUUUGCUUACCAUGUAAUGCAAGACACUGAGUUAUAUGUUUUUUCAAGCUUGUUUCUGUUUACUUGUCUUCGUAUAGAAUACUGAAAGUAUAUUUGAUACUGAAUAUGGUAUACAUAUACUAUUUGUAGGAAAUUGAACUUGAAGCACAUGCAGUUAAAGGCAUUGGUAGGACACAUGCAAAAUGGUCCCCAGUUGCCACUGCUUGGUAUAGGAUGCUUCCGGAGGUAAGGGAAUACAAUAUAUCUUAUCUACUAGUCAUACUCACUUCGAACACUGCAAAAAACUUGCAAAUUCUGCCACGUGUAAGCUUGAUUUUUUUGUCUCUCUUCUAGGUUGUACUCUUGGAAGAUUUUGUGGAUGAGCAGGCUGAAAAAUUAGUAAAUAAAUGUGAACCUAAUGUGUUCGAUAUUGAAGACAUUGGAAAAGGUAGUUCAGUUUUUGUUUCAGUGCUGUCGUGGACCAUAUUAUAGUGAAGGAUGAUUAUUGUUUUUCUCUUUGGCACUUAGUUUGCUGAUUUGGUUAUUGAGUAGGUAAAAGAAGGGCAACAGUAGCCAGACCACGGAAUUGCACUUUGUGUAGGGAAUGCAUCAGAGGGGGCAAAGAAUGGGAAGAUCGAAUAUCAAUACGUCGCGUUAAACAUCAUUUCAUUUGUAAGUUGUACCCUAAACACUAGACCUUCAAAGUUAUCUGAAAUCUUAGCAUACAAAAAAUUACAUCAUUUUUAGUAGGCUAGUCUCAACAUAACUUGUUCUUGUUGUGGUUCAGCUUAGAAGUAAUAAUUUAUUGAGUAGGUUUAUUGACAUGACUGAUGCCAUAUAUUGAUUCUCUUUAUUAAGAAAAAAGGCCUUACAGAUGUUGGUUAUCUAAUGAGAUAUUCCCGAGAAUGUUGAUACAUUAGAUUAUAGCCAAUGGUUAUGCUGUGGCAAAUAUAAAGAAUGCUAGCAACACUCUCAUUAGGAUUGAUUGAAACAUAUUGGAAACCACCAAUUUAAAUAAAUAAAUGAGAAUCAUUAAAUGAGAAGCAGAUCCAAUAAAAUUAUGGCAGGUAUAAGAUGAAAUGAUGCAUGCAAAGAGUCUCUACUUUUUUGUGCAAAUUUGGUUUGACUAAAAGAUGAAUGUUUGAAAUGUUGCAAAAAGAUCUUACAUAUUUAUCUUUUUACUCGUCUGUGUAGUUACUAUUGAAUCAACUGGAGCAUUACCACCUGAAGUGCUAUUCACUGAAGCUGUGAAGAUUUUGGAAGAUAAAUGUGAACGUGUGAUUACUGAGUUUUCUUGAUUCUUCUUUUUGCUGUGUCAUAAUCUUAAAAUCAAUGAAAUGGAUAAGUGUGAUCCAUGUUCAGUUCUGAUAUGAUUCAAUUUUUUAGGACUCCUUAUAAAUUAAAGCUCUUUCCUUACUCUUAGUUAAGCUAUGGAUGUCUGCAUGUUUUAUAUCCAGUAGUAGUUUAACUCACUAAUGGAUUUUAAUUUGUCUUGUUCUUUUUUAUCUUCAAAUUUUAAUUUUUUUUAGAUUAGUGAUGACACUAUUUAAAAAUGUUGUCAUAUUAUUGACCAUAUUGUUUCACUAGUAAGUGGCAAUAAUUAUUCCAUUUUUAAAAAUGAAAAGAAAUAAUUUGACCUUGUACUCACUGCACAAAUAACUUAAAGGAGUGUUAGAGUUUUAGUUAGAACAUCAAAACUAACUUUUAAUUUGGAUUGAAUGUUGGAUCAAUAUGCUUAACAUUUUUAAGAACUAGGUAAAAGUAAAGUUUAUUUCAAAUUUUAGUAAAUUUAAAUAAACAAGUAUAAAUAGAAUAAUACAUGAAAGAAAUAUUGUUUAUUUAUUUUGAUGAAAUGUUCAAACGAGAAGAUUUAAUGUCUAAUCUAGAUUUAAGUUUUUGGACGAUGGAUAAAUAAUAAGAGUUUUUUAGAUGUUAAGUUUUAUAAAAUAACCUAAUUUCAUGGAGUGAAUAUUUAUAUAGUAAAAGUAUUUAAAUGUUGAAUGUUGUAAUUUUUUGUAUUAUAUAUUUAGUAAAUUUGUAUACUUAAUCAAGAUAACUAAAAUAAUUACAAUAAAGGAUGUUGGAGUUAUGAACUUACAUAUAUUUAUAUUUACAAAUUUAUUCGAUUACUCUAUUCAUUUAGGUUUAAUUACUUUUUAUAUUUGAGGUUAAUAUUUAAUUUAUUAUAGUGAUUUUUUUCUUAAAAUCAAUGUGGUCCUUUAUGUUAAAUUUGGAUCAACGAUGUUAAGUGUUUAUGAUGUGGUAGAGAGAAGUGUAAAUGUGGACUUUACGGCGAUUUGAACAAUUUUGUUGAUUUGGAUUCUUGAUUGUGGUACCGUGUUUGUUAAGUAUUUUUCAUUUUCAUUGUGUGCGUUUAACGAUUGGUUGAUUCAGAGGUUUAUGGUAAGUUUUUGAAAUGUUAUUUAUUUGAUUCAGUUAUUUUAUAUGUUGUAUGUUGCGUAAUUAAUUACUUUAAGAAAACUUUUGUAGUAAUUUAGGAUUUAUGGUCCCACCAUGUGCAAAAUCUUCGUGUAUGUGGUCCAUUGUGGUCUUACAUUCCUUUUUAGUUUAUUAAAUGAAGGAUUUAUUUGUAUUUUGUUUAGUAUUUUUAUCUACAUCUAUAUUUUAUAAGGAUACCUUUUAUAAAUUUGUUAUCAUAUAUGAAAGUUUUUUUUACCUUGUGGUCCACCAUAAUGAGAAAUUUUUGGAAGGUAACAAAGUGAGAUAUGUGGAUGGUCAGACAUCAACAUUGUCAUGAAACUCUGAUAGAUGGAGUUACUUUGAAAUAGUACGCAUUGUGAAGGAGAUGAUGUUUUUAACAAUAAAUCGAAUGUGGUAUUUACAUGGAGGUUGUUCUGUGUUAGAGAAAAAUUGUAGAUUUUGGUUGAUGAUGGUGGUGCAAUAGAUAUGCUGAAAGUUACAAAUAGAUAUGAUGAAAUUUAUUUAUUUUUAGUACACAAUGUAUUAAAGGUACAAGUUGUGGAGCAUUAUUUUAUAGAAUAUAGGGACAAGGGUGAGGGUAAGGAUGAUUGAUGGUCAGGAAGGUGAUGCUGAGAAGGAUGAGCUUCAUGACAGUCAGGUUGAGGAAGCUGACAUUGAGGAUGAUGAUGGUGAGGAAGUUGAUCUUGAGCGGGGUGAUGGUGAAGAUAUUGAGGCUGUUGGUGAGUCUGAUUCUAAGGUUGUUGGUGAGGCUGGAGCAGAGGCUCUUGUUGAGGUUGAUGCCGAGGCUCUUGGUGAACUGAUGCUGAGGGUGUUGGUGAGGCUGAUGCUGAUGACAAUGUUGGGCAUGUGUUAGAAGAUUCUUCAUGGUUAAGGAAGGACAAUAUUGAAUUUGUUGAAGUUCAUAGUGAGGUUGACAAUGCAAGAGGUGAGAGCUAUUGAGAGUAGGCAAAAAUGAAGAAAUAGAAGAGAGACAAACAUUCUCAUAGAUGGUUAUGAACCAAAUUUUGCAGAUGAUUUGUAAAAUUUGUCUAGUGAUGAAGAUAAGAUUGAAGUUAAACUUGUGCAUGAUAGAAGGAUUUUUAAGAAUGCGAAUGAAAUAGAGUUGAAACAUAAACCUACUCCAAAUAGUAAAAUGCACGUCAAUGUCUAAAAUAUUAAAGGGAUAAAGGACAAAUGUAAGAGUUUUUGCUUGCUUCACUAAAUCAUUUGAGACCUAAGUUAUAUAAUUUUUUUAAAAUUAUUUUUGGAAUUUUGAUUUGAAAUGAAGGAGUGCUAAGGUUGGAUUUUGGUAAUGGUGGAUUGCAGGUGGAGGCAAGGCUCAUGUCCAACAAGGUGCAUUGGAGGUUGUGGUUGUGAUUGGAAGUUUGAAUUAGGUGAUUGAGGUAAGAAUGUGUGAUUGAAUAGUGUUUGGGAUGAAAUUAGGAAUGUAUUGCUUUCUAGAAAUCAAAUUAUGGAAAAACUAGAGUAAGCAAUAUAGAAGCAUUCUGAAAAUUUUGUUCCUUGAGAGGGUUAUUUGCUUUUUGAAAAUGUAAAUUCAAAAGAGAUUUUUAUAAUGGAAAACGUAUUCUAGAAAGAAAAAUCCAGAAUGUUAGUUAUGAAUUUUAAUAUGAAUUUCGAAAGAGAAAAUAUCAUUUUUCUUCUUCCCACAAAAUGCAUUUGAGAAAACACAAAAGAAUUAUCGAAAAACAACCACAAGUCAAUAAUUUAAUAAUAUCAAGAUAAAAUUAUAAAUGUUAAUAAAUAUAUACACACCGCAUCUAAAUUAUUUAAUACUAUAAUAAAUAUAUUUAAUUUUAAUACAUACAAUUUUUUUUAAACUUUUUACUGUUACUUUUUAUUAACCAAGUUAAAUGAGUAAUACUUACUUCUCUAUUUUAUUUAAUCUACUUUCUUUUAAAAAAUAUAGAGAAGCAUAUAUAUAUAUAUAUAUUUUGUAGAUUACAUUAUUGUUCCUGCUAGGGAGAUGGGACCUAGAGAACUGUUGAAGUCUUCUUCUCCCUCCUUCGGUCGGGCAGGUGGCUGGGUGAUGAACUGGGAUCCUUCUCUUUCUUCUGCUUACCCUUCGGCACUCGGAACUCGGUCGUCGGGUGAACACCGGAUGGUGGGGGUACCUACGAAGGCACUCCGACGCUCAAGUCAGUAAAGCGGGUGGUUAGCUCUCAGGUAGGUGAACAGUAAUAAUGACAUACCUUACUCCUUGAAAUGCGUGCUAUUUAUAUUAUUCUAGUGGGCCUACCUUGUUGGGUCCGUUUAUCGAGGUGGAUACCGCUUAGGGUUGCAUUACCUAAUUCUUGAUGGUGGAUUAGCUUCACUGAUCUCGCGUUAGUUGUAAUGGGGUUCGGCCAUCGGCCAAUUCCCAUGGUAAGGGUCGGUCAUCGGCCAAAUACCUGUGGUCUUCGGCCGUCUAAGUUGAGUCGUCUAAGGUCUCGGCCUCUCGGCCAAGUCUCCAAAGGUCUCGAUCUCUCGGCCAAGUCUUCUAAGGUCUCGGCCUGUCGGCCAAGUCUUCUAAGGUCUCGGCCUGUCGGCCAAGUCUUCUAAGGUCUCGACCUCUCGGCCAAGUCUUCUAAGGUCUCGACCUCUCGGCCAAGUCUUCUAAGGUCUCGACCUCUCGGUCGCCUCGGCCAAGCCUUCCAAGGUCUCGGCCUGUCGGCCAAGUCUUCUAAGGUCUCGGCCUGUCGGCCAAGUCUCCAAAGGUCUCGGCCCACGGCCGGUCUACCAAGUAGGUUCUCAUGGUCUCGGUCAGGCUGACACGGCAUCGGGCAGCCGUGUGGGUCCCGAUCUCUCCCCCGUACCGGUACAAUUAUUAUUUUAAUAGCAACUUAAUUUGUAAUUUAAAAGUUAGAAUGUGUUCAGAAAGUAUUUUUUUUUUUCCUUAUUUUAGCUGAUUUAAUGAAAAAUAAGUUGUUUAUAUAAAAUUAUAGGCACCGUUGAUUUUUAUUUUUUUCCUUUUAAUGUGUAUAAAGAUCAAUGGUUUACAAUUGUCGAUGCACGUUGAAUCAAAACCACGACUAGCACUGCCUGAGGCGGUGCUCCACUUGUUGGGUUUCGCUACCUUUCGAUUGGUGCCAAAGUUUUGAUUUUUCAGAGGUAUCAUCCAAGAUUCACUCCCUUUUCUUCAAAUUCAGCCACUUUUUCCAAAAGGGUGUUUUCCAUCUCGUGUUUUUCAUGUCUGUUUAUUGAUUUCUAAUAUUCCUAGUAUUUUCUGUACAUUCAGUUAUCAUUUUAUUUUUACAGGGUGUUUGGAUAAUAAUUUUGAUUUUUAAUUUUUUCUCAUUGAAUUAGGCUUGUAUUAUCUGAAAUAAGUCUCUUAUUAGAUUGAAUUGGAGAUAUGAACCUUGCUGAUUGGGAUCAAGAACUGAAAAAGUAUCAGGAUGUGAUAGCUUCAGGUACCAAGAAUAUGAAAAUAAAGGCCAUAAUGAUGCUGGCUCGUAUUUCUAAGCAUGCCCCUGAACCUGUUUUAGCUCGCACCAUACCCAUUCUCACUGAGAUUCUUGGUCACAAUGUUUUAAAUGACUCUGCACCUUCACUUCAAGAGGCUGCUGCUUAUUGCUUGAAGUGCAUUGCUUGCAGGGGUGAUGGUGCGUUGGCAGUUGAAAUUGGUGGACAUGGUGCUCCUCAUUCUUUGAUGAGGUUGUUGCCUCACUCUGAUGGAAGGAUGCAGAAGAUCCUGAUAAAAUGUUUGCUGGUUAUUGUUAGUUUUUGCAAUGCAAGUAGGACAGUUGUUGCCACCAAUGGUGGGGUGGAAGUGAUAAUUGGUUUGUUGAGUUCUUGCACCAAUGAUACUAGGAGGUAUUUGUUGGAGAUUUUGAGUGUGUUAGCAUUGAGGAGGGAUGUUAGGAAGGCUCUCACUAGACUAAGAGCUCUUCACUAUGUUGUGGAGGCUGCUAGUUUUGGGAGCAUAGUGUCCAGGGAAAGGGCUUGCCAAGCAAUUGGUUUGCUUGGAGUCACUAGACAGACUCGGCGUGUGCUUGUUGAAUUGGGAGCAAUUCCAGUUCUUGUGUCGUUGUUUCGUGUUGGAGAACACUCUACAAAGCUUGUUGCUGGUAAUUCUCUUGGUGUGAUAUCUGCUCAUGUGGAUUACAUUAGGCCAGUUGCUCAAGCUGGGGCUAUCCCCCUUUAUGCUGAGCUUCUUGAAGGACCUGAUCCUUCUGGGAAAGAGAUAGCUGAGGAUGUUUUUUGUAUAUUGGCUGUUGCUGAGGCAAAUGCUGUUGAAAUUGCUGGUCAUUUGGUAAGGAUUCUUAGAGAAGGUAAUGAUGAGGCAAAGGCUUCUGCGGCCGAUGUGAUGUGGGAUCUGUCGGGCUACAAGCAUUCAAUGUCUGUAGUCAGGGAUUCAGGUGCAAUUCCUAUUCUUGUUGAGCUUUUGGAGAGUGGGAGUGAAGAUGUGAAGGUGAACGUUUCUGGGGCAUUUGCUCAACUGAGCUAUGAUGGAACUGAUAGAAUGUCACUUGCUGAGGCAGGGGCUAUUCCAAUUCUCAUUGACUUGAUGAAUGAUGUUGAUGAGGUUGAGGAACUAAGGGAUAAUGCUACAGAGACUCUUGUCAAUUUUUAUGAAGAUCCAUUGUAUCAUGAUAGAGUGUCCAAUGCAAUUAAUGUUUCUUCAUUCAGAAAUAUGCAGAAUAGGUUGGUUCAUAUUCGUGCAUCGAAUGAGCACAUGGCUAGAUCCUUGAGAAGAAUGAGCGUUGAGCAGCUCACAUGGAACCCAGAUGUUGUAUAAUCAGUUUGAGGGUGUCUUUUUGAUCUCAAAGCAUUUGCAGAAUAGGCUUCUCUCUCUUAAGUUUUAGGACUACACUUUGAUGCAGUACCAUGAAUGCUGUUGGUGCGGUUGUCUAAUCAGAAUAGGUAAAACUUCCUAUCUCCUUAGAAAACACCACCAAUUUUAUCAGUUUUAUACCCUAGCAUAGAUGCAUGUUGUGAUGAGAAUUUGGAGAAACUAGAGAGAGAUCUUGAUAUUUGCAGAAGUUCACAGACAAAUAUAAAUGGGUGAGUUAGUGUUUUACUUGUAGCAAAAUAUCUAAAUUUGCAUAACUUUCUUGUAUUGUCAUUAGUAAUGUUAUUCAUUGUGAAUCAGAAACAGUCAUACCCUUUUACUAAGCUCCUAGGCUAUUUUGUAUUAGUAGUUUAUUUUGAAUUCUCAUUAGAUUUGUUACUGAGUUUACAUCCUCUAGAAGAACUAUAGCGUGUUUACAAGAUCGUCCAACUUUUUAAUUUAAGAAGUUCUGAAGAGGAAGAACAUGGACAAAACACAAAUUGUUUUUUUUAUACUCAAUGCUUAUUUUGAUAUCUAGACUACAAAUUAUGAGCUAGUUUGGAGAAAUAUUUCGACAUAUUCUUGUCUCAAAAGAAAUAAAAUAUACUAAAUUUCUUGCAUAAGUUAAAAUUAACUCAGACAUCUAUUUUCAAAAGUUCCAUCAUAUAACUUCUUCAAUGCACUUGUAAACUUAAAAUAACUGGACAUUCUUGCUUUAAAAAUUGCUUUGACAACAAGUUUUAAGAAUUAAAAGUUCUGAAUGCCCUUAUAAACUUAAAAGAACUUUACACUCUUACUUUUAAAUUUGUUUUAACAAUGUUUUAUAUGUAAAAAGUUCUCAUAAUAAGCUAAAAAUGAACCCAUUGAGCUUAUACGUACCACUAAGUGACCUCUUUUUUAUUGUUGUUUUCACUAUUUCUUUCAUGAAAUAAAAAUAAAAUAAGCAUAGUAUGGGAUUUUAUAAUUAUAAUAAUAAUAACAUUGUUUCAUAUCUGCACCAAAGAAAACAAGGUUUCAUCUAUAAGGUGCAAAAAAGCAUUAAGUGAUAAUAAGAUUGCUUGUUUUCACUGCAUAAAAUUUUAAAGUUAGUGCAUGAAAGAACAGCUCUUGUCAAAGACUAGAAAUUUGCCUUUAGUGUUUAAUAAAAUUAUCAUAUUAUUAUGCAGUUCGCGCUAUUAUACUAUUAUUACACCAAGACUCUAUUAUGCUCUUAGGUCUAUGUUUUCCACUUUGCAUAUAUGAAACCCAAAUAAGGAUCCAAAUGACUGCCCUUAGUAAUGAAGGUCAGAUAAGAACCAAUCGAUUAUCUUUAAUUUGAUGUAUACCCAAUUUGAUUUAUCUGUCUUAGAGAUGUAUCCAAACAUUUCACACACAAAGCCUUAUACUGUCUCACACUGAUGGCCCUGUGAUAGUAGAAGCAGAAUAGGUAUUCAAGUCUGAACUGAAACAGUUUAACCAUUUGUGAGAAGUUCAAUUAUUCUUAGCAGUAAAAACCUCUAUAUAAUAUAGAGUGUGCACAUUUUCACUCCAUAGUCAACUUGUGUAGUGAUACCACAAUGCAGCAGUCUUAAGCCUCAGGCAUCAUAACUGGAUCAUAAAGUAGUAAAAACCUCAGGCAUCUUGAUGUUAAAAUAUUCAGAGAGCUAAUCAACAGAGGUCUUUGUAUGGACAUCAUAUACACCCUCCUCCUCUUGCUUUACUAUGUAGCCAGUUUUCUUCUGAAUCUCUUCCUGCCAAAACACCAAGAAUGUAAUGAAAUUAAUAUAUAGUUAAUUGUAAACCAUUGUGCUUGUUAGCAGUGCAAAUUUGUUUUUGAACAAAGCUUAUAGCGAUAGACCGACUUUUGGUAUGAUUUUCAGUUAUUUAAGAAAAAUCAAAAGAAACAAACGAAAGAGAGAGCACAGGCAUUUAUACUGGCUUUACCUUUGAGUCGUUUUUAUCAAAGAUUUCACCAACUAUUUCCUCAACAAUAUCUUCCAGAGUUACAAUCUGUAAAAGGUAAUAUUGAUAACAUUUAUAUGCCAUACACAUAGGCUCUUUAAAAUUUUCAGAACUUAUAGGCAGACAACAUAAAAUAGAUUUCAGACAGCUAGUGAGUAGCCUAAAAGUUAACAAGACGUGUACAAGUGAUUUUCACAAAAAGUGGUUAUGAAAUUUAAUAUGGGAUGUCUAGUACAUGGGAAACUGAAAUAAUAUUGCAGUUUCCAUUUAAAACAAAUUAAAAAUACAGUUUUUCUAUGGCUAGGAAGUUCAUGAAAUUUCAUUUUCUAUUCAAAAGAGAAAGAUAAUGAUAAUAGAAAAAGAAAUAACAUCAUUCAAGACAGGAUACAUUUCCUGUUCUUCCUCCUCUAUUGCCUCACUUAAUUCUGCACCUCUUACCAACAAUUUUAGCUCUUCUUCAGUAACAUAUGGUUCUCUGAAGUAGUAAACAACAACUGAUUAAUGUGGAACUGCAAAAGUUUCAAGGAGAAUGUUCACAAAUAUAACUGCAACAUAAGCAGGGUAUGUACCAUACAAACUUUAUCAGUAAUCUGAUAAAGCCACCCCACUGGCUUGACCUGGAUACACCAGAACCAAUAUUUAUAAUAAAAAGAAAUUAAAUAAAAAAAUAUCACGUAGAAUUCAAAUGUGUAUUCUUCAUAAUUUAUGUUUUAAAGAUCAUCAAAGAACAGUAUCACUUACCACAAGCCGAAUCACAUCUGUGGUAUUAUGAACAGCAAAACUUUUUGGAGUGAUCUCAGUGAGAAGCAAUAUGGCAACCGUGUAUGAUUAUGGAUAAUUGAAUCAAAGACAGAUUGGAAAUUUAUGAGACUUAACAAAAACCAUUUAUGUGGACAUGUAUUGCAUGUUUUAUACAAGUACAACUAGAGAAUAGAUUCAAGUAAUAAGAUUAUUUCUGCAGCUAACAUCCUAUUAUUUUACAAAAACAGUUAAUCAUCAGAAUUCAGAAAUACAUAAUAAUCAGAUACUGUAGCAUUAUUGAUAAACAUACAGUCAUUACUCAUGUUGCUAAAACAAGCCAACAAUAUUCAGUUUACUCAUUAAUAAAAAAUUCUUAAAAAUGUUCAAUUUAAUGUCAAAAUUUAUCCUUGAACCAAUUUGAUGUAUUUACUGCCGUGUUUUGCACAACUACUUUUAAAUUUUAAAAAAUAAUAAUAAAAAAAUUCAUUUAACAUAAUGUUUAGUAGGAAGGAAAUGAAAGAGAAGGAAAGAAAGGAAACUUCUAUAAACUUUUCUUAUUUGGAUGAAAAGGGAGGGCACCAAAUUAUUCCCUUACUCAAUUUUGGCUCCCUCAAAAUUGGGUGGAUUUGUACGGGAGAGAAACUUUCAUGCUACUAUUUAGACUGUAUCAUAUUUAAGAGCUUUAUUUGUUUCUCUUUUGAACCAAAUAGUGCACAAGAGAAGUAUUUUUAUAUUGAAAACUAUGUAUAACUAAUUCAAGUAUAAUUUGAAAAGAAAAGAAUAAAAAAGGUAAAAUUCUUCAAAUUAUAAAAAUGGUAUCCAUAAAUUCAAGAAGAUUUUGUCAUAUGCGGUUGCAUAAAAAAAAAAAAAACCACAAAGCCUAAGGAACAAAAGUAACACCCCCUUGGAAAUCUACUUAAAAAUAAAACUUCUUUGUUCUUUUCUUUCUAUCAAAGGUCUUAUAAUGACCAUUUUUUUAUUGGUGGACAACUGGUAUAAGCUAACAGAAAAUUAAAACAGAAAAGAUCUUCCAAGAUCCUCAUAAACAGACAAACAUUCAUAAAUAACCCUAGAUAAAAUCUUUUAGCCAUGAGGGCUUGGACGUCUUUCUAAUGGGCCUUUGAGGUGUGAGUCCACUAUCAAUUGUUGUCCCCUGCAGAGCAACCUUGUCCUCAAGGUUGUUGGAUGUGGAUUUGGGAAGGGCAUUUGGAAGAGGUUGUGGGUCUAUGAUGGGUUCCUUGAGUGUAGAUUGGGGAGGUGUUAUUAUCAAUGGGCUAGGAUUGGGUAAGAAACUUUGGUUGGGUCGUGAGUGAGGUAUGUGGAGAUGUUGAGACUGAAUUUGAUUUAGUGGAGAGAUUUGAAUGGGCUGUUGAAUGUUAUUGGACCGAGUAAGGUGGUGGAGGGGCAAAUGCUUCCUACACCCAAUCAUUUUUGACAUGCACCCAACAUAUUUUUUUAAUUUCUAAAAAUGCCCUUAAUUCCAGAAAUAAAAAUCCAGAAUUGAAAAUAAUAUAUUCCGGAAAAAUAAAUUUGGAAGUGAUUAUUGAGUUUCAGAAAUAAAAAUCCGGAAAUAAAAAUUAAAAUUCUAUUUCGGACAAAAAAAUCCGGAAUUGAAAAAUAAUACAUUCUGGAAAAGAAAUUAUUGUGUUUCGGAAAUGAAAAUCCGGAAACAAAAAUGAAAAACCCAUUCCAGAUAAAAAAAUCCGUAAUAUAAAAUUUCGUUCAGGAAAAAAAAAUCUGGAAUACAUAUUUUGGAAUUUUUUUUAAGGACAGUUUCGUCUUUUCCGCUAGAAUCGGGUACAGUGAUAUGGUGCAGGAAGCAAUUGCCUAGUGGAGGAAGGGCGUGUGGUUGGUGAGACCGGGGUUGUUUCUAGUGUGGGAUGGGUUGGGGUGUUUGAGUGGGUUAGGGUUGAAUUAGGGUGAAUUUGAAAGGUUGGGGAGGGUAAGUGACCGCCAACAUUAAUGACACACGGGUGGGUAUUAAGGAGAGUGUUUGCUGAUGUGUUUAUGGUGUUAAUGGCACGUGGGUGGGUUAGGUGACAAGUGAAGGGUCGUUCAAUGGUGGCCCUUGAUGGUGGACACGUGUCAUUGGUAGCGGAAAUCUCGCUGAUGUUAGGUGAGAAUGUUGCGUGCGGAGGAAGUAAAGAAUUUUAAUGGUUUAAGUUAUCUUUUGAGUGUUCUGGGUUGAGUUAUGAGCCAUAAAGAGUGUUGGGAUGUGGAGGAAAAAUGAGAGUGUUGUCGUCGGGGUGGUGAAGGGUGGGGUUUUUGUGGCCGUGGUAAGGUUUAAGUAAAGCAAUGUGAAGCAACCACUCCUAUGCAUUUGAUGAUGCGAUAUGGACCAUAAUAUUUUCGAAUGAGUUUGUGGUGAGGCUUGGAAGAGAGGGAAAAUUGUUGGUAUGCUUUUCGUCGUAGUGGCACCCAAUUGUUAAUGUUGAAGACGUAGUCGUGAUUUGUUUGCAAUUUGGGCCAUGCGAUGUUGAGUGUGAGCGAGGGUGGUCUUCAAAUGGUGCAUUAUCUAUGUGCACUCUUGUAAGGUAGUGGCGAGAGCUGGUUCUGUUGUCGUGCUCGAAAUGUAGUCUGAUAUGGAAGGUGGAGGUCGCCCAUAAAGCGCUUGGAAAGGUGUAGUAUUGAUUGCGGUAUGGUAGGACGAGUUAUACCAAAACUCAACAAGGUGUAAGUACUUGUACCAUGUCCUCGGAUGGUCACUUGCGAAGGUAAAUUUCUAAUCCUCUAUUUAUGACUUCCGUUUGACCAUCUGUUUGAGGAUGAUAGGCGGUGCUAAAUUUGAGUUUGGUGCCUUGUAGGUGAAAAUGUUGCUUCCAAAAAAUUACUGAGUAAGAGUGAGUCUCUAUCGAAGAUGAUGGAUUUGGGAAUGUCGUGCAACCUACAAAUCUCAACAGAAAACGGUUAGCCAAUUGGGAUACGGUGAAGGAGGUGGGUAAUGCUAUGAGGUGGACAGAUUUGGACAAAAGAUCACAUAUGACCCAUAUCACCGUGUGGCUAAAUGUGUUAUGAAAUCUGUGGUGAGCUCAUCCCAAAUUUGGGUUGGUGAGGGAUUGGGUUGUAAAAGACCUAAGGGUUUGUUGUUGACUUGUUUAUUUUUUUUGGCAAGGGAGACAUUGUUUGAUGAACGAUUUGACAUCUCUAUACAUCCCUGGCCAAUAUAAGGACGCGGCUAGGCGAGCCACAAUGGCUUUAAGGCCCGAGUGUCCAACAGAGGGGGUGGCAUGGAACUAGUGAAGUAUGGUGGUGUGCAGAGAUUAUAUGGAUGUUAGAUAUAGUCUUCGGUCGAGAUACAAAAGAUCGUUUUGAAAGGUAUAUUCUUUGUUUUGAGAAGCUGUAACUUUGUGUACUUCUUGUUUCCCCAAUUUUGACUGGUAAUAUUUUUUUAAUUGCAAGAGGAUUUCUAGGAUUGGGGAGGAGAUGGCCAAAAAAAUAGAAGUGGGUGACCGAGAGAGGAAAUAAACUGCUUGAUUGUGGCGGUCUGGGCGGUACAAAAUAUAAAAAAUGUAACCAAUGAGUUUGGUGGCCAUUUUUGUUGCUCUAGAGUAGAACAUGCCUUGGUAAGUAACCCCUUAAGACUUCUGUGAGAAUUUGGAAAUGAUUGUCAAUUAGGUAGUGUCUCCAUUUUUUUAUUGCCUUAGUGAUUGCGAGCAUUUCUUUGACAUGCACUAAAUUAUAAUGUAUUUUGGAACAUAGCUUCUUGCUGAAGAAAGCAAUGGGAUGACCAGCUUGGGAGAGAACUGUGCCAAUGACAGAAUUGGAGGCAUCUUUUUCAACCACAAACGAAAGAGAAAAAUCUAGAAGAUGUAGAACAAAGAGUGUAGUUAGGAAUUUCUUAAAUUGUAAAAAGGUCUUUUGUGCCUCUUCAUUCCAUGUAAAAACUUUGAAUUUUAGUAAAUCCGUGAAUGGAGGGGCAAGAAUGGCAUAACCGUGUAUAAAUUUGUGAUAAAACUCGGUAAUUCCCAAAAAAACGCGGAGAGUGGUGAGAGAGGUAGGUUUGGGCCAAAGAAGUAUGGCCUGAAUCUUGUCUGGGUCAGGAGCAACAGUCCCUGCUUGAAUGAUAUGGCCCAAAUAGAAAACCCUAGACGUUGCAAACAUGCACUUAGAUUCUUUGACAAAAAAUUGUUGUCUUGAAGUAAUUAGAGAGUAAUGGUAAGGUGUUGGAUAUGCUCUGACAUGGAUUUACUGUAGAUAAGGAUGUCAUAAAUAAACUAGCACAAAUUGUCUUAGAUGCGGUCUUAGGAGGUCGUUCAUGGCCGCUUGAAAGGUAGAAUGGGCAUUAGAAAGCCCAAAUGACAUAAUUAAUAACUCUUAAUGACCAUCAAAGGUUCGAAAAGCUGUUUUAUGGCAAUCAGUAGACUGUACUUUGAUUUGGUGAUAUCCAGACCCUAAAUCCAACUUAAUAAACACCCUAGCUUCUGUUAGCUCAUCCAGUAAUUCAUCAAUAGUUGGAAUUGGAAAUCUAUCUUUCAUUGUAAUAGCAUUCAAAGCCCUGUAAUCAACACAAAAAACGCCACAGACUAUCUUUUUUUUAAUAAGAAUAACCGGUGAAGAGAAAAGGAUUUUACUUGGGCAAAAGAUACCCUCUCUAACAUUUCUCGGAUGAGUGAUGUCAUGUAUGUUUGUGGGCAUGUGGGUAGCAGUAGGGCUUGAUAUUUACUGGUGGGGAAUUUGGUAGUAAGGGUAUUUGGUGGUUUUGUGUGCGGUGGAGGGUAGGCCGUGGAUAGUGGUAAAAACUGAUUGGUAAGCAUGAAAGAGGUUGGAAACAUGAUGGUGGAUAUUAGAUGGAGGUGGAGAAUGAGGAUGAGGGUCUGAUUUGGAAAACUAAGAGGUGAAAAGUGGAUAGUGGUAAAAACUGAUUGGUAAGCAUGAAAGAGGUUGAAAACAUAAUGGUGGAUAUUAGAUGGAGGUGGAGAAUGAGGAUGAGGGUCUGAUUUGGAAAACUAAGAGGUGAAAAGAUGCUACGGAAUUUGUGUGUAAAAGGUGAUAAAUAUUGGUGGUCGAAACAUGGUUAUCUAAAAGUUUAGUGGUACCUUGCAGAAUGAUGGGAAUGCCAUUAUGGUUGAAAGAGAGUUGAGGUGCAGAGAAAUAUGCUUGUAGGAGUCUAAGAGAAUAUAACCAAUCCAUGCCAAAGACUAAAUCAACACCUUCAAUAGGGAUUAAGUAGAAGGGAAUGGAGAAACAAUGUUGUUGAAUAGAAACAGUGAGGUUGAGGCAUAUAAAUGUGCAAUGUAUUUUGUCACCAUUGCCAACCAUUAUGGAAAAGGGUGUGAUCGGGAGACUACAAAGGUUAAGAAACGAGGUAAGACAAGGUUGGAGGAUGUUAUGAGAGCUGCUAGUGUCGAUUAAGAUGGUGACUGGGAGACUGACAAUGUAGCCUUGGAACUUAAAUGUGUGGGUUGAAGGUGUGCCGGAUAAAGCUUGAAGAGAUAGGUGGAUGUGAGAUGAGUCCACGGGUUCUUGGUCAUUGUCUAAGGUGGAAAUAGUAUCUGGUGAUGUAUCUGAGGGGCAUUCGUCUCCUAGUAACAACAAAAAACGUUUGGUUGCACAUUUCUGACCAUAAAUUUUUUUCUCAUCACAAUUGUAACAUAGGCCCGCGCGCUCUUCGUUCUUGAAGUUGGGCUGAAGAAAGUUUUUUUAUAGGAAGAGAUGAGGAUGUGGAUGGUAUAGCUGGUUGAAGAAAAAGGGGGCAAGGUGGGGGUAGCAAGUGUUGGGAAGGCUGAAACAGAAUGGCUAAGGAUUUUUAAAACGCUUGGUGUCAUUAUUCUUGGAUUCCAAGAGUUUGACAAGACCCAUGGCUUAGGUGAUGGAAGUAGGUUGGAGCAUAGCUAACUCACGUCUGAUUUUCGGAAUAAGGUUAGAGAUGAAACAAUUAAGGAUCAUUUCUGGAGUGAGGCCUAAAACUUGAUUGCAUAGUUUUUCAAACGUUCUCUGGUAUUCAAUGAUAAUGCUAUUUUGGCAUAGUUUGAACAGUUCCACUUGAUGUGGAGGGUCCAAAACGUAGUUCUAGAGCACGACUAAAAGAAAUCCAAUCAUUGCAUUGGUGAUUUUGAUACAUCCACUUGAACCAACUUAGAGCAUCACCAUGCAUAUAAAAAGUCGCCAUGUGUAGGCGAGAGUCCCAAGCUAUGUUAUAAAAUUAGAAAAACUGAUGAGUUUGAAAGAGCCAAUCCAGGGGAUCCGAGCCAUAAAAAAUGAGAGUUGUAUUUUGGGUGGUCUAGGCAUGGUUGAGAUAAGAGGGGAAGAAGAAAUUGGUGGGGGAAGAAUGGUUGUAGUGGUAGCAAAAAUAGAGGAGGUGGUGUUAAAGAUUAGGGGUGUGAUAGGCGAGAUUGUUUCUACAGAAAAAGGUAUCGAAGGGUUUGGGGGCAAGUCAUUGGGUUGAAAAAGAGUUGCAGGGAUGGCAGUUAAGAGAGUGUUGAUGGUGUGGGUGAAAGAUUCAUGCUUUGUUUCCAUGCUAUUUGGUGGUUUUCUAAAGUUUGGUGAAGGCUAUUGUAUCGAUUUUCAUGAUGUUCAUGGUGUUAUGGAGUUGGGUUUGGAGGUUAGCUAAUUUGUCUAGGAUGAAUUGGAGGGUUUCAUCUAGGUCUUUGUUUGGUUUGGGAGGCAUGGUGCAGGCUCAAUGAAAGCACCAAUUGAUAUGCAAUUGCAUAAGAAAAAAGAACACAAGGCCUACGAAACAGGGGUUAACACCCCAUGGAAAUCUAUUUAAAAAUAAAAUUUCAUUGUCCUUUUCUUUCUAUCAGAGGUCUUAUAAAGACCAUUUUUCAUUGGUGGACAACUGACCUAAGUUAACAGAAAAAGAAAACAAAAAAGAUCUUCCAAGAUCCUCACAAACAGAUAGACAUUCAUAAAUAAUCCUAGAUAAAAUUUUUUAGCCAUGUGAACUUAGAUGUCUUUUUAAUGGGCAUUUGAGGAAUGAGCCCACUAUCAUUUUGUUUUUAAGAAAAUAUAAAAAAGAAAAUAACUUGUUCUUCUUUAAGAAAGCAAACACUAAGGGUGUGUUUGGAUUGAAGAGAGGAUUUGAGGGAGUGGAUUUGGAGUGAUUUGAGAUAAAAGUGUAAAGAAAGUAGAGUUGUUUGGAUUAGGGUAUAUUAUAGUGGAUUUGUGAGAAAAGUUUAUUGAAGUUUGUGAUUGAUAUGAUGGUUGUAAGAAAAUUUUUAUUUUUUUUAAAUGUGUAAAAUGUAAGUUUACAAAUUUACCUUUUUUUAAAAAAAUUAUUUAAAUAAUAAAAUACGAGAUAUUUUUAUACUAAUUUUAGUUAAUUAAAAUUUUAUAAAUACAUAUAAAAAUUAUUUUCAUAAAAUUAAAUCAAAUCAAAAUUAAAAUUAAUUUCUAUUAUUGUUAGUAUUAUUAUUUAAUAAAUUUAUUUUAAUUAUUACUAAGUAUUAAUUUAUAUUUAUUUUUUAUUUUUAUUAUUUUAUUUAUUAUUAUUAUUUAUAAUUUUUUUAUAUAUAUUAUUUUUAUUUUAAAUUUUAAAAAUUAAGAGUAAUUUAGACUUUUGUAAUGAUGUGAUGUAUUUUUCUCAAGAUUUCCUUGUCUUUCUUUGCUGGAGAAGAUAACUUUCAUAUCUUUCGUGCAUUUCAAUCCGAAUGAACAGUAUUCACUCGGAUGCAAACAAAGCAUAAGAUGGGAGGACGAAACUAAACUGGAGGAGGAAAUAAAAGUAUAUAUAUAUAUAUAUAUAUAUAUAAUAAUAUAAUUGACAAGAGAAUAAAAAAUAAAUAAAAAGUCAAAAGUGGUACCUUCCAAGUCCAAAGUGUGGUAACAGAAGUCUCUGCCAUAGAAAAAAGAAAGCAGAAAGAGACAAAAGUACAACCAGUACUAACCCUUGCUCCUUAACAGCCUUAACAGUUGGCAACACUUUGGGCCAUGCAUUCCUAAGAAACACUUUGCUAUGUUUCACAAUAGCAAGCACAUCUUCCACAGCACCACCACCCCAAAAACAGUUGCAGUCAGAAUUAUCCUCAUUCUCUUCUUCAGUGACUCCAAAAUAAAGUUCAAAUUCCCUUGGUAAACGUCACUGUUUCCUUUGAACUUGUCACUACCUCCACCCAAACAAUUCAAACCCCUUUGACCAGAAACCAAGUUGGCUCCUAAAUUGCAUGGCUCAACAACACACUUUGGCCUCAAACUUCAAGACUGGUUGACCCAGAGCAAAACAUUGAAAUGGAAUCUCUAAGAAAAUUUUCCCACAAAAUCAAAAUCAAAAUUUGAUGCAAGACUCACAUGAAUUUAACAAACAAAAUCAUAACAAAAUGAAAACUUGUUAAAAUUCUGAAUUGAAAUUGGUAUCAGAAUAGGGUGAAUCUAUUGAACUAAACUUUUCUAGAUUGACAGCUUAUUUUUUCACUUUCAAAAUUCAAACCUAAAAUUUUAUUUAUUGAGAUACGACAAAAAUGUAUGUCAUUUGAGUUUGUGAAAUAUUCCUGAGUUUGGGAAAGCAUGCAGCAUUUCAAUAGAAAACCAAAAAAUUUGAAUUUAAUAUUCCUAUUUUUAUAUUAAUUCUUGAGGGAAAAUCAAUUUGAGAUAAACUUCAAAUCUGGGAUGGUAUUAUCAUUCAGACAUUUAGUAGCGUUUCAAUACGAUGUGAGAUAAUAACAAAUUGUUGAACUUUAUAAUUUAGGUUAAAUUAUCAUUUACAUACCUUUCAUUUUUAGCUUAUGUUGUUUUUAGGUUUGAUUUUCUUAUAAUUUGAAACGACACAACUCAAACAGUUUUAUAUUAUUUUAAUUAUUUUGCAUAUUGGACAUCCUCAUUAGAAAACACAUAUAGCAUAAUUAAAAAAAAAACUAUAUAUUAACUUCUGCGUUUAAAUUCUUAAUUUUUUUAUAACAUUUUUAGAAUUCAUAAAAAAUAUGGAAAUAAAAAGGUAUAUUAAUGCGGGUGUAUAACUUAGUUCACGUUUGGUUCAAGUUUUAUAUGUCUACUAUUUUGGUUUCUAAUAAUAGUAAAUAAACAAAUUAUAUUAAUUAAAAAUUAUUUAAUUAAUUUAAUCUCAUUUAAAAUUCAGUUUUCCACUAAACUAUCCUUCGUUAAAAAUAUAGUAUCAAGAAUAAAAUCGUAAUUAAAUGAAGAGUAUUUUUUUGUGACGGUUUCAUUAAAUAAGAUGAAAUUUGCUUUUCUCAGACAAGGUUUGUCGUAUUCAUUUUAGGACGAAUCAUGAUGUUAUAUUUACUGUGUUAAAAACAUUUUGAAUUUCCUAAAAAGUUUUGAAAAGAUUUUAAAACCUGAUCAUUCCUCAUUCUUUGUUCUUAUCUACAUUUAUUAUAAUAUUUUUGAAAUUAUAUACGUACAUAUUAUCCUGCUUACACAUAACUUAAUGGCUUACACAUAACAUAUAAUAUAAGUAUAACUUUAUUAGCUUAUUCAGAGUUCUGUACAUAAUAUUAUUUAAUGUUUUUACUAAAAAAUAUAUUCAAAUAAACUCACACAAAACUCUGUAAAUUUUUUAUGUAUAUUUGGAAAAUGUAUAGAUGACAAGUGGAGAUUUAAAUGUUGAGCAAACAAAAAACUUGUCUGCAUUUUAGGUAACUAGGCAAUUGAGUCUUACAAUCAGCCACUAAGAUUAAACUUUUGCAUAACAACUCACAAACUAUGCAUAAAUUAUUUGGGAGCAAAAGUAAUAUUAUGCACCAUAGAGUGAGUCCCAGUUAGAGUAAUAGGAAGUUUAACAACAAAAAUUUACUUAAGUCCAGUAUACAAUACAUGAAAUGCAAUGGAAACCAGACACCAGAAAAUUUGUAUCAUCAUGAAGAACAUAGCUGGUUGGUUGCUAACUUCAAUUUAAUUUCCAAAACCAGAGUUUGACCUCUUUGUGUAUUCUGCAACUAGUUGAGCUAGAGAUGAAGAAUUGUUCUCAAGAAGUUUCUUUGGUGAAUCAUAUUCCUCAAUCAACCCUGCAGCAUCAAUAUGAAAAUAAAUCAUAUUCAUAUUUAUCAUGAGAUAAAAGGAAAAAUAGUGACAAAUCAAGAAAGAAAUUAAAUGAUGCUGCCUUUCGGAUUUGAUUAUUGGGAGAAAUAAUCUCGUUUAGUUCAAAAAGAUUUCACCAAAAAUGUGAUUAUUUAUUUGGAAUAAGAGUAAAUAAGCACGAGGAAAGUGAUGCUUACCUUGAUUUAAAAACAGAACCAUGUCACUGUCGAUGAUAGAAGUUAUCCUAUGAGCAAUGGUAAUGACAGUGCAUUCUGAAAACUGUUGCUUAACUGUUUGCUGAAUAAUAUUAUCUGUGGCUGUAUCAACUGAUGCAGUAGCCUCAUCAAGCACCAAGAUCUUGCUUUUCUUCAGUAGAACACGGCCUAGGCAGACCAAUUGCCUUUGACCUAUACUCCAAUUUUCUCCAUUCUCAGUAACUGCAAAAACUCAUGAUGAUAAGUAACACUUCCUUUCUACAUUUAGACAUAUAAUUGAAACAUACUAAAUCACUGUUCAAAGUUUAAAGAAGUCUCACCUAUGGAGUCCAGCUUCCCUUCUUUUUUCCUUACAUCAUCUCCUAGUUGGCACAUAUCUAGAGCCUGGAAUGUUUCUUAUUAAAAAUUAGCACGUAUAACCUGCACUAAAUAGAUAAGUUUCUCAUCAUAGUUACAAACAAAACCAAAUUACCUCCCAGAUCUGUUCAUCUGUGUACUCUUCCAGUGGAUCCAGGUUGGUUCUUACAGUCCCUUCAAACAUUGUUGGAUCUUGAGGAAUAAUGCUGAGUUUAGACCGCAAAUCAUGAAUUCCAAUCAAAGAUAUGUUAAUGUUAUCUAUUAAUAUUUUUCCAGCCAUAGGUUCAAUAAGUCGGAGAAGUGUUUGCACUAGAGUUGAUUUUCCACUUCCUGUUCUUCCCACAAUACCAGUUUUUGCUCCAGCAGUAAAAGUGCAAGUAAGACCUCGUAAAACAAUAGGCAAGUGAGGAGCAUAUCGAACCUGCAUAACACAGCUCCUCAUUACAUUUAUAUACCAUAAGAAAACCAGGAAGAUUUUAUAACCAAGAAAAUGUAAUUGUAGGCUUCAAUUCUUAAUGGAACAAAUGAAUGAUCAUUGAAAUGUACCUGUAAAUCCUGGAUAUGAAUCUCGCCAAAUGAUGGCCAAGAAGAAUCAGGUUGGUUGUCUUUAAUCACAAGAGGAGCUUCACUUGGGAGGGAUGUGUACUGGAGUAUUCUUUCAACAGAUAUAAUUUUGUUCUCCGAAUUGCAAAGAAACCAGAUUAUUUUAGUCUGUAUAGAGUUUAGAUUAAGUCCAUAUGUCACAGCCAAUCCCGCAAUGCCUUGGAAAAAACAAAAUUGGAAUGAAAGAUGAAUGAAGUUGUUUGCUAAGUGUGAUAAAAGAGUAACGUGUGUGCAAUGUCCUUUGAAUUACUCACCAGGAGUAGUCAUUGAAUUUGGGAAAGAUAUCAAGAAUACCAAACAGAAGGCAAAUAUGAGAGUGGAUAAAAUAUCCAAUCGGAAACUCAGCCAUUCAAUUGCAGUAGCACUGUAUAGUUUGGGUUGGGAAUAUCUGUCUAUCAACUUCAUAUUUAUGUCAUUAAAUCUUGGUUCUUGUUCAAAACUUCUUAUGGUUGUUGAUCCAGAAAUUGUUUCAGAAAAAUGUUGUAUAACUGGAGCUUGACAUGUACCAACCAAUCGUGCCAAUUCUCUAGCAGAUGCAGAAUAGUACCGCUACAUUUAUUGAAUCACUUUGUUAGCAUAUGCAGUGAUAUUGUUUGGAGAAUGAUAUCAGUCAGAUUCAUAUUUUUCUUACCCUCAGAACUUCUGAGAAAUGUGACAAAAUUAAGUGCAUUUCAAAUACUUAAUCAAUAAAGAAAAAAUUUCUGACAUCUGUUGUUAAGUGUUUUCAAUUUCAAAUUAUAAAGGUAGAUAUUAUCCAAAACUACCUGGUACCAUAUGCUAGCUGCCAUGACAGGAAUCAAUACUAUGAACACCUGCCAUGCAGCUUGAGACAUCACAACAACAUUUCCCAAGAGCUGAACCAGAUUUAAGGUAACUGCCCAUAAUACAUUGGCAAUGUACAUAUCUAGUGUGCUUUGGUCCACUGAAGCCUGCAACAAAAAACAAAACUAAGAAUUUUGUAAAUAAUUACAUUUAAUAUGGUCAUUUAGAAAAACAAUUAAAAGAAAUCAAACUUUCGAAAACAAUGCACUCAGCCAUUUAUAUCAGCUAAAAAAGUUGUCUCGUCACCAUUUGUAUCAGUUAAAAAAGUUGUCUCUUCAAAUUAAACCAAUGAAGAAUUAUCAACACAUACUGACAUACUCUAUUGAGGAUUCGACCACUUGGGGUGGCAUCAAAAAAUGAUACUGGUGCUCGAAAAAUACACAACUGCAUUUUAUCAAAGAGCACAGUGGAUGUCUUGUAUCCAGCUAUCACAGCAAGAAAUGAUCUGGCGAAGGUGAAAAUGGAACUUCCAAUUGCCAAAGCCACAUAGACAACCAUAAGUGUAAAGCUUCCAAUAUCAGGUUCAGCAGUUAUUGAAACAGGAGUUGCAACAGUCAUCCAGUAAUUGCUUGCAAUCUGAAAACUCACAGUGAGUGUCUGAGCAAGUAAUAUGAAGGGCACAAGAGCUCCUCCAUAAGCUGUUGUGAAGUAUUUCCAGUACACUUUAAACCCAACUCUACCCUUUUCUCGUUCUUCUUCUUGAACAAGUUGUCCUUUAGGCUCAAGUGUGUCGUUAGGCUUAUCAUUUUCACCAUAUAUGUUUUCCACAUUUUGAUCAAGUUCAAAAUCACUUAAUGAAUUUGUUUUCUCCUUGGUGGUACUUGAUGUUUUAAAUGUUGGACUUCUCUCUAAGGACUUAAUUGAAGACAAAGCUGCUCUAUGUGCACCUACAAGUUCCAUAAAAUCUGUGCCUGUCUUGAGAAUGUCAUUAUAUUUUCCUGAUUGAGUUAUCCUUCCUUCUCUCAUAACCUAGAUAAGUUGAAAGCAUGAUAAAAAUACUGAGACAAUAGUAAAUUGACCAAAUGCAGAUGCUUUAAUUCUCGAAUGUGAAAUUUAUAAAUCACUCACCAGUAUUAGAUCAGCAUCAGGUAAGAACUCUACUUGAUGUGUUACGUAUAUCACAGUUUUUGAAUUUAAAAGGCCAAGCAAGCACUCCUGAAACAGUGUAGUGUAAAUGGAAAAUCAGAUGCCAUCCAAAUGCAUAACAAAACUAGAGUAACUAUGUUUGACGUAUAUUGGUGUAUCCAUGAGCACAUUAUGCUGUUCGACAUUGUAUAGAGAUUAGAUACAUAAAACUCCACUGGGAAUUUUUAUACUCAAAAUUGGAGAAAUCUAAACUCAGACUAUUUGAAACACGCAUCUAAGUAAGCAUUUGAACUGAGUAAAUGUAAAAUGUUAAAAAAGAUUCAGAUUAUAUCAAGAAUUUGGAAGUCUAAAAUUACCUUCCCAAGAAAAAAACAAGACUGCACUGAAAAUAGUAGUUUAGAAAAAUAUAGUACCUUAAAGAGAUGGGAUCCUGUAUGAGCAUCAACGGCACUGAAGGGAUCAUCAAAAAGAUAUAUAUCAGCAUCUUGGUAUAGAGCACGGGCUAUUUGCACUCUUUGCUUCUGUCCACCACUCAAAUUGAUUCCCUUCUCCCCAAUAAUGGUCUGAUCACCAAAUGGUAGAACCUCAAGGUCCUUUGUCAAGGAACAUGCUUCUAGCACCUUCUCAUACUUCUCACUGUCCAUCUCUUUACCAAAUAAUAUGUUGUCUUCUAUCUUGCCACUCUGUAUCCAUGGCGAUUGAGAAACAUAAGCCUUUCUUCCACAUAUUUUCAAUGUCCCAGAUAUCUUUGGUACUUCCCCUAUAAUACAAGAAAGUAAACUAGACUUGCCUGAUCCAACAGUACCACAUACAGCUACUCUCAUACCAUGAAAAACAUUGAGAUUAAUGUUUCUCAAUGUUGGAUUAGGGGAAGAUAAAUCCCAUGAGAAGUUUCCAUCCACUAAUUCAAUUGCCUUAUCGGAACUACCCCAUGGAAGCUUCUGUACAAUAUCAGUCUGCAACUCAUCUAGUCGAAGAAAUGAUGCAAUCCUAUCCAGAGAAAUUUUAGUUUGUGCAAUCAUAGAAAUUGUGUCAGGAAGACUGUAGAUGGGCAUUUGAAGAAUUCGGAAUGUUGCAAGUGCAGAUAAGACCUUUCCUGAUUCAAGUGGAAUGCCUAUAAGAACACAAGUACCAAAAGUAACCACUGCAAUAAACGUUGGGGCAUUAUGGAAGAGAAAUCUAAUAGUUGCUGUUCCAGCUAGAAAUUUCUUUAGCCAUAUCUCCUCAGUUCUCCUAAGCUGAAUAAUCUUUGACAAGAACUUCAUCUCCCAUGCUUGCAGUUUUAGAAUCCUCAUAUUCUUAAGAAUCUCAGAUGUAGCCUUCAUUCUUUUAUCUUUGAACUCCAUUAUCUUGCUUUGGAACUUUUCUUGCAAUGAUGCCACAGGAUGGUUUAGCAACAUCACAAUUACAGUGGCAGCAAGAGCAGCUAUUGAAGCAACACCUACACUUCUAUAGAGAAUUAACAGGGCUAAAGCAAGUUGCAAAACACACAUCCAUGGAUCAUGCAUGUACCAACAAAAUUCACCAAUUCUUUCUGCAUCGACAGUCAUUAAGUUGAUGAUUUCCCCAGUACUACAAACCUCCUUUGCUUGACACGAAAGAGUCAAACCUUUAGCAUAGAUCAUUGCCACCAACAUCGAUUGCAUCCUAACCCCAACCUGCUGGAACCUAAACAUCAAGUGCCUCUGUGAAAGACACUCCACAAGCUUUGCAGCAACAAAUGUCGCUGCCAAAACAUAGCCUUCAUUUUUAAACAUGUAUUCUCCAUUGAGGUAUUGAACAAGGAUGUCAAUAAGAAAGGGUCCAACAAAGGAAGCACAUGCAUACAGGAAUGCAAACAAACCUGACAAAAAGAUCCCUUGCCAAGUUGACACGAAUAACACCUUCACCAGCCCAAGAGUGGUCACAUUUCGAACACCACACUCUGACUCUAGUUUGUUUCUAAAUGUUGGAAAAAUCCCAUAAGCACUGUCAUCAGUUGCAAGAAGUGGGAGGUCCUCAUGGUUUAAAGUCUUCUCAUUUCCUAGACCUAUUAACGGACUGAUCCAAGAGAAAGUAAGCAUACUGAAAAAUCCUGCAUUUGAAUAUCGGGUUGAAUUUUCAUUUCCUCUAGUCUUACUGGAAUCAGAAUUGUUGAUUGCUCUAGAGUCACCAUCCAAAAGAGGCUCUUCAAGAGGGGAAAGCUUGGCCAUAUUUCUAACAGAACAUCCAAUGUAACAUAGAAAUAAACCCGUAAUAGUGGAACCUACGUCAGAAACAAGGAAGUAACAACAAGAAGAAGUAAACAAAGGCAGCUCCAAGUUAUCAACAAACACGGGGAGUCCUGAUCAUAUUUUCAGGGAAAAAUCAGAAACUGUGGCAAGCUCCUUCGAACCAUCAUGUUUAUAAAAGUAAAAGUAGCAUAUAGUAAGCAUAACCAAGGUUGAACACACAAAUAACUAAGCUACAAACAAGACUAUGUUUUUUAUAAUACAAGAAACCAAAACUUUGUAUUCCAAUUCUUUCACUUUCUUUGAUAUCCAUGGCACGAGAAACAAAGGAGAAAAUGACUUGGAUGGUGCAUCACGGAAGAAGAGUGGCGAGAGACAGUGGAGCAUGAUGUGAUAUAUGAAAAAAGAAAGAAGCUUCACUUAGUGGGUAAAAUUUUCUCGGUGAAGAACAACGUUUGACUGGUUGAUGUUGAACCAAAGCAGAGUGUUCUUUACAAAUCAUCUUUAAAAUCAAUGAAAUUAUACAAAUAGAUUUCAAAGAUUUAAUUAUAUAUCACUUUAGCUGCGGGUUUGUAUUUGAAAAUAAAAUUUCAACACUUGAAAAAGACUAUUCAUAUAAUUUUGUAAAUGUAAACUAAGAAAAUUGGUGAAAUUCAAUUUUUCUAAAAAUGGUCAAACUCGCGUGCCAAUAUACACUUUUGGAAUAUUAUGAAAAACAAUACAAAGAUCGUGCAUGAGCGAAACUAUUCCUAGGCAUUUAAUGAUCAAGGUCAUUUAAUUUGUUUUUGAAAAAAUGGAAUCACUUCAUAUUUGAAGUUAAAACCCAAUUUUUAACUAAGAAAAUAGUAAUGACAAAUGUAGAAGCACUAAUAAGGAUAUAGAAAAUGGAGUUCACUUAAAUUAGCAAAUAGUGCAUACAAUUUGAAUGAUUAUAUUUAAUCCUAAUAAAAGAUAGUUUAACUAUAAAUAAUGAUAGAGAAACAAAUACUAUGAUUUGUGAAGAUUCUUGUUCACUUAUUACAGUUUGUCCUUUUCUCUUCUUUCUUCCUAGAUCUUUCUUCAAGAAUUAAAAAAGUUUCUCUUUCUAACGUAAAGUAUAUGAUGACAGAAAGGUACCUUUUUUCGUUACUUAAAUCUAUUCAUGCUCUUUAAUUAUUUACAAGGACACUCGUUUCAACAAAUUUGUUAAGAAAAUUCUUUUGGUGACACUUAGCGGUCCAAAUUGGUUGGAGGAAUUACGUUCUUUCAAAUUUCAUGCUUUUGCUCUAUUUUUUUCUCAACGAAAAUUUGUCCUAUGUGCCGCUUUUCCUAUUCUUUAGUUUUUUUUUUCAAAAUGUCAAAUUUGAUGGCAAAGGAAUAGAGGAAGUGAAGGAAGAAAAAUUUCAGGAUUGAAGGAGAAUCCAAUUUGUAAAUAAAAAAAUUACAAGUUUUCAAUAAAAAAAUUUGCAAAAAUAUAAAGGAAGACUAAUAAAAAAACAAAGGUUUGUGGAAUACAAAAUAUCUAUAUCACAACCGACGGUUAUUACAAGGCCAUUGUAACAAAAAAACAGUGUCAAACUCCUAAUACUUUUGGCCUUUUUAACAACAGUUCUAGUCUGAACCGUUGUUACAAAUCAUUUUUGCGAAAAUCAACGACAGUUCAUGAACUGUCAUUAUAUAACUGUUGUUAUAUAGAUUUGUUAAAUUUAGAUAAUCAUAUUUUCUCUCUUUUAAUACCUGAAAAGGAUAUAUUAAAUCAUUUGGCAUAUUAAAAAAUAAAAUAUCUAACUAUUUUUUUCAGAAAAUAUAUAUAAAUAGUUUUUAUCAACCAAACAAAUUGUAGACAUUCUUAUAAUCACAGUUUUCGAUCAAGAAUCGUGAUUCUCAAAUUAUGAAAAAAAAGAAAGAAAUAUGUGUAUAAAAACAAUGUAAAGGUAGAUCAGUAAUGUUCACUUUGUAUGGAUUAGAUGAAACCUGGAUAAAUGAAUUGAAAUUUAUAAAAUAAAACAAACUUUCUUUAAUUGUUUGGAUGGUAAAAAAUGUAGCGAAAUAUGUAAACUUAAAUAGAAUGAUUAAAUUUAACUUACCAAAAUAAAUAUUAUAUUAAUUUAAGAAUUUUUUAUUUUUAUAAAAAAAUGAUUUUUGUACAUAUUUAAAAACAAAGAGGACUGAGAUAACUUCUCUUAGAGUUCAAAACAGAACAAAAGUUCGUCUUUUCUAAAGGAGAUAAUCUGGUUGGAUCAGCUAAUUUUGCCAAAUCCUUCACAUUUACUUGUCAUCCAAAAUCCAUGAAAAUUAUCUUUCCUAACUUAAUACUUUCCUUUUCUCUCACUCCAAAAUCAACCUAUCCAAACAUUGUGACUUUGUUUGUCUCAUCCUAGUUUUAAAUUUCCUCUAGAGUGCAUGGAGUGAUCAUUGAUGCUUUCCAUCAUCUGUAGAAUCAAUGCAUUGUUCUCCUCAAUAAGUCUCUCAGUAUUUGAAACUUUGGUCUUAAGCACAUCUCUCUCUUUUCUUACUUCUUCCAUCUCCCUCCUCAGUUCAUCAAACUCUUGUUUUGUAACCAACUCCAUUGAUGAAGAUGAACCAUGAUGGCAAGGCCCUCCUCUAACUUCUGUAGAUUCUACUCCAAGCCCAUAUACUUUUCCUUUCUUCGAUCUAGCCACAUCGGACCACACAUGCAACUCAUUGGGUGGAGGCUUUCCUUGUGCCAGUGCACUUUCGGUCAAUUGGUUCAGUGUGCGAGUAAAUGCCUCCUGUCAUCAUAUCAUCAAUACAAGCGUGAUGUUUCAGAACAGUCCAAAAUAGAAUAGAACCACAUAAAAUGUUACAUGAUUGUAAAGAUGAGGGUUCACUACAUUUAGAUUUUUCGAUCUACUGUCCACCCAUGUCUUGUCCUUGUGUUGAUGCAAGCGACGAAACAACUCCAAUGGAGUUGGGGCGACUCCAUUCUCUUUAAUCUAACACAGAACCAAGAAUACAAGUUCAGAAGUUAAUUGUUUAAGUCAUCUCCACAGUUGCUUAAAUUGACCAAACAUUGCUUAUACGCAAUUAAUUUAUAAGUCCAUGCAUUGUGGAUGCAAAAAUGUUUUUUUUUACACUCUAAGUAUUGAGAUAAACAAUAGAAUAAAUUAUAUUAAGUAACAACUUUACCAUAUUAACUCUAUGCUGAGAUGCAGAAAUAGAGCCACCAGUGUGAGAUGUUCCAUAACUAGAUGCCCGAUUAGUUUUUGCUUGAGCACUCUUCUUUUUAAAAUCUUCAGAUUUCCAAUGCUCGCACAAUUUCUCCCAGACUCUAUCUUCCAUCCAAUAAGGUUUAAGCAUUGUGGUUCGAGCCUUAACUAGCUUAUUGGUCAUCAAUAUUGAACCUCGCAUUUGAAAAUUCCUUUUUGCCCACCUGUGAUCUGCUGGACUAAUUGAAAACUUUGUCUAUAUAUACAAGUAAACAAGUUAGCUACCGGUAGACUAAACAUACAUAUGCAAAUUUUUUUGUAGUCAUCAACAUAGGAAAUCUCACCAAAAACUCUUCAAACAUCGAGUCUCUUGUUUUAGCUGAUAUCUUCUUCCAAGAUGGCCAAGGAUCAGUAUAAUACCUUGAGAUAAGGUCCCCAAUCCCACUAGCAGCAAGGCGUGAAGGUAAAAAUCUGUAGAGAUUACAUGUCAACAAACAGAAGUUUUUAAAAAGUGAAUAAGUAACAAAAUACAAGAGCAUACCCUUGCCCAUCAAGGUAUAGGAUUGGCUUGUCAUCAUUGCUCUGUAUCUCUGAUUCAACCUCUGACUUAAGAAUGCAACCAGCAUCUGAAUUUAUUGGUUGUGGACAUGGUGUGUGUACCCCUUGUAUUCGAGAUGGAGAUGCCAUAUCAAAUGUCCAAGCAGGUGGAUCAGAAGGAUCGGAUACUGUUGUAUGCGGUGAAGCAUCUUCUGGAAUUUGAGGGGUCUUUCGUGGUCUACCACGUUUUUUUGUUGGAUGACUCGAAGCUUUUUCUUUAUUCUGAUAUUUCUCUGUCAUCUAUAGUUAUCACAAAAUUAACAAUUUAGACUUUGUUGAGAACAUUAUAAAACAGAAACACACCGAAGGGUGUAAAAUAGCUAAACAAGACAACACAAAAAACAUGAUAUGUGGCUGUUAUCAUGUGUUAGGAUCAAAGGUAUGAGUUGAAAAUGAAUGAAGCCAAGCCAAAAUACAGAAUAAAAACACAUCCUAGACUCCACAUUCAGUGCACACACUAAAAUCAGAUAAUUGAGUUGCAGGAGUAAUUCAUAAAGAUAAGUUUUAAUAAUAUGCAAAGAGAAUCCAGCAGAAAUUAUAGAGAGACGCAUGCUACCCAUCAACUUC